ACCACCUAGGCAAAGUACCGCUCCUCGCUAGCUAGCUAAGCGAUCCCCUUGCCGCGAUCCCGUGCCUCCGCCGGUGCCGAAGGCUCUGAAAAGUAAACCAUAAAACAGGGGCGUGAGAACUAUUAAAAAUAGUUCCCAGUGGGCAAUUACUGACUUCAGUGAAUGCACCACAAGGCCCAAAGCUACGAAAAGAUGUCAGUGACUAUAAAAGUAGAAAAGCGAAAGGUAAGUAAAAAUGUAACCUACUACGACAUGAUAUCUCUACUUAGCAUAAAUAGCAUAAGUAUGAAAGCAACUAUGCAUGAAGUAAAUGUCUCCAACUAUCAUGAUGUUCACAAUGUGAAAUAGUAAAGUUCCGUUGUUUACUAUUCUAAUCAAUGUCCAAGUAGUAUACUAAAUCCUCAUCUGUCCACAUGUCAUAAUGGAUACACAAAGUCAAAUCUGAAGAGACCCACCCGAAGGCUGUCUAUGGCCCUGAGACCCACCCGUAGGCUGUCUGGCCGGUGCCGAGCCUAAUGGCCCCGUGGUAGUCAUCAUCCUCACCCUAGGAAUGAGCCUGUCCCAUGGCAAUCCACUUCGGCGCCCAAUCCCGCACGGCGAAUAUGAAUCGCGAUGGCUAUCUCCGGAGUGCCGGCUUGUAGGGAGCGACCCUCACAAGCAUGUGCGAAUGAGCACAAUGGCAAGUAGUCAAAUGAUCUGUCGCAAGUACCAAGUCCUCAUGUCUAAUACCAUGGAAUGUGUCAAGUAUCUCAAUGGCCUAUCCCUAUGUCAUCAUGUCUAAUAACAUGGAAUAUAGCAGAUAUGUAGUGGCCUAUCAAUAUGUCUCUAUAUUGCAGUUUCAUAGUUUACUAGUUUCAAGUGUCCCUUUAUGACACUCUUGUUCUCUAUGUCAAAAUAUGGCAACUAUGUUCCAAGGUGCAUAUUCCACGUCAUAAUCCUCAUAAGAGAUGCAUUUUUUUUACUUGCAAAAUAAACAUUUUUCCCGUAUGCAUGCAUUCUACUCAUAUAGCUCUACUAUAUAGUGAAAUUUUCAUAAUACACAAGGCAUGCAUUUUAAGUGCUCCAAAAUUCAUAUAAAUCCUAUUUAGCAUAGACAUGAAUUUAAAAAUAUUUUACGACAAGUAGAAAGAGCAUAGGGGUCAUUUCGCCCCAUUUCCACGAAGCCAAACCCACCGAUGACAACGAAACUCCUCGUGCGCUCCAACGAGGGUGUCCUCUAGUCUCCUAGUACCCUAGAGGUAUGAAAACAAGUGUCAUCUAACCGAAACGAACGACACUAAGCUCAAUCAUUAAGCUUCUAUAGCUAGGUUGGAGAAAACUCACCGAAAGCUAAAGAAUCUCUCUCGAUCUCCAAAAAGGGGUUAGAUUCUUUCAAAUCCAACCUAAGUCAAAGUUCUAAACCAAUCAAUUUGGUUCCAAAGCCCUCAAAUCAAAAAUCCCCAUUUUUAACCCUAAUAUGCCAAAUCUAGGGUUUGAUCUAGUAGAAGUCACCAAAACUUAAUCCAAAGAAGAGAUUAGGCUUACUAACCUCCCAAAAAGCUCAAAACCAAGCUCUAAGCCAAGUGGAGUUGAAGUUUGAUCCUCCAACAAGCUCCAACCAAGAUCUCAACCUUUUCCAAUGGUGGAAAUCCCAAAAAAAGCAAGAAGGAGAAGAAAAGAGAGAUCAAAACCACUAAAAACCCACCAAAAAAGGAGAUCAAAUCAAGAGGGGAAGACUCACCUUGCUCUCCUCUGGUUAGGGCUCAAAAAGAGCAGCAAAGGGGCUGGGGUAACUUAUAAAGAGUAUUGCAACAAUUGCAAAAAGACCCCUUCACGAAAUCUGCCCAGAGGCAUUGUGUACCGGUACACGGGAAAGUGUACCGGUACACUUCCUGCGACAGAAAAUCUAUUGUGUACCGGUACAACCAUCAAGGGCGUACCGGUACAAAUUCUGUACCGGUACAACCAUCAAGGCUGUACCUGUACACAGCCUGGCUGAGGCUAAUCCGAGAGUACUCCAACAAUCCCGCCUUUUGGGAUUUUGGUACAGGUUUAAACCCUCAAUUCUCGGGAUGCGAGCAAUGGGUCGGAACACUGUCUACGACCCUUCAGAAAGUCUGAGAUGGCUCAACACACAGAUCAAACACUCGAACCUCGCAAUUUGCAAAGGUCCAGUGUGCUACACCUCUCUCCUUUUCACAGCAAACACACACACACCUCUCCCUCUCAUUUUCUCUCCUCUCUCUAGAAAUCACCUAGGGCUUGAAGGAGAAGAAGAAGAAGAAGCUUGAGGAGGGAAUUUUGGUGGACUUGGUGGGUCUAGAAGCUCUCCAACAAGAAGGAGCUUACUAGAACUUGGGCCAAGAUAAGUUUUUAGCAUGUAGAGCUCUAGGAUUUCGAUUUAAGCCCUAAGUCUUAGAGUUUUGAGCUUCUUAGAGGCUUUAGAAGCAUAUUAGAGCCAUAAACACUAUGAAACCCUAGUUUUCUUCAUGGUGCUCUAAUGGGAGAUUUCUAGGCUUUGCAUUCUAAGCCCUAGAGAUGGUUGGGAUGGUUCUAAAUGAGCUUCUAGGGAUUAGACAAGCUCUCUUUUGCUUGUUUUAGAGAUCAAAACCUAGGGUUAGCAAUGGGUUUGGUUAGGACACAAAAUUUGGGGCUUUUGCCUCCGAGCGUUUCUAAGGCAAAUUGACCUUGUAGAAACCUAAUUGGGGGUGUUCUCGAUGCGUUGGACAACUCGUUCGACGUUACGAAAAUGUUUAAGUAUGGUUCAUGUACAAAGGGCCUAAUAUGACAUUAUUUUGGUAAUAGGACGCGGAAUCGACUUUUGUAAAGUUCGGGAGUUAUUGUAUUCUACACCUACCCGACCCCUCGAGGUGGGUGGUGCAUUCCAAGGACCUCGAAUAUCCCUUUAUGUCUAAAGUGUCAUGUUUGAACAUAUAUGUAUAUAUUGAGCAUGUUGCAUAGUAGGGUUAAUUGUAAGCUUUUAUUGCAUGAUUGUGAGUUUAAUUUCGUAUGAAAUACUUGUAAGAAUGUGAGAAUUAUAACCCUAUUUAUGCAUGACAAGUGAUAAGAACCUAGAAGGGUCAGUGAACAAAGGUGACACAUGAACAUAGAUCUAGCGAGUGACAUUGAAGAGUCUAGAACACUUAGAAAAACAAGUGUGGCAUUUGGCCUGAAAACAAGAACAUAGCACUUAGAAAACAAGUGUGGCAUGAGUACAAGAACUUGGUAGUGUAUAUGACACUAGUGUUGGUAAAGAAUGCAAAGAAAAGAAUGAUUGAGAUAUUAUGACAUUGCAAUCUUAGAGUUAAGGGUCAUUGAGCAUGGUCUUCCUUAAAGUUAAGGAAUGGAUUGAACUUGGAAUCCUCAAUGUAGGAUUGAUCGUACUCACCUUUAGUCCUUGCUCGGGGGUGGUAGUUCCCUCUCGGGAGAUGUGCUCCGGAGUCGACAUCACUGGGUUGUAGCGGGUAUCUCCCCAGAGGACGGUCCUAUCAGGUUGUAGCGGGUAUCUCCCCGGUUAAUAGGAUUUUGGGUUGGUGAGUUUGUUGAGGGCGAAACCUACGAGCUAGCCAAGAGAUUGGAUAAAGAAAUCGUGAUCCUGCAUUCAUCAUGAGCAUUAUAUCGAGCAUCGCAUUCUAUAUUGUUCAGGCAUAUUAGUUGCAUUUGUUAGUUGGUUACUUUCUUUCUUCUAUUCUAUUAUGCCUGAUUAGACCUAGUGGGAUAAUCGGCGUGGUUGGUUGCCGAACCCACUGGGAACUUUGUUGUAGUUCUCACACCCCUAUUUCCACAGAGCCGAGACCGAGCGAGCCGGCAGACGACUGCGGUAAGGGCAUCGCGCCCUAGGUAGAGACCGCCUGAGAUGCUUUACUUUAUAGUUGCAUACCCUUUUGAUUUAUCAUCUUUUGUAUUUCGAUGAUUAUAAUUGUUAAAUGAAAGGACAUGAAUGAUGUAAAAGAAUUUAUUUAAUAUCAAUGUCAUAUUUUUUGAAAGAAUGGGAUGUAAAAAGAAAUGAUGCAAAAUUGUAAUCGAUUUCCUAAGUGCAGUUAUUUACUUUCACUAUUGGCUAUUCCUUGCCCACGCGCAAGCCAUUGUGUAUGCUUCCGCUUAUGCAAAUUGUAUACUCUAUUGAUACUUGUUGUUGAGCCUUGGGCGGACAGGGAAGGUUCUGUCCGUUCGGCGUCUGUUCGACGCUCUCGAACCGGCCAAAAGGAUCGGGCUCGGGGCGUGACACUUCUGCCUUGAUUGCGCCGUCAACAACCGUCGGUGAGCGAGGUGAACUUUCUCCUCCGCUUCCCGCAAGACAUCGGGACCCAACACCACUCGUUCACCCACGUCACUCCAAUAUAUAGGAGAUCGGCACUUCCUCCCGUAGAGAGCCUCAAACGGUGCCAUCUCUAUACUAGCCUGGUAACUGUUGUUGUAGGCGAACUCGGCCAUCGGCAAGUGACUACUCCAACUACCCUUGUAGUCAAUGACACACGCCCGCAACAUAUUCUCCAAAACUUGAGUGGUUCGCUCUGAUUGCCCGUCGGUCUGAGGAUGAAAAGCGGUGCUAAACUCGAGUCGUGUGCCAAGUGCCCCCUGCAGGCUCUUCCAAAAGUGCGAAGUAAACUGAGGGUCUCGAUCUGACACAAUCGACUUCGGAACCCCGUGCAACCUCACCACUUCAUCAAGAUAUACCUACGCAAGCUUGUCACCUGACUAAGUAGUGUGGAUCGAUAGGAAAUGUGCCGAUUUCGACAAACGGUCCACCACUACCCAAAUCGCGUCGUGGCCACCCGACGAACGGGGCAAUCCGACUACGAAGUCCAUAGCAAUAUCCUCCCAUUUCCAAACGGGAAUAGGUAGGCUUUGAAGCUUUUCCGCUGGAAACCAGCGCUCCGCCUUGACUUGUUGGCAAACAAGACAUUGUGCCACAUAGCGUCCAAUGUCACCUUUCAUUCCCGGCCACCAAUAGAGCAAUCUCAAGUCUUGAUACAUCUUGGUGCCGCCCGGAUGGACACUAUAGGGAGACUGAUGCGCUUCCUGCAAAACCAAUUUUCGGACUUCCUCAUUUUCCGGCACACACCACUGGUUCCGGUAUCGAAGCACACCAUCGGUAUGUAUGCUGAAAUCGCCGCCACGCCUAUCCUCGAUGUCACGCCGCACCUUUUGGAGAUUCGGAUCCGCAGGUUGCAAACCCCUGAUCUUCUCCAACAAGGUCGGUUGGACAACGAGAGCCGUGAGUAUAGACGGAACUUCCGAAGCCACAACCUCAAGAUCCAUUCGCCCCAUUUCUUUCCACAAAGGCACUUGAUUCAUGAUCAACAACGCGAGAUUCUUCGUCGAUUUCCUGCUAAGUGCAUCCGCUACCACAUUAGCUUUCCCGGGGUGGUAAAGGAUAGUAACAUCAUAAUCCUUUAAUAAUUCCAACCACCGCCGCUGCCUCAUAUUGAGCUCUUUCUGUGUAAACAGAUACUUCAGACUUUUAUGGCCCGUGUAUAUUCGCAAUGUGCACUGUAUAAGUAGUGCCUCCACAGCUUCAAAGCAAAGAUUAUUGCGGCCAACUCCAAAUCGUGAAUAGGGUAGUUCUUUUCGUAGCCUUUCAACUGACGGGACGCAUAAGCGAUCACCUUCUCGCCUUGCAUCAGAACACACCCCAAACCCAGAUAUGAUGCAUCGCUAUAUACCACAAAGUCCUCACCUUGCCCCAGUAGGGCGAGCACCAGAGUUGAAGUCAAUCUAUCCUUCAACUCCUUGAAACUCCGAUCGCACUCGUUGCUCCAAAUAAACUUGGUGCCCUUUUGUGUUAGACGGGUAAGUGGAAUAACUAUCUUCGAGAACCCCUCCACGACCCGUCUAUAAUAGCCCACUAAACCCACGAAGCUACGAACCUCUGUCACACUAGUCAGGCGAGGCCAAUCCUCGAUCGCCUCAACUUUCCUCGGGUCAACAGAAACUCCACCCUCGGAAAUAACAUAUCUAAUAAAUGCGACUUCACGGAGCCAAAAAUCGCACUUCUUUAUCCUCGCAUAAAGCUUCUCCUCCCGAAGGACUUGUAGCACAAGCCUCAAAUGCUCCGCGUGCUCCUCGUCGCUACGAGAGUAGACCAAGAUGUCGUCUAUGAAGACUACGACAAAUCAAUCUAAGUAAGCUUUGAAUACAUGGUUCAUUGAAUCCAUGAACGCUGCCGGGGCAUUUGUGAGCCCAAACGGCAUGACCAUGAACUCGUAGUAUCCAUACCGCGUGCGAAACGCGGUCUUUUGCACAUCCUCCGGCUUUAUCUUCAACUGAUAGUAGCCAGACUGAAGGUCUAUCUUCGAAUAUACUCGCAACCCCUGCAACUGAUCAAACAAGUCAUCGAUACGGGGUAACGGGUACUUGUUCUUGAUAGUAACCCUGUUCAAAUAAAACCGGGGAGUCCCAACGGCGAUACACUUGGCUUGAUAAACUCCUUGUCGAGGGUCACCCAUCCUAGGACUACUCUAAUCCUAGCACGUUUAACUCUCUUAACCUCUUGGGACAAGCCACCACCCAAAAUAUGUAAGCCGAGUUGAGAGUUUUAGCUCUAUUAUAUCUUAUAUAUAGGGCUACCUGGGGUCUCACAAUUUCGUUCAUAUCAAGAAAAAAUAUGCAAAAUUCAAAUUAAUUUGUUCUAGAUAAGGAAUAUUUCAGUCAUUAUUACCAAUAAUUAGCACCAUACCUACCAAAAAUCAAUAUUAAUCAACAAAUUUCCAUUUAGUUUAUGCAAUUUUUCAUUCCAUACUUAAUUCAUAAGAUAAAUUAACACCAAAAAAUAAAGAAAAGGUAAGUAAGAGAGCAAUUUCUAUAUUUAUCCGCAGAAUAACUCGAAAAAAUAGUAAAAAUGUUUUUUAAAAAGAAAUCUUUCCCAUAAGGAAUAUUUCGGCUGUUAUUAUUCACUAAUUAGCAAAACAAAAUCCAUCAAAAUCGACAUUAAUCAACAAAUUUCCACUCAACUACGCAAUUUCCCAUUCUAUCCCACAAAAGUAAGCUUAAUUUAGGACUCUAAAACCUAAUUCAUGAAAAAUUAGCAUAAAAACACAAAAAAUGUAAUUUUCUGAAAAUUUUCAAUAUCAAUAAGUAAAUAAUUUGAGAAAAAUUGCUAAAAAUUAAGGAAUUUUGGGGAAAAAGAGAGACGUGGAUUACUCUUUUGUUACGGAUGUCGUCGACGAAUCACUGCAACAUAAUAAAAAAAAAUAACAAUAAUUUUCAAAAGUUAUUGGGGAUGCAUACUCGAUGCUGCAAAUCUCCUAGAAGAACUUGAGAUCAUAGACAUUAUCGGCGGCUGCGAAGUGGAUGACGCCAACGAUGCGGUGGUGCUCGAGGUGGCCAAGGGCGACGUUGCGCUGGUGCACAUAGGGCUGAGAGGGUCCGGGGCGGAGAAGGUUGUGGCCAAAAGAGAGGGCGAUUUGGGAAUGGGAUUGGAGCUUGGAGAGGACGUGGAGGAAGAGGGAAGAGGGGAUGAGUAGAGGUAAACGAGAGGGGGAAAGGAAGUAUAAUAUACCAAAGUUCUGCAAUUAUGAAGUUUAGGCGGGAAUUAGCUUAAGAAGCUAAUUAAAUAAGUUCUGGCGAGCUUUGGAGAGCAAUUGAGUGUUUUCGGCGCAAAAUAGAUGCGAAAACGAGCUUGAAAGGAAUGCAAUCUGCCUAAGUUGUAGAUUUUGCAUUGGCUACCGGUACCAAGCUUGGGUACCGGUAUGCAAUGCAAAGACUGGAAAUUAGGCUCUCAGAUUUUGAGGAAUCGAACCUGGGUACCGGUACUGAAAUUGUACUGGGUGCCAGUACUGGAAGCUGGUACCGGUACACAAUAGAAAAUCCGAGAAUCCAACGUUCGGAUUUUAAGGAACUAGAUUCGAGGUACCGGAGCUGUCCGAGUACCGGUACACCGUUCUGCAAAAUACAGAUUUUGAAGGAUAUUUUAGUAAAAUCAAGUGUAAAUAAAAGUAGUGUGAAAUACUAUUUUUAUUGACUUAGAAAAAGUAAAAGAUAAUUUAGAAAUAGUUUGUGGUGAAAUUGGAAUAAAAAUAUGAGAUUUAGAAUUUUCUGUAAGUAACGGGGCUAAUCUUUUAGCAGAAAAUUCACAGUGUCAGAAAAUUAUGAAAAUUUAAAAAUAUGUCAGAAUUAUUUUUCUUAAGUUAGAUUUAAAAUUUCAUAUCAUUCCAACAUCCGAAAAGUAAAAAACAAAACCUGACUGCUAUCUGCUAAUGGUACUAGCUAGUCGGUAGACUUUUCGGUGACAAAAAAUAGUUCAAAACUGAAAAGUUAAGAUCACGUUCUUCUGGUUGAUUUUAACCAAGCCUAACUGUCUAAUUUGAGUACAAAGGAACAUUCAGAAGGGCUCCGGCAAAAAGUAUCAGAUCUGAACUGGACUAAAUUGUAUGUUGCAAUUGUUGGAGGGCCUAUGUGUGUAACAUAUUGCCUCUUUCCCCUUUGUUUUGGUCCAACCUGUGAGAGAGAGAAAGGAGAGUCUUCUCUCUUUCUCUCUCUCUCUCUAGCUCACAUCACUCUCUCCCUCUUUUGUAAUCUCUCCACCAAAGAGAAGAAAUUGGAGGAGAAAUUAGAGAUUAAACUUGGAAAUAGUCUUGGAGAAGAAGCUUGGAGCUCUUCAUUGGUGGAUCAAUUUCUUGACCUUGAUCCCUAAAGUGAGAUUUAUGGAUUUGAGUUAGGAUUUGGGUUAAAUCCCUUAAAAUUGAUGUGUUUAGGAUCUCUAUAUGAUUAUAAAUUAGUUUAAUCAAACGAUUGAACAUAAAUUUGAGAUCCUCUUGGAAUCUAGAAACCUAGGGUUGAAAUUGGAAUUUUUGUCCCUAUGAGGUUUUGAAUUAAAUUGACCCUCUAAAUCUCUAAUUAAAGGUUAGAAAAGCACGCCCAACAACUUUAAUUGGGAUGCGUAGCGACCUCGGCGAUUGAUCGAAGAAAACGAAUCGAUUCAUGAAGAUUUGAGUUCGUUAGCCUUAAAGCGCGACGAAUCAUCAUUGGGAGCCCAAUUGCAAGUGUUUAUAAGCAAUUGGGAGCGCUUUGAGGUGGGUUGUAUUGCACCAAAGUGACUUGGUCGCCUCUCAUGUCUAGAGAGUGUUUUACAAGAAUGAUUGAUGCAUGUUAUGUAAGGACUGAGAUUUUGACAGUGUAGCUAAACUCUCCGUUGACGAUAUUUUUGUGUGUAUUUUAAUUACAAAAGUACUCAUCAAGUUUCGGGAGAAAACGAGUUUGAAUGGAGAAGUUACGCGACUUUUAUUUUUCAUUUAAAGUGAAUACUAACCCGCUUUUUCGGAAAGGCCACGGUGUAGAGUUGGCUUCCGGUGCGUAUCAGACUCCGUUCAUAGCAAUCCAAUAGCUCGUUUUGAACGGUUCGGCUAUUCUGGAACCAAUGGCAUUGAUGGAUUGUAGAUUUGAUGCACGAUUUUCGAGAAAAAGGGAGUUUAUGGGUUUUACACAUAUAUUUAAGUAUGGUGUUGGAAAGUUGGAGAGUGGAUGGGUUUAGUCGCAAAUUGGCGAGCAAAUCGGACGAAACGAAAUAGUAGAUUCGAUGCCCCAAUCGUGCUGAACGCGAUGGCGUGAUUCGAUCGAAAAUCUGACGGACGAAUCUUCAAAAAGCGUGAAAUGUUCGUUGAGGGGUGGAAUUGGCAAAAAUGAAAAAUUCGCGAAAAAUCUAAUAUUUUAUGCGUCGUUUUGCCUGAAUUCGAACGUCGAGGGGCUUGUGUGCAUAAUACACGCGCUGGCAGGGACCUGUUUGAAAAUAUACAGCUUAGGAGGGUUUAUCGGCAAAUUUACACCAUAUGUAUAUAUUGGGUGUUAGGGUUUCCCACAUGAAACCCUAACCCUAGUACACCCUAGCCCUCCAACUGACCCUAGCCGACACCAGAACCCCUCUACCCUACUCGUGCGUGCACCCCGGCCACCGAAAAAGCAACCCCGACCUCCCUCUCAACUUGUCUCUCUACUUCAUCGGCCAUGGACCGCAGGGAAGCACCUACUUGUGACGAGCCUGGGUUCUCUGGCCGAGAUUUUCCCUUCGGAGUGAUCCCCGUCGGCCCCCGCCGUUCGCAUGCGCCGCCUGCGUCUCCUGGACUCCCUGCAGCCACCCUCGGCUAGAUCGGGUCGAGCCGAGCUCAUCUCGUGGCCCGCGUGCUACUGCCGCCCUAGCCCGGCCACGCCGCAUUCCUUUGGUCGCCGGCGACCUCCCCCGUGCCGCCCAACUCUCUACGGCCGCCCAGAUUUAACUCGGGCCGAGCCUGGGCGCGCACGGCCUCCAUGCGUCGCCGCCGUCCAUCGACGAGCGCCCCACCCUCCUUGGACUUCCGGCGACCCUUCGGUGAUCGGUCGCCGACGCCCCGAGGCCCCGGGCCGCCGCCUAGCCGCCGCAGACUCCUUGAACCUGAGCUGAGCUGUGCGGGCUCGUUCUUUGUCGCCCCGCCAUCGACCGCCGCUCGCCAGCACCUACCCAGACCCCACUGAUCGGUCGCACCCGUCCCCUGCCGACGCGCCCGCCGUCCGGCCGCCGGCGACCUACCUAUGCUCCCACUGGUCUGGUAAGCCUAAUUUUAGGUUAUUGGCAAAUCAUUUUGGGGUUUCGAUCACCUUUCUGGUGAUCCGAGGGCACCCCGAUAUAUUUGGAUGUGAGCACAAUGAUCCUUACUUCGUGCUGAAUAUCGUGCCCACCUCCGUUGGGGUCAGUGAUCCCCCGAUUUGCGAGUUAGACGCGAUUUAGGCGCUAUGCGCGCUGUUCACUGAAGUUCGCAUCGCUUGUGCGCCCUCCACAGUGGCCGGCAGUGCUCCGAAGAGUGAGCACGGCCUCCGGCACGCCGAGACCUAUCAGCAGGUGUCUCGGUUUGGCUGAAUGUCGCUCAGUUUGCGCUGCCGGGCCAUAAAGCCCAGGAAAUCACAUGAAAUAAUGUGAUUUCAUGUUGUCGUGGGGGUUUUUAUGUAAUUAUACAUUAUGUGGCUAUUGCUGGCAGCAUGUGUGGGCAGAGGGUAACCUCGGGACUGAUUGUCCAAAGCCCCAGGCCCUUGCGGAGAUCAGAAAUUGAUUUCCGGUGCGUUUGUCGGCAAAACCCGCCGACGGAACGUGUUUUCGGUUCAAAAUUAUUCCGACGGUGCCUCGUGGUAAAUGGUUAUGUCGAUGAGCCUUGUUGGCUGGUCACCCAUGUCGUUUCGAAGGUUUGGAAACGAUGGGUGAGCGACGGUGGGUUCCGAUGUCGAAAUUGACACUUUCGGGAACCCGGAUUGGAACGAUUAUCCGACGAUAAUCAUUUCGAUGUGAAGCGAUGUGUUUGCUGCCAAGUCCCAUGAAUAUUGGUGCUUAGUGGCAGCGGGCGACUCGUAGUAUGAGUUGGUGAGUUCCGGGACAGUUCAUGGGUCUCGGUGGAGUCCCGGUGCUGUUUUCGGGACUUCCGGUGUUUCACGGCAGUUGGUUUUGGAAAAUCGAUUCCCGUAGGGUUAUUGGUGGGGUUGGUAGGUUAGCGUUUUGUGUUCGUGGGUUGGAUUCUAACCCGGUGGACCCUUCGUAGGUCCGGUUGUGACUCCCUCCGCAGUUGGAAGGCUAGUACCAUAUACUUACAGGUGGGUGCUUCGAUCCGAAGUUGGUAUAGUGGUGCACGCUCGGUGAUAUCCUCUUACCUUUGUUCUCCUGUUGUUAUUAUUGCAUAUCAUAUAUUGAGCCUUACACUCAUAUUGUUUCCGUUAUACUCUACUCGACUGUCUCUAUGUUUAGUAUCAUGAGUAGAAGUAGAGUAGAUUUAUCUACAUGUGAUAUUUGUGACCUGGUUGGUCGGUUCUCGUAUUUCACAUCCGUGAUCUUUUUGGUUGGUUUAUUCGGUUGGACUAUUUGAUGACCUAUACGGUUGGUAUACCCUGAGGGGUGGGAUUGUCGGCUAGUGGCCGACGGCUUGUACUGGAUUAUACCGAUGCAUGACUUGACAUCCCUGUUACCUAUUGUCGGUCCUUCUGCAUAUUUGUUAGUUGACAGCGAGUGGUCGAUACUUGCAUACGUUUGGAAGGAUGUUGAGUUGUUCCAUCCUAGUUGACCUAAGUGGUCGGUACUUGUGUUCCUUAUGGUUUGAUGACCUUUUGGUCGGCGCGCCUCGAGGGGCGGUGAUUGUUGGCUAGUUGCCGACGGUUGGCUAUUGAGCAUAUUAGCAUUGAUCGUCCUAUACUCGUAUGCAUUUCACGAACACCAGGGGUCUGAUCCACCGCAAGAAAGUGUUCUUUUCUGGAAAAGUGGUUGGAGGUGCCAACCCGUGAGCCCAUAGGCUACCUUGGGUUAUUUGUAGGUAGAGUGACAGCCCGAGGUCUGCGGUGCGGACCAACAGGACACAGCUUAAGGUUUGCGGUGCGGACCAACAGUGCACAGCUUGAGGUCUGCGGUGCGGACAAACAGAGCACAAAUUUCAGAUUGGGUAUUUUGGACUUAUCGUCCGGUUGAUGCAUACAUACAGUAGCGGUAGUUAUGCAUUUGUAUAUCUCGUUCAUUCAUUUAUCAUUGCUACUGUAGUACCAUACAGGCCUAAGGUGUGUGGACCAAUAUGGCUGUUUCAGAUUGGGUACUUUUGGACUUGUCGUCCGGUUGAUGCAUACAUACAGUAGCGGUAGUUAUGCAUACAUAUAUCUUGUUCGUUUAUUAUCGUUGUUACUGUAUUAUCCUUACCUAUACCUUUGUUGUUUAUCCUCCUUGACUGGUGAGUACCCCUCGCCCUCGUCCGCUUGCGGUACCCACUGGUAGGGGAGACAUGUUUACAUGUUCUCACCCCGAACCCCCAUUACAGGUGACGUCGCGAGCCCUAGUGGGAUGGUUCAUGAGGAGCAUGCCUAGUGAUCGAUAGAGCCACCGUCCCGUUGUUGGUUAAUUCUCGAACCUAGUUUCUUUAAAUAAAUGACUUAGACAGUUUACAUGGUUCAAUAUUUUAUUACAUUUGAAUAUUUGGGAUUUCAUGCAUGUAAUAAAGGAUUUGUGGAUUUUCGUGAAAUGAAAAUGGUUUUCUACCCCUCGUGGUAGCGAGUUUUAAAAGAAAAAGGUUUCCGUGUGGGAAACAGUUUUUAAAAGAGUUUUCUCGUGAUUUUUAUGAAUUAGUAUUUCAAAACAAGUUUCCGGGUAGGAAAUAUUUUAAACUAAUAGCUGUGGAUUUAUGGUUAAACUCUGAAUGUGAAUGGUGUAUGAAUGUAUGAAUGUUUGUAUAUUCAGUUGUGGUGGUUGUAUCCUAUUUAUGUAUCUUGUACUUGUGCGACGUUGUGCAAAUACAGGGAAGACUCUGUCCAUGUGAACAGUAUACUCCCUAUAUUUGUGGUGGAUCUGGCAUACCCUGGGGGUCAAGUUUUCAAAAAAAAAAAAAAUUGGACACUUCCACUUUGUUUUUAAACCAAAAUGGGACACCGGGCGUGACAUGUUAAUUGGUAGAUCAAUUAGUAAUUGUAAAUUAUAAAGCAUGUGAUUCUAAAUGAGGGACUACCAUCGCACAAGAUUAAUUAGGUUUGUGAACCGACAUACAUAUAUGUCUAUGUUGUGCAUUUUGGGAUUCAAGUAUAUUUAUUGCCAUGUAAAUUGCAUGCUACUUGAUAUAUGUAUUAAAUAAUUAUUGAUACAAGUUACUAACUUAGCAUCUAUGAAUAUAGUGCCAUGUGAACCUUGAGAUGCAAUGAACUAGUAGAGUAAACUAGUUGUAUGGAAAUGGAUGUUGACAUUGAACAUAGGUCGAUGAACUCUAGGAAAAUUACAGAACUCGACAAGUGUGAAAGCAAGGACUAGAUGUUAUGGAAUUAUGAAUCCUAGGUGUAGACAACUAGGAUAACAAAUAACAUAAUUAGAGAUUAAGCCUAGUGUCAUUGAACAUAAGUUGGACAUUGAACCUAGAGUCGGGUGAACCUAGGUGGGAAGAACAUAGAACCUAGUAUUGUUGAACCUAGGUUAUGAACUAUAUAUAGUAUAGUGGUAUUGAACCUAGUGUUAUUGAACAUAGGUUGGGAAACAUAGUGGUCAGAUGACCACUCGGACAUAAGAAUGUAAACCUAGAGAGGUUGACUUGGAAAUAGAUGAAUGUGCACAUCUAGUGAACUUGAUGGUCUUAGUAUUGGAGCUUCGGCGUGUGCGGCGAUUUCGUCGCCGGGCUUGAUACCAAGGGGGUGUGUGCGGCGAUUUUGCCACCCUGGGACUUGAGCCAUUGUCUGGCGUGUGCAGCGACUUCACCGCCGCAUGGCUUCGUCAGGUAAAGGAUUACACCGCUCGGUGGCUUGAGCUACGGUCCAGCGUGUGCAGCAAUUUCGCCACCGGAGUGCUAAGCCAUGAAGGUGGUAAGUUAUGAAUGACCGACUCAAGACCGAGUCGAGUAAAAUAUCUUGGCUAAGGUAAGGGAAACCUUAGGAGAGAAUGGCAAAUGAUAUAAAAUGGCAAGUGAUAUGGCAUGUGUAAUAGAAAGUAGAAACAUAAGCUCUACUUGUAUUUGUCGCAUUAGUGCAUUGUGUGAGCCAAAUGCAUGAUUUUGUUAGUUGUAUAAAAUUAUAUGUUUGUAUAUCUGUUGGACUAACAUGCUUAUGUUGCCUCCUUUGGACCUGGUGGGUCAAGCUCUUCCCUUGGGUGGCCAUACCCAUUGGGAACUAUGUAUAUAGUUCUCACCCCACGUUUUUCAGGUCCAUACGUGAGCGGCACGGCGGUGCGAGGAAAGGGCAUAGCUCGGUAGAUAGCACCCUACCACCGAGACCAAAGAUAAAAGUACCCCAAGUCAGUUUAGCUUUGUCACGCCCCGGGACCGGCGGAGGCCCUCCCGGUGGCGUGCCCAGACCCGCCAUAUGUCCACACAUAUAAGGCGUCUACAACAAAUGCGGAAGUAAGCAAGAGAUAGAGCAGAUAAAGAAGUGAAAUAACUAGCAACUAAUGAUAUCAGAGCGAGUAAAGUUCUAACAUCUACACCAAAGUAAAGAAGUGAAGCUAGACAAUAAGAGAAAUCAUAAGUAGUACAAUAUCCGCCUCUAGUACAAAAAUGGUGGUCUCUAUACAUAUACGGGUACAACUCUCAACCUCUCGCCACAAAAGAAAACACGAGAGGUAGACCACCUAUCGAACGAUCCCUCGGUAAGCACGCUAGCCCGAGGCGAUAACCUUUCCGCAAUCCCUGGCCUCUCCCUGCGUGGAAGGCUCUGAAAAACAUCGAGAAAAGAGGGCGUGAGAACUAUAAUUUAUAGUUCCCAGUGGGCAAUUACUGACCUCAGCUCCUGCUCCACUAGGCCCCAAAAAUAAGGAUAAGCAACGAUAAUAAUAAUAAGCAAUAAAAAGGAGCAUGUAAUAAACUGCUGAAAGAGAGAGCAUAAGUAAAGUGCUAUACUACUAUAUCCCUCAUAAGCACGAUGUCAAACUGUUGUACAUCUAUUCUAUCAUAAGGAAAAGUAACCUAUGGCAAUAGUUUACUGUUACAACCCUUUAUUAAUACAUGAGGUAUAAGCUCUAUCAUGGCAGUCGAGCAUACUGUGAUGAAAUAGGUAACUGUCAAGUAUACUACAUGUCUCAACACUAUGCUAAAAGCAUAUAAAUGUAACUCAACUACUAAACCUAUCUUGUAGUGAUUAUCCAUUCUCAACACCGUAUCGAUUUCCAUUUCCAAUUAAGGACCUACCAAAGGUAGUCCAGCUUGUGCCGCCUAAGUGCCUGUGGUAGCCCAACAUCCCUACUCUUGGAAUGUGUCUGUCCCACUCGACCCCGUAGGCUUCUCAAUACCGCACGAGCGAACAUAGGUCGCAUAGGCUAACUCCGGAGUGCCGGCUUGUAGGGAGCGACCCUCACAAGCAUGUGCGAAUGAGCACAAAUGGCAAGCAAGCAAAGUCCAAGUCUCAAAUAUCCAAUCCUCAUGUCUCUAACAUGAUAUAGUCGCUAGCAUCCCGUAGAUCUAGUUUAAGGCAAAAUGUGAAUUCUCAACUUUUGCUACGCCUAGUGCCCCUUGAUGACACUUAGGCAAUUUGGUGUCCAAUAUGUAUCCCAAGUCCCUCGAUGGCCCUAUCCACUAGGUUCACACAUGUCCCGAGCUCAAUGCCGCUUGAUGACAUUAGCUCUUUAAUUCAUAUAUCUUCUAAAUGACAAUUUUGUCAAUUUUCAUGUCACAAGUAAACUUGGGUUUGAAUGCAUGAAUCCGAACUCAUUUAUACUAUAGAAGCAUGAUACCACGUCUCAUAUAGAAUGCCAAAUGCAACUAUGGCCUAAUAAGCCACUCUCUACUACAUAGAGGUCCAAAAUGUCAUCAUAUAUAACAUAGGCCUUUUAAGCAUUCUAAAAUUCACAAUAAAUACAUAUAACAAGAAUAUGCAUGCUUUUCAUUUAACAACACUUAAUUAAGCACAAAUGAGAAUUUCUCAUUGUGUGGCUAGGUCAAACCCACCGAACCGUCGCGUGGGGUCUCAUUUCGCCGAACCAAGUUGUCCCCGAGUCUCAAAAUACCCUAAAAGUAAUCAGCGAAGAGAUACAAGGGCAUUACGACCAUCCUAUAAUAUCAAAUAUUAAUCUAGAAGCAAAAAGGGCCAAAACUCACCUCAAGUGAAGAAAUCUCUUCUAAAGCUCCAAAAGAGAGCUAGAACCUUUCCAAUCCAAGCCUAAGGAAGGUUCUAAACCAAUCAAUCUAGCCCCAAAAGCCCUAGAUCGAAAAGCCCCAAAAACCAACCCUAAAUCUCAUUCUAGGGUUCCAAUACAAUAAAACCUCAAAUCCAAGGUCUAGAUGAGGGAAAUGGGCAACAAACCUCCUUAGAAGCUCCAAUCCUAGCUCCAAGGGUGAAGAUCUCCUCCUAUGCAAGCUCCAAGUCCAAGCCUUCAAGCACCAAGGAAGAUGAGAGGGUGAGGAAGAUGCUCCAAGUCCACUAGUAGCACCAAACUUCUUCUCCUCCCCUCCUUCUUCUCCUUCUCCUUCUUCUUCUUCUUCUCUAUCAAGGGUGUAGAGAGGGUUGAGAGAGGAGAAAUGAGGAGUAGAGAGGGUGGAGGGGUCAUAUAGACCCUCUAAAGUAACAAAAUCCCAAGAGGCCCCUCAAAAAUCCAAUAUUACAUCAGCCCGAACUGGGCAGUUUUCGCCCAGAGGGACCGGUCUCUCCCCAGCAGGGACCGGUCUCUCGCUGCGAACCCGAAAAACCAGCGUUCGGGAACCGGUCUCUCCCUGCGUGGGACCGGUCUCUCACUGCGAAGACGCAUUUGGGAACCGGUCUCGCCUGCCAGGGACCGGUUGCCUCAGGCUGCCUCAACACUGCUCACUGGGGGAACCGGUCUCUCCUUCCAGGGACCGGUCUCCGAGAGUAAAAACUCUCAGGACUUGUCCAAAAUUCCCGUUUUCGAACUUUUUAGGUCGGAGAACAUUCUACAACUCUCCACCAAGUGUGGAAAAGCUCGAAAUACAUCCAAACACUCGAACCUCGCAAUUCGCAAAGGUCCAGUGUGUUACAAGCUUAGGGGUGUUGAAAAAAAGGAAAGAACAAAUUGUACUAAAGUUGAUUGUAUUUGGAAGCAAAAGAAUGAAAAAUGUAAUAUGUAAAUUGCAUGUACUGUGAAUGCUUGUAAUAGCUUAUUGGUUAUAUUUUUGAUACCUUCCUUAUACAAUCGAUGUAUGAAUUCUGUUCCUUUUUGGAACCUUGUGAAUUAUACUGUUGCGACGCCUUGGACGUACAAGGGAGACUCCGUCCGUUCGGCGGUCUGUUGGCACGCCAAAUCUGACCAAAGUUGCGGGUCCCGGGGCGUGAUAAAUAAGUUGGUAUCAGAGCAUAGAAAUGGUUUAGACGGACCUAGGAGACUCUAGGAUAGUAAACCAUAAGGCCUUAGGCUCGAAAUAAGAACUUGUGACUUGUGGCGAAAGGUGAAUCGAUUGGGUCAAGUGUUGUACGCCUCUUAAAAGGAUGUUAGAUUCAAGGUGCAGUUUAUUCUUAGCCGAGGGUGUUCAUGUUGGCACGCGAUAAUAUGAAACUGAGUGAUGAGAAUAGUCUCCCUUGUUUGACUUUCGCCUGAUUUGCAUUUGGGUCGAUGUUAAUUAUUUUGUGCUUGACCUAGAAGGUCGAGGAUUGACCAAGGUUAUCGUGUUUCAGGAAACCAUAGCAUCGCGUUGGCGAUCUUCGAUGAGAUCGACGUGGGAUGGGACAAGUGAUGUCCCUGAACAAUCCGAAGCGAGUGGAGACUCGGUGCUCCGCGAACAGUUGGGAGUGCUUGUGGGCGUGGUGCAGCGUCAGCAGGAGACUGCCUUGCACCAGGAAGAGCGGAUCAAGAGGCUCCAAGAAAAUUUGGAUCAAUUGGUAACCGUACCGGUUAUGACGCAUCGCGUGCAGCCGGGAGUUGCGGCCGAGGCUAUUCCCUUGGGGUUGAGUAAUCCGGCCUCUGGUUAUACAGAGGUGGAAGCGGAGAGGGAGCGAGCUUUGGUGGCCCUCAUGACCUUCAAGAAAUUCAAUCCGUCUACCUUCGACGGAGAGGCUGUGGAUCCGUGGGUAGUGGAAAUGUGGAUCGACUCAAUGGAAACUCUCUUUGAGGAUCUGUACUGCUUGGAGCGGGACAAGCUGCACAUAGCCACACAUUGUUUGGAACAGUCAGCAAAGGUAUGGUGGAAAGGCGUCAAACGGAAUCGAUCGCCAAAUCUCCCUCCUGUAACUUGGGAAGAAUUUCAGGGAUUGAUAUUUUCUGCUUAUUUUUCCGACAGUGAGAAGAGAAAGCUUCAGGAUAGGUUUAGAAAGUUGCGGCAAGGAGACCGCUUAGUGAGGGAAUAUGAGCGGGAAUUCUCCCGUAUUAUGAACUGUGUCCCGAAUGUGGUGCAGGAUGACAAGGAUAAGGUCGAAUAUUUUGAGCGGGGACUUCGGCCGAAAAUUUUCAAGACUGUGCAUCCUCUCAAGUUGCAAGCUUUCGCCGAGGUCUUGGAUCGGGCAUUGUGGGUAGAGCAGGGUAAUGUUUUUGUGCGGGAGGAGCGCGAGUCUUAUUACAAGGAAAAGAAAAAAGGAUAGUCACUGAGCAGAUCUGGUGGUCAGUCGAGUUUUGAACAAACUCGAAUGUGUUCACGCUCGCGAUCUCGAGUCCCGGGGACCUAUCGUACUCGAUCCUCGGUGAGAUGUGUUAUUUGUGGGGGUCCUCAUCGCCCACAACAAUGUGAUCAGCGAGAGGGAAGGUGCUUUGGAUGUGGGCAACCGGGUCAUACGCAGGAUGAGUGCCCGCAAGGGGAUAGCCGGGCCCUGACAUUGGCGAUGGCCUUUUCCUCUUCGGGAUAGCCUGCGGGUGUGCCACCUGCUGCACUGUCACGCCCCGCCCCGAGGCCGCUAACGAAUUGGCACGGUUCGGGCGCGGCGGGCGGACCGCCGAACGGACAGCACCUCCCCUGUCCGCCCAAGGCUCAACAACGAGAUCAUGUACAACAAGUCCCCAGGAAAUCAACUUGAAUACAUACAUGAUCAUGCAACAAUAGCGAGAGCACAAACAGUGCUGAACAUUACAAGAGCAAGCGUCACGAGGAGGAAACAUACAAGUGAAACCAAAGAGAGAUACUAAGCUAUUACAUCCAUUCAACUUUAAUACAUUUGAUUUCAACAUAACUAUACAUUCAUCCAAAGCAUAAACAUUAGUUUACAUUCAUCUCAAAAUACCUCACAUCCUAUACAUCAUCUACUCUCAAUACAUGUAUAGGGUAACUCUAAUGCAAAAUAGGAAAGUAAACUACCAACUAGCACUAGGGCGCUAAGCCCAAACCGCGAUCCUCUGCCGAUCCGCUCUCGUGUGUACCUGUACCCCAAAACCACACGGAGUGAGAACUAUAUAAAUAUAGUUCCCAGUGGGUUCGGCCGCCGACUCCGCCGAUCUUCCCACUAGGUCCAAGCUGGCACAGAUAGAUAGAUAGAAAGAUAGAUAGAAAUAACUACUACUAUAUCUACUAUGCCAUCAAAUGCAAAGGAUGCAUGGAACAUCAUCUAGCAACAACCUACUAUCAUGCUAAUACACCUCAACAGUGAAAUAAAUACAACAACAACAUAGUUAUGCAAUCCACUAUGUCAAAUCAAGGCAUGAAUGCAAUACACUUAUGCAAUUCAUGUUACCACCCAAUCAACUAGGCCAACUUUGCCUAAGAUCUCAAAUCUCAAGGUCCUAGGCAAAGAGCUACCCCACUCCUUGUCUCACUUGACUCAUAUCUCAAAGGUCCGACCCAAUCUCGAAAGUCCCAGGCAAAGAGCUACCCCACCCCUCGCCCGACUCACAUCUUAAAGGUCCUAGGCAAAGAGCUACCCCGCACCUUGCCCCACUCACAUCUCAAAGAACUGGCUCACAUCUCAAAGGCCUAGGCAAAGGCUACCCCGCACUUUGCCCGACUCAAAUCUCGACCUACUAGGUACAAGGCUACUCCACUCAAAUCUCAUAGGUGAACAACAGCAACAACUAUGGAAGCAAAGCCAUCAAGAACAACAACAAUGAGUAUGACUCAAUAGGUACUCAAAUCUCAGAGGCGAAGGAAUAGCAUAUCAUGAAGGCAUGAGCAAUAAGUAAGCUACUAUGAACACUAGUAAGCUACUAUGAACAACAACAACAACGAUGGAAGCAAGCUAUCAUGAACAACAACAAUGAGUACGACUCAAUGCGUAACACAAAGCUCGUGGUGAACACAAGGUUCACAAGCAAGGCUCACAUAUCAAUCUCCGAGGGAGGUGCCUAGCUCUGCACUAACCCCGAGAACGCCUGCGGAUAACAAGCGACUGAUCCAAGCAGCAACUACACGGGCUGCCCCUCGAGUGACCAAACUCCGGAGCGCACAACCUGGGAGGAGCGACCUCCACCAAGCGCAGACAGGCAAUGUGAGAUCGAUCCAAUCUCAUGAACUGGGAACAUCCUAUCAACUAAAGAUAGUGUCAUCAACUGGGAACACCCUAUCAUCUAGGGUUAACAACUCAUCAACUCAAUGCCAGUCUAAUACUCAACCUUCUAGUGUUUCAACUACACUAAGGUUCUCAUAUGUGCUAUCAACUAGAUGCCACUCGUCAUAGGUUAACAUUAACUAGAUGCCACUCGUCCUUUACAAGUUUCCAAGACUCUAGUUCACACUUUACUAGGUUCUUCGUUCACACAACACAAACACUAGGUUAUCAUUUGCCUAGGUUCCAAUCCGUCACAUAUCAUCUCAUAUAGGGUUAAGGUGCACAUACUAACUUCAUGCAUACUAGAUUCAAGUGUUAUAUCUACCAAGCUACAUUAACACUAGCAUGCAAAUAGAGAUACAAGUUUCUAAACACCCUAUAUGCAACACCAUAAUAUGCAACUUAAUCAAUGACAGUUUAGAGUUUCCAAUGCAAUAGCCAAUACAUUACUAAGUUCCCAUCCACACCUAUCAUCUCAUUAUAGGGUUUCACAUCACAUAUAUAAACCUCAAGCAUGCUAGAUAUAAGCACUAAGCCAAAUACAUUACCCUUUCAAGAAGCAUGCAAUAUAUAUAUAUAUAGAACCAACCAUCAACUAUCACCCUAUAAUGCAAGGUAUCGAUACACAAUAUGCAUAAUUGAUCAACAUAGAAAUACUUAGACAUAAGGAGAAGCCCGAUUGCUUCGGGAUGGCACUCCCCCACCUUUUACCGCGUUCCGAUUGCUCGUCGUCACUUGCAAUCAGCCUCCCGCGGCGCACGCCGCUCGGCUCGACCCAAUCCGUGCGCGACCACCAAACGACCUCCGAUCCACGAUCUGGAAAUUAUAGGUCUUCGGUUUCUCGCUACGGUGCUUCAAAUCCGUUUCCACGAUUUUACGACGUCGCCUCGGCCCUCCAGGCGGAAACGAAGCCUAAACGUCCGUUUCUUUAAUAACUUUGUAACGGCUCGUCGGAUUGCCGAACCGUCUUCGCCAACGUGUUUCGUUACCUAUCAAUUAGGUUUAUAUACAACCAAUUUAGAUCAAACACAUCGAUUUGCAAAAAUAGCAUUUUGAGCUCUAUAUCGCAAUUAGUGCAAAGCACACUAAUAAAACCAUAGAUUCAUGUUAGAAUCAUCUUAGUAACCUCCUAAGGUUUGCCCAAAACCAUUUCUAAAGCAUAUAAUUGAAGCCCUAACAUUCUACCAUUAAAGGGUUAGAGCUUUACCUCACAAGCCUCCUCCAAUGGAGAGGAAGAAGAUGAAGAAGAUGGCAAAAUCCACCUUAAAGCUUCGAUCUCCACCAAAAGCCAUCUACUUGGCGACAGAUUCCUAGAGAGAGAAAGAGAUCGCUCUCUCAUCCCUUCCAAGCGUGAGUGGAGAGAAGGAGAAAAGAAUGUGUGUGUGUGCGUGUGAUGCGUACGCCAAGCAGACGCACCAGAAGAAGAGCAAUGCACAAUUCCACAAGCAACCCCCUCAACAAUUCUACUUACCAGCUUACACCACCAAAUCAGUAUAGCAGUUCGGAGUCGUCGGAACCCUUCUGAACGUCCGUUUGCGCUCAAAUUUGACAGGAAGUCUCGGUUUAACGUACUGAGUAAGAAUAUAUCUUAAGUUUUCAGUUUCGACCCCGUUUGGUCACCGAAAACUGUGCCGAACUGCAAUCUUUAUCAGAUAGCCUUCGGAUUUUAUUUCUCACUCUACGGGUGUCAGAAAAAUAUGAAACCUUAAAUCUAGCCUCAUAAAAAUAUUUCUGACUUAUCCUCCAAUUUUCAUAAUUUUCUGAGACUCUGCAUUUUCUGCUAAUUUAUCUGCCCCGUCUCUCACAGAAAAUUCUAAAUCUUCUGUUUUCAUUCCGAUUUCAGCACAAGUCAUUUCUAACUCAUAUUUCACUUCUCCAAAUCCAAUAAAAAUAGUAUCUCAUACUAUUUUUAUUUAUUUUUAUUUUUAUAUUUAAAUCCGGUAUAUUACAUUACACCGCAACUUUACCGGAACCAUUCAAAUGGCUCUCCAACCAAAUGGACACCGUAACCUCAUGAUUUUAGAAGUUCGGUACCUUACAUGCACGGUCUGGAGAGCAAGUGACGAUGACAAGGCAACCGAGGGGUUCGCGGUGGGUGCCAAGUGACCAGGAGUACACGAACCAGGUUGAGGAACCUACUGCUACCGACGACAUUGUGGCAGGUAUGAUUUAAUGGAUGAAACUAUAUGCUUUUGCAUGAGCUAAGUUUAGAGCAUUGCAUGCAUUCAUUAUGUGGUCAUUUGCUCCUAUUUAUGCAUAAGUAUAGUAGGGACCAGGAAGUGGGUAAGUGUAGUUACCCUGCAAUGCUUGUGUCGUGGUAGUGCAUCGCCUACCAAAGUGGAUAGGUGAUUAGACGGUGUCGGCGAGUCGCUAGUUGCAAAGCGAGUGUAGGACUCAUGAUAGGGAUGGAAAUGGUAGGCUGACUCUCUGGGCAAUGUGAGUAAUCGAUGGUUAGAGUCGAGUCAUGAUGUUUGAGGACAUUCUAGUAGUCCAAGAGUUCCGGACGUCGAUCCGACGGACUGAAUAGUGAUGGUAGAAUCACUGUGGCGGAUACGGUAGGACGAUCGCCAAGUUCUGACAAGUUGGUCGGAUAGUACCUCAACCAAGGUGGGGGAAUUCGUAUUCACGUACUCGUGAGUAUGGGCAAGGUUGCGUAGUGUUUGGCUUACCAUGGAAAAGCGUAGUAGCGUAAGAUGCUCGAGUAUAGGUACCCGUGAGGUGUGGAAUUUGGCUCAGCCGAGAGGGUUUCUUGGCAGUAGCACUUGAGCAUUGCUAAGUGUGAAGCGGGCCUGGGACCGCUCAUAAGGUUGGUGGCUCGCACGAGGUGCUUAGGAGCCGGUAGAGGUUUGUGAGACUCGAUAGAGCAUGUCGCGUGUGACGACGAUGGCAGGUAUUGCUUAGGGACGACCCGUGCCUGGACUAUGUGUGGACUAUGGAGCCUGGGGCCCUGUGGACAGGCGCAGUCAGCUGUGUGUAGGGAUGUCAAUGGGUAUGGAUACCUGAAAUUUUAUCCGAACCCGAACCCGAAUGAAACGGAUAUAUCCGAUGGAUAUGGAUAUGGAUUUGGAUAUGGAUAUUAAAAAUAGAAAUCAGACAGAUAUGGAUUCGGAUAUGGAUUUUGAUUGUACCCGACCCGAACACGAACCCGACCCGAACCCGAAUUUAUUUUGUAUUAUAUAUAUAUAUAUAUAUAUAUAUAUAUAUAUAUUUGAUGUUAUAUUUGAAUUUGUAUUUUAAAAAUUUAGAUUUAAUNNNNNNNNNNNNNNNNNNNNNNNNNNNNNNNNNNNNNNNNNNNNNNNNNNNNNNNNNNNNNNNNNNNNNNNNNNNNNNNNNNNNNNNNNNNNNNNNNNNNNNNNNNNNNNNNNNNNNNNNNNNNNNNNNNNNNNNNNNNNNNNNNNNNNNNNNNNNNNNNNNNNNNNNNNNNNNNNNNNNNNNNNNNNNNNNNNNNNNNNNNNNNNNNNNNNNNNNNNNNNNNNNNNNNNNNNNNNNNNNNNNNNNNNNNNNNNNNNNNNNNNNNNNNNNNNNNNNNNNNNNNNNNNNNNNNNNNNNNNNNNNNNNNNNNNNNNNNNNNNNNNNNNNNNNNNNNNNNNNNNNNNNNNNNNNNNNNNNNNNNNNNNNNNNNNNNNNNNNNNNNNNNNNNNNNNNNNNNNNNNNNNNNNNNNNNNNNNNNNNNNNNNNNNNNNNNNNNNNNNNNNNNNNNNNNNNNNNNNNNNNNNNNNNNNNNNNNNNNNNNNNNNNNNNNNNNNNNNNNNNNNNNNNNNNNNNNNNNNNNNNNNNNNNNNNNNNNNNNNNNNNNNNNNNNNNNNNNNNNNNNNNNNNNNNNNNNNNNNNNNNNNNNNNNNNNNNNNNNNNNNNNNNNNNNNNNNNNNNNNNNNNNNNNNNNNNNNNNNNNNNNNNNNNNNNNNNNNNNNNNNNNNNNNNNNNNNNNNNNNNNNNNNNNNNNNNNNNNNNNNNNNNNNNNNNNNNNNNNNNNNNNNNNNNNNNNNNNNNNNNNNNNNNNNNNNNNNNNNNNNNNNNNNNNNNNNNNNNNNNNNNNNNNNNNNNNNNNNNNNNNNNNNNNNNNNNNNNNNNNNNNNNNNNNNNNNNNNNNNNNNNNNNNNNNNNNNNAUUUUGUAUUAUAUAUAUAUAUAUAUAUAUAUAUAUAUAUAUAUAUAUAUAUAAAUUUGAUGUUAUAUUUGAAUUUGUAUUUUAAAAAUUUAGAUUUAAUAUAAUAUAUUUUUAAAUAUUGAAAAAAGAAAUAAUUGUUUCGGGUUCAAAUUUUUGGGUUCGGGUUCGGGUUCGGGUUCGGGUUCGGAUUUCGGAUUUUUGGUCGGGUUCAUGUUUGGAUAUGGAUUUUUAAAAUUUGUCGGGUUCGGGUCUCGGGUUUGGAGACGGGUUCGGGUUCAGGUUUUUAAAAAUCCGCCCCGAAUCCGACCCGUUGACAUCUCUAGCUGUGUGUGACAGCGGCCCGAGACCUACGGGUGGGGCAGAGGUUUUGGUCGGGACGGUAGUCCGAGCUUUGACCCGGGAAUAUGGAAUGCCACGUGUUGGAUCAUGUGAUUGUUUGUACACCGAGUGUGUAGUGAACCCAACCCGAGGACUUGUAAUGGUUUGGGGUCUUGGUUGCUCCUGGUUGGAGCAUGUGUGCGAAGUCCCAAAUAAGGACUCCACCCAGUGAUGAUUGGGUCUGCGCUUGCAAGCGAGAGACGCUGCGUGUUAUCGAGACAGGUUUAGGCGAUAGGCCUAUGUAGGAUUGGUGGUCUGUGGACCACCCGUGAUAAUCGAGAUAAGCGGUUUGGCCGAUAGCUCUAGCAAUGUGUUGGGGUUGGAUUCACGAACGAAGUGUUCGUGUGGGCUCAUUGCGAGAAUGAUUUGAUGUUGACCGUGGCAGAUGAAAGUAAAAAAAGAAAUGCUCCUUGUGAGAUGAUGAGCUAGUGGAAAGCCACGUGAGGUUGGGGACUAUGCUCCCCCGUGAAUUGGAACUUGUAGAUGUGUCGAAAUGGGCCAUCUCGCUGUAGAGCUAAAAGUCCAUGUGUGAUUGGACCCAUGUCCUUCAGUACAAGCCGCUUGAGCAAUUACAAAAGCGUGAAGCCGAUCUGGAGUGGGAGGAUGCGUUGGUACCUUCAUUAAUUCGAUAAGUUGAAUUAAGGUGUAGUUUGAGUUUCGCGGACGAAACUCUUUUUGAGUGGUGGAGAGUGCAAUAUACUGAACUUCUGCAAUUAUGAAGUUUUGGCGGGAAUUAGCAUAAGAAGCUAAUUAAAUAAGUUUUGGCGAAGUUUGGAGAGCAAUUGAGUGUUUUCGGCGCAAACUAGACGCGAAACUGGGCUUGGAAGGAAUGCAAUCUGCCUAAGUUGUAGAUUUUGCAUUGGGUACCGGUGGGUACUGGUACGCAAUGCAAAGAUCGGAAAUUAGGCUCCGGAUUUUGAGGAAUCGAACCUGGGUACCAAUACUGAAAUUGUACUGGGUGCCAAUACUGGAAGUUGGUACCGGUACGCAAUAGAAAAUCUGAGAAUCCAAAGUUCGGAUUUUAAGGAACUAGAUUCAGGGUACCGGAACUAUCCAAGUACCGGUACGUGAACCCGAGUACCGGUACACAGUUCUGCAAAAUGCAGAUUUUGAAGGAUAUUUUAGUAAAAUCAAGUGUAAAUAAAAAAUAGUGUGAAAUACUAUUUUUAUUGAUUUAGAAAAAGUAAAAGAUAAUUUAAAAAUAGUUUGUGGUGAAAUUGGAAUAAAAAUAGAAAAUUUAGAAUUUUCUGUAAGGAACGGGGCUAAUCUUUUAGCAGAAAAUUUACAGUAUUAGAAAAUUAUGAAAAUUUGAGAAUAUGACAGAAUUAUUUUUCUGAAGCUAGAUUUAAAGUUUCAUGUCAUUCCGACACCCGAAAAGUGAAAAACAACACCUGACUGCUAUCUACUAACGAUUUUAGUCGGUAGACUUUUCGGUGACAAAAAAUGGUUCAAAACUGAAAAGUUAUGAUUACGUUCUUAUGGUUGAUUUUAACCUAGCCUAAUUGUCAAAUUUGAGUACAACGGACAUUCAGAAGGGCUCAGGCAAAAUGUAUCAGAUCUGAACUGGACUAAAUUGUAAGUUGCAAUUGUUGGAGGGCCUAUGUGUGUAACAAAUUGCCUCUUUCCCCUUUGUUUUGGUCCAACCCGAGAGAGAGAGAGGAAGGAAAGACUUCUCUCUUUCUCUCUUUCUCUCUAGCUCACACCACUCUCUCCCUCUUUUGUAAUCUCUCCACAAAAGAGAAGAAAUUGGAGGAGAAAUUGGAGAUUAAAUUUGAAAAUAGCUACUCGAUAUAUUUAUUGCCAUGUAAAUUGCAUGCUACUUGAUAUAUGCAUUAGAUAAUUAUUGAUACAAGUUACUAACUUAGCAUCUAUGAAUAUAGUGCCAUGUGAACCUUGAGAUGCAAUGAACUAGUAGAGUAAACUAGUUGUAUGGAUAUGGAUGUGGAUAUUGAACAUAGGUCGAUGAACUCUAGAAAAAUUAGAGAACACGACAAGUGUGAAAGCAAGGACUAGAUGUUAUGGAAUUAUGAAUCCUAGGUGUGGACAACUGGAAUAACAAAUAACAUGAUUGGACAUUGAACCUAGUGUCAUUGAACAUAGGUUGGACAUUGAACCUAGAGUCGGAUGAACCAGGUGGGAAGAAUAUAAAACCUAGUAUUAUUGAUUCUAGGUUAUGAUCUAUAGUAUAGUGGUAUUGAACCUAGUGUUAUUGAACAUAGGUUGGGAAACAUAGUGGUAGGAUGACCACUUGGACAUGCGAAUGUAAACCUAGAGAGGUUGACUUGGAAAUGGACGAAUAUGCACAUCCAGUGGACUUGAUGGUCUUGGUAUUGGAGCUUUGGCGUGUGCGGCGAUUUCGCCGCCGGGCUUGAUACCAAGAGGGUGUGUGUGGUGAUUUCGCCACCUCGGGACUUGAGCCAUUGUCUGGCGUGUGCGACGACUUCGCUGCCGGAUGGCUAAGUCAGGUAAAGGAUUACACAACUCGGUGGCUUGAGCUACGGUCCGGCCUGUGUGGCGAUUUCGCCGUCGGAGAGCUAAGCCAAUGAGGUGGUAAGUUAUGAAUGACUGACUGAAGACCGAGUCGGGUAAAAUAUCUUGGCUAAGGUAAGGAUAACUUUAGGAGAGAAUGGCAAAUGAUAUAGAAUGGCUAGUGAUAUGGAAUGUGUAAUAGAAAGUAGAAACAGUAGCUCUACUUGCAUUGGUUGCAUUGGUGCAUUUUAUGAGGCAUAAGCAUGAUUUUGUUAGUUACAUAAAAUUAUAUGUUUAUAUAUCUGUUGGACGAACAUGCUUGUGUUGCCUCCUUUGGACCCUUGGGUGGCCGUACCUACUGGGAACUAUGUAUAUAGUUCUCACCCCACGUUUUUCAGGUCCACACGUGAGCGGCGCGGCGGUACGAGGAAAGGGCAUAGCUUGGUAAAUAGCGCCCUACCACCGAGACAAGAGAUAAAAGUGCCCCGAGUCAGUUUAGCUUAGGGGUAUGGAAAGAAAGGAAAGAACAAAAUUGUAACAAAUUGUACUAAAGUUGAUUGUAUUUGGAAGCAAAAGAACGAAAAAUGUAAUAUAUAAAUUGCAUGUAAUGUAAAUGCUUGUAAUAGCUUAGUUUUUAUGUUUUUGAUACCUUCCUUAUGCAAUUGAUAUAUGAAUUCUGUUCCUGUCAUAGUUAGUAAAUUCGCGUAUAAUACGCGAAUUAUUCGCGAAUUUUUGAUUAGCCGAAUUAAACGGCACGAAACGUAUUUUUCCCAAAAGUGCGAAAAAAACGCGCUUUUUUCUCUAAAAGUAAUUAUCCGCGAAUUAUUCGCGAUUCGCGAAUAAUUGACCGAAAAAAUCGGCCCGCGAGUCGGCGACGACGAGCGUUGUCGUCCUUCUCCGCCGUCGCCCUCGCCGGCGCCGGGAGCAAGAGGGCCGCGGCUACGGUUCCCAUCUCGCCCGACGCCGUCUGUUUUCGCCCAAAAAAACGGCUCGCGAGUCGGCGACGCUCGUCGUCCUCCUCCGCCGCCGCUCUGGCCGGCGCCGGGAGUAAGAGGGCCGCGGCUAGUGGUCUGGGUCGUGGAGAGGAGAGGGAGAAGUGUGGAGAAAGUGUGAGAAAGUGAGAAAGUGAUUGAAGUUGUUGCGUGCUCCGCAAGCAAAGAGAUGCGCGGUCCACGAGGCUGUUUAUAUAUAUAUAAUUUUAUUUAUUAAUAUUUUUAAAUGAUAUUAUUAAUAUAUAUUUAUUAUAAUUUUAAAUAUAUUUAAUUUAUAAAUAAAAAUUAUAAUAAUAAUAAUAAUAUAUAGUAUAUUAAUUAAUUAUGUAUUUAUUAUAUAGCCGAAUUUUUGAUUCCGAAUUUUUAUUUGAUAAACGUAUAAUAUCCGUAUAAAUCACGUAUCCGAAUAAUUACCGAAUCCGUUUUUUAGUCGUAUUUUUCAACAAAUUUAAAAAUUAGAAGACGAAUUUUAUCCGAAUUAUACCCGUAUCGAAUUUUUGCCGAAUCCGAAUUAACUAACUAUGGUUCCUGUUUGGUACCUCGUGAAUUGUACUGUUGCGACGCCUUGGACGUACAGGGGAGACUCUGUCCGUUAGGCAGUCUGUCGGUGCGCCAAAUCCGACCAAAGUGGCGGGUCCCGGGACGUGACAGGAGGGGUUCAGGCUGGGGCGUUCCCGUGAGGUUGACGCAUGUGAGGGGCGCGAUGGAGCGGGUUGGGUUGGGCUUUAGGGUUAGGGUUUAGGGUUAGGGUUGCCUAGGGUGUAAUAUACCGAACUCCUAACGUUAUGAAGUUUUGGUGGGAACAAGCUUAAAAAGCUAGUAGAUAAGUUCCGGCGAAAUUUGGAGAGCAUUUGAGUCUUUUCGGCGCAAAACGGAUGCGAAAAUGGGCUCCAAAAGCUGAAAUCUGCGUAAGUUGCAGAAUUUGUACUGGGUGCCGGUACUCGAAGCUGAGUACCAGUACUGGACUAGCCGGGUACCGGUAUUGGAAUCGGGUACCGGUACGUGAGCUCGAGUAUCGGUACUCAGCCUCCCAAAAUGCUGUUUUUUAGGGUAAGUGUAAAUUCAUUUGGGGGUUUAUAUAAGGGGUCCCCAGCCCCUUCCUUUAACACAGAACACACACACCCGCACGCACAUGCAGUGAGGGAGUGGAAGGAGCUUCUCUCUCACUCGUUCUUCUUCUCAUUCUUCGAAUGGGAGAUCGCGGUGGAGAUCGAGCUCGGGAACGCGUAGGGAGUGUUGGUUUGAGCUCUCCGGCGCUGUGGCUCAGUGUGCUUCUGACUCGAGAUUCGUCUUUGGGUUAAGAGGUUAGGGUUUUGCUAAAUCCUUUGGUAUUGGGAUUUAAGUUUCCCUAGAUGAUUCUAACUAGAUUAAUCAAGAUUUCACUAUGAGUUUUGAGAUUUUCUUGUGGAGAUUGGAAACCUAGGGUUAGAAUUGGGGAUUUUAGGGUUUGAGCUAGGGCUUUGGAUUUGAACCUUCUAAAUGAAUUUCUAACAAACCCUAGGCUAAUCUAAACUACAAAUUGUAGAGAUUAGCAUGUGAUUUUUGAGUUUGCCAUUGUUUGUGGAAAACCCUAGGUUAAAAUAGGGAUUUCUUGGUGGAGGGUUCUAAACAUGUUUUAACCCUUUAGAACCCUAAUUGAGGGUUAGGAAAUCAUGUAAGGCCACUUGAUUUCAAAAGCAAAAAUCAUUUAGUGGUUCGAAAACGGUAACGAACGGAUAUCUUGUAUAGGGCAAGGAGAGCUUGGGAGUAAGCUUGGAGAUCCAAGUGGUUGGCCUAAUUGCAAGUGUCUACAAGCAAUUAGGAAGCUUAAAAGGUGGGUUGUGCUUUACCGAAGUGACUAGGUCGCUUCCAUGCCAAAGUGAAGUAUGGUUUUGUUUAUUGAUGCAUACAUAUAAUGAUAGAUUAAUUGGCUAAAUGAGUAGGCAUAGAUUGUAUGCUACUUAGGAUAAAUAAUCUAUUAUUGGACAGAACAUAGGCAUGUGGAACAUAUAGGAUAUAUAUAUGUAUGCCUAGAUGUGGUUAGUGAACAUAGGUCGAUGAACUCUAGGAAGAUUAGAGAACUCGACAAGUGCAAAACCGAGACUAGAUGUCAUGAAUCCGCGAUAUGGACAACUAGGAUAAUGAGUGGCAUGACUUGUCACGCCCCGGGACCGGCGGAGGCCCUCCCGGUAGCGUGCCCAGACCCGCCAUAUGUCUACACAUAUAAGGCGUCUAUAAUAAAAGCGGAAGAAAAGCAAGAAAUAGAACAAAUAAAAGAAGUGAAAUAACCAGCAACUAAUGAUAUCAGAGCAAAUAUAGUUCUAACAUCUACACCAAAGUAAAGAGAUAAGGAUAGACAAUAAAGGAAAUCAUAAGUAGUACAAUAUCUGUCUCUAGUACAAAAAUGGUGGUCUCUAUACAUAUACGGGUACAACUCUCAACCUCUCACAAAAAGAUAACACGAGAGGUAGACCACCUAUCGAACGAUCCCUCGGUAAGCACGCUAGCCCGAGGCGAUACCCUUUCCGCGAUCCCUGGCCUCUCCCUGCGUGGAAGGCUCUGAAAAAUAUCGAGAAAAAGAGGGCGUGAGAACUAUAAUUUAUAGUUCCCAGUGGGCAAUUACUGACCUCAGCUCUUGCUCCACUAGGCCCCAAAAACAAGGGUAAGUAACGAUAAUAAUAGAAAGCAAUAAGGAGCAUAUACAUAAACUGCUGAAAGAAAGCAUAAAUGAAAUGCUAGUCUACUGUGUCUCAAAUAAGCAUGAUGUCAACCAAAAUGUACAUCUAUUCUAUCAUUACAAUUAAGUCCAAUCACACUACUUUAAUGUUGUUAACCUUUGUCAAUACAUGAUGUAGAAGUUCUAUCAUGGCAACCAAGUAUACUACAUGUCUCACACUAUGCUAAAAGCACGUAAAUGUAACCCAACUACUAAGUCUAUCUAGUAGUGAUCAUUCAUCCUCAACCCCGUGUCGAUUUCCAUUUCCAAUUAGGGACCUACCCAAGGUAGUCCAGCUUGUGCCGCCUAAGUGCCUGUGGUAGCCCGACAUUCCUACUCAUGGAAUGUGUCUGUCCCACUUGACCCCGUAGGCUUCUCGAUACCGCACGAGCGAACAUAAGUCGCGUAGGCUAACUCCGGAGUGCCGGCUUGUGGGGAGCGACCCUCACAAGCAUGUGCGAACGAGCACAAAUGGCAAACAAGCAAGGUCACUGUAUCAAGUACCCAAUCCACAUGUCUCUAACAUGGCAUAGUCGCUAGCAUCCCGAAGAUCUAGUUUAAGUCACAAUGUGAGAUUCCAACAUUCUCUAGGUCUAGUGCCCCUUUAUGACACUUAGACAUUUAAUGUUCAAUAUGUAUUUCACAUCCCUAAUGGCCCUAUCCACUAGGUUCCCACAUGUCCUGAGCUCAAUGCCGCUUGAUGACAAUAGCUCUCUAAUUCACAUAGCUUCUAAAUGGGAAUCUUGUCAAUUUUCAUGUCACAAGUAAACUUAGGUUUAAAUGCAUGAAUCCGAACUCAUUUACACUAUAGAAGCAUGAAACCAAGUCUCAUGAAGAAUGCGAAAUGCAACUAUAGAUCCCUCAAGCAACUCUCUAUUACAUAGAGGUCCAAAAUUUCAUCAUACAUAACAUAUGCAUUUUAAGCAUUCUAAAAAUCAUAAUAAAUACAUUUAGUAUGAAUAUGCAUGCUUUUCCAUUUUACGGAACAUAUAAAACCAUAUAUGAGAAUUUCUCAUAUGUAGGCUAGGUCAAACCCACCGAACCGUCGCGUAGGGUCUCGUUUCGCCGAACCAAGUUGUCCCCAAGUCUCAAAAUAUCCUAAAAGUGAUCAGCGAAGAGAUACGAGGGCAUUACGAUCAUCGCAUAAUAUCAAACUUUAACAAAUUUAACAAAAGGGCCAAAACUCACCCAAUGUGUGGAAAAUCUCUCUCAAGCUCCAAAAGAGAGCUAAAUCCCUUCCAAUCUAAGCCCAAGGAAGGUUCUAAUCCAACCAAUUUGGGUCCAAAAGCCCUAAAUCAAAAAUGUCCAAAAACAAGCCCUAAGUCUCAAAACUAGGGUUUCAUCUAGAAUCCAUCAAUAAAAAUCCAAUCUAGAGGGAGAGAAGGGGUUACUAACCUCUUAGAAGCUUCAAUCAAGGUUCUAAACCCUUUAAAUUCCAAGAUCAAACCUCCGCCUAGCUCCAAGUCCAAGCUCUAAUGGUGGAAAAGCCUCCAAUACCCAAAAAGGAGCAAAAAGAGGUGUUUAAGCUCUAAAAAUCCAAGCAAAAUCAAAGAAAAGGAAUGGGGAGGUGUGGAGAGCUCCCUUACCUUCCUCCUUGCUGGUGCCAAGCUCAGGGAAGACCCCUAGGGCGUGGGGGUUACAUAUAGAGAGCUACAAUUGCGAAAAACCCCCUGCAGUUCAAACUGCUCAGAUUCUGCCAAAGUGUACCGGUACACGGGGAAGUGUACCGGUACACAUCCUGCGAAAAUGCAAACCCGAGGCUCGGGUUCGUAAUCUGCCACAAGUGUACCGGUACAACCAUCAAGGGUGUACCGGUACAAAGUGUGUACCGGUACGGCCAUCAAGAGUGUACCGGUACACUUUGUGCAGACUGCAAUCCGAGAGUAGUCUAAGUCCCACUCUUUAGUGACCUUAGCGCUACAAAAAAAACUACAAUUCUCGGGAUGUGAGCCAUAGGUCGGAACACUGUCAACGACCCACCAGAAAGUCUGGAAAAACUCGGGACACUGUCCAAACACUCGAACCUCGCAAUUUGCAAAGGUCCAGUGCGUCACAUGACUGGACAUUGAAUCUAGUGUUAUUAAACAUAGGUUGGACAUUAAACCUAGAGUCGAAUGAACCUAGGUGGGAAAGGACAUUGAACCUAGUGUUAUUGAACCUAGGCUAUGUGGUAUAGUGGUAGGAUGACCACUUGGACAUAUGAACAUCAACCUAGAGAGGUUGACUUGGAAAUGGACGGAUGUGCACACCUAGUGAUCUUGGUGGCCUUGGUAUCAAGGGUUGGGCGUGUGCGAUGAUUUCGCUGCCGGGAUUGAUACUACCGGGGGGGGGGGGGGGGGNGUCGAAUGAACCUAGGUGGGAAAGGACAUUGAACCUAGUGUUAUUGAACCUAGGCUAUGUGGUAUAGUGGUAGGAUGACCACUUGGACAUAUGAACAUCAACCUAGAGAGGUUGACUUGGAAAUGGACGGAUGUGCACACCUAGUGAUCUUGGUGGCCUUGGUAUCAAGGGUUGGGCGUGUGCGACGAUUUCGCCGCCCAGUGACUUAAGCCCUUGUUCGCCGUGUGCGACGAUUUCGCCGCCAGAUGGCUAAGUCAGAUAAAGGAUUACGCUGCCCGUUGACUUGAGCUAUUGUUUGGCGUGUGCGACGAUUUCGCUGCCAGGUGGCUAAGUCAAGUAAAGCGGUGAGCUGUGGAUGAUUGACUUAAGACCAAGUUGGGUGGUGUAGCUUGGCUAUGGUAAAGGAACCUUAGAAGUAGAUUGUAAAUGAUAUGAGUAAUUAAAUAGAAAUGGUAGAUCUGCUUGUAUUGUAUUUAUGUUGCAUAUUUGCAUGUUGUGAGGCAUAAACAUGAUUUUGUUAGUUGCAUAAAAUUUAUAUGUUUUUAUAUGUUGGACUAACAUGUUUAUAGUGCCUUCUUUGGACCUGGUGGCUCGAGCUCUUCCCUUAGAUGACCGUACCCAUUGGGAAUUAUUUUUAUAGUUCUCAUCCUACGUUUUUCAGGUCCACACAUGAGCGGCGUGAUGGUGCGAGGAAAGGGCGUAGCUCAGUAGAUAGCGCCCUACCACCGAGACCAGAGAUAGCAGUGCCCCGAGUUAGUAUAGCUUAGGGGUUUAGAAAUGAAAUGAAAUGAAAGAAACAAUUGUAAUAAUGGAUUGUAUUUGGAAGCAAGUGAUUGUAAACUUAAUGUAAUAUGUAAGAUGCAUGUAGUAUGAAUGCUUGUAAUAGCAUAGUUGUUUUAUAUUAUUGAUACCUUCCUUAUGCAAUCAUGUAUAAAUUAUGUUCCUAAUUGGAACCUCGCGAAUUAUAUGGAUUGUGACGCCUAGGACGUACAGGGGAGACUCUGUCCGUUCGGCGGUCUGUCGGCGUGCCCGAAUCCGACCAAAGCGGCGGGUCUUCGGGGCGUGACAGAGGGGCUCAAAAUAGAUAUAUUUAAAAUAUAUAUAAAUCGGUAAAAAAAAAUAUAGUUUAAAAUAAUUGCCGCUAAAAGAUAAGUUGACAAUAAAUAAUAACGGCUAUUUAAUAAUUGCCGCUAUUUAAUUGUCACUAAAUAUCUAUUUGUUAGGAAUUUUGUAUUGGCAACUUUUGUGAUUUGAGUUGAGUCUUGAAGGAUUCGGUUUAGGCUGUCGACUGUUAAAGAAUCCGAGAUUCCGAGAAGAACUCACAAACACAUAUCACAAGUUGAAUCACCAUGCUUAGGUAUGAUUUAAAUAUUUUUUAUGGAGAUUCACAUCGAUUUAUGAUAUUAGAAUCACAUAAGUAAUGAUUAGCGGAUUAGAACUAGUUUUUGAAACUUUUGAAUCAUUUAUAUUAAUAUUUUAUAUUGAGUUCCAGUAUCAGAUUUUAGUUCCUCAAAAUCGGGUUGAAAAAUCUGAUUUUUUAUAUUGAAUACCGGAACCCAAUAUUGAGUUCUUCAAAAUCCGAGAAUACCAAUUCUAUAAUUUGAAGUGCAUACCGGUACCAGGUUUUGAGUACCGGUACUGCAUCUGCCGAGUACCGAUACUCAGUAUUAGGAAAUUUCUAUUGCAUCAUGGCGUACCGAUACCCACAUUCGAGUACCCGUACUCAAUGUGCAGGUUUCAUAAUAUGAUUCUAAUCUGACUCUAAUUGAUUCUAAAGUCUAUAAAUAUGAUAUUAGAGUUCUCUAUGACGAAGAAGCACUCAGAAUUCAUGAGAGAGAAACCCUAGAGGCUAGAUUUUUCGUUAACCCUAGAGGCUAGAUUUUUCGUUCUAAACCUUUUCCACCUAAACAGUCUCUUUAGGUCAAUUCGAGAUAUUGGAAUUCAAUAUGUAUAUGUCGAAUUCAUCUAAGAUUUGCUUAGAGAUCUUUCUCUAGUUCUUCAACGACACUCUAAGCAAAGAAUCACCAUAGAAAAUAUGAAUUUUUUCUUCGUGAGUGGCGACGUGGAUCAAGGCGAUUUGUGGAUUCGAAUCGUGAGUGCUCAAGGAUUCGAGUGGCGUCCGUGGAUUCGGACGUGGGGCGUGGACAAUCCGAUGAUGUGCGAGAGAUCUGUUGGAGGUAAAAGAGAGGUCGAGUUCGUGGAGUCGGUAAUCACUUUGUAAUCUUUUAUUCUUAGUAAAUUAUUUUUUCGCGUGUCGGUCCCGUAGGUUUUUCUCCAAAUUGGAGUUUUUCCAUAUAAAUCUCAGUGUGCUAUUUUAUUUUUCGCAUUUAUUUUUUAUCACAUUGAGAUUUGUGGUUUUGGCCUACACACCUAUUCACCCCCCUAUAGAUGUUUGAUAGUCUCCAGAUAGAUCAUAGGGUUCCCUAUAACCUACAAUUGGAAUCAGAGCGGGAUCUAUAUUUAUAUAUCAAUACGGGUGAAGGAGGUAACAUUAAUAGGCCCCAUCUAUUUGAUAGGACUAAUUAUGCCUAUUGGAAGGUUCGCAUGACAAUCUUUUUAAUAGCCAUUGAUGAGCAUAUUUGACAAUCUAUUGAGUAUGGAUGGAAACAUUCUAUCAAAAAGGUUAAGAAUAUUGACAAGCCAAAACCUCGUCAUAAAUGAAGUAAGGAAGUUGAUUUAUUUUCUUAUAACGAUAGGGAAAUUAAUGCUCUAUUCAAUGCUUUGUCUCAAACCGAGUUUUCAUACGUCUCGGCGUGUAAAAUGGCUAAAGAGAUUUGAGAUACUUUACAAGUUACAUAUGAGGGUAUAUGUCUAGUAAAAGUCCAAAAGCUCCAAAUACUUACAAGUCAAUUUCAUUCUAUUCAAAUGGAAGAGUAUGAAUCUUUUACUGAUUAUUUUAUUAGACUUUUAGAUAUAAUUAACACAUAUGCUAACUUAGGAGAGAAGUAUUGGGGUAAAAAAAAAAUAAAAAAUAAAAAAAAUAAAAAGGGAAAGAUUAUGGUUGGUCCAUAAUAUUUGGGUUUAUUCAAUUUUUUUGGUAGGAUUCAUAUGAGCCCAAAUAUAAUUUGGGCCAAACAGAUUCAGACCCUCUUACUAGGCCAUAUAUAUAUAUGAGCAUAAACUUGUGGGCCUUAUGAAAGUCCAUUGAAUUUCUUAGCCUAUCUAAUAACUCGGGCCGCAUCUUAGCCCAAUGAGUGUUAUUUGUGCCCAACAGGCUUCAUCAAAAUGGGCUCGAUCCCAACCCAAUUCUUUUUCAAAUUUUGAAAAUAUCUCAUGUCAUAACGAUCUCAUACAUAUCCUUUUCUGUUCAAAAUUCGAUUUAGAUUUUGAAUCUCCAACCAAUUCCUUAAAUAUCUUUUUCUCAACCAAUCACAUCCGCAUCCCAAACUUCAAGUUUAAACAUCAAAAUAUUCAAAUUUCGAAUUUUUGAACUCCCAACCAACCCUCAACAAUCUGAUUCAAAAUUCGAUUUGAAUCCCCAACUGACUCCUCAAAAUAUCUCUCGCCCAACCCCACGAAUCGCUCCGAUUCCUCAGAUUUUUCCUUCUACUAUAAGGGCUUGUUUGGUUCAUCCAUUUUGGGUAUGGAAUGGGAAUCGGUUUGAUUAAAUCCGGUUAAUUUUGAUUGGUUCACAUGAAUCGGUUUGGGAUUCCUAUUCCGGACUGGAAUGGGAAUGACCCAUUACCCUUUAACUUGAUUCCGGUCUUCUAGUCCGGAUUGAGAUUUCAUUCCGGAAGCCCACUAAGUUCUCGAAGCCCAUGUGACCAUCUCACCCUCCUUCUCUUCACCCCUUGCUCAUUAAAAAAAAAAAAACCUAUCCUCUCUCAAAACCCUAUCCCUAAUCCACAUCAAUAAAAGUUUUUAAAAAUAAAUUUGAUAUUUUUUUGGAAAACUUAUUAGAGAAUAGUAUUAUAUUUUUCAUAAAUUUUAAAUAAUAUACAUUUAUAUUUGAGAGUAAAAUUAAUAUUAUAGUAUCCUAUAAUUUUUUAAUUUAUACGAACCAAACAAUAAAAUGUGAAUAACUCAUUCCAAUUUCCAAUCCACAAAUAAACCAAACGUCUUGGGGGAGUGGGCCAUUCCAAUUACCAUUCCAAUUCGUUUCCAUUCCAUUAUCCAUUCCAAUUCCACCCUUGAACCAAACAAGCCCUAAAUAUGAUGAUGAAAAAAGAUGAUACAUAUAGAGAACGGAGAGAGAGAAUAACAAUACAAUGAGAGAAUAGGGAUACAAAGAGAGAAUACCGAUACAAAGAGGAGAGAUAAUAGCGCUCCCACCCCCUACGUUAAAAAAAAAAAAUCCAAAAAAGGGAGAGAUUCUGCGACCGUGCUGCCUCAUCUAGCUUAUCGUUCGACUUCUCCCGGUUAAUCAUCAGGUAAAAAAGAAAAAAAAGAAAUAAUAAUAAUAAUAAUAAGGCUAAAUUACAUAAAACUCUCCUGUCAAAAUCCGAUUUUUCACUUUCCCCCCUGUCAUUUAAAGCUACACUUUGUCCCCUUGUAAAAUAAAAAAUGUUCACGGGGGGUACGAAGUGAAUGUGAUGACAAAAUGACCAUUUUGCCCCUCACCAUUUUCGUCUUCUCCCUCAUCUUGCUCAUCUGCCGCCUCGAUCGGCCGCGGUUCGUGUUUCAAUCAGCCGCAGUUCGCGCCUUGAUCGAUCGCGGUUCCUCUCCAUUUUCUUCUCCACAUGCUGCUCUUUUCCUUCUGCACCCUCGUCACCCCUCUUUUUCGGCAACAGUAGGGAAGAAUCAAUAUGGGCAUGGAAAGAGAGGUGGGCAAGGGCAACAAGAGUGAAGGCAAGGCGGCGUAGGAGGGCGAGGGGGUGUUUGUGGGCGUGGACAGAGAUCUGGGUGAGGGCGAGGCAGUGGAGGAGGGCGAGGCAGCGAGGCGGCGAGGUGGAGGAGGGCGAAGCAACAAUAGAGAGGGCGGAGGGUAUUUUUGGCAUAAAAAAUAUUUUAUAACGGAACCCUAAUGGAUCACUAACGGUAGGGGUGAAAUGAACAUUUUUCAUUUUACAAGGGGGCAAAGUUGUCACGCCCCGUGACCGCCAAUUUGGUCGGUUCGGGCCCGUACACAGAUGACGAACGAAAAGAACCUCUUCUGUUCGCCCAAGGCUCAACAACCAUCAAACAUGUAUGAAAAAAUGCCCAAGAAAAAUUCCAAUAUACGUGGCUUACACGAGGGUAAGCAACACAAGCAAGUGAAAGUAACAAACUAUUAUAUCCAUACAUUGUAACUUGAUUAAUUUAAAUCAAUUACAAAGUUUACCAUUUUAUUUACAUACACACAUUCCCUCAUAUAUACAUUUGUCAUCUCUCAAAUGAAUAAUUUACAUUUUCUCUUCAUCAACUGUAAAUAAAUGUUAUGUACAAGGUAAAACUAUACUUAAUGGAUGUCCUUAUCUAUUGCGCGCUGUCCUUGUCACGAUCCUCAACCACCCCCACUCGCUAGAACCUGCAUGGUUAGUGGGGUGAGAACUACUGAAAGUUUCCAGUGGGUUCAGCUGCCGACCUCGCCGACUCACCCGCUAGGUUUACUCAGGCAUCUGUAGAAAAGGAAAUAGAUAGAAACCAAACUAAUGCUACUACAAUGCCUGUACGAAGCUGGAAAGAACAACAUAUAUAACUCAUGUAGUUUAUGCAUACAUGCUAUCACAUUACCAUUACCCAAUUAACUGGUUAACAAUUUGGUUAACAACAACUCACCAACCAAAUCCCUUCUGUCGGGGAGAAUUCCGCUACCAACUCGACGGGACUGUCUACUGGGGAGCAUACCCGCUACCAACCCAGUUGAUGACAACUCCGGUGCUUAUCGCCCAAGAAGGGAUGACCUUUACCUCGAGUAUUAGACUAUUGUGAGUAUGAUCCAAUCCUCAUUUAGAGGAUACAAUAACAAUGCCAUACUUUAACUAGCUCUUUAUGAUAGCUUUAACAUUUCCAACUCUAGAUGCUAACCAGUUCAUCUAGUUAUAAUGCCACAAUUCUAUGUUUAGCAUGUCCAACAUAGAUGCCAAUCCAAUCAUUUUAUGUUAUUGUCACUAUGUCACAAGUUCGUUUUCCUUGUUACAUUCACACUACUUAGUGUUACUCAUAUCAUCUACUCACAAUGUCACUUUGUCAACUAUUUCAUAGUACAACACAAGUUCAAACAUCUAUAGGGUUCUAUGUUUACUAGUCAUUGUCCACAUGUAUUUUUGCUUCCAAAGCAUACAAUUAGAUCACAUCUAAUUACAUAUCCAACUCAACCCUAUAAUGCAUGAAUAUCAACUACAUAUACAUGUAUACUCAAGAAAAGUGACAUAAACAUAAUAGGUCAUUCGAUGACUUCGGAAAGCACCACCCACUUCUAAAUAAUGCAGAGAUGCGAGAAAAUCACCUCCCGUGAUUUAUGAAUGAUCACACCCCUCACUCGCGACAAAUGAAGCUAAAAUAAGAUUUUCCUCAUUAGCUUACCGUAGGCUCGUCGGAAUGCUGACCCGAGCCUUCCAACGCGUUGAACUUUCCUUCAUUGAGGAAUACAAGAGAUCAAACUCAUACCAUAUCCACGUUCCUACAAUUUUCAUAUCUAUACCAAGUUCAUACAUAUAACACCUAUAACACACUUUCUCUAGAUUUCCAUGGCAAGAACAAGUUCUAGAAUCCAAGAAUCUGUAAGAUAUUGAAUCCCCAUCGUAUUAGACCACUUUUGGUCAAAAGGACCAAAGCGUGGCGAGAAAGAUGCUUGGACAUGGUCCAUGUGACAUUCCAAUAACGUUGGAAGGGUUAAAGUUGAACUCCAAACGAGAUUGUUGGGUUUUAGCAUUGCUCGACGUGAAAUGGAGUUGAGCAUGUGCCAUACUGCAGUCUGGGCAUUGCUUAACCGGUUAAGCAUCAGGGUAGUACCGGUACUGUAACACACUGGACCUUUGCAAAUUGCGAGGUUCGAGUGUUUGAUAUGUGUUUCGAGUUUUUCCAGAUAUUCUGGAGGGUCGUUGACAGUGUUACGACCUAUGACUCGCAUCCCGAGAAUCAGGGUUUAAAACUUAGCACCAAACCUCUAAAGUGAAGGAAAUUGGGCUGCUCUCGGGUUGGACUCUGCAGAGCAGAGUAUCGGUACAGCAUUGAGCUUGUACCAGAAUGGGAAGUGGUACCGAUACAGCAUCGGAUUUGUACCGGUAUCAAGAGUAGUAUUUUGCCAACCCGAGGCUCGGAUUUGCGCGCACAGUGUUUGGUACUGGUACUCUUUAUCGUGUACCGGUACGCAGUGCAGACUGCGAACUGCUUAUUUUUUAGAGGUGUUUUUGAUAUUGUAACAAUUCUAUAUAACCCCCCGCAGCCUGUAGAGGGCUCUUUUGAGCCCUAAACCGUGGAGAGCCCAGGUAGGACUCCUCCCCUUGGAUUUUUUCUUUUUUUUUUGAGGAUUUUGCUUGGUUUGAUCUCCUCUCUUUGCUCCUUUUUGCUUCAUGUUGGAUUUCUACCUAUGGAGAAGCUUUGAUUUCGUGAUUGGAGCUUGAUAGAGGAAGGAUCUUCAACCCUAGCUGGUUUCUUGUGUGGUUUGAAGCUUCUAGAGAGGUUAGUAUCUAUGAUUCCUCAUUUGGAUCAUGCUUUGGUGGAUUUUUUUAGGUUGAAACCCUAGAAUAUGAAAAUUAGGGUUUAAAAUGGAGAUUUUUUAUUACAGGCUUUUGGAACUCAAUUGAUUGAGUUAGAAUCUUUAUUUAGGUUGGAUUAUAAGGACUCUAACUCUCAUUUGGAGAUUGAGAGAGAUUUUCACCUUACAAGGUGAGUUUUUGCCCUUUUCUUGGGUUGAUUUAAGUUUGAUCGUAGGGUUAAUCGUUUGUUGCGUUUAACUCUCUUAAUAUUACCUUUAUGGUGCUAGGAGAGUAGUGGACACCUUCGUCGGCGCAAACGAAGGGUUGCGAGAGUCUCGGUGGGUUUGAUCUCACCGAAAAUGGGAGAAAUUCCUCUUAUGUCAUUUUUAAUUAUCGUAAAAUAGAAAUGCAUGCAUAUUCAUGCUAGAGAGCAUACGAGAUGUUUAGAAUGCUUUAAAUAUAUGUGUUACAUUUAUGAAAAUUACCUCUAUAUAGUAGAGAGAGAUAUAUGCAUUGUUAGCAUGCAUGAGAAUAGCACUCUAUUAUGUGGUUUGGAAUCAUGUUUCUUGUAAAGAAAAUGACUUAUGUAGUAUGCUCUUGGACUUAGAAUUCAUGUUUGACAUAGUGGACAAAAGUGCCAUAAAGGGGCCCUCAACCUAGUAAACGGUUAAACUGCAACAUGAUGACAUAAAAAUAGACCAUGGGAUCACUAGCUUUUAUACCAUAUUUUAGACAUGAUGACAUAGUGAUAGGCCAUUGAGACACCGACUUUAUACCAUGUUUUAGACAUGAUGACAUUGGGCUUGAGACGGAUAUUUACGCUUGCUUGCCAUUGUGCUCAUUCGCACAUGCUUGUGAGGGUCGCUCCCCACAAACCGGCACUCCGGAGAUGGCCAUCGCGACAUAAGCUCGCCCGUGCGUGAUUGGGCGCCGAAAUGGGAUGCCGUGGGGGAGGCUCAUUUCUAGGGUGGGAAUGUUGACUACCACGGGGUAACCCUUUUGUUUGCGCAAACGAAGGUGCCUCCUAGCUCCCUAAAGUUAAGAGGGUUAAACGAAACGAACAAACACCCAAACUGUUUAUCUUUAACCAACCCAAGAAAAGAGCAAAAACAUAUAAAUGUUGAAAAAAUCCUCUCAAAUUCCAAAUAGAAGCUAGAGCCCUUCUAAUCCAACCUAAAUGAAGGCUAUAAACAAAUCAAUUGAGCUCCAAAAGCCCUAAAUCAAAAAUUUCCAAAUAAUCCCUAGUUUUUCCAUUUCUAGGUUUUUGUCAUGAAAAAUCCACCAAAACAUGGAUUAAAUGAGGGAAACAAGCUACUAACCUCUUUAGAAGCUCCAAACUAGGUUAGAAAUCAACUAGGGUUGAAGAUCUCUCCUCCAACAAGCUCCAAUCCAAGCUCCAAGACUUCUCUCAUGGUGGAAUAGCACCAAGAAGCAAAAAGAAGCAAAAAGAGGUGUUUAAUCCUCAAAAAUUCCAACAAAAUGGAAGGAAAUCAAAGAGAGAAGGAGGAGGGCUUCCCUACCUUGUUCUCCACUGGUCCAAGCUCAGGGAAUACAAGAGAGGGCGUGGGGUAUGUAGUAUUGCUACAAAUGCAAAAACACCCCUAAAAAACAAGCAGUCUGCGAACUGCACUGCGUACCGGUACACGGGAAGGAGUACCGGUACAAUGCUACAGACUGGGCAAACCCGAGCCUCGGGUUGGCAAACAAAUGCACUGGGUACUGGCACCAGCCCGAUGCUGUACCGGUACCACCUCCAGUUCCGGUAUCUGGUCAAUACAGUACCGGUACUCUGCUCUGCAGAACCCAACCCGAGAGCAGCCUAAAAUCUUCGCUUUAGAGAUUUUAGUGCUAAGUUUUAAACCUCGAUUCUCGGGAUGCGAGCCAUAGGUCGGAACACUGUCUACGACCCUCCAGAAUACCUGAAAAAACUCAGAACACAGAUCAAACACUCGAAUCUUGCAAUUUGCGAAAGUUCAGUGUGUUACAGAUGGCUUGAAGAGAAUGCGCCAAUCGAAUUAACAUUGCUAGCCACCACCUAAAAAAGUAUCAAACAAAUAAAAAUUGUUAAUUAUACUAAAAUACAAAAAUAUUCAAAUAUAUUACUAGUAAUAACUUGCUAUCAAAUUGUAUACCGGAGAAUUUGAUAGUAGUGUUUUUAGGCAAUCCAUUUCCUUUGGUAUUUCUCUAACGGUAGAACUUAGAUUGUCAUUAAUUUUGUUUUUCAUACAUUUCAAUUUUUCUUUGAGCUUUUCUAACUCCUCUGAUUGGCCCCCACUUGAUCCGUUGUUCCUGACGUGAGCUUCCUCCCUGUAAUACGUUCGCAAUACUUAUAAACUGAUAUUUUUUAAAAUAUGUAGAUAUCCAUUUCAAAAUAAAUAUGAUUAUAAAAAUGUAAGAAAAGAUGAGAAGAAAAGUGAGAAAAAACAUAAGCCAGCAUGAUUAAUGGAUUUGUAAAUUUGUAAAUAUCAUUGCUUGUUUAUAUGAAAAUGUACAUGAUUAUAAGGGUCGCACUAUAACCCUAGAUACAAUACUAGAUACAAAUAAUCACUAGCCUAGAAAAAAUGGAGUGCGAGUCCCCAUAACACAAGAUUCUUUCUGAAGAAUAAGCAAAAUGGGGGACUAGUUUGUUACUAUGGUACUAUCCCUUUUACCUGUUGUUUCCUAAGUAUUACUUCCUCGUAACCUAGAUUCUAUACUCAGUAAUUAUACUGUUUCUUUUACUUAUUUUUGUCCAAGUAGUAUUUCUUCAAAAACUAUCGUAGGCUUAGUAGCUACUCUAAACAUCUUAGUUAAAUUUUCUGGUUCAAAAAGAGGCAGAUUCUUUCACAAAAUGUUUAUUAAUUAAUGCAACAAUAUAAAUAUGACUUCAAACAUUCACAAGUAAUUAUUUAGAAAGGAAUUGCCAUAGAUACGAUUUUCAGAGAGUUUUAAAUAUCAUUCCAGUUAUAUUUUUCUAUCAUUAUUAUAUUUUUUUUGACUGAUAUGUCAGAAGACAGAAAAAAUGAAAACUUCAAAAGUUCAAAGUAAAAGAAUAAGAUGUCAUUACCUCUAGAAGAAGAUCACCAGAAUAGACUUUAUUGCCAUGCUCAACAACAUGGUCUGCUUUGGCACCAUUAGUUUUCGAAAUAACAAACUUCACACCGGGAACCUUACCCUGUAAAUAGCUUCCAUUAUGACAAGAUUUCAUGAUUCAAGAUUUCAAGAAUUUUACUUACAAUUAGCUUAAUUAUAUAAAGGUAAAUACCCGGACUGUAUUAAUUAGAUUGGGCAGGGAACUAGGGUGGGUAAACUUAAUCAAUUCAUUAAAAUAAAGAAGAAAAAUAAAAGGGACAAAAUUGUCCAAAUGGUUCUCUACGAUCAAGGAAUAUAUAUAUAUAUAUAUAUAUAUAUAUAUAUAUAUAUAUGAUAUUAUAAAUAUAUACAUGUUAUAAUGAACAACUAGAAGAAUAACCUGUAGUAUGAAAGGCCCUAACACAUGUAAAUCCUAUCGAUUCAAUGCAGCCAUGACAUCUUUCAUCAAUACCUGCGCUGACUCUGCACACUGCGAAUAAUAGAGUUGCGGUGGAAGAAUCAAAAGGAGAAGAAAAUAAAGAGAAAAAAAGAACUUAAAAAUCAAGUAAAUAGAUGAUUGUGAACAUAUCUGGGUGUUGCAAUAAAAUAUAUAUCUUAAAUGAAUUGCUAUUCUCGAUUCGACUCUUUCUUGAGCACUUCCACCCAAAAUUUUCCUGAUCCAAUAUAUCUAGAAAACUGUUAAGGCUAUAAUAAUACCAUCAUUCGCGUCGCAGCUUGCAUAAUGUAGACAUGUAACAAACAACAGGAUUGAGCAAAGACAUUUAAACGAGGGGUGGGUGAAUAAAAAAAAAAUUACAGAAAUGGGUUCAGGAGAGCAAGUAGAAUAAUUACAUGAAGAUGAUGAUAGGUUGGAAAAUGGUCAAAGAAACUGGCGAAUCCCUCCUUUUCUCACCCUGUCCUUAGCAUGAUCUAAAAAUGCCAAGCUCAUCAUCUGCAACAAGCAUAUUGAGUAAUCGUACUUAAAAAUAUCGCGAGAAAAGAGAGACUCCGCUGUGUUUUAUUACUUUGUGAGAGUUCGGGGAGAAGGAUCUUGAGUAAAGCGCAACCAUCGGAGUUGACGAGGAGGCGUGGCAGAGGAGGGAGAGGGCAGAAGUGAUCGGUGCCGAGCAGAAUUCGUGCGUUCCAGUGAUGCAUGUCAACGAACUGGCAAAGCAAUUUUUUUUAUUUUAUUUUUCAACGGAGUUAAAGGCGGUCUUUAAAAAUCACCUCUAAACUGCCUCUAGCAUGACACGUAGAGGCGGUUGUAGGAACCAGCUCUAUACAACCACCUCUACAUCCGCUUUUUCUUGUAGUGAAUUAACAGUAUUUGGACGGUCGUGGUUGUGUGUCAUCGAUACAUGUUUCUCCACGAAUAAUUUUAUAACUCCAUGGAAGGGAAAAAUACUCAUCACGCCAGAUAGUAUUACGCCCCGAGCUCCGCCAAUUUGGUCGGAUUCAAGUACGUAACAGACGCCGAACGGACAACACCUCCCCUGUCCGCCCAAGGCUCAACCAACAUGUAUAUUACAAGCAAAUCAAGAAAGAGAUUGCAAGAUAUACAAGGUUUGCACGAGGGCAAACAACAAUAUACACGUGAAAGCAUCGAUACUAACUAAACAUUUAUCCACAUACAUGUCAUUUGAUUACUUUUGAAUCAAACACAAGUAAACUAUUACAUUUACAUUCACUUUCAUCCAUUCAUUUACAUCGCAUUGGCCUUUAACCAAAAUAUGUUAUUUACAUCAUUUUACAUUACUAGUUCAACAUACAAAAGUUGAAUGUACAAAGGGUAUGCCUAUGCUCCGAGGGCCGCUAGCUACGGCGCGAUACCCUUGCCUCGAUCCUCCGCCGCCCCGCUCGUGCACGGAUCUGCAGGGUUAGUGGUAAUGAGAACUAGAACGAAAUUCCCAGUGGGUUCGGCCGCCGACCGCGCCGAUUCGCCCACUAGGUCUAUUUCAGACAUAUGUAUUUCAAUAAAAGUAGAUAUCGAGCCAUCUAAUGCAUUACUAAUACAAUGCCUGCAAAACAAUUGUCAAUAGAUAGAUAGAUAAUCAAAUACAUGAAUCUGAUGCAUGCAUGUCCAUUUCUCAUUUUCUUUUGGCCUUUACCCAAUCAAAUCGAGGUGCUCCUGGUUUACCCCAAACUCACAAUCCACAAAUCCCGUCUACCGGGGGAGGCACAAGGCUCAACCACCCGAGGGAUCUUUGCCGGGGUACUCUCCCCGUGGUGUCUACACUCCGGAGUACACCGCUUGAGGAGGAGCUAUCUCACUCAAGCCGGAACCAAUGUGUGAGUACGAUCCAUUCCUCAAUUUGAGGAAAUAUAGCCAAACUUGUUUCAUAUCUCAAUGCCUCAAUGCCAAUGAUAGGUCUUUACCUUAUCAUGCAUAUACCACUAUUUCCAAGCCCCAUGGGUCGUGAUACGACUCUAGGUUAAACUUUGUUUAGCCAUUCCAUUCUCAAUGCCAGUCGAGUCACUAUAGUCAAUGUCACCCUUGUUUACUAUUGUCCAAGUCUUUCCUUGCAUUCACAUGCACAUAGGGUUCUCACAUACAAGUCCUCUUGGUGCUUUGUCAUUUAUAUGUUCUUUAAGCAUCUAAAAUGCAAUUCAACCAAGCACACAUAAUAAGCUACCCUAUAUGCAAAAAUGCAACAAUACAAGAUGCUCAAGUAAAGUGACAUAGACAUGGAAAGAGACUCGGUGUUUUCGGAUAGCACCCCCGACCUUUUAGUGCUACUAGGAUGCCGGGGUCCAAUUUUCGUGAUUUUUAGACGCUUUCGCCGCGAGCGACGAUCUGUACCAAUUUAGCUUAUUUCUUUAAUAACUUCGCGCACGCUCGUCGUAUCGCCGAACCGAGUGCAUCAAUGCGUUCGUUGACCUACCAAUUAGGUUAAAAUGAGAUCAAAUCCAAGCUUCGACCUCAAAAUUACAAAACCUAAUGUUAGGUCCCUUAAUAAUGUUAUCUUCCCCAAACAAGGUCCCUAGCUUGGAUACUAUGGGCAAAAACCUCUAUUCAUCUCCUAGAAGCAUACUAGAAGGAAUUAAACCAAAGCUCUAACUUGAAAACCCUAGAAAUCCUCAAAAACUCACCUAGGGUUCAAAGCUUUCCUCCAAAAGCUCUUCACAAGCUAGCCUUCACCUUGGAGAGCUUCUUCUCCAAGCUGUGCUCCACCCAAGCCUUCCUUUGAUCCAAGCUCUAGAGAGAAGGAGAGGGAGGGAAGAGGUUUUUAGAGAGAGAAAGGGAGAGAUAUUUGUAUUUGGGUGAGAGCAAAUGAGCCCUAACCCAAGGUCUCUAACAUAUACGCCCAUCUCAUGUCACAAUAGCACUUAAGCCCCUCUCAAUUGCAUUUUUAUAAACAGCCCAACCUGGGUAGAUUUCGCAUGCGGGGGUCGGUCUCUCCCCGCAGGGACCGGUCCCCGUAGGUCUGCUCCCAGGGACUUAGCCAAAUUUCACAUUUUUGGCUGGCUGCGCAAUAGGGGACCAGUCUCUCCUUCAGGGACUGGACCCUCGGAGACCGGUCUCUCACUCAGGGACCGGUUCCCGUAGACCCCAAUUCCAGGACUUAGCCGAUUUUUCACCCUGCCCGGUUGCUACGCGUACGGAGACCGGUCUCUCCUUCAGGGACCGGUCCCCGAGAGCCAAAAAUCUGGGACUUAGCUAGAUUUUGCAAUUUCACUCUCUCGGAUCCCUUUACACUAUAUAUAGGUUCCAACGCACUUAGAACCUAUACCAACCUGUUCCGCUCCGCGUUCCGCACAUUUUGACGGAACCCAGCACGAUUUACGGGGAAGUGAUAUGUUACAGAUAGCACAUUGUCACUUAAUACGUUAACUAACUCCCAUUCAUUGCCUCCCAUUGGACAUCGAACCGUAAUGCGGAGACGGUCUUCAACUCGAUCAUAAUUAAUAACAUUGUAAAUUUCCAUCUCAAAUUCCCGAAAUGUGAUAUCGCGUCGGACCGCAACCAAUUCUUUAUGGCCAUCAAUAUAUCGUGGUACAUAUUAUUCACGUCUAAAUUUCCGUCCCAAUGGAUAUAAAAUGGAACACAUUCACCAGCCAUAGAGUUCUAAUGAAAUAUAAUAAUAUAUACAAAAUUAUUACACUCAUGACAUAUUAACAUAUCACAUUUCUAACAUACAACAAAGAAGAUGAUGAGAGAUGCAAUUACCAUUUUGCGAUUACCAUAGACGCUCACUUUUAUACCGAUCAAGAGCUCCGGAGGAAAGGGAGUGAUGACAGAGAGAGUGAGUGAGUGAUCUGUGAGAGAGACAGAGAGAGAGAGUGAUUAGUGAUAGAGAGAGAGAGAGAGGUUUCUGUGAGACGUGUGGGGGUCAUAGUGAGAAGAGAGAGGGUUCUGUCACAAUGUGGGGGGGAGGGCACAGUGAGAAGGGAGGGUUGCGUGUGCUGUCACAGUGUGAGGGGGCAAGUGAGGGAUGGGACAGUGUGGGAGGGGGACAUAGUGAGAGAGGGGGAAUAGUGUGGAGGGCGGGGGGGUGGGGGGGGAGGUGGGGACACAGUGAGAAGAGGGGGGGACAGUUGUGGGGGGGGGGUGGGGACACAGUGAAAAGGGCCGGAGGUGGAUAGUGCGAGGGGGGGCGGGGGGGCGGCGUACAGUGAGAAUGUGGUUGGGAAGGGAACAGAGAGGGAAGGGGCGCAGUGAGAGAGAGAAGGACAGUGAGAGGGGGGAACAGUGGGGGAGGGAUGGUGGGGGCGGGUGGGAGAGGGCGGGGUGUUCUCACAAUGAGAGGAAGAGAGAGUGCGGCGGCGGCGGCGGCCACAAAGAGAGAGAGGGCGGCGUCGGGGCGGGCCAGAAAUGGGGACAGAGAGAGAGAGAGAGAGAGAGAGAAAGAGAGAUCGAGCGAGAAAAGAAGGAGGCAGCUCUGGCGGGGAGGAUAUACCAAAGGAACACGGUGAAUGGUUCACCGUGUUUGGACACGGUGAAUGGUUCACCGUGUUUGGACCAUUUACCGUGUUCAAACACGGUGAACAGUUCACCGUGUUUGGACAUGGUGAACCAUUCACGAUGUUAUAAACACAGUGAAUGGUUCACUGCGUCUCAUGCAUUACCCCCCACUGCCGGGUUCCCUCCCUCCGGCUUACUUGCUUCAAGAGUAAGUCAUAUAACACAUUGGACACGGUGAACAGUUCACCGUAUUUAGGCACGGUGAACCAUUCGCCGUGUUUGAACACGGUAAAUCGUUCACCGUGUUCAACUUAACACACUGUCCCCAGCCGUGCCCGCGUGGCGCUGACGUGGCGCCCGCAUGGCAGACCCAGGGCCAUUUUUGCAAAUUAUAUUUUGACAGGGCUAUUUUUAAAAUAAAAUUUUGUCAAGGGGCUAUUUGCAAAAAAAGCCCUUUAAAUCAUUUUUACUGAAAUUUGACAGGUAGUUUUAAAAUUACAAUACAUACGAUAACAUUUAAAAGAUAUCAAAUUUACAUGAAAAAAAAGCUCAGUCUUCACAGGGUAGGAGGAUGUUGAGCUUAAAAAAAAAUAAAAAUAUCAUUCUAUAAUAGCUAAAGCUUUGAGAUAAUAAAAAUAUAAAAUUCUAUUGCUUUAAGCAAUAGAAAAUAUAAGUAAAAUGACUACUUCUCAGACCAUCAAUGCAUUCUUCUUGUAAAUGAAUUCUUUCUACAUCAUAAUUAACUCAUCUAGCAAGAGAAUCAAAGAAAGAAAACAUCUAUUUGGAGCAAAAAUGGAUUACUUCAAGCCUUUAGUUAGAGACUUUAUAACAGCUAGAAGUGAAGCGAGAAAUCUCCAUCAAAAUUCGUUAAGCAAUCUAUUUAAUCCAUCAAUGUAUUAAUCCCUAAAAAGGAUGAUGAUGGCUUCGUUACUAUUGCAUAUUUAACCAAAAAAAGAGAAAAAGGCACGAGCAAAUCGGAGGUAGUCAGCAACAAAUUUACAUGCAUGCAUGUAAACAGCAUCAUUAAGCAAAAUACCUUAAACAAUAAAAUAAUAAUACAUCUGACUUCAAAUAAAAAUAUGCAUGCAUAGACUUCACCUUGUGUAUUUGCUAAUUACAUCAUGGUAUAAGAAAGCCAACAAACCUUGCUCAAACAAAAUCCACUUUUUCCAUGAUUACAGUACCCAACUUUUUAAACUUAAUCAAAUAUACCUUCCACUACUCUACAAUGAUAUAAAAUAAAAUCAGUCAAGUAACAACUUACUACUUUAUCAGCGAACUAUUUUUUUAAUUAUACUAAAAUAAAUCUUUAGACUAUCUUUGAAGUUGCAUAAUGAAUAUAGUUCUAUAGAUUUGAAUAGGAAAAAAGCUAUCUACGUAAAAGAGACCAUCAAGUCAAAUGAUAAAAUAAGCCAAACCCAAGAAUUUUAAAGUUGCAUGUAAAAUAAUUUCAAAAUCGUAAUUCCUCUUGUUGAUGCCAAAAUUAAAAUUAACAUGCCGACCUAAUCCACGUAUGAGCCAAUAAGGACACGUGGUACACCAGGAGUCGGCAAUAAGACACCUAAAGGUUUUAGGCAGGAACGGUUGAGAAGUGGAGGCGUAACUUCCAUGAUCAUGGUUACAACCACUCCCCCCACUACUUUCAACUGACCAAUAAUGUGGGCUGAGAAGAAAUCACUAUAAAUAGGAACUUCAAAGCCUGUAAUAAAGAUCUUUCACCCCCCUGAACGAGAAGACCACCCUUAUUUCCUUACAAUUUUAUCGCUUUUCUAGGAGUAGUCUAAAUGUAAUCUUUUCUUUUUCGCAUUUACUUCUUUCCUAGGAGUAGUUUUUAAGUAGAACCCUGGAGUCUGUCUGCCCCACGGGCAUCACUCCGUUGUAAACUACAUAUUUGUAGAGUCGAAGGGCACACUCUGUUUUAUUAAUAUAUAUAUUUAGGUAUUCGGCUUUUUUAGCUGACCAAUCAUUGUGUAUUUCAUUUAUUCGGCUAUUUCAGCCGACCAGUUACUGUGUACUUCUUCCAUUCGGCUCUUCUGCAGACAUUGAUCCCUACACAGUUCAUACAUUUGGCUCAUCCAGCCGAACCGAUUCUACAGUAAAGGUUUUCGAACUCGGCUGAUCCGAUCCCUCGUCAGCCGAAUCGCUUGAUCCAGUCGAAGGGCGCAAACUUCGAGGGUCACUAAUCGUAGCCGUUCAGCAUCCCGACGCGCUUCUCGAGGAAGAUCUUUGACCGGGUCAAGCGUCGGAAAAUUCAGCUACCAACACCUCUUUAUCUUGAAAGUGAUUGUAUUAAACAAAAAAAGAUGAAUCUCAGCAUGUAAAAUUUGAAAUAAUAUUAAAUCAUACUUAUAAAAACUAACUGUCAUGCCCCGGGGUCCCUUUUUUUUUAAAAGCAAUGCGGAAGUGCCCAAAUUUUUUAUUUUUUUAAAAAACCUAAACUCCAGGGUAUGCCAGAUCCGCCACAAAUAUAGGGAGUCCACUGUUCACACGGACAGAGUCUCCCCUGUAUUUACACGGCGUCACACAAGUAAAAUAUAUACAAAACAAGAUACAACCACCAUCUAUGAACAUACACAUAUUCGUCCACCAUUCAUAUUCAGAAUUUAUUCAUAAAUCCACAACUAUUAGUUUAAAAUGUUUCAUACCCGGAAACUCGUUUUAAAACACUAAGUCAUGAAAAUCGAGAAAAGCCCUUUUUAAAAAUCGUUUCCCACACGAAAAUCUUUUCUUUUUAAAACUCGCUACCACGAGUGGUAGAAAACUAUUUUCAGUUUACAAGAAUCACAAAUUCUUUAUUAUAUUCAUAAAAUCCCAAUAAUUUCAUUCAUAUAAAAUAUUGAACCAUAAAUGCUGUCUAAGUCAUUUAUUAAAAGGAACUGAGUUAAGAGUUAAACCAAAUGACGGGACGAUGGUUCUAAUGAACUCUAAGUACGCUCCUCACGAUCCGUCCCACUAGGACCCGUGACGUCACCUGUAAUAGGGGUGGGGGUUGAGAACAUGUACACAUGUCUACCCUUCCACUGGGUACCGCAAGCCGACGAGGACGAAGGGUACUAAUCAGUCAAGGAGAAUAAAUAACAGUAUGGGUAAGUGUAAACAAUAGCAACGAUAAUACAGAAACGAGAUGUAUAGAUGAAUAAUUAUUACUACUGUAUGUAUACAUCAACCGGACGACAAGUCCAAAAAUACCUAAUAUGAAACUUCCAUAUUGGUCCGCACACGUCAAGCCUGUGCCACAACUGCUCUAAUCUAUAACUGACCCCAGCACAAGCUCUUGGGUCUUAAAGCAUAUAACCCUAGCAUAAGCUCUUGGGCUCACGGGCUGGCACACCCAACCACUUUUUCGAAAAAAAACACCUUCUUGCGGUGGAUCAGACCGCUAGUGUUCGUGAAAUGCGUACGAGCAGUGGCGAUCGAUGCUAAUAUGCUCAAUAACCAACCAUCAGCAACUAGCCGACAAUCCUACUCCUCAGUGUAUACCGACCGUAUAGGUCAUCAAGUAGUCCAACCGACCAAGUAGGUCACGAUAACAAUGCAGUAAGGCGACCGAAUAGGUCACAAAUACGAGAUAUAAGAAUCGACCAACUAGGUCACAAAACAGAUGCAACACACUGACCGACUAGGUCAUAAUCUCACAAAUAAUUAUGAAACCGCUCUACUUCUAAACAUGAGACAGGAUAUGCAAAGCAGCUAAGUAGAGCAAUAAGGAAACAUGGUAUAGGUGCUAGGCUCAAUAUAUAAUAUGCCAUAUAAACAACAAGAAAGAGUGAAGGGAAUGUCACCGAGCAUGCGCCACUAUAUCGACUUCGGGUCGAAGUACCCACCUGUACGAAUACGGUACUGGCCUUCCGACUGCAGAGAAAGUAUCAACUGGACCUACAAAGGGUCCACCGGAUUAGCAUCCAACCCACAAUACGAACCACUAGCUCACAAUCCCUACUAAUAAACCUACGGGAAUUGGUUUUCUAAAACCGAUUAUCUUAACUCACCGAAAGUCCCGAAAAUCGCACCGGGACUCCGUCGGAACAUACGAUGUCACGCCCCGAGCCCCACGCCUAUUUUGGCGGGUUCGGACCGCCGACAGAGCCGAACGGACAGGAUUUUUCCUAUACCGCGGAUAGAGUCUCCUGUAAGAUAUGGAUCCCGAGGAUCUAAAAGGUAAGUAACACCUAGAGGGGGGUGAAUAGGUGUAAAUCCGGCAAACUCGAAAAAUCUCGAUGCAAACAAAACAAAAUAGCGAAAAUUAAAACAGCACACCGAGAAUUUAACGUGGGAAAACUCCAAUUCGGAGUGAAAAACCCACGGGACCGAUCACGCAAAGAAAAUCCACUAAGAAAACUUGAGUACAAGUGAUUUCGACAAAAACACACGACUCAAUUUACCGAUUUCUCGUUGACGGUGAUCUAUGCCGGUCCUCGAUCGAUAGGAAUCCACCAAUCGACCUUGCUGCAACUCCUCGCAAGCGGUCAACCUCAACUUCUCGAACGUCACCGAAUCCUCGCUUCACGCGAGAUCCACGCGCGAACCUCCUUCCGGGAGUUGUUAGAAUUGAAGAUUUGUGGUGAUUUCAACUUUUGAAAACCAUAAGCUAUGAGGGUUCACCUUUUAAUCAAUAUCUAGUUGAUUGUAAGGAGUACGAGUAAAAACGAAGAAUCAAGCCGGAUGUUGAUUGCUAGGAAAUCAUCAUGUAAAUCUAAUCAUUGAACGGGAAGAAAACAAGUUUCUAGGUUUGGAAUUGAUAAAAAUUUCAAAGCAAUUAUUUUAGAUGACCACAUAGCUUAUUUAUAUGUUUAGAAGACUUAGAAGUAGACUAGGAUUGCAAAAAGUCAUUUCAAAAACCUGUGUCGUUCCUCAGAGACGGGUCUCUGGGACCGGUCUGUGAUGAGACCGGUCUCUUCAUGAGGAACGGUCCCUCCUGCGUGACCAAGAAACCAACGUUCGGGAAAGUCGGUUCUCGCAAAUGAGAUACGGUCCCUCGUUACGCAGACAGACACCAAGGUUCGGGAACGGAUCGUCUCAACACGGAGACCGAUUGCUAUCAAGGUUUACGCUAGUGAGGGCCUUGGGGGAACGGUUUUCCUUUCAAGAGACUGGUACAGAGCACUAAAGAAAGUCAGAAAAUUUGUUUAAAAACAAUCUAAGCCUUCUGAACUUAAUCAAAUUAUGUAUCUUCACCACAAAUGAUCUUUUCUUCAUACCUUAGGUGUCGAUCUUUCCAAAUGAGUCUUCGUCCUCCAAUUUGAAUCUUUUCUCAAAAUCUUCUGCGAUCAACUCUUCAAGACUCCAAACAACUUUACGAAAUUCGCCAACCUAUAAAAUCCUUAACAUCUCCCCUAUACCGUUCAAGGCUCAACAAACAGUACAAUACAAAAGGUUCCAAAUAGGAACAGUAUUCGUACAAUGAUUGCAUAAGGAAGGUAUCGAACAAUAUAACACAUCCUAUGUUAUUACAAGCAUUCCCAUUAGAUUCAUUUUUACAUCACACUCACAUAAUACAUUUUAUGACUUCCAAAUACAAUCAAAUUACUACAUCAUUUGUUUACAAGUUUUAGUACAUCUUGUUCUUUUCAUUUCCCUCUACUCAUAGGCUAUGCCGACUCGGGGUACCGCUAUCUUUGGUCUCUGGGGUAGAGAGCUAUCUAUGGAGCUACGCCCUUGCCUCGCACCGCCGCGCCGCUCGCGUGCGAACCUGUAACACCCCAAAACAACGUGGGGUGAGAACUAACUCCAUAGUUUCCAGUGGGUAUGGCCACCCAAGGGAGAAGCUCGACCAAUAGGUCCAAGGAAGCACUGCAAUCAUGUUAGUCCAGAAACAUCUACAGAUAUAUAUAUAUAUAUAUAUAUCAUCAUAUAAUAUGCAACUAAUAGAUAUCAUGCCUCGUAAUAUGCAAUAUGAAUAUAUGCAAUCAACUAGUAGAUCUGUUGAUUCUACGUUCAACUUUGCUACCUUUAGCUUAUAUCAUUCAAUUCUAAGAUUUCUACUAUCUUAGGUUCUCAACUCAAGUCCAACUUUCUUCUAAGGUCUCUAUUACCUUAGCUCUUGCCUCUAUCACUAGCUUUCAAGGUUUCUACUACCUCUACCAAGCUAUUCACCCAACUCGGCCUCGAGUCAAUCAUCCGCGAAUAGUCCACGCACUGGCUGCACCUCAGCCUGGCUGCCGUCACAGCCUACCGCACCUCUGACUUAGCCAUCUGGCGGCGAACUCAUCGCAUCUCACCCAACAACGACUCAAGUCAUGACUUAGCUAUCUAGCGGCGAACUCAUCGCAUCUCACUCAAUAAUGGUUCAAGUCAUGUCUUAGUCAUCUGGCGGCGAACUCAUCGCCCUUACCCAGCAAUAGUUCAAGUAAAUCUAGGCGGUAUCAUUCAAAAAGCUAAAUGGGCGAGGAGAACCACACAUACCCAUUUCAAGCUUAUUCUCAUGGCAUUCCGGGCGAGGAGAAGCACACAUACCCGUUGAAUCACUGCCAGGCGAGGAGAACCACACAUACCUGCAGUUAUGAUUCGCUUGCUAUCUCUUAUAUCCUGCUGCAAGUUUUCACCGCUUCUUUUACGGCCACAUCACUAUAGUAUCAACCUAUCUAGGUCCGGUGUCCUUUCCACCCUAGGUCCAACUGACUCUAGGUUCUAUGCCUCUAUUACAUAAUCCAGGUUCACUUAACUCUAGGUUUAAUCCACAACCUAUGUUCUUUAACACUAGGUUCGAUGCCACUCACCUAGAUCUCGACUCUAGAUUCACUUGUUCAACCUAUGUUUACUAACACUAGGUUCAAUGUCAUUCAUGUUCAACCUAUGUUUAAUAACACUAGGUUAGAUGCCACUCGUGUUCGACCUAUAUUUACUAACACUAGGUUCAAUGCCACUCGAUCUACUUUACAUCCUAAUUGUCCAGUCGAGUAUUUCAUAGUUCUCAUGUUUCUAUUUCCAAUGUCGAGUUCUCUACUCACUUUAGAGUUAUCGAUCUAGUUUACAUGCAUAUAUGUAAUCAUGCAUUCAUCUCAAUGUCAACAUGCAUUCUUUAAGAGUCACUAUAUUAUUAUGCUUCUCCUAGCAUCAUGCAAUUAGCUAGCAUUUCUAUAAUAGUCAUUGCAUAGCAAUUAUCUCAAGCAUUCACUUAUCCUUUACUUUCUAUCAUCAAUAUGCAUUCUUUUAGUGUUAACUACAUGCAUCAUCUAGCAUUUAUAUGCAUCAAUAUGAAUUCACAUUUCUCUUAGACAUAGAGGCGACCUAGUCGCUUCGGUAAGCACAACCCACCUCGAUUCGCUCUCCGAUUGCUUGUAGUCACUUGCAAUCGGCCUCCCGCAGCACCCGUAUCUGGUUCAGCCCGAUCUUGCAAUCGCACACCAACCGUACGCCGAAUCGCGGCCCCGAAAAUUAUAGGUCUACAGCUUGAUGCCGUGAUGCCACAAAUCCGUUUUCAUGAUUUUUGGACGUUGCCUCGACCCUCCAGGCGGAAACGAAGCUAAAUCUUUCGUUUCUUCAAUAUCUUCGCGUAGGCCAGACGAAUCGCCGAACCGACUUCGCCAACGCAUCAAAAUACCUAGAAAUUAGGUUUACGGAGGGUCAAUUGAGAUCAAACCCACAUAUAUACCAAAACCCUCUUUGGAUACCCUAGUUUGCAACUAUUGCAAAAUCCACCGUUUAAUCUCUAGAUUCUAGCAUUUAUCACUUAUUUAGCAUGCUAGAAUUCCAAAUAAACAAAUUUUAGAGAUUAAAAUCCAUGUUCUAGAAAGCUACCAUGGUUGCUACAAAGAAGCUUACCUCUACAAACUCCUCCAAUGGUGAGGAAGAAGAUGAGGAGAUGAAAACCCACUUCCAAGCUUACUUCUUCUCCAAGUCCUUCUCUUGGAUCCCCUUCUGGAGAGAGAGAAUAAGAGCUUAGAGAGAGAGAGGGAUAAUGUUUUGGUGUUUAGAAUAUGAGGGAGUGAGAGAGAAGGGCUCAUAUCACCUCCCUUUAACCCCUAUUAACACCAAAUUGCAAGAAACCCCCUCAACUUUGUGUUUUAGUGCACAGCCCGCGCGGGGCAUUUUUGGUAUAAGGGACCGGUCCUCUAUACAAAUGAGGGACCGGUCCCCGUAAGUUCAGAAUUUCAGCAUAUUUAGCCCGAUCUUGCAAUCGCACCCCAACCGUGCGCCGAAUCGCGGCCCCGGAAAUUAUAGGUCUACAGCUUGAUGCCGCGAUACCAUAAAUCCGUUUUCAUGAUUUUUGAACGUCGCCUCGGCCUUCCAGGCGAAAACGAAGCUAAAUCGUUCGUUUCUUCAAUAUCUUCGCGUAGGCUCGACGAAUCACCGAACCGACUUCGCCAACGCGUCAGAAUACCUAGCAAUUAGAUUUACUGAGGGUCAAUUGAGAUCAAACCCACAUAUAUACCAAAACCCUCUUUGGAUGCCCUAGUUUGCAACUAUUGCAAAAUCCACCGUUUAAUCUCUAGAUUCUAGCAUUUAUCACUUAUUUAGCAUGCUAGGAUUCCAAAUAAACCAAUUUUAGAGAUCAAAAUCCAUGUUCUAGAAAGCUACCAUGGUUGCUAUCAAGAAGUUUACCUCUACAAACUCCUCCAAUGGUGAGGACGAAGAUGAGGAGAUGAAAACCCACUUCCAAGCUUACUUCUUCUCCAACUCCUUCUCUUGGAUCCCCUUCUAGAGAGAGAGAGAAUGAGAGCUUAGAGAGAGAGAGGGAUAAUGUUUUGGUGUUUAGAAUAUGAGGGAGUGAGAGAGAACGGCUCAUAUCACCUCCCUUUAACCCCUAUUAACACCAAAUUGCAAGAAAUCCCGUCAACUUCGUGUUUUAGUGCACAACCCGCGCGGGGCAUUUUUGGUAUAAGGGACCGGUCCUCUAUACAAAUGGGGGACCGGUCCCUGUAAGUCCAGAAUUUCAGCAUUUUUAGGACUUAGCCAAAUUUCAGCCUUUUUCGUUUCUUCUCCGUUUUCUCUCAUUUUUGGUCGUUUGGCCUCCUAUUCUUUUCAAAUCGAACCGAGACUCUCCAAACAUGUUUUUGAGCGUAUUUACAUCAGCUUUUCACCUACGCUAAUGCCGGAUUUAGUUCUUGGUCAGACAUAGCCCUUCGGGUCCCGUUUUUGCGCCUACGCGCUCCGAAAACGCCCGAAUGCUCCCGAACUUCACCGAACUUCACCGGAACCAUUCAAAUGGCUAUCCAACCAAAUGCACACCGUAACUUCAUAAUUUUAGAAGUCCGGUACCUUACAUCCUCCCUUUCUUAAAAGAAUUUCGUCUUCGAAACUCAACUCACUUAAAAUCCAAUCCACACCUCAACUCAGCUUAUUGAGCAGUCGAGGGUUCCAAUACACUUUCGCACUACGGAGUGGCUUUUCACUUAUCUGAACCAUCCAAAGGCCCACUACGGAGGAUGUGAGACCAAAUCCAGUCACAUUUGUCAAGUAUAACUCCAAAAGUGCGUUACCAUCAUGCAAAGAACCAUUCUUUGCAUUACACACCCAAUCGGAAACUCACUCCAACUCGAUCACCGGCAUUGCUUAGAAGCAAUAUCAUUGGUGCAUCGACCCCUCACGAGUGCUCCAAUUCCAACUGGAUCCUUGCUCUAUUAUGAGAUGGCACACUCCGGCACAUCUCGAAUCUCAAUCAACAAAAGAGCAUUAUCCUCAAGCUCCAAUUCUCACGUGGCUUCCAUUAGCUCAAUGUCUCACUAGAGCAUUUUAUCCUUUGCCAUCAUAAGCCAUGACCAACUCAACUUCGCUGUGGCAACGAGCUCACACGAACACUCUGUUCGUGAAUCUCAUCCCAGCUCAUCCAUAGAGUUAUCGGCUAAACCGAUUACGUCGGCUUUCACAGGUGGACCAAUGGUCACCAAUACUACGUAGGCCUAUCGCCUAAACCUGUCUCAACUACGCACGGCGUCUCUCGCUCGUACGUAGACCCAAUCAUCAUUGGGCGAAAUUCUUAUUGGAGAAUUCGCACACACUACAACCAGGAGCAAUCAAGUCCCCAAACCACGUCAAGUCCUCAGGUUGGGUCACAACCACACUCUCGGUGUAUGCUCAAUCUCAUGAUCCAACACGUGGCAUUCCAUGCUCCCGGGUCUAAGCUCGGACUACCGUCCUAACCAAAACUUUAUCCUACCCGUAGGUACCGGGCCGCUGUCACUCACAACUGACUGCGCCUGCCCAAAGGGCCAAGGCUCCACAGUCCACAAAUGGUCCAGGCACGGAUCGUCCCCAAGCGAUACCCAUCGUCGUCGUCCUACACGACAUACUCUAUCGAGUCACACGUACCACUAUCGGCUCCUAAGUACCUAGUGCGAGUCGCCAGCCCCACGAGUGAUCUAUGGCCCGCUUCACACUUAGCAAUGCUACAGUGCUACUGCCAUCUCACUUUCUCAGUUGAUUCAUAUCCAUACUCUACGAGUACCUAUACUCGAGCGCUCUACACGCCUCUAUAGCGUUCCAACUAUGUCAAGCAUCAGGCAAACUUGCCUAUGCACGCCGGCCACACGAGCACGGCUCACCCACCUCAAUUCGAGGUACUAUUAGGUCCACGUGCUCGUACUCGAUAACUAUCCGGCUAUUUUCUCAACAGUGAUUCCAGUUUCACCGUUCGAUCUACCGAAACACGUUCGAAAUUUUCGGACUCUUCGGGUAUCCUCAAACAUCUUGGCUCAACUCUCGCAAUCUCCUAUCCGUUGCCUCGAGAGUCACUUCACCAUUUCAUGUUCACCACGAGUCUCAUUUCUCGUCUAAGGACCAUUACUAGCCAUUUGCUAGUGCCACUUAGCUCUCUACCUGCUCCAGCAGGCACCACGCUCUCAUAAUGCAAGCACGCCCGGGUAUCUAUCUACCCGUCCAAUAGGUCCCUACUAUGCAAUGUAUAAAUAGUAGCAACUGACCACUCAUUAAUAUGCAUGCUAUGCAACAACUUGAUAUCAAGUAGCAGCAUAUGCUUGCUUAAUUAACUCAUACCUGCCAUGACAUCGUUGGUAGUAGUAGGUUCCUCCACUUGGGUCGCGUAUCCACGGCCACUUGCUGCCCGCCAUGAACCCCUCGGUGGCAUUAUCCUCAACAGCCGCUCUUUCGACCAUGCCGCAGGAGGCACACCUGCAGACUGUCCUAGAGAGAAAAAGACUGUCGUCAAUGUUAAGGCCCGACUAUCAGUNGUUUCUUCUCCGUUUACGCUCGUUUUCGCUCGUUUGGCCUCCGAUUCUUUUCAAAUCGAAUCGAGACUCUCCAAACAUGUUUUCGAGCGUAUUUACAUCAUCUUUUCACCCACGCUAAUGUCGGAUUUAGUUCUUGGUCCGAAAUAGCCCUUCGAGCCCCGUUUUCACACCAAUGCGUUCCGAAACGCCCGAAUGCUCCCGAACAUCACCAAACUUCACCAGAACCAUUCAAAUGGCUUUCCGACCAAAUGUACACCGUAACUUCAUAAUUUUAGAAGUCCGGUACCUUACAUAUGAACUAUCCCAGAACUCACCGACUUGUGCUACGAGUCACCCGCUGCCACUAAACACCAUUAUUCAUGGGACUUGGCAGCAAACACACCACCUCACAUCAAAACGAUGAUCGUCGGAUAAUCGUUCCGAUCCGGGUUCUCGGAAGUGUCCGAUUAGACACCGGAACCCACCGUCGCUCACCCGUCGUUUCCAAACCCUCGAGACGAUGUGGGUGACCAGCCAACAAGACUCAGCGACAACAUAAUCUACCGUGAGGCACCGUCGGAAGAAUUCUGAACCGAAAACGCGUUCUGUCGGCGAAUUUCGUCGAAAAACGUACCGAAAGUCAACGUCCAAUUAUCGAAAAGGCUUGGGGCCUUGGACAACCAGUCCAGAGGUUACCCGCUGCCCGUACAUGCUGACAACAGCAGCCACAAGACAUACAAUUGCAUAAAAAUCCUCACGAUUACAUAAAAUCACAUUAUUUUAUGUGAUUUUCGGGGUUUUACGGCCCAACAGCGCAAACCGAGAAUUUUCAGACACUCGCUCAAGCCGAGACACUCGCUGUCAGGUCUCGAUGUGUUAGAGGCUGUGCUCACACUUCGGAGCACAGCGGGCUACUGUGGCAAGCGCGCGAGCGACGCGAAUUUCAGCGAAACUGCGCGCAUAGCACCAAAACAGUGUUUAACACGCAAACUAGGGCACUGCUGACCCCAACGGAGGUGAGCACGGUAUUCAGCACAAAGCAGGGAUUAUCGUGCUCACUUCCGGGAGCGUCGGCGUGUCCUCGGAUCGCCGGAAAGGCGAUCGGAACACCAAAACAGUGCUUAGGAAACACUAAAUAAUGCUUACCGGACUAGAGGGAGCACUGGCUGGCCGACGGCGACCGGGCGGUGGGCGCGCCGGCCGGGGGAGGCUGCGGCCGGUCGGAGACGAGUCGGGCACGUGCUAGCCGGCGGCGGGAGGCGGCUGGUGGUGCAGCGACAAAGCACGAGCUUGCACAGCUCGACUCGGCUCGGGGAGGCAGCGGCGGUGAGGCGGUGGCCGGAGGAGCACCGGGGCGACGGCGGCACGUCGUCGGAGGCCGAAGGAAGGCGGUGCACCCUACUGUGGGCUGCGGCAACGCGCGAAGGCCAAGAUGACUCAGCCUCGGCCCGCUCAAGAUCUAUGCGGCCGCAGGGAGCAACGCCGGCAGCCAGGAGCCGCGGGGACGAUGGCGACGACGGUGAGGGGGUCGCUGGAAACAACGGAGGGCGGCGCUGUCACACCCCAAUAAUCCCACAUCGGAUAGGAAUGGGGAUGUGAUUGGGUAUAUAAGAGACUUAGACACUGGUAAUAAUAACUGAGCUUAAGCAUUUUGAGCCGGUGGUUGGGCCCAACGAUAUUAUUAUUGCCAGUGGGCUGGGUCGUUGCAAUUGGUAUCAGAGCCGAAUACCAGCCGAAAGUGUGAGAGCUAAGUGCUAUGCGGGACAAAGUGCUACACUAACGGAUUUGGUGGGAGCCACCUCUUGAACCCGUAGGAGCCACCUCUAGAAUCUCACAUCGUCUGGUAAUUCUGGUCCUGGUAUGUCUGUCUGUCUGUGAUCUGGUUUGGACCCGACGAGGACGUAAGGGUCUAAAUAGGGGGAGUUUAUAAUGCCCCAAUAGUCCCACAUCGGAUGGGAUAUUGAUUUCGAUCAGUUUAUAUGAGGUCUACACGCUAGUAAUAAUAAAGUGGGCUUAAGCAUUUUGAGCCAGUGGUUGGGCCCAACGAGUUAUUGUUGCUAGUGGGCUGGAUCGUUAUAUUUGGUAUCAGAGCCAAUCACCAGCCGGAAAUGUGUGGCGAGUCUCGGCUGAGUCAGGGUCUGAAAGACAAGGUGAUAGGCUAUGUCGGAGUCUGUAUGACAAGGUGACCGGCUAUGCUAGGGUCUGGAUGACAAGACUAGCGAGAUGAGUCUCACAUCGGCUGGUGAUCUUGGGCUGUGUGUGUGAUAGGACUGACGAGGACGUCAGGGCCUUAACGGGGGGAGCCUGUCACACCCCAAUAAUCCCACAUCGGAUAGGAAUGGAGAUGUGAUUGGGUAUAUAAGAGACUUAGAUACUAGUAAUAAUAAUUGAGCUUAAGCAUUUUGGGUCGGUGGUUAGGCCCAACGAGUUAUUAUUGCUAGUGGGCUCGGUCGUUACAAGCGUGGCCGAUUUAGGGUGGUGGCGGCAUGCUGGCCUCGAGCUAGGCUGAACUCGGCCCAGUCGGUUCUGGGUUGGCCGCAGAGAGCACGGGCGGCGCCGGCGGCGCGCGCCGACGGCAGGGUCCGGCAGGGACAACGCCGGGGGAUAGGUCUCGGCCAGAGGAUGUGUAAUAUACCGAAUUUUUAAUAUAAAAGUAAGUGUAAAUAAAAAUAGUAUGAGAUACUAUUUUUAUUUGACUUAAAGAAGUAAAAUAUAAGUCGGAAGUGACUUAUACUGAAAUUGGAAUGAAAAUAGAAGAUUUAGAAUUUUCUGUAAGAAACGGGGCUGAUAUUUUAGCAGAAAAUUCACAGUGUCAAAAAUUAUGAAAAUUUGAGAGUAUGUCGGAAUUAUUUUUAUGAAACUAGAUUUAAAGUUUCAUAUUAUUCCGGCACCCGAAAAGUGAAAAAUAAAAUCUGACUGCUAUCUGCUAGAGAUUUCAGUCGGUAGAGCUUUCGGUGACCAAAAAUGGUUCAAAACUGAGAAGUUAAGAUUUCGUUCCUCUUGUUAAGUUAAACCGAGCCUGACUGUCAAAUUUGAGAGCAAACGGACGUUUAGAAGGGCUCCGGUGAAAAACGUUAGUUUUUGAACUGCUAAACUAAAAAUAAGCUAUAUAUGUUGGGGGGCCUAUGUAUGUAACAAGUGUUCUUCCCCUUUGUCCUGGUCAACCCGAGAGAGAGAGAGGAACUAAGCUUUCUCUCUUUCUCUCUCGCUCUUUAGCUCACACCUCACAUCUCUCUCUCCAUUAGCUUUCUCUCUGUAGCAAUUUCUCCACUAAAGAGAAGAAGUUGGAGGAGAUUAAGUUGGAGAUGAAGCUUGGUGGUGAACCAUGCUUUCCAAUGGUGGAUUUAGCUUAGUGAGCAUGGAGGCCUAAGGUAAGAUCUCAUGAUUUAAGUUAGGAUUUCAAUUAAAUCCUUUAUGUAUGAGGUUCUAAUGAUCUCUAGAGUGUUUCUAACAUGUUUCCUCCAUGAGAUUUUGGGUUGAUUGGAUAUUAUGUCAUGCUAGGGUUAGAAUUGGGGUUUUGCGGCAAAUGAGGGUUUUGAUCUAUAAUAACUCUAUUAUUCUCUAAUUGAAGGUUAGAGAUGAGCCCUUGAUGACCCUAGGUUGCGGAUUAGCGUGCGGUUGGUGAUCGAUUGCAAGUUCGAGCCGAACCAGACAAUGAGUGCCACGAGAGCCCGAUUGCAAGUGUCGACAAGCAAUCAGAGAGCGUUACGAGGUGGGUUGUGCUUCACCGAAAUGAUUAGGUCAUUUCCAAGCCAAGGUAAAGUAUGAAUGUUGUUGAUGCAUGAAUAGUUGGUAGGUUGUACUUGAUAAUAUGAAUGCCCUAAUCAUACUAUGCUUGAUGUUGUUACUUACCAUGAGAUGCUAUAUGAAUGCAUGAAGUAGAGGCUAAUAAACGAAGGCAUGAGAUAGAUGCUUGUAGUGAACACAUGAGAUACAUGCUAAAUGGAUGCAUGAGCUAGAUGUUAAAUGAAUGCAUAAAGUAUAUGCUAAGUGAAUACAUGAACUAGAUGCGAAGUGAAUGUAUAAGAUAUAUGUUAAUUGUGAAUGCAUGAUAUAUGCUAAUAGAUGAACGCAUGAGAUAGAUGCUAGAUUCAUAUAAAUGUGAACUUGGGUCGAUAACUCUAGGUUGAUAGAGAACUCGACAUUGGAGAGCAUGGACAUGUAAACUACAUCCUGGAUAUGGAUAACUAGGAAAAUAAGUAUAUUGAGUGGCAUGUCAAUUAAUAAUCCUAAGUGUGAAUAACUAGGAUGACAAGUAUUGUGAAUGGCAUUGAAACCUAGUGUCAUUGAACAUAGGUAAUUCACGAGUGGCAUUGAAACCUAGAGUCAAGUAAACCUAUGAUAUGACACGAGUGGCAUUGAAUCUAGAGUCAAAUGAACCUAGGUAGUAAAGAAUGUUGGACCUAGUGUUGUAGAACCUAGGCUAUGAACAUAGUGACAUUGGACCUGAUGUAAUAAACUUAGGUUUAGUAAUGGCUUGGACCAAGAUAGGUCGACAUUAUAGGGUGAGACCAACCCUUGAGCUAUGUAAAGUGGAUUCCGGAAUCUCAGGACUUGUGAGCUCGAUAGUUCUUAACCGCGGGUGCAUGUGACAUGUUCUCCUCCCAUCGGAAGAACUUCGAGGAUUGUGAUCGAGCGAGAACCAUGAGCGCUAGUGUGAGACCCCAAAUAGUCCUAUAUAUAAGAUAUAAUAGGGUUAAACUCUUAACCCGGCUUAAGCAUUUUGGGUGGUGGCUAGACCCAAGAGGUUAAGAGAGUUAAGCGUGCUAGGACGGGAGUAGUCCUAGGAUGGGUGACCCCCUGGGAAGUCGGGGCGUUACAGCUAGGGUGUAUGUGGCAUGUUCCUCUCCCUAUCGGGGAUCUCGACUGCGGGUGUAUGCGGCAUGUUCCUCUCCCACCGGAGGAUCCCUAACCACGGGUGUACGCAGUUCUUCGCGACCCGUUGGGCGAUAUGGUUUGUGGAUUGAAGGCUGAGGUGCAUGUGAUAGUUCCUUCACCUCGAGCCUGACUGAGCACGGCUUUUCCGCGGUUGAUUGACUCAAGACCGAUUCGAGUGGCAUAAUAUGGCUAAGGUGUGAGUACCCUUAGUAAAGAAUAAACAACAGCUAAUGCUAAAAAAUAGCAAUAAUAAAGAAUGGCUAAGAAUAAAGAACGAAUGAUAAUAAAGAAUGACAAAUGAUAAAGAAUAGAAUUAAGUGAUCUACUUGUAUGAGUUGCAUGAUUUGUAUAUUGCAUAUUGUGAGGCAUGAAUAUGAUAACUGUUAGUUGCAUAAAUUAUAUAUUUGUGGAUAUUUGUUGGACUAACAUGUUUGCAGUGCCUCUUUUGGACCUCGUGGGUCGAACUCUUCCCUUGGGUGGCCAUACCCACUGGGAACCAUAUUAUAUAGUUCUCACCCCUUGUUGUUUUGGGGGAUUUCAGGUUCACACGUGAGCGGCGCGGCGACGCGAGAAAAGGGCGUAGCUCUAUAGAUAGCACCCUACCAUUCUGACCAGAGAUAGCGGUACCCCGAGGUGGUCUAGCUUAGGGGUAUAGAGAUGAAAGAAACAAACUUGUAAUAGUUUUGUAAUAACCUGAUUGUAUUUGGAAGUUAAAUGUAAAUCAAAUUGUAAUAUGUAAAACCUGGGAUGAAUGCUUGUAAUAGCAUAGUUGUAUUUAUGUUUUUGAUACUUCCUUAUGCAAUCCUUGCUUGAAUACUGUUCCUCGUUGGAACCUUGCAUAUUGUAUACAUUGUGACGCCUUGGACAUGCAGGGGAGACUCUAUCCCCGAUACAGGGGAAACCCUGUCUGUUUUGCAGUUUGUUGGCGUGCCCGAAUCCGACCAAAAAGGCAGGUCUCGGGGCGUGACAGAAUGCAAUCCCCCAAGGUGUGGAUGACUUCCUGCGAUCAACAUCCGAUUUGGUGGAGAGAGAGGUUGAGAGGGAGGUCGGGGUGGCCUUUUCCGGUGGCCGGAGUCGUUCGCCGGCGGCUGGGGUGCGCGCAUAGUUAGGGCAGGGACCUGCUGUGACAGCUAGGGUUAGCUGGGUGGACUAGGGUGGAUUAAGGUUAGGGUUUCCUGUGUGAAACCCUAGCAUCCAAUAUAUACAUAGGAUGUAUAUUUGCGGAAAAGUCCCCCUGAGCUUUUUAUUUUAAGCCCGGCCCUUGCUAGCGCGCGUAUCUUGCGCGUACGCACCUCAUCGUUCAAAAUCACGCAAAACGGUACAUAAAAUAUUGGAUUUUCGCAAUUUUUUUCGUUUUUGCCAAUUUCGACCUCUCGACGAACUUUUCACGAUUCCCGAAGAUCCGUCUAUCGGAUUUUCGAUCGGAUCAUGCCAGCGCGUUCAACACGACUGGGGCAUCGAAUCUACCAUUUCGUUUCGUCCGAUUUGGUCGCCGAUUUGCAACGAAACACACCCUCUCUGCAAUCCACUACAUAUCCAUAUAUAUAUAUAUAUAUAUAUAUAUAUAUAUAUAUAUAUAUAUAUAUACAUAUACAAUUUGAAUUUAAAAAUUCAAAUUCAAAAUUUCUUUUAUUAUCAAAAUCUCGGAUAUUACACUAACACACAAAGCAUUACCCACAUAGAAUGAGUCCUCUAGAAGUUUUAUCUCGUAGCAUUCUUUCUUUAAUGAUUGAUUGAGUUUUCUAUUCAAAACAAAGUAUAAUAGAUCACUCGUAAAGGGCACUUAAAUUAAACAAAUUCACCUAUGAGAUCAAAUAGGUGAAGAUCAAAUCCUAGAUGGAUAUAACGUAAAUAUUCAGGAUUUAAAAACAAAGAAAAGAAAAUUAUGAUUAGGGUUCCGUUUUCAAUACUUGCCCCCUUGAUUCUUACAUCAUCAUGGUCCAAUUAGUUUUUGCUAUCGAAAAAGUUGUUAGAUUAGCUUCCUCUUCCAAAAGUCCGAAGAGAUUGACGUAGAAAGAAACCCUAGAAACGAAUCGAGAUCGAGGAUGGAAAUAGAGCUCAGGCAACAUCGAAAACGAAAACGGCAGAAACAAUGAGAUAGAAAGGAGAAGGCGUAGGGGCAGGGGGGAUGGAGCAUAAGGAGGUGGAGAGAUGUAUGAUUAAAAAGAAAAAAAUACAAAGCUGUUGUUGUUUUAGCUUGCUUUUAAUGUUACUCUAUUUUUAUUCUAUUAAACUGCAAAAUAUUAUAUAUUAGUUCGUGCCGUAAAGUUUUAAAUAUAAACCGUUUAAGUUUUCAAAGAAAAUUAUCUCUAUUAUUUGUUUCUAAAUCAUCAAAAUCGAAUUUACUAACUUAAGUUAUAGAAAAAAAAUAGGUCGUUAAAUUUAGAUUACUGAGACCGCUAUAAGCACUCGGCGAGUGAUGUUCAUGGGGACGUUUAUCGGGUGGCAGCAGUCGGCAAGGCUAAGCAACUUUUCGGUGAACCCCAUGCGGCGAUGGUGUCAUUAUAAUAGGGGAGUCGAGGAAGGAGAGGAAACUAACACAAAAAAUAUUACCUAUAUAGAAUGAGUUUAUAUUCUUUCUUCACGGUUCCGCCCAUCCUUUGGUAAGGACAUUCAAUAUCAAAUUUGUGCCAUACACCCUUAUGAUUGACCUUUCUCUCGAGGCUCGUGUACGACGGCAUGGAGAUCACCAUCUUAUAUCUUUUCAGAGCCACCAUAAACGACAUACCGAUCCUUAUGUUUCCCCAUGUUGGCUUGAUCAACAUCAUCUUCUCUAAACUCGCCUAUUCCUUUCUCUCUAUUCUCAUAUCACCCAAUUUAUGACAAAAAAGGCAAAAUGUAAUGUUUCAAAAAAAUAUUAACUUAUUAUUUUUUUUGGAAUGAUUACGGUCUGUGCUUCAGUCGACACGUUGGGAAAGUGUUGGGCCGUAGACGUCAAAAUUAGAUCGAUAUGCCAAUCAACUUCCUGUUGGGUAACCUUACUACCUUGUGCCUAAGGCACAUGGUAUCAAAAUCCCAACCACCCCAAACUCAGGAUGUUGGUUGGUAGUGUGUGGCUGAGUGUGGACUUUAUUCUCCUCCAUGCAACUCACUUUUCCCAUCAACUCUAUUCUUUUUCUCGUUCUUCUGUUUCUUUUUCUCUUAAUUUCUCCUUCCUCCCUGCCGGUUCUUCCCUGCGUAGCUUGCUAGAACUGUCACGGACUUAGUGGUUUUGUUCGCAAAGCCUGUGCAGCGCCCGCCUUUUUGCUCGAAGAUGGGCAAGCCUACCUCUCUACUUGCUAAGCUAGGACCUACUCGCCCUAGACUAAGUACAAGAGAGAGAGAGAGUUUGAGGAAUGUUGUAUAUUGAUAAAAGUUGAGAGUACAACUGAUUUCCUUCCUUGACUCUAAUGAAAGGGGGUGGAGGCCACAUCCUUACAUAGGCCACUCGCCACCCAAGCUACAAAUAAAAAGGCGCCAAAUGGCGCAUAACUACAAGACAAAGAGAUAGGCUACGAUCUCCCAAGAGACUACACUUAUUGCCCAUCUAGAAACUCUAAAGGACUCUUGACCCUUCGGCAUUCGCACCAUUAGUCUUGAGAUCCGCAUAGAAGCUUCCAGAACGCCCCGGCAAAACCUCCGACAGAAUGCUCCUUCGAAGAAUGGGCCACUGUCCAACCCGCUCUGCUAGCGAAGUUGGGCCACUGUCAAGGAGAAGUCAGCGGAAAACAUUUUGUCCGUGACAACCUCCCCCACCUAACGUGCAGACGCCCUCGUCGCGCGCCGAGUCAUUCCCUGUUCGCAUAGCCUUCCGCGCGGUCCGUCGUACCUUCACUUGCGAUCGGCCCCGUGCCUUCCUUCUGCAGUCUGCAUCUGUCCCCACGCCAACACCUAGUGUCUUGCCCCUCUGAGCAUGUGCACCAGCGAACCCGCUAUGCGAAGAAUCCACCAAAUGUGCAUGUCCUCCGCGACAGCACUCCGCUAAGCCGCAGAACGCCCCCUGGUCCCCUCGGACAGCUGCUUGACAGAAUAACUUGUACCUUGAUCGGGCGCUGACUGUUUCAGCGCCACAUAAGACUUGACAGUCUCGCCGCUGCUCAGGUCCUCCUCCUCAAGUUCCUCAGUCUUCUCGCACUUCACCUCUUGGCAAAGUUGCAGGGCUAUUAGAGUUAGGUCCUUCGUCGGCUCAUCCCGACACAUCGGAACCAUGCAUGAUGCUGACUCGUCCAUGAUGCUCAGCACCCACAAGUGUGGCAUAGGCGCCGCCUUCGACGAAAUAAGGAAGUCCAUCCCGAGGAUCACUCCAAAGUCGUCGAGCAGCCCAUCAGUGAGAUUGGCCUUGCCUCUCCACAGGCCGAUGGCUAUCUCCACGCUCUUGGCAACUCCUGCGAUUGGCCACGGCUCAGAGUUGACCGCUUUGAUGCGACUCGCAUCCUUCUCGACUGUGAGGUCCAACCGCUUGGCCUCCGCCUCCGCAACAAAGUUGUACGUCGCACCGGUGUCGAUCAUCACCCGCGUGGUCCUCCCGUUGAGGAUCACAUUGAUGAACAUAAGCUCCCUCUUUCGGAGCUUGUCGCCACUUGGCUAAUCGCGAACUGCGUUGACGAGCCUUAGCGUGCCCAUCCUUGGCAGCUAGACCAUGUCGUCGUCCUCGCCCUCAAUGGCUUGGACCGCAGCAACCUGCUUACCUUUGUGGUUGCCCCUCUUUCGGCAGUCCCACGCCCAAUGGUCUCGCCGCAAACAUAGCAAGAGAUCUUUGCAGGUGGCGGGGCGGGAUUCUGUCAUUGCUUUCUUGCAUCAUGGUUUGGCUUGUGCCCCUUGGCGCCCCCUGGAUUGCGGUGCCCUCCACCACCAUUGGCCUCGAUCGCCUUUGGUGGUUCACCUCGAUCGCCCUCGGUUCGCUCCCGCUCGGGCAACUUCUCCGCCAAAGCAAUCGCGAAGUUCAAGUCCUUCACAUCUCGCGCCACGAGCUCCUUAUUUGCCCACGACUGAAGGCCAUCUAGGAAGAAGUAUAGCCGAUCCUCAUCGGCCAUGUUGGAGAUCGCCGGCACGAGUUUCGAGUACUCCUGGACAUACUCCUUGAGUGUGCUCCGAUGUUUGAGCCGUCGAAGUUGCCUCCGCGCAAGAUAUUUGACAUGCUCUGGGUUGAACUGUGCCUUUAGUUCGCGCACGAAGUCCUCCCAAGUCUUCAAUUCGCAUUGGCCCUUUGCGGCCUCUGCGGAACGCCGUCGCCACCACAGCAUCGCAUUGUCGGCAAGGUACAUGGAAGCGGUUUGGACCUUAUCAUCCUCGUCCUCCAACCGCAGCGCCUUGAGAUAGCGCUCCAUGUGCCAAAGAAAAUUGUCUAUCUCCUUCUCAUCGCGCGUGCCCUUGAAGCAUUGGGUUUCAGGGACGCGGAUCCUUGGGUGUACUCCUUCUGCGUCUCGACGCCUCGAGCUACCGCCUUCUCAAGGAUAGUCACCCGCAUCUUGAGGUCCUCGACCUCGUCACCCCUGGUGACGAGAUCCUUCACCAGCACCUUCCGCUUGUCCUUGCGACGGGUGAGGUCUUUGCGGAACUCCUCGAGUUGAUGACGGAAAGUCGCCAUGGCAACCGCAACGCUGUCCUCCAUGGCAUGCAGCCCAUUCUCCAUCAUCCCCACAUGUUGGGAUAGGACGGAGUAGCGCUCCUCCGCUUUGGCAGCAGAGUCCUUCAGCACGCCUACGCGGUCGUCAAGCGAACGGACUCUCUCACUAGAGUCUGCAGCGGCUUCUUGCUCUUGUCGCGCUUGGUAUGCUUAGAAGGCUCAACAGUUACGUCGACAACAGCAGCAUCUGAAGACGACAUGGUUCCUUCUCGAACCGGCUCUGAUACCAACUGUCACGGACUUACCGGUUCUGUUCGCAAAGCCCGUGCGGCGCCCGCCUUCCUACUCGAAGAUGGGCAAGCCUACCUCUCUACUCGCUAAGUUAGGACCUACUCGCCAUAGACUAAAUACAAGAGAGAGAGAGAGAGUUUGAGGAAUGUUGUAUAUUGAUAGAAGUUGAGAGUACAACUGAUUUCCUUCCUUGGCUCUAAUGAGAGGGGGCGGAGGCCACAUCCUUAUAUAGGCCACUCGCCACCCAAGCUACAAUGAAAAGGCGCCAAAUGGCGCAUAACUACAUGACAAAGAGCUAGGCUACGGUCUCCCAAGAGACCACUUAUUGCCCACCUAGAAACUCUAAGGGACUCUUGACACUUCGGCAUCCGCACCAUUAGUCUUGAGAUCCGCGUAUAAGUUUUUAGAACGCCGCAGCAAAACCUCCGACAGACCGCUCCUUCGGAGAAUGGGCCAUUGUCCAACCCGCUCCGCUAGCGAAGUUGGGCCACUGUCAAGGAAAAGUUAGCGGAAAAUAUUUUGUCCGUGACAAGCAGCACUCAAACAACAAAUACAGCAUUAGUAGGAUCCUAGUGACUAAUUGAAGUUUUAGUUGCAAGUUCCUGCUGUGGGAGGGUGUUCUUAUUGAGGACAAGAAUUCAAGGAGUAACUAGUUGGUUACUUGGUGAGUGGAGUUCUAGGCGAAAUCAUGGAUGGUUUGUGAAUUUACCAUCUUUCCCUGCUGACGGAAACUUGAUUGAGGCUGUUUGAGAGCACCAUCUGGACCAACUUGAAGAAUGAAUGCAAUUGGGUGAUUGCUGGGGCUCCAACUUCGAAAUUAAACACAGGUAAUGGUGUAGGGGGAAGUUGGGAGUCCGUUUUUAUCUUGUUUGAGCUGAAAUGGGAGGUUAGUGGCUUUAAUUUUAAAGUUGAUCAAAGUUGGUUCAAUACUGAAAUUUCAGGCUGAUUUCGUCCAUUGUUGGAACCCGUUUAAGUUCGUUCAAAAUUUCUAUAGGAGUGAGCUUUGAAAAGAUUGCAAGUGAUCUUCACUUCAUCCUCUACUGCAUAGAAUCUUGUUUCGAUCAAUUUGGAGGUAAAAUGAAUGAGGAAUUCAUUUUUUUGUUGAGGUCGAAGACUGAGAAAACUGUUUUCGUCGAUGCUGAAAUUUUGAUCUUUAUCUUUCAUUUGUAAUGGAAUUUUUGGGGAAAUAUAGAUUUUUCUUAUAGAGGAAAGGCCUAAGAUUACUUGUGAACAAGUUCCAAUUCCCAAUUUUGCUGUUGGUUGGUUGGCGGAGCAAGAAUGAAGUGCAACUUAGUGCUGGCAACUUAGAAGCCAGCAGCAACUUUGAGAUAGCAGCAGCAGCAGCCUUGGAGUAGGGACAGCAGCAACUAGUUUUGGAAAUUAGUUUUGAUUUGGACCUUAUUGCUGCAAUUGGAUGCUUCUAGGGUGUUCCUGAGGUAGAGAGGAACUUGCGAAUCAAGUUGCAACUAUUGGUUUGAGGUGAGUAACGCUGAAUUUCAAUUUUUUCGAACCGGAUAGACAUUUGAUGGAUUUGUGAUUCGAUUUUUAAUUCAGUUCGAUCCAACAGGGAUUUGUGGGAUUUUCUUAUACUUGUUGGUGAUUCGGGACUGAAGGCACGUGACCGCUGAGUUUCGCUUUAAUCUGUGGUCGGAUUUGCAUACUAGGUGGGUUGAAGUCAUUGAAUUCACCGGAAUUCCUCCUAAGUACUAUGUAGUUUUUAGCAUGUAUUGUUAUCCUUCAAUCAUCAUGUUAGUAGCUGAAAUUGGUAGAUUUGCAUGCCGUAAUAUGAAAUCUAAAUUUGUUGCUUCAUAUGAUAAUUUUAGAUAAAUGUUGCAUGAUGAACUGGGACUUGACUUAGGAGAAAACAUUAAGAACCUACACACUUCACUUUUCGAAAAGUUAAUAGAUUUAGCUUCAGGAGCUGAUGUACUUUUGUAUCACCGCUGUUAGUGCGUAGUAGAUACUCAGCUUAGAGUAGGCUGACAUUAUGCUCGUGCUGAUGGGCCGUGCUUGUUGUACAGUAGCGUUUGGACUGUCAGGUGCCGUCGUGUUUGACGGUGGACCGAGAUUUCUGUAUCACCGCUGUUAGUACAAGGUGGAUACCCAGAUUAGUGUAGGGUGAGUUUACGCUCGUGCUGGGAGGCCGAGCUUGUUUUACAAUAGUGUGUAAACUGUUUCGUACUGUUGGGUGCCGUCGGGGUUGACGGUGGACCCAGAUUUCUACAUUUUGCAUCAGAUUGUACCAAGAGCACGUGAGUUUUGGUGGAUAGAUUAGUUUGACCCAGUUAUAGUGAUUACAGCCUGUGAGAGCCUGAUUGAACUAGGCAAAGACACAUUUGUAAAUUCGGUUGGAUCGCACCCACGAAUGCCAUUCCGGAAUGAGGUUUCAGUGCGAUGAGGUCACAGUUUUUGUUUGGACGGUUCUUGAGCUGGAUACAGUUAGGGUGCGUCCGUUUGAGCAGCCCGUGUGAGGUUGGGUCAGUGGUAGUUAGUGACGCCUUUCUCUACCCUCAGUGAGGUUGUGAUGUGUGUUGAGUCGCAGCAGUCCUGUCGGACCUUUUUACUUCGAUCGGCUACUCUCGAGGAGGUGUACGAUGUAGCCUAGGCAGGCAGGACAAGCGUAUCGCAAUCCCUAGAGAAUUUUCUCCACCGGCUACUCUUGGGGUACGGUGUAGCUUAGACAGGCGGGACGAGUGUAUCGCAGUCCCUAGAGAGUUUUCUCCACCGGCUACUCUUGGGGUAUGGUGUAGCCUAAACAGGCGAAACGGGCGUAUUGCAAUCCCUAGAGAGUUUUCUCCACAGGCUACUCUUGGGGUGGUGUACGGGGUUGUUUCGACAGACGGGACGAGCGUAUCGCAGUCCCAGGUGAGAUUGGGUCAGAGUGAGGCAUCUUUCAUAUCUACAGAUAGCCUAUGUUGGUUAGCGAUAGUAUAGUGGCAUGUAGCUGUAGAGUUUUUUCAGCUUUCCUUGCUAUCCUUUGCGCAUAUUUCUGUAGACUUAGUGGGUGGGCCGUUGAGGUCGAUGACGGUACCCACUAAGAACUACUCUGUUUUGCAGUAGUUUUCACACCCAGUUGUUGACCCCUUUUUGUAGAGCCUUCGUCCGUGGCUGUUGCCGUCGCUGAUUCGGACCGUGGGAAGGGAGUCGUGAGCUAGAUCCCUACCAGUAUCGUUGCCAGUUAGAGGAGCACCUAUUUAGAGGUAGUUUUGGGCUUUCUUUGUACAUACUGCGAUGUUGUCGUUGUACUCGUUGGAGCGAGUUGGGUUGUAGACAUUUUGUAUGUACAGGAACCCCUCGUGGUUUUAUAUAUAUCUCUAUUUUUUUAGUUUAGCAGCUCUAUACUAUUGGUUGUAGUUAUGUUGUGAUUACAGGUACAGCUAUCGCUUUGUAUACACGAAAAAUUCCUAUGUGCCUCAUAGUCUCACUGCAUCGAAUAAGUGCCUCGUAGUCUCACUGCUUCCGCUCACUCUAUUGCUCUAAAUGACAUCGACUGUGCUUAUACGGCCCCUCUCCCAGCCGGUCUUACUGUCCCCAAAAUAGCAAAUGAGCCUCAUAGAGUGGAGGUUAUACACACCUUCAUCGUUAAGCACAAAUCCAGCAGGCAGGUCUGUUGGCGUGCCCAGGGAAACGCGGUAAUCCAGGGCGUGACACAAAAUUCACAAAAAAAACUUAAGCAUAAUCACUUUCAAUGGAGGAUUAGAAUCCUAGCAAUAAAUCUAAUACAAACCAUAAUAGAAAAAUCUAAUGCCAAAGACCCAAGUCCUGAAACCUUAAUUGACUAAAACAUAUUAUAACAUAGAUUAUAGAGAGAGAGAAAUGGGAAAGGAGCAAUUAUCUUAAAGUUUGGAGAAGAAUUCGGAGAGUCGCAAUAUCUAUUGAAGCCUCAAAAGCGCGGCAUCGAAGGCGACGGAGGAGCCUAACAUUUUGACAGAGCACAAUGGUUCGCAUCCACAUAAACUCCAUAUCUAAUCCACUGUCUGUUCUGCACCAUAUUGAUAUCUGUCGUCGCGAUGUCCUCCAUGAGGUUGUACAGCGGUAUCAAACCGGUCAUCGUGAGCCACGAAGAUAGGUACUGAAUUCCGAUGCAAGUGUUGAGCCGAAGGCUGCCAAGUGUCUAUAGCUCGUGCAGUGGGAGGAGGAGGCUGUGUUUGGAGACCAAGCAUAGUCCUUUUGUCCCCUCCCCUUGCCCCUUCUGUGACCUUCCCCUCGCCUUCCUCUUCUUCUUCUUCUCCUUAUCCACUGUCUCUCUUGGCCUUUUCGACUUUUCGACAGCCUCUGAUAGCACCGCGAAGGCAGAGGAGGUGAGGAUGCAGAGGCAGAGACGAAGGCUCCUAUCCAAGUAGGAGAGGUGGCGAAGGCGAGAAAUCUAGGAUCACAAUUAGGGUUUCGGUGAACCGAAGGGUGAGAUGAGGGUGAGGGCUACAAAGAGUCGGAGUUGGAAACGAUGCCACUGUUUCGCUCGGCAUCGUUUCGUUGUGGGGUGGAUUCACACUUCUAUUAAUUAAGUAUGAGGCAGAUAAUAAACAUAAGGUGGUUCCCACAUCUAUAAGGCUUACAAGUAAGUAAAAUUUGACACGUGACUUUUUCCACGAGGAUUAAUAUAUUAAAUUUAUAGAUAAGUUUAUGAUAGUAGGAGCAAUGUCAUUAAUUAUGAUCAAAAAAUGAUAGCAUAGAUUUUGAUCAUUGAACCUUCGCAAAUAGACAAGGUUGCAGUAUGUAUUGCUAGUCGCAUGUUUUUAGAAUGCUAGAUUGAGUUGGAGCUAUUUUGGUGCAAAAAUAUAACACGAAAAGCGGACUCAAAAAUUGAUAAUCAAUUCAAACAUAUUGAUAUAUGCAUUUACUGAUGCUGAAAGUGGUAUAGGGUGCCAAGACAUUGUGAGGAGUGGAUUUUGGUGAUUCAGGACCCUCCUUUGGCUAUCCGAAUUCGGCAUGUAGCGGCCCAAAAGUUAAGCACAGUGAUUUGACAGGUGAUAGGGUUACAUGUACAGGUGACUCAGCACGUGUUCGAGCGCAGGUUCCGGACGACCGAAUUGGUCCGGGCGCAAUUACUGCAGAUUUGGACUGAUGAAAGGCAGCGAGAGGAAGACACCGAAGGACACUGUUUGAAAGGUUUCGAAUGCCUGGAUAUGGGUUCUGAGCAACAAAACUGCUCGUUUUGGGCUGAGAUGAGAUAUUUGAUUUUGGAGGAGUUUUUGUUGGAAUAGAGAAAGUGGGAAUCACCAAAAGGCUCCUAUUUUUUUUUAUCUAGAGAAAUAUAAGCUUUAAGCUUGUACUUUUUUUUAUUUCUUCAUUAGUGGAUAUAUCUCUCUCGACUUCCGCAUGGAUGUAGAAAAUUGUCAACCACAUAAAUCUUAAUUUUUGUUUCUUCAUUUAUUUCUUUUACCAUUUAUUUCUUUUUCUUUUUUUGUGCAUCUGCGUUGGUACGUAUGAAGAACGACCAUUAAAGUUCCACACAUAGACUGAAUUUCGAUGUCAAAUAAAUCUUGUAUAUUGCCGGCAUUUGUCCUUUAUAAUUCUUGAUCAGUGGCUAAAAUUACCAACUUUAAUAUGUUAAAAAAUAAACUAGNNNNNNNNNNNNNNNNNNNNNNNNNNNNNNNNNNNNNNNNNNNNNNNNNNNNNNNNNNNNNNNNNNNNNNNNNNNNNNNNNNNNNNNNNNNNNNNNNNNNUUUUUUUUCUUUCUAAAAUGCCCCUCAUAUGUUCCACCAUUAUUCUAAAAUACCCCUACAGUUAUCCUCUGUUAGCUUAACUCGGGUUAAACAUGAGUUAAAUGUAUACUAGAGUUAAAAUCUAAAUAAAAUACCUAUUUUGCCCCUACCAUAUUAUACUAAUUCCUUAAGUUAUUCUCCUCAUACUCUUCGUUAUUCUCUUUCUCCCUCCUCCCCGUAUCAUCGUCCCCGACCCCGACCCCAACCCCAUCGUCGCGGAGAGGACGGCGACCCCUUCGACCCCUUCGACCCCUCGCUCCUCCUUCCCCCGCCCCGCGCUCGACUCCUUCCUGUCCCUCCUCGACGUCGUCCUCUCCGGGCGCUUCCGCUGGGGCGACCACCUCCGCCCCUUGGUCCCCUCUCCGCACGCCUCCACCGCCGCCAACCUCUCCGCCCUCUCGAAGCGCAGGCUCCGUGCCCUUCAGGAGCUCCUCCCUUCCAGGACCGGCUCCUCGAGGAGCUCCUUCUCCGCCGCUCUCGUUGUCGUCAUCCUCUUCCUCCGCCUCCUUGGCCGGCGCCAGGAGCAAGAGGACUACAGCGACGAUCCUAUCUUGCCAGAGGCCGUUCGCGUGCCGGGAGCAAGAGGGCGCGAUGUUGCGCGCGGGGGGGAGCAGCAUGUGCACGAUCCACGAGGCCAAUUUGGCCUCGUGGACCGGAUGAGAGGGAAGUCCAUGGUGGACCUCCCUCUCAUUAUAUAUAUAAAUAAAUAUAUAAAUAUAUAAAUAUAUAUAUAUAUAUAUAAUUUUAUUUAUAAAUAUAUAUUUAUAUAGUAUUUUAUUUAUAUAAUAGAAAUAUUAUUAUAUAAUAUUUUAUUUAUAAUUUUUUAAUUAUUUAUUGAUAUUUCAAAUAUACUCUUAUAUAUUAUUAAUAUAUAUUUAUUAUAAUUUUAAAUAUUUUAUCUAUAUAUAAAAUUAUUAUAAUAAUAUUUAUAAUAUAUUAAUUAUUAUAUAUAUUAUAUAAUAGCUGAAUUUUUUAUCUCGAAAUUUUAAUUGGUGAACGGUAUAAUAUCCGUUUAAAUCACGUAUCUGAAUAAUUGUCGAAUUCGUUUUUUGCAAAUAUUUUCAACUAAUUUAAAAAUUAAAAACUGAGAUUAUAUAUGUACGAAUUUUUACUGGAAUCCGAAUUAACUUAACUAAUACAUCUACCUGCCACCAAGUUUGGUUUAGCGCGAUCGAUAUCAUCUGUUCAUUCUGCUCGCUCCCGAUGUGCUUUAUAAUAUAAUUGAUAUUGGAGGGCAAAUUGAAAAGUAUUUACUAUAUGAAGGGUAAUAAGAAAAGUUAGUUAGCGGUACAAGGGUAUAUUGGAAUGGGCAAAAUGGUAAUUUUCUAGAGAAACGGCAGCUCACUGACGAACUUAACUACAGAGGUAUAUUAGAAAGACUUGGAACAUAAAGAAGGGUAUUUUCAAUAUUAGCCUUCUAAAGAGGCUAAAUAAGAAUAAGAAAACGCGAAACUUAUUCAGGGUAUAUAGCAAUUGCCCCUAAUGCUAUUAGGUUUUCGCUCUUGAUAAAAAAUAUAACCGUUAGGGAUGAUGUGGGUCCCCUAGGGUUGAGUAAGUUAUUAGUUUAGUAGUAUAAUUCUAUACGGUGAAAUAGUCAAAAGUGUUAAAUCUAAAGCGAAAAAAUUUGAUACAACAUAAUGCUUAUAUAUAUAUAUAUAUACACUAGCCGCUCUCUCUCUCUCUCUUCUCUCUAUCUAUAUAUAAUAUAAUAUAAUAUUAUAUAUUAUAGAGCUCAGUCUCUGUUACCUAUCUAAUAGUAUAUCUGGGGCUCCGGUACUAUAUCCUGUUUGUUCGAUCUUAGGGUGUUCAAAUCAACGAUCCACACCGUAAAACUGAUAUAGGGUAUUUAAAGUUUUAGAAAAUAAAAUUUUAUAUUUUUUCGACAUAGUUUACUUUAUAUCAAACCAUUUCAAUUGUCAAUUUUCAAUGCUACUAUGGCGAAUUGGAGUUUAACGGUGUAGAAGAAUCUAAUUUCUUCAAAUUUUGAUGAAAGUACUUUAAACUAUCUAGAUAAGGUUAACAUUCUUGAUCUUGAAUUUAAAAGCCUAUGCUCAAAUUUUAAAGAUUAUUCAAUUUCCACCGUCCAUUUUGACAUAAAUUAAUUUACUAAGUAAACAAUGUCGAAAAAAACUAAAAUUUUAUUCCUAAGAACUUCAUAUACGCCUAGAUCAUAUUUAACGGUGUGGAUCGUUAAUUUGAACACCCUAAGAUCGAAAAAGACUAUAGUACCGGAGCUCCUGUAUCUAUAGAUAGUGUAGUAGCCUAAUUCUAUAUUAUAUAUAUAUAUAUAUAUAUAUAAGAGCUAGGUUGCUAUAGCUAUCGUAGCACGGAGGCACGGACACCUCCGUCUACCAAGUUGUUUUCAAUGAUACCGCGCUUCCAAAUCGACGAUCGCUGCCGUUAGACUUGAUCUACACUAUUGAAAAUAUUUGGAAACUAAAUUUCAUAAUUUUCUGUAUCAUUUACCUAUCAAACAGUAGUCUAAAAAAUGGAACGGCUGAAAAUAAAAAUCUCAUAAAAAAUGAUGAUAGAAGCACUUGAAUUAAGAUCAGAGUUACUGAUCUUACUCAAAUAGUAAAAAGAAAUUUUAUUAAAAUUUCAUCUUGAUUUGGAUUUUUUAAGCAACCGUUAAAUUUACAAAUGCAUCACAUCUACUAAAAUUGUCAAUUUUGAGACCUUUUGAUUACUAGCAAAUAUGUCGAAAAUUUGAAAUUUAUUUCCUAAUACUUUCAUAGUGUAGAUCAAGUUACUAACAAAGCCGAUCGUCCAUUUGGAAGCCGCACCAUCGAACAAAACUUGAUAGCACAAAGCUUCUUGCCUACCGAUAGCAUAGCAGCCGGACUCUAUAGAUAUAUAUACAUAUAUAUAUAUAUAUAUAUAUUUACAUAUUUGUAUAUAUAUACACAUAUGUAUCAACUUGUCCUGAUUUUCAAACAACCUAAUUGAGCCUUUGGUCAUAUACUACAACUAUCGUAUUGUUGCUGCUGUUUUGAGUGGGGUCCUUUGGUAAAUAUACUACAGUCUUAAGUUGAUAAGGUCGUGACAUAAUAUCACGAAUAUACAAAUGUAUAUGUUGGAGAAAAGAGCCUACUCUGAUAUUUUUUCUUAAUCGUAAAGUAUUAUUCUAAUCUGUUAAUCGAGCAAAGCUGUACUAGUUCUAGGCACUACAGAGUUAAGUGUUCUUACUAUUCUUUUGGUCAUACUAUAUCAGCAUUGAAGAAUUGAUUACUUACCACACUAUGUUGCAGAAUUUUUAUUUGUUUGGAAGUGAUGAGAGCCGAACAUCUUGGAGAGUUCUUAAGAUUGAUAGGUCGGAGCCAUCAGAGCUCAACAUUCGAGAGGACUUCAGUACAUACACACAAUGUGAAUGUUUUGACCUGUUGAAACGGAUAGAUGAAGGAAAUAGGUCAACUGGUGGACUAAAAUUUGUUACAACCUGUUACGGCAUCAUUGGUAAGUUAGUAAUUUCUAUCUUAUUGCUACUCCAAAUACUGUUGAGCUAACUGUGCCAUCUCUUGGCAAUUUGUUUAUGAAACAUUUCUUUGACAGGUUUUGUCAAGUUCUUGGGACCCUAUUAUAUGCUGCUUAUUACUGAAAGAAAGCAAAUUGGGGCUAUAUGUGGUCAUGCUGUAUAUAAGAUCACCAAAACUGAUAUGAUUAUGCUUCCAAAUUCCUGCAUGCAGUCCAAUCUAGUCAAUAAGGACGAGAACAGGUGAGCUGCUUUCUUCAUGUCAUAUGAUGUAUAAUUUUGUUAUGUUUACAACUUGUCAUUCCUGUAUCUAGUGUUAAAGAAGAUUUGAUGACGAGCUCAUUAGUAAAAUUUGCUGUAAUGCUUGAACUUUAUCGGUGAUUCACAAGUGCCAUGAGAAAAUACAAACAUGAUUGGUACUCUUCAGUACCUCUAUUUCUUUUCAUUUCUUAAUGGUUCUUUAUUUUACUUUUAUUUACAUGCAAUGAAAAUUUUUUUUUGUAUUUUUUUUCUUUUUGUAAUGGGAAUGGUGGAUACUGUUUGCUGGUAGCAGCUGUUUCUCAUAUUAUAUUAUCACUAUUAUUAUUGUUUUAUAGUGGUGACUGUUUUUACAUCAUUGUAGGAUUAUUAAGUGCUUGAGUACCAAAUCACUGUUAUUUGCAUACUAUAGUAAGCCUAUUCAGUUGUGAAAUAGUUACAAAUGAUUCUUUAUACAUUCUUUUGGUAAUCUAAAAUUUCUUGCUUUUUACACUCUUUAGCAUUAUCACCUUAUCUCUAUUAUUAUGUGCCAUCCCCAGUUUACCCAUUCAGCUUUCACAGCAUUCCUUUUUUUUCCCUCUAAUUACUAUGCAGGUACAAGAAGCUCUUAUGCACCAUAGAUCUCACGAAGGACUUCUUUUUCAGCUAUUCAUACCACAUCAUGAGAAGCCUUCAGAAGAACUUACGUGAUAAACAGAAAGGACAGGCCUUAUAUGAAACUAUGUUUGUCUGGAAUGAAUUCCUAACACGAGGAAUUCGUAAUCACCUUAAGAAUACACUUUGGACUGUUGCAUUAGUAUAUGGGUUUUUCAAGCAGGUAAAUCUAAAACAAAUUGAUGUUUUACUAACUUUAUCAUUCAUAUUUGAAGAAAAUUAAUUACUGGGGAAAACUUGAAAAGCCCUGCAUGUUGGAGUGGCACGUUUGCAGUUUACUCUCCUGUGGUUCAAAGUUUAGUACUUCGCCCUUGUGUUUUUGUUUAAAAAUUCCUUGGUUAAGUAAUUUGUCAUAAAAAAGGGUGGAAUGUGCUAUGUUUUGUAAACUGCAAGGUAGUGCAAUAUGGCACUUAAUUAGUAUGUGAUUUGCACUUUACCACCUGUGGUUUAUAAAAAUGUGGCUCUUUGCUACCCUUUUAAUGGCAGGGUCUUGUGGAAACAGACCAAAGCCACAGGGGAGUAAAGUGCUAUAAUUUGAACCACAGGGUCAUAAACUGCAAAUGCCUAUUCUACAGGUGGGGUUUUUAUAAGUUCACCCUUUUUUUUGUGCUGAUAGAUUAUGUACAACAAGCUAACCUAAUCAUGGAAGUGUAUUUUGUUAUUUUUGAAACAGAUAAACUAAUUUACUGGAUUUUGGUGCCUUUUGUUCUCUUCACUGCUCUUAGUCUUGUUUUUCUUUUGCAUCAUCACAUGUUCCAUAAGAUAAAACUGAUGGUCAUUUUAUAUGCAAAUUCAGGACACAUUUUCAAUAUCUGGGAGAGACUUUCUGUUGACACUUAUAGCUAGACGCUCAAGGCAUUAUGCUGGAACCAGGUUCUUGAACAUUAAACACUUUUUAAUUAGUUUCUCUUUUGAUGACUGCAUGAGAUUAUCUAUGUUGAUUGCAAAUAAGUCAGAUAAGAAAGUUAUUUCUUGUUUGUUUUGGACAAAGAAGUGGAGUGUUAAAUUGCUUGAUGCCCAUCAUCCUUUUUUGGAUCAGGUAUCUAAAGCGAGGUGUUAAUGAGAAGGGUAGGGUAGCAAAUGAUGUUGAGACAGAACAGAUUGUAUCUGAAGAAAUUCCUGGUGUUACUUCCACACAGAUAAGUUCUGUUGUGCAGAACAGGGGUUCCAUUCCGCUUUUCUGGUCACAAGAAACCUCAAAGUUGAAUAUUAAACCUGAUAUAAUAUGUGAGUUAUAAACAGCUGCUAUGCAAUCUUCAAAAUAAAGCUUCUAGGUCAUGCACUAAAAUGGUUGUUUCCUUUUUUCUUCAGUACAUCACAAGGAUAAGAAUUUUGAGGCUACCAGGCUCCAUUUUGAGAACCUUGUUAAUAGAUAUGGAAAUCCUAUUAUUAUUCUUAACCUGAUUAAGGUGAGUUUUCGAUAUUAGUAUAUCAUUGUACAGGAAUAUUAUUAUGUUACCAGUUGUUUGUAUAUGCUAUCUAAAUGAGAUCUGUAUGAUAGUCAUGAACUUCCAACUCUUACCUUUUUCUUGAUUGUGUUUGGCAGAGGCAUGAGAAAAGACCUAGAGAAUCUCUACUCCAUAGAGAGUUUGACAGGGCAAUCAAGUUCUUAAAUAAUAGUCUAACGGAGGAGAACCAUUUGAGAUUCUUACAUUGGGAUCUCAACAAAAAUUCUCGGAAGUACUAAUGUUAUUCUUCAUUUAUCUUUUCUGUAUAGUUUAUGACUUAAAAGCCAUCAUUUUUGAGAUAAAACUAAAUAUAGGAGUUUCUUGCAGCAAAGCCAAAAACGUGCUUACUGUACUGGUGAAAGUAGCGUUACAAGCCAUAAGUUUAACAGGCUUCUUCUAUUGUCAAGUGAUACCAACACCAAGGCCUGAUGGUGCCCCUAUUUUGAAUGUUCUUUCGUAAGUAUCUUUCAAGAUAGUUUAUCGUGAAUUACUUUUAACUUUGUCAUGGGCUAUCUAUGUAUUAUUACUUUAUUUUUGAAUGACUCCUGAGAAUAGGCAUUUGUUCAGUAACUUAGUAGCUGACUUGAUAAAUCUUCAAAAUGCUGUCCCGUUUACCUGGAUUGUAAGCAAUUAUGACAAUUUAAUCCUCUAUUACUAUGUUAUUAAUAGAGAUGUAUGUUAGGCUGGUAUAUGAAACAUUUCUAUGUAGAAAAAAUAAACCAAAGAUAAAACCCAUGUCUUGCAUGGCCUUUUCUGUCAUAUUAUCUUUUCUCGAAUAAUCAAAUCAUAUGAGAUAAUUUCAUUUUGAAAUUCAUUAAUAUUAUUAUACUUUACCCCUCAGAGGGGGAAAAAACUUUCAAAUUCCAUAUUGGAGGUUGGGUGGUUGGGCCAUCCUAAAUCCCCUUUCAAUCACCAGAGUUUGGUUACGUCUUUCAUCAACAAUCAGAUCAGAGAAUUUUCAACCAAGGGCUAAAAAAGCUGUUUGUAUAGACUGUUCAACUCUCAAUGUCCUUUGGUUAAUACAAUUUGAAUAUAAUAAGAGGUAUUAAUGCACGUAGGAUUAUGAUAUUUUUAAGUUUGUGAUUGCUUGAUAGCAUUUUGAAAUGCGCUGGGAGUUUAUGACUCCUAGACACUAGUACAAGUUAGCAACAUCAGUUAGCUAACAAUUUUACUUGCUUCAUAGUUGAGUGACAUUUGAACGGCAAUAUUUUUUUCUGCAACUAAAUAUCAAACUAAAGUUUUCAAGAGUACUUUGAUGCAAUGAGUUAAAGGUAACUAAUUCUCUAGUCAAUAGGCCAAUGCUACAUUUAUUGGGAACUCCAAACACCUUGGACUACAAUUAGUUCCAGGAUUUGGUUAAUUAAUCUGAAUUAGUGACUCAAUCAGGCAAACCAGAUGUAUAUGUGAUGAUAAUAGUGAAAACUCAGAUCUCCAACUAUUUGUUCAACUAAUUUGUGUUAUUUAUUUUGAGGUUGAAAACUUUGUGAAAAUUGGCAGUUCUCAAGGUCUUUGACCACAUUUAAUAUAUCUAUAGCCAAGAAUGAGCACACUACAUCCACUCUCAAGUUUGAAGAGUGUUCAAUUGUAUUUGUAAUUUUACUCUUCCUUUCUGUACCUCAUUCUUUCUCAUCGUUAUUUUUGCUGCUUGUAGGAAGGAUAAUGUUGGCCACUAUUCAUCUGAUAACAACAGCAAUAGUGAUAAUACAGAUGAUGUUGAUACGUUGUGUGAUGGAUCCCAAGAAGAUGUCUCUUUAAGCUCUGACGUAUCUGGUCACGCAAUCGCAGAGGAUAAAGUCGAAAAUAGUGAAAUUUGCAUUGUCAAACCAGCAAAGUUCCAAAAUGGUGUUGUGCGCACGAAUUGCAUAGAUUGCUUGGACCGUACUAAUGUUGCACAAUAUGCUUACGGUUUAGCUGCUCUUGGACAUCAACUUCAUGCAUUGGAUAUUAUAGCUGUCCCUGAGAUUGAUUUAGAUGACCCUUUGGCUAAAUAUCUAAUGUGCUUUUACGAGAGAAUGGGUGACACUCUUGCUCAACAGUAUGGUGGCUCUGCUGCUCACAACAAGGUAUGUAUGUGGAAUUGUAUCAACGUAUCUCAUCCACUAAUAUCUGGAGGACAUACUUAUUUUCUCCAUCCAAUUUGCAGACAUUUGAAUUUACUAGGGCAUGCAAUCAUUGUUAAAAUUAUUGUGGAAAAUGGGAAGUUAGUAAUGCUUUGUCAUUGGUCUAAUCAUUCAUGUUCUAUGAUCGUAGAUAUUCUCUGAGAGAAGAGGUCACUUGAAGUUGGCAAUUCAGUCUCAGGAGUUCUUUAGAACACUUCAAAGAUACUAUAGCAAUGCCUAUAUGGAUGCUAAUAAACAGGCUGCUAUAAACCUGUAAGUCCAUGCCAAUUUACCCUUAAAAUUUGCUAAGUCCAUUUCUUGUUAUUUUUACUUCUAAUAAAAAAAUUGGUGAACUUAAGGUUACUUUAAUAGCAAUGCUUUUGUUUUCCUGUAUUGCAGAUUCCUGGGCUACUUCCAACCUCAAGAGGGUAAACCAGCCAUUUGGGAGUUAGACUCUGAUCAGCAUUGCAACCUAGGAUAUGAUCACCAUUUCCCUUACAAAACUUCAAGGUACUAUUGCUGUUCUUUUGCAGGCAUUAUGGAAGUUUGUUAGCUGAUUUCAUCGAUAUUAAAUUGGAAAUUUCAGGCAAUGUUUACAUUAAAAUGAGAAUGGCACUGUUGCUUAUUUCUGCUUAUUUUUGUUGUAAUAUCCCAAAGUCACAAAUUCUGUUGGGAUACUCUAUAUAUUAUCCCAAUCAAGCUUCUGGUGCAACAAACUUGGGCUUGGAGACUUGUUACAGUGUUGCCUACAAUACUCGCAUACCAGGAUUGGACAUAAUUCUUUAGGUUCAUAGUAUAAUUGUUUAGGUCAUUGCAUUCAGCCAGCUUAAUUUUUCACAAGUUACCUCGAAAAGUAAAAUAAUAACCGGACGCAGACUGGACAAAAGGAAAUGUACUCUGCCGGAGAGAGGAAAGAAUAAUAGAGAGAGCACCUUUUAAUGAAAAGGAAGAUCGAACUGGCUAAGUUGAAAUAUCUUAAUUUCUGGGUAAGUACGUUUAAAUGUGUAUAGGAUUCCCAAUUUAAGCCAGAUGAGCAAAUUUAAUUUAUACCUGACAGAACUCACAACUGUCCUAUGGAUUAAACAGAUAAUAUCCUGUCAAUUUUCAUGCCUUGUUUAUUUUGUAUCAUCAAUAUUUAUGAAUGGGCUGGACAUUCCUACUACAUAUGUUCCUUCGGGAUUCUUCUAUCAGCAUAAAAUAGGAAUCGUCCCCAACCCCUCCCCCCACACAAAAAAAAGAACCACCCAAACACCUUUUUCUCUCCUUUUUUUUAAAAUUUUUUAAUAGCUUAAAUGUUUGUUUUUCGCUAUGUCUCUGAUGAUUUAUGUGAAUUCAGCUGUCCUUACAUCUAUUAAAUGAAGUUUGUUAAGUUAAAAGAUGUACUUUCUACUGAACAUGCGCAUUUGACCUGAUAGGUCAUUCAUCAAAAGGUCUCUAUCAGAUGGCAACAUUCUUCGCGAAAGCAGUUCACCUUUGUCCAGCUGUGAUGCUCGUGUAAAUGGAGCCCUAAACAAAGCACUCUCUGAUUCAAUAGAAGAGACUUCAAAUGGCAUGAACAAAGUAUCAUACUCAAGGUAAUUUAUCCAAUUUUCUUUUGACUGUAAGCCUCUUAAAAUUUCUGCCAAAAAUUUACUUAUGUUUUUAUUAAUAAUGCAUUUAAAAGACCCAAUUUUCUAGCAUUACUGAUAACAAAAUGGUGUUAUAUGAUACCAAAAUCAAGUAUGUCAUCUUGAUUUAUGUUUGUAGAGGACAACAUGCACUACUAAAGCAGUUGAAACUCAACAUGUAUAUUUUUAUGCUCUUUAAUGUACCUACAGGUUUAACUUCUGUAUGAAGUUAAAAAUAUGGCACAAUUAUCAAAGUUAUUGUGAUUUCUUUUCAUUUAUUCUCAGCCUGCCGUAGUUAUACUGUAACACCUGCUUAGAGCGGAUUUUUUGUUAGUUAAUUUGCUGAUAAGUUGACUGAAAUUUCUCCAUCAAUUGUAGGACCACUCCCACAAUACCUCUUAAGCAGCUUCUUAUAAAUGGGGAAUAUACUUUUUACUAUGAACCUGGAGAUUCAAACUUUCUGAACCUUGAUUCACUGUACUCUUCUGGAUGGGAGGAAGAAACAUAUGAAAGGUGAUAUGAUAUUUUUUUAGUCAUCUUUAUAUUGAAGUCUGGCACACAGUUUUAUUGCUUUCCUUUUUCCGUUCUGGUGUGGGUCAGCGUGUUCCAUUUCAAGUUUCUCAUAUUCACUAUAGUCUUAUAAAGUGUUCCAAGUUAGUCUUUUUCUCUUGACGAUUUGUUGAAUGCUAGUGAUUGUUCAACUUAUCUGGAGUCUCUAUUGCCUUAAUUGUAUUUAUAAACUUUUUAUAUUAUUUUGUUCAAUUUCUGUUUUAAUCUUCCAAUUUCUUUUUGUGGCAUUAAUUGUCUUUCACUGGCUCAAAUCCUGUUAAAAAAAACUUCUGUUCAGUUUGUCGAACUUUGAAUUCUCCCCAUGGAAAUCUCAUUGAAAAGUGGAUUUUUGUGAAAUAUUUAGUUUUAAUCCUUAAUAUCCAUGCAGGUCUACGGCCGCAAGCACACCAGUUGGGAAUCUUUCAUUGGAAAAUGUUAUCAAUGGCAUAGCAACUGAGACAAGUACACCUCCAAGUGUAACUGGCAUAAAGGUUAGUAGCUACCAUUAGAUCCUUCCUCACCACCCUUACUGGAUAAAUUCUGUUCAUAUUUCUUGGCAUGGUUUAUCAGCCUUUAUUGGUUACACCAAUCACUAAUCUUGAUUACGGUUGACAUGUCAGAUUUCAGGUACUAACAGGAGUUUGAUGUACCUUUUUUUUUUUUUGCGAGUAAAACUAACGAAAUACAUUAGAAUUCCCUUGAUUCCCAUUGGCUAGUUAACACAUUGAACAUAGAGCAGAACUGCUUUUUGCUGCUAGUCUUUCUUUUUCUAAGGAAAUCCAAAUUUAUUUUAGUUGCUAUGGAAUCAUGUAUAAAAAUGAGUCUCUAUAUAUCCUUUGGACAUCAAUUUCUAGUGGCUUUCCCUUCUUUUAGCUACUCAUUGUCUUCAAACACCUUUCUUGCUCAGUAGCAAGGAGUAACCAAUUGGUACUAUUGAUAAAAAGAUAAGAUUAGUGAUGAAAUCUUCUGUAUCAAGAACAGAAAUGAUGAAAUUUCAUCGUCAGCUACAACUUAUUGAUUGGCUUUGCGCUAUAAUUGCAUGGUGUUCCCUUCGUUUUUUUUGUUUAUUCAUAUUAUAAUUUCACAGCAAACGAUGAAUAAUGUGAGCGAGUUGUAACUGUUGAAUAAUUAUGGCAGGGAAAACAGAGUGCGGAAAUACUAGAGUAUGAUGCUUCCCAACACUCUGCCAUGUUAAGCGAGUUCAAUGAGAGUUUUGUGAAUUGGGUCAUUCACGGUGAUACUCUCUGUCGGUAAUGCUGAUCCCUUCAUAUAUAUUCAUACAUUCCCUCUAUGACCCCAUCCCGUGGAUGUGUCGGGGCCGCAACAACAUGUACAAGUUAGCAUGAAGGGAGAGAGCCCUCCGCAGGUUAUCUGUUGUGAUAUGUCACUACUAUCUGCUUAUCCUUUUUGAGUCUGUGUACAAGUGCUGUUAAUUUUUGUUGCUCCUAUUUCUUUGCUCAUAGCUGGCUAAAUAGUAUGAGUACAUAAUAAAAUGAUUCUUUUUUUUUCUUUUUUUGGGUUUAAAAAAGAAACAAAUCUGUAUAAUUGUUUAUCGGAAGCUGGAAUUUCCCACUAUGUAAAUAUAUGUAACGAUGCUACGCUCUAUUGAGCUCCUUUCUCUUUUUAAUAUUUGUUUUCUUGCUCAGUUUUAAUGUAUCUUUUUGGUAUGGAUCUGAUUAAACCAUUUAAUAGCCCACCGUAAAGAGCAGUAAUAAUGGUGCGCGAUAUUGAGUGGUCUUUAUUUCAUCUUGUGAUUGAGGUAAUGAGAAUCACUCGUGCUUGCAUUUCUCAUGGAUUACUGAUGUGUUGUCCGUCAGUAAAUAUUUUAAGCUGAAGUGGGGUUUUUUAGUGGUAUGAAGUCGGUCGUCCUGAAUUUGAUGGGGCAUGAUGCGCUUUGCAGUUGUGAUUUUGUUUUGUUUUGUUUUGUUUUGUUUUUUUUUAAAAUAUUCUCUCUCUCUAUUUUUUUUAUUUAUUUUUUAUUUUUAUUUUUAUUUUUAUUUUUGUUGCAUUUUACCAUUUUGGGUCUGUUUGUAAUUAACUCAGAAUUGAAGCCCCUUGUGUGUAUCUGACUGAGUUCACGGAACUGGAAGAUCACACCUCCCUUGGGGGGUGUUGGGUGAUAUAUGUGGCAGGUUUGCACCCCUACCAAGGAAGCGUAACACACCACGCGGGGAAUGUUGAGCUUCCUAAUUUAUGUACGGGGUUCUUUUUCAUUUGUAUUAAUUAUUAUUCAAUGAUAGUACUGUGUUGUUUCUUUUUUAUAUCCUUUCUUAGAAGUAACUUGUUCAUGUAUAAUGGCAAUUAGAUGUUGGUAAACUCCAUGAUGAUUUGACAUGAUUUAGGAAGAGAAAUGGGCAUUGGCCGUAUUUUGGAAUUACGAUUAUACUGUCUGUAGAUACACAUCCAAACUUGAUAUUUGGUUUAACGGAAAACUGGAAUUCCCCGGUAUGUAAACGUAUGUAACGAUGCUAUCUAUGCGCUCGGCUGAUCCCCUUUCUCUUUUUUUUAGUCAUUUUCUUGCUUAGUUUUAAUGUUUUCUCUUUUUUUUUUUUUGGCUUGGUUUGGAUCUGACUAAAAACAUUUGAUAGUCCGGCGUAAAGAACAAUAAUAAUGGUGCGAUACGGAGUGAUCUUCAUUUCAUCUUGUGACUUGGGUAAUGCGAUUAACGUACUCGUGCUUGUAUUUCUCAUGGAUUACCGGUAUGUGUGAGUCAAUAAUAAUAAGGGCUUGUUUGGUUCAUCCAUUUUAGGUAUGGAAUGGAAAUCGGUUUGAUAAAAUCCGGUUAAUUUUGUUUGGUUCGCAUGAAUCGGUUUGGAAUUCCUAUUCCGGACUGAAAUCAGAAUGACCCAUUAACCUUCAACUUGAUUCCAGUCUUCUAGCCCGGAUUGAGAUUUCAUUCCGGAAACCCAUGUGACCAUCUCACCCUCCUUCUCUUCACCCCUUUCUCAUUAAAAAAAAAAAAAAAAAGAAAAAAAACUUAUCCUCUCUCAAACCCUAUCCUAACCACACCAAUAAAAGUUUUUAAAAAUAAAUUUGAUAUUUUUUUGAAAAACUUAUUAGAGAAUAGUAUUAUAUUAUAUAAAUUUAAAAUAAUAUAAAUUUAUAUUUGAGAGUAAAAUUAGUAUUAGUAUUUAUAUUUUUUUAGUUUAUACGAACUAAACAAUAAAAUAUGAAGAACUCAUUCCAAUUCCCAAUCCACAGAUAAACCAAACGUUUUGAUGGAGUGGGCCAUUCCAAUUACCAUUCCAAUUCAUUCCCAUUCCAUUAUCCAUUCCAAUUUUACCCUUAACAAACAAGCCCUAAAUGUUUAAGCUGAGGCGUGUUUAGUGUGGCAUGAAAUCGUCCUGAAUUUAAUUUGAUGCGGUUUGAUGCGCUUUGCUGUCAUAGUUUUGUUCCUUUUUUUAUUAUUUAUUAUUAUUAAUUAUAUAUUCUCUUUUUUUUUUUUUUGUUAUAAUUUAUCACAUUGCGCCUUGUUUAUUUAUAAACUUAUGAGUGGCACGCGAGGAACCCUAUAUAUAUAUAUAUAUUAAUUUUUUUCUCACAACAUUUUUUUUUGUUUUUGUCUAUACUAAGCGUAAAAUUUUAUAGUAUGAACCAACUUUAUUUUUUAAUAGUCAAUAUAACAAAAUUAAAAAUUUAUUUAAUAAAUAUAAUCUAUAAUUAAUAAAAAAUUUAUUUACAAAAAUUAAUAAAAUUUUAACUUUAUAAUAAACGUUUAUAAAUAUGAUGUAAAAAAGUUGUACACCGAAUAUAGGCCCUUAAAUACAAUCCAUAAUUAAUAAAAAAAUUUAUAUAUAAAAAUUAAUAGAUUUUUAUCGUUAUAAUAAAUUUUAUAAAUAUAGUGUAAAAAAAUUAUACACCGAGUGUAUAAGAGAUGCAUACUCAUACAUUGUAUAUGAUAAAGUUUAGCUUCUUAACAAAAUAAAACUAUAUAAUGUAAGAGAACCAAAAGAAGCCCUUACCUUAUUUUGGAGGGUUUGUGGGGCCCACAUAUAUAUUUUUUUAAGAUUAAUUAUAUAUUGAUUCUCAACCUUUCCAACACCUGUCAUUUUGGUCCUUUAUUUUUUUUUUUCAAUCAAGUUUUCAAAUUUUUUUCAGUUUAGUCCCCAAAAAUAAAAUUUAAAAUUUUGAAUUUAAAUAUAGAAUUAACAUUAAAAUCUUAAACUAAUUAGCAAUUAAAGUUCUAAAUUAUAAUUUGCUUUGAAUUUUAAAUUAAAUCUAAAUUUUGAUUUCAAACUAUGAUUUGGGAACCAAAAGAAACCCUCCCCAAAAAUAAAAAUUUUAAGUUUUAAAUUUAAAUCUGAAAUUAAUAUUAAAAUUUUAAAUUAAUUAGCAAUUAGUUAUAAAUGAUAAGUGAGUUUAUAUUCUUCAAUAAUUAUGUAUUAUAAAUAAUUUUAAUAUUUUAUUUAUAAAUUUAUAAUAAUUUAUUUUGAGAAUCAACAAAGAUAGUAUUUUUACUUUAAUUAAUUUUUUUAUUUUUUUAUUUGUAAGUUCUACACAGAUAAUAAUAAAAAAUAUUAUGUAUUUGUUUAAUAUUACAAUGAGCUUUUUAUUUAUUUUAAACUGAUUUAAAUAUUUAUUUUAGACCCACUCCCAUCUCUCUCUCUUUUUUGAUUUUUUUUCCUUUUCUAACCCCUCUUAUUUUAGAGUGUUAUUGGCCACAUACAAAAAAUAAAAUUUAAUUUUAAUUUAAAAUUUAAAUUAAUACAUACAAUCUAAAAUAUUUAAAAAUUAGGCAUAAAUAAUUAUAUAUUUUAAAAUUUUAUUAUAAUUAAAAUAUAAACUUAUGAAUUUACACCGAACGAGUGUUAAGAUCAGCAUUAUUGUUUGUAAUCAAAACUUGCAUAUCUAAUACAACUGAUCACAUAUGAAAAUGUAUCUAAAACUUUCUUAUUUAAUUAAUUAAAAUAUAUUGUUAUUUACUUUAUAAAAUAUAUAUUUAAUUAUUUAUAAAGAAGAUAAAUGAGCCCGUUGCGUAGCACGAGUUCCUUAACUAGUUUGUAAUUAAUUCAGAACUGAAGCCUGUGUAUCUGUCUGAGUUUAAGGAAACUCGAGAUCACGCCUCCAAAGGAAAAAUUCUAGAAGCAAGGGGUAUAUUGAUAACGUGACGUAACAAUCCAAUUAAAUAUAUUCUUUUAAGGGUAUAUGUCCCAUCAUGAUUAUAGAAAAAUAUUUCUAUUGUACUUUUGUUUGAAAAGAAGUAAUAUAAUUGGCUUGUUAUUGAUGAUGUGGUGACAGUGUAGAAUUCCUCCCUCCAAAAACCCUUUGGAGGGUUUGGAUGGUGUCCCAGUUUGCACCGUACCUGAGGAGUGUAAAACAAACGUUACACAACUGCACGGGACAUAUUGAGCUUGGGUCCUUUUUAUUUGUAUUAAUUAUUCGAUAAAAGUACUGUUUUCUUUACUUUUAUAUAUAUUUAGAGACGGAGAGAAAUGAUUCGGAACUUUACUUUAUAAAAAAUAAAAAAAAAUUAACCGUUGAUCAAUAGAGGGUAAAGAUGUAAUUUUAGUAGGUAAAUGGUUACUUUAUUCGAGAUUAUUUUUGUAAUUAAACUUUGCAAUAUUUAAAGAAAAAUUAAAAUUGAUAUCCUAAAUUUACGCAUUAAUUUGCACUAAUUUGAUGAAUUGAUGGAUAACCCAAAUUUAGGUAUUAAUAUAGGCAUUUAUUUUAGAUAUUUUAGUGUUUCUCAAAUUUAGGCAUUAAUUUAAAUUAUAGAAAUUUUAGAAAUAUUAAAUAUUAAACAUUAAAUAUUAAAUAUUAAAUAUUAAAUAUUUAAAUUUAAGUUAGAGGAAUUUUGUAUUACUGUUUAAAAAAUUUGUAAUGUUGGUAAAUAUUUUAAUUCAACAUAUUUACUAUGUUUAAGAAACUUUUAAAUUCCUAUAGUUUAGAUAUUAAUUUUGUAUCACCUGUUUAAAAAAAUUUGAAUGUAAGUAAAAAAAAUAUAAAUUAAAUGUAUUUAAUAUGUUAAAAAAUUUAGAAUUAUUCUACUUUAGACAUUAAUUUUGUAUCACUAUUUUAAAAUAUUGUAAUAUUGGUAAAUAUUUAAAUUUAACAUAUUUAAUAUAUUUAAUAAAAUUAUAAAUUUGUCUUGUUUAGACAUUAAUUUUGUAUUACUAAUUUUAAGCAAUUGAAUGUGGGCAAAUAUUUAAAUUCAACAUAUUUAAAAUAUUUAAAAAAAUUUAAGAAUUUUUCUAAUUUAGAUAUUAAUUCUUUAUCACUAUUUAAAAAACUUAAUGUGGAUAAUUAAUUAGAAAUAUGGGUAUAAUUCAAAUUUAUUCUUAGAAUAGAAUUGUAUCGGCAAAAUUAAUUCAAAUUUUAAAAGUAAAAUUUAAUUUUUUAAAAUAAUAAGAUCAUAUAUUGUAAUUUAAAAUAUAAGUUGAAAACAAAAUAAAUUUGAAGUUUAGAAUCUAAAAACUAUACAAAAAUCUCCAAUAAAUCUAAAUAGUAUAGUGCAAUUUAAACUUACUAAUAAAUCUAUAUAUAUAUUGAAAAAAUAUAUAGGAUAUUUCAAAUAUUUUCUAAUAAAAUAUAACAUAUAAAUUUAUAAAAUAUAAUAUUUAUUGUAAUUUUUUGAAUAAAUAUGAUGUAAAAAUUUAUAUUGAUUUAAAUAAAUUAAAAUAAUUUUUACGUGCAUUUACACGUUCACUUAGCUAGUAUAUAUAUAUAUAUAUAUAUAUAGAGUUGGACUGGGCUGACUAUAUAGCAAAUCCUUUGUUGCUAUUCAGUAUUCUUAACCUUUGAAUCAACUCUUUUUAUCAUUUUACCAUUGAAUUAAAUACUUUAUACCCUGUGGGACACUCACCUAGGGGGACCACUCAACUCUAACUGAAAUAUCAUCCUACCCUAUCAAUUUUUCAUCCAUGGGUUAAAAACUUGAUAGCAAAAAAGGUUUUACUAUUAAUAGUAUUCUAGCCAAUCUAGAAUAUAUAUAUAUUAAUAGAUACUCGAGAGAGAGAGGAGAGAGAGUGAGGAGAAAGAGAAGAGAGAGGAGGUCAGAGACGAGAAGAGACGAGGCUGCUUCUACUUUUAACUAUCUAUAAUUUUUCUUUUUGAUGCAUGUUAGGAUAGAGGAAAAAAAGUUGAAGAGAAAUUUCAAGAAAGAAAAAAUUGUGACACCUAAAGUUCUUCUAAUUCUCUAUCUCUCUUAUCUAACCAUCCAUCAAAUUAAUGAAUGGUUAGGUUUGUGGAUUUAAAGAGCUGGCAGCUGUACUAAUAGCUAGUAAGCCCUUACGUAUACCUAUACUAUAUAUAAAGAUACGUAUUUGAAAUAUUCGUUAGCGUACAGAUCUAAUUUGAAAAAUAGACAAUAUAAGAUAAGAAUAGAACCGUUAUGAAUAAAUAUGUAAAGAUAAGAAGAAACGCGUUGGAAAUGACUAAUGGAGAGGAUAAGAAUAUGAACUAUUGGAAUGAAUAUGAAGAAAUAGAUAGAAACCGUGAAAUAAAUAGUAUAAGAUAAUAGACACCAUUUAAAUCAAAUAGAUAGAAUGAAUAAGAAACAAACUGUACGCCCCGCAACUUCACAGCAAGAGCUCACCGUAGGCCACAUGCCAUAACCCCGUCACACUGUAACACCCCAUCUAUGUGUACACACCAAUCUCUACAACCAUUUUGUUCAACGAAAAGUUAUAACUUCCUAACAAAUAAUCAGAGCAAGUACAUAACUACUGCACUGCCCCGAAUCUACACGUUCCUCGGGCACGCGAAAAAUCCACCGUAUACAAAUAAAUUUUCCCCUAUAAUACGAAGCGAUAGCUGUACCUGUAAAUCAUACAAUACUACAAAUAGUAGUAUAGAGCUGCUAGAAGAACCAGAAAUAAAACAAACCGAGUUCCACAUACAUACGUCAAAAUCCAAGAUACAAAAAUUACUCGCACUGGCGAGUUAAACAGCAGUAUGUACAUGAACUCCAACAAAAACCACUACCUGCUGCAGGGGCACCUCUAGCUCGGCUCGUCGGGUAGGGCUCUAACUCGCGACGCCUUUGCCUCGAUUCUGGUCAGCAACAGCAGCAGCCGAAGACGAUGGCUCUGCAAAAAGGGGGUAACAAUAGGGCGUGAGAACUACUGUAAAACAAGUAGUCCUCAGUGGGUGCCGCCCUCAACAUCAUCGGUCCACACACUAAGUUUACAGAAAAGAGCAGAGGUAAUAAUAAAUGCCGGAAUAAAAUCUAUAGCUAGUAUUUAUUACACUAUCAUGCUCUAAGCUAACCUACUGUAGAAAUGUCAAUUCUGACCCAAUCUCUUUAGGGACUGUAAACAUACCCGUCUCAGUGACUGUGAACACACCCGUCCCGCCCAGUUGAGACUAUCCAUCUACCUCCACACUAACCAGUCUGUGGAGAGCAAGUCUAACCGGCAAGCACGACACCAACCCAAAAGCACAGCCCCCGCCUCCGGAGUGGCACUCGUGAGAGCUACCCAACCGAGUAUGCAGCGUAUCUUUGUCGAGCUCAAUCAGGCUCCCUCAAGCCAAAGUCCAAGUAACCAACACUAACUGGUCUAACAACUUACAGUCACGUGCCCUCGGCACAAUCCGAUGCCAAAAAGGCGAUAUGGGUCCACCGUCAACUCCGACGGCACCCAACAGUCCGGAACAGCCUGAACGCUACUAUAAAAAUACACUCGGUAUCCCAGCACGAGCGGAACUGAAAACUAAACUACCUGUUGUAUCCGUCGCCUCGAUACUGUGACGAUACAAAAUUACAACGGCUCCUAGAGCUAAAUCAGGUAGUGUAAACAGGUGACAGGUCCAAAACGCUGGUUUUCUCCUAAGUCAAAUUCCAAGUCCAACAUGUAUACUUAUGGUUUGCCAAUCAUGUCCUCAAUGCUGCUUUCAUCCAUGAUACAAUCAACAAAAAUGAACUACAACAUGAUUUACAAAACUGAAAAUCAUACAUGUCGACUAAUACUGUGCUUAGGAAUAAACCGAUGUAACCCACCUCAGCUGCGGAACAACCUGCUGGAUCGACCGAAGUCCUCCAAAUCCAGAAAUCGAGCUAACUCCAAGCUCUACAAUCAAAAUCCAUCAAUUCUGCCCACGUAUAGCAACAGCAGAGUAAAACAAAGGUUCGACCAAGCUAACCUUCACCAAAUUCUGCAAUCUUGGGCUUCGUGGAUUCCUCUCGAAGUCCUGAAUCGAACGAACCAAGUUUCGUCACAAUCCGACUCUCCUAUGUCGCGUACGAUCCGAAACGUCGAAGGUCGACGCGGUAAUUCUGCAAAACAGCAUCUUAGCCUGAAAUUGAUGGAGCUUGAAGUAAUUGAAGUGAUUUCGAUGGAUCACUCACUUCGAAAACCUCUCAGGAAUCGGCGUAACAUCAAGGACGGCGAAAACCACGCUCACCCAUCCUCCUCGCAGCACCACGACGAAGAAAACACACUCAAAUGGCACCGCGGCGCGACGUCGGCGACAAACGAACUCCACCCGAGCUCCUCCUCGCCCACGGUCCAAGCUAGAGAGAGAGGAGAAGAAGGACGGUGAAAACUCUCUCUCUCUCAGCUCUACACAAGCCUAAAUAGAGAGAGAGGGAAAGGGUGACACGAACGAAGUGGAAAAAGACCAAAAAGUUCUCCUACCUACCCUGGCGUAUCGGUACACGAGCUCGCGUAUCGGUACAAGAAGUCAACCCGAGAGCAGUUUGCGCACAACCUGUGCAGUGUACCGGUACACCAUGAUGGCUGUACCGGUACAGCAAGUAGAAAAUCAGCUAUUUGCAGAUUUUCUUGCUAAAUGCUGCUCUCGCGUCGCACAGAGUCCGUUUUGCGUCUAUUUCGCGCCAACGCGACUCAGACUUUCCGCGACAACUCCAGAAGCUGUCGACAAUCUUCACUGCCUGAACACCAGGGAUCUAAGCAUCCUCCCCUACUACAGAAAAUUUGUCCCUGAAACUUAAAACAUCACCUUCAGCUCAGGGCAUCGAAUAGUAGGAUAGGACUCCUUCAUCACCGCCAUGCUCCCAAGUCGCCUCCACGCUCCUCGUGAUGACUUCAACUGGCACUUUCACAUACUGAUGACUCGUAUCGCAAUUCUUUCAUCUCCGACCAAGAAUCCGCAAUGGUCGCUCCUUUUAUCUCACAUCCUCGCUCAAAUCUCGAUGAUGAAUCAAUCACGUAGAAAGAUUGAAAACAUAUCUCCUCAAAUGCCGAGAACGUGGAAGACGAUGCCGUGAAUGCCGGCUAGUCCGGUAGAAGUCGAUCCUUAACAGCUGGUCGCCACUCGCUCCAAUACCUCAAAAGGGUCAACAACGAAACGGACUCGGAAGCUUUCCCACGUACUCCAAAUCGCGAAUUCCUCUGGACGUGAACUCUCGAGAUACAUGAUCACACCUGAAACUCUAAUCCGUCUCUUGUAUCAGGCAGUCAGCUCCUCUGGCAGCAUCUCGGUGUCAAAAAAGUGUCAGUCGAACAACUCUCACCUUUCCUCAGCCUCUAGCAAAAUCUCAGCCCAAGCAUACUUUUUUCAACUCACAAUCACCCAACACAAAGGAUCGACAUCUGCAUCCAUACACACCUCAAACGGAGCAAUCUGAAUGUCUCGCCUUGAUAGCUAUUGUUGUACCAAAUUCCAGCCAGUCUCAAAUUCAUAACACCCCCCCAAAGUCCAGGACGCCACGCUCCCAGCAUCCUUUAUGAUCUGAAUUGUCGCUGUGACUGACCAUCAGACUGUGGUGAAACGUCGGAGAACUACAACUGUGUACGCGACAAGGCUGCCUGGCAAACUCCCUCCAAAGUGUGAUUACAAACCUCUUCAGAUCCCUAUCAAUUCAUCGAAAUCGCAACGCCAAUGCAUGCCUAAAUAACUCAUACUAGAUAUACUGAUGCGAGUCCUCUCUGGACCAGUGUCUGAACCGGUAAGAAGUGAGACCUCGUCAUCUGUCCACUAUCACCCAAAUCCAAUCCGUAGCACUCUGCCUCCUAGCAAUUCCACGACGAAAUCCAUAGUGACUGCAUCCCACUUCCACAGUCCGGCACUGGCAGACGUCGAACUUGCCAGCAGUACCUGAUACCGAACCCUUAACCUGUUACAAGUCAGACCAUUGAGGGCACAAAUCUGGCCAAUUCCCUUUUUAUCUAUUCUAACCAAACUGCUUCAAGUCUUAUACACUCUGGUUCCACCUGGGUGAACGCGUAUAAGAAACAAUGACCUCUCUCAAAAAUGUCACUCUGUCAGAUCCGAAAUCCGCAGGUACAAACACAAUCAGGUCCCUGUACCCAGUACUCCAAACGUCCACAGAAAACCCCUCCAGCCCUUCCGUGGUCUAGAUGCUCUCGAAUCCUCAGCAAGACUGAUCUCCACUCUGUUUCUCCUGAUCCUAUCCAACAGAGUGGCCUGCAAGACCAGAGAACGCAUCUCCAAAUAAACCCACGGGACACUAUCUCAGUCUUCAACGGCGCUAUAGCCCACGAGUAACGCCUCUGCUGGUGACAUCAAACCAGCUCUGCACUGCCUCAGGCUCAGCUCAUCUGCCACCGACGUUCGCCUGCGUGAUAUACGAAUCUUCAUGUCUUCGUAACUCCAGACCAGCUCGGCAAGCUGCUCUCAGAUUCAAUCCUUUUGGGUGAACAGAUACUUGAGAAUCUUAUGAUUAAUAAAAACUCGCAGUGCUCGCGUACAAGUAAUGCGCACAACUUUAACUCGCAAAAACUACCAGCGGCAAGCUCCCAAUAAUGCUAGGGAAUCUUCUCAUAAUCCCUAACUUUGUCGUGAAGCAUAAGCAAUCCCUACACAGCUGCAUCAGCACACCAACCCAGUCCAUCUGUCGCGAUGCAUCACGUAAUCACAAAAUCCUUCCCCAAUCACAGAAGGGCAAAGGAUCAGGACUACAGAUAUCAACACUCUGUCUCAACUCAUCAAAAAGCUCCUCUGACAAUCCUCACUACCAGAUAACCUAAUCCCUUGCUGCGUCAAUCGAGUGAAAGGGUGUGGAAAGCUGUCGCAAACCUCACCAAACCACGGUAAUAAACUUGCUAUCCAAGGAAACUCCUCACCUCUGUCAUCUCGUCGCUGGUCAAUCCCUGAAUCGCACAAUCUUCUAUUGGUCCGACUGCUACUUCCAUCGCUNNNNNNNNNNNNNNNNNNNNNNNNNNNNNNNNNNNNNNNNNNNNNNNNNNNNNNNNNNNNNNNNNNNNNNNNNNNNNNNNNNNNNNNNNNNNNNNNNNNNCUCACGAAGAAAAUUUUCGCCGGAAUUUCGAAAGAAAAAUAGAUCGGACAGGCUCAUAUCUAAAUCUUCUCGUAUAAUCUAAGGAGAGAACGUGCAAAGGCUCGCGAAAGACAGGAUGUCUUGAAGCGAGAAUCCAAUGCUCAAAGUGCAAAGAGCUAACGGCACCAUGCGACGGAUGUCCUUCCAAAGAAGAGAUACAAAAAGCUCAUGCAAGGUAAAGACAUGGGAGGAUCAACAUCAUGAAUACAUCGUCAAGUGGAGAAGAAAAAGUGAUACAAAUGCCUUAUUUGUAAUACUCAUUCGUCGAAAGUUGUGUGUUACCAUCGAUGGCUAACAACAUCCCAAUAUUUCUCUUCUUCACAUAUCAUCGAGCAACAAUGGCAAAGUUGAAGAGGAAUCAAACGAACGACGAACCAUAGCGAAGCGUACACGCUUCUGUAGUUGACUUAAAGAAAUAUGGCUAAACUCAACAAGAAGUUGAGACGUCGUUUGUUGGAACUUGAGGAGGAAAACAACAACGUAAAGAAUUUGAAUAAGGUUCUUGAGGAGGAAAGGGAUUCAAGUUUGAAGAUUAAUUCGGACCUCCAAGAGAAGCUUAGCGAUGCGGAAUCAACGAUCAAAUCUUCUAACGACAAGAUUGGAUUUUUGGAGCAACAAUUCGAGGAAUCGCACACAUCCAAUAAGUCGUUGACCAAUCAAGUUCGUCAACUCCAAUCCGAUCUUCAACAAUUUUCUUCGGGAUCAAAGAAGUUGGACAAAAUGCUUGGAUUGGGUCAAACGAGCAAAUUGGGCCUUGGAUAUGAACGGACAUAUGUUGAGAAGGAUCAAACGGCGACAACUAAACUCUCAACAACUUUGAAAGGCAAAGUGUGUCAUCGAUGUGGCAUCAAAGGACACAUCAAAAGGAAUUGCCCAAACAAAGACAAGAAGAAUCGGAUUUCUAAUGCUCAACGUCAAGUUCAUGCAAAUCGGGUGCAUAAACCUCAACGACAAAUACAACCUAAGCCUCAACCGAAGAAAACAUCAACGGUUGAUCAAAAGUCUAAACAAACGGCACCUAACGUCGACAAGCCGAGAAAACCAAAGAUCCGACAAGUUUGGAUCCGGAAAGGUGAUAUCUUUCCUUGCUCCUCGUCUUAGUCAUUUUUGAUUUUUAGUGUAAUGCUUUGAUUGGUACUUGUUGCAUAAUUUUAUUCAUUGCAUUACAUGUUUAAAUGAUUUUUGGUGCUUUGAAUUUUGUUUAUUUAAAAAUCAUUUUGAGGAAGAGGUGUUUUUAAAAUUUUUUUCUUUGAGAAAAGAGAUAAUUGAGAUUCAUGAUUUGGAGAGAGAAAAGGCGUUUGAACAGUGUUUAUCUUCACAAUCAUAUUAAGUUAAAUUCAUAUUAAUUAUCGUCUUUACUCCACUAUUUAUUAUUUUGACGAUAAUAUAUUAUAUGAUUUCUUAAUGCAUAAAUUCAUCAAAAUUUUGAAAUCAAAUUUGAUUUUUUGGUGAUUAAUUCAUCUUGGUUGUGAGUGUUGGAUAUGAUGAAUGGGUAUUCUCUAAUUGACUAAAAUUCGUCAAAAUUAUUUUCAAUUGUGAGAUUGUCUAAUUAAGGGGGAGUUUGAAAUUGUUUAAAAAAAAUAUAAAAAAAAGGGAGAAAAAGAAACUCCUAUGUUUAAAAGAUGUGGAAAGAGUUACAUCCUUAAAGGAGUGUGAAAACUACCACCACAUGUAGGAAAGAGCUACCACCCCGGUCGUCCGGCAAGUGUGUGAAGCUACCACAUGAAAAUUGAAUUGAUUAAACCGGAAAAAGUUGAAAAGAAACAAUUGAAUGUUUUAGAAUUUUCGGAGUAAUAAGGUGUUAGUUUGAAAAAGAUGCUCAAAGAGCCACCCCCGGUAUCAUAUUAGUUAAAUCUCUAUUUUGAACGUGUUACGACAAAUUGGUGUCAAUUUUUGUUGAAUUUCUAAAAAUCAUUUUUCAUCAACUUACAUCUUGAUGGUUUUGAAUCAUUAAAUUAUUUUUGAUAAUGAAAUUUUGAUGUUUUGAUGUAUUUUGAAAUUUUAUAAUAUCUUAUUGUCAUUAUAAUGAUUCUUGGAGUAAAAGCCUUAAUUUAUUUGAAAUUAAUUUAAUUUGAUGGAUUUUUAAAGCAAAUUUUUGAUUUUUUGACACCCCGGUUCACUACCUGCGGCAUAACGAAGCCCAAAUUAGGCUUAUUUGGCCAUAACUUUUACAUACACUUUUCGUAAUGCUAUUCCGAUGCACGAGAACGCGUCGGAAAUACCCCGAUUAGGUUUCUAGAGGUCAAUUGCACUUAAAAUCCCUAUGAGCAAAAGCCUCAAUUUGGUGCCUAGCUCCAAUAUAUAUAUCAAACCUAGGGUUUGAUCUCAAAAGAGAGCAAAAGUAGCUCAUUAUACUCUAAAAGUCCAUUAGAACCAUUCUUAGCUCACUCCAAACUCUAGUUGGAUUUCGCCAUGAGAGGUGGGUUUGAAAGUUUUGAGGAGCCCAAGAUCUAUCUAGAUUGUAUCUAUCACCUAAGGGGGGUGAAUAGUGAACGACCAAAAACACACAAAUCUCGAUGCAAUAAAAAUAAAUGCGGAAAAUAAAAAGCACACCGAGAUUACGUGGGAAAACUCCAACUCUGGAGAAAACCCUACGGACCAAACACGCGAAAAAUAAUUCACUAAGAGAAAAGAUUACAAGGUGAUUACCGACUCCACGACUUAACCUCUCUUAACCUCCUAUGAAUCUUCGCGCUACACCUCUCGGGUUGUCCACGCCCUCUACGUCCGAAUCCACGAACGCUUCAACUUCGAAUCCAGAACUUCAUCACGCCGAAUCCACACGCCACUCGAAUCCACGACCAACGAUCCGAAUCCACGAACCGCCUUUGUUCACGCCGAAUCCACGACGCCGUUCAUGAAGAGCAUCAUAUAUAUGGUGAUCCUUCGCUUAGGAGUAUCGUAGAGAAACCAGGGAAUAGAACUCCAAGCGAAGCGGAGAAUCAAAUCGACAUAUUAAUAUCAAAUUUCAAUAUCUCGAUUUGAUCUAAAAGAGCUUUUUGUAGAAAAUAGGUUUUUGAAUGAAAUCCGAGCCUCUAGGUUUCUCAAUAUUAUUUUCUGAUUCUUAAUUAGUUAGAGAACCCCUAUAGCUUAUUUAUAGACUUUAGAAUCAAAACGAGUAGGAUUAGAAAGUUUCUUUCCAAAAACAGCACCUUGUACCGAACAAGAAAAUGCUGUCUUGGUACACCAUGACGGAAGAUUUUUCUGCGAAGUCUCCUGUACCUGGAUAGCUUCAGUUGUUCCGGAACAGGGCUGUACCGGUACAGCAUGAAGCUUGUACGGAACAACCAUCAAAUUCCUGCGCAAACUGAUGGCUGUACCCUGGACAGAAAAGCCUUGUACCGACAACAAUGCAAUUUUCGCUGAAAAUGCAUUGUUUGGAUUUUAAAACUCUUAAAACUUUCUAAUCAAUUACAACUUGAAAACAUGAUUCUAAGAUCUAUAAUUAAGUAUGAAUCACCAUAAACAAGAUUUAAAGCUUACCUACGCAUCGUGAUUCAUGUUUUGCGUGUUUUGCGUCCUUUUCCGAUUCUUCAAGUCUUGAAUUCUUUGAUCUUUAAUACUCCGCUCCCGACUUCUUCAAGACUCCGACUCGACCCACGAAACUUGCCAACACAUAGACCUAACAAUCUCCCCCUUUGGCAUAUUUCGUGACAAAACACACAUAAACUCCACAAAUUACAAUUUAAAAAAAACGAAGUUCAAUGUCAUCACCAAAACAUCGAACCCCUCGCGUGUAAUCCAAAUACAAUUUGAAACUCAAAAUUACAUCAAAACUUCUAAAACAGAACUCUAUGACUUAGACGCAACUAGAGUCUUGAAGCCUUGAUUUCCUGCAAAACACUUCAUUCAAAAAUGAUUAGCACUAAAUUCUUAUACCUUCUCCCCUUUGUCACAUCUCCCCUUUGUUCUUGAACUUAUCAUCCUCGCUUCAGUGUCAAAGCCUGCUCAUCCAUGCUCUCCCCCUUCAUCUACCUCUCUCCCCCUUUUUGUCAAAAAUUGCAAAAGAUAGCAAAUAGAAAGAGAAAACAUACUAGAAAAACAUGAGCAUAGUCAAGUCAUAGUUACAGGCCAUACAAGAAAACUGAAACUAAAACAUCAUCCUAAAAUGCAAAUGAAGUGAAAGAGAGAGAGCUAAGCCUCGACGAACGAUCUCAGAUUUCGAAAAUUUUGCUUUAUAAAUCCAUCAAAUAAAAUAAUUUCAAAUAAAUUAAGGCUUUUACUCCAAGAAUCAUUAUAAUGACAAUAAGAUAUUAUAAAAUUUCAAAAUACAUCAAAACAUCAAAAUUUCAUUAAUCAAAAAUAAUUUAAUGAUUCAAAACCAUCAAGAUGUAAGUUGAUGAAAAAUGAUUUUAGAAAUUCAAUAAAAAUGACACCAAUUUGUGUAACACGUUCAAAUAUAGAGAUUUAACUAAUAUGAUACCGGGUGGCUCUUUGAGCAUCUUUUCAAACUAACACCUUAUACUUGACCCAAAAUUCUAAAACAUUCAAUUGUUUCUUUUCAACUUUUUCCGGUUUAAUCAUUCAAUUUUCAUGUGGUAGCUUCACACACUUGCCGGAACGACCGGGGUGGUAGCUCUUUCCUACAUGUGUGGUAGUUUUCACACCCUUUAAGGAUGUAACUCUCUAACAUCUUUUAAACAUAGGAGUUUCUUUUUCUCCCUUUUUUUUUAUAUAUAUUUUUUAAACAAUUUCAAACUCCCCUUAAUUAGACAAUCUCACAAUUGAAAAUAAUUUUGACGAAUUUUAGUCAAUUUGAGAAUACCCAUUCAUCAUAUCCAACACUCACAACCAAGAUGAAUUAAUCACCAAAAAAUCAAAUUUGAUUUCAAAAAUUUGAUGAAUUUAUGCAUUAAAAAAUCAUAUAUAAUAAAUUAUCGUCAAAAUAAUAAAUAGUGGAGAAUAAAGACAUAAUUAAUAUGAAUUUAACUUAAUAUAGAUUGUGAAGAUAAACACUGUUCAAACUGUUAGGUCCUAUGUUUGGCAAGUUUCGUGGUCGAGUCGGAGUCUUGAAGAAGUUCGAGCGGAGUAUUGAAGAUCGAAGUAUCCAAGACUUCGAAGAAUCGGAAAGGAUGCAAAACACGUAAAACAUGAAUCACGAUGCGUAGGUAAGCUUUAAAAUCUUGUUUAUGUGAUUCAUACUUAAUUAUAGAUCUUAGAAUCAUGUUUUUCAAGUUGUAAUGAUUAAAAAGUUUCUAAGAGUUUGUAAAAUCCAAAACAAUGCAUUUUCAGCGAAAAUUGCAUUGCUGUAACGCGUCAAGGCUUUCUGUCCAGGUACAGCCAUCAACGUUGCGCAAUGUUUGAUGUUGUUCCGGUACAAGCUUCAUGCUGUACCGUAACAAGCCUGUUCCGGAACAAGCAACAGCCUAUCCAGAGGUACAGGAGCUUCGCAGAAAAAUCUUCCGUCAUGGUGUACCCUGGACAACAUUCCUUGUUCCGGUACAAGGUGCUGAUUUUGGAAAGAACUAUUCUAAUUCGACUCCAAUUGAUUCUAAAGUCUAUAAAUAAGCUAUUGGGGUUCUCUAACAUAGGAAGGAUUAUAAGAAUACAUGUUUGAGAAACCCUAGAGGAUCGGAUUUCAUUCUAAACCUAUUUUCCCACAAAUUAGCCUCUUUAGAUCAAAUCGAGAUAUCGUUUCGCAUUCUCCUAUAUGUCGAUUUGAUCUCCGCUUUCGCUUGAGUUCUAUUCCCUGGUUUUCUACGAUACUCCAAAGCGAAGGAUCACCAUAUUCAUCGAUAUUCUUCAUGAACGGCGUCGUGGAUUUCGGCAUGAACAAAGCGGGUUCGUGAUUCGGAUUGUUGGGCUCGUGGAUUCGAGUGGCGUCGUGGAUUCGCGUGAUUGAAGCUUCGUGAUUCGAUGUGGAGGCGUUCGUGGAUUCAGACGUGAGGGCGUGGACAACCCGAGGGUAGUGCGAAGAUUCAUAGGAGUUAAGAGAGGUUAAGUCCGUGAGUCGGUAAUCACCUGUAAUUUUUUCUCUUAUAAUUAUUUUCGGCAGUGUUGUCCCGUGGGUUUUUCUCCAAGUUGGAGUUUUCCCACGUAAAUCUCGGUGUGCUUUUUAUUUUCCGCAUUUAUUUUUAUGCAUCGAGAUUUGUGUUUUUGGCCGUUCACGGCUAUUUACCCCCCUCUAGGUGAUAGAUACAAUCUAGAUAGAUCCUUGGCUCCUCAAAACUUUUAAUUGGUAUCAGAGCGGGGAUCUAGAUAAAUUGUUAUCUAAUGCCGAAGGUGGUAACAUUAAUCGAACUCCGCUCUUUCGACGGCACGAAAUUAUGCCUAUGAAAGUUCGCAUGAGAGCUUUUCUAAAUUGCUAUCGAUGAGCGAGUUUGGCAAUCUAUUGAAUUUGGGUGGAAACAUCCGAUAGAAAGGUCAAUAAUGUUGAAAAGCCAAAACCACGAACAAGUGACAAAAGAAGAAACAAAGACAUCUUCGUUUAACGGCAAAAGGGCAUAAACCUUUAUUAAUGCAUUGUCACGACGUUACUCGCGUUCGGCGUGUGAGACCGCAGAUGAAAUUUGGGACACUCUGCAAAUUACACAUGAAGACUAUUUAAAAAUUCAAAGCUUCCAAAUGUUGAUAGUAAUUGUUUCUAUUCGUAUGGAGGAGCAUGAAUCUUUAACCGAUUACUACACUAGGCUUCAAGAUAGUUAUUGUAUUUGGGAAUGCAAAGUUGUGCGAAAGAUUCUGUCGAAACUCUGUCGCGGCGUUUUCGGGCUAAAGUAGCCGCGAUCGAAACGGUCAAACAUCCGGACGAGAUGAAAGUAGAAGAAUUAGAUAAGCAGCUUUACAAACGUAUGAAAUGACCUUUCCUACUAAUCAAUCUCUCCAAGUCUUCUUCUAAAAGCACAGUGUUUAUUACUACAAAGGAGAAGGACGAAGAAUUCGAGUUCCGACGACGACUUAUCAAUUGCGGAUUUUGAACAACAAUAUGGCGCUUCUCACGAAGAAGUUUCGUCGAAAUUUCCGGAACAAGAAUAAUUGGACAGUUUCAUCCAAAGCGACAAUCUUUGUCUAAAUCAUCUUCAUAUCAAUUACAGUAAAAACGUGCAAAUCUUCAAAGAAAAGAUGUAUUUGAAGCGAGAUCCAAUGCUUCAAUGCAUAAGCACGCCCAUUGCGACGGAUUGUCCUUCAAGAAGACUUAUAGACAAGCUAUGCAAGCAAAGACUGGAGAUUCAACAUCAAAUGAAUCAUCGUCAAGUGACGAAGAAAAAAUGAUCAAAUUGCCUUAUUUGCUAAUACUCCUUCGUCGAAUGUUGUGUUUUUAUCCUCCUUUGCUACUAACUCCAUAUUUCUCUUCUUCACAUGAUUCAUCGAGCAACAAUGAGAAAGUGAGGAGGAAUCAACACGACGACGACAUAGCGGAAGCGUACAAUCAACUUCUCAUAUGAAUCAAAGAAAUGGCUAAUCUGCAAGAAAAUCGUCGGAGCACCUAAAGAGACCUACAAGGUGGGUGGUGCUUCUCAAACUCAUUGAACUUCUCUCUAUGCCUAAUGUGUCAUUCAUUUGAGCAUGUGUAAAUAUAUUAUUGUAUGCAUUUUAGGGUAAAGUAAUGAUGAAAAUAUAAUGAUGCAUGAUUGUGAGUACAAUUUGCAUAAUAUGAUGAAUGAGAACUAUGUGAACGUCAAAAUACCCUAUGUGUAUGCAUGAGAGAAAAGUGAGCACCCAAAGUGAGCAAAAGAACAGAGUGACACAAUGACAUAGAUCGAGUGGCAUUCGAUAAAGUUAAAGUGAAAUGACACUAGAGAUAGUGUGAGGUAAAGAACCAAUGUAUUGUAAAGAAUGAUAAAAAUAACAAUAUUUAAAAUGACCCUAUGGAAACUCAAUUGAAGGUAAAACUGACACGGUGGGCAACUCAAACGAGAGUUCCUACGGGCGUGCGGCGAGUUCUUGAGAGAAAGGACCAUUUUCGCUUCGUUUCCGUCGGAUAGGGCCGAAGCGACGUCUAGAAAUCACGGAACUAGAAUUCUCACACCUCGGUAGUGUUUAGAGGUGGGGGGUGCUAUCCGGAACAUCCGGAUUUUCUUUUAUGUCUAUGUUGCUUGCAUGUUCUUAUGAGGUUUUUAUAAAUAUGAGAUGGAACAUAAUGUUAUGUGCAUGAGGAUUGGAUGUGAACAAAGGACUCUAUAAUGGCAUGAUAAAGAGAACUUGGACAUCGGGGCACCGAAAGUGGCGUUUGACAUGAAAAUUUGGAAUUGUGACACUGUGGCAUUAGCUAGAGACAUUGUGAUAUUGUGGCAUUAGCUAGAGACAUUGUGACAUUGUGGCAUUAGCUAGAGACAAUGUGAUCACUCAAGAAAUGAGGAUUGGGAUUGGUAUUUUUCCGGAUUUGAUUACCACUAGUUGGAAGGGUAUCCUCGGGUUGGAGGAUUGGAUCAUAUUCACAUACGUCUGUUUUCGCUUGGUGGUGGCCGCUCCACCCAAGUAGUGGUCUCCGGAGUACUUCACGGUAGGGGCUAACGUAGCUGUCCCAUAGACGGUCCCGGGUGAGUGUAGCGGAAGUCUCCUCACGAUGCGGGAUUGGGGUAUGAGUCGGGGCUCAACCUUCGGGUGAGUCGGAAUGAUUGGGUGAUGAAAAGGUAAAUGGCAUGCAUCAUGAGCAUAGUAGUUGCUAUUACUUGUUUACCUUACCUGUUUAUUGUUUCAUAUUAUUGACGUAUAGUAGCAUACUAGAUGAUCAUUAUAUUGCUAACCCUAUCUACUUUUGCCUGCUUAGACCUAGUGGGAAAAUCGGCGGCGUCGAUAGCCAAACCCACUGGGAACUAUUUGUUAGUUCUCAUCCCACUUUGUUGCAGGGCCUAGAGUGAGCAGACAGGUUGAGGACCGCGGUAAGGGCAUAGCGCCCUAGGUAGCUACUUCCUAUGCAUUAGAGUCGGGUACCAUUUUGUGAUAUGAUAUAUAUUGGUAGAGACACUUUAUGUAUUUGGGUGAGGUUGCUAGAGAUGUUCAUGUAUUAUGAGAAGUAUUAUAAACCAUUUGUAUAUUUGGUAGUUGAAUGAUGUAAAACCAAGUGGAAACAUGUAAAAAUGGUUGAAUGUCAAUGUAAUAACUAGUUUCUCUCUUGCUCUCGCAUGUAUCAUUACUUGCUUGUAUCAUAUAUGUUGUUGAUGUUUGUUUCCUGGGCAACUUGAUGUACAUGAUCGUUCGUUGAGCCUUGGACGGACAGAGGAGACUCUGUCCAUUCGGCGUCUGUCGAUGCGCCCGAACCGACCAAAUAGGCGGUUGCGGGGUGUGACAGAAAUAGUUGUAUCAGAGCAAGUAAAAGAGAAAAGUCUAAGAUGGACCUAGGAGACCCUAGGAUGGUAACUCUAAGGACAUAGGUGCGUGAGCGACGCGGAUCUUAGAGUUGUGGCGGAGGUUAAGUCGAUUGGGUAUAAUUGUAUAUGUAUCUAAUGCUUGAUAGAGAUGGAUUCAAGUUAUGCUUGUUUUCAAUUCGGGAUGUUGUGUUGGCGGCCGACAACAUAACGCUAAGAAUUGGAAAUGUAUAUGGUUGUACGCUUCCGCCGAAUUUGGUAUUUCGGUCGUUUGGUCUUGUAAUUGUAUAGAGUUCGCAGGUUAAGGUAAUUAACCUAAUGGUUGCGUUUCAGGAGCUAUGGCACCGACGAGAUGCCCCACGACGAGAUCCACUCCGGCACCACCGUCUGAGGUGCCCGAGCAUUCGGGGUCUGACGAGGUGCAGGAGUGGCGGGCGCAAGUGACCUCACUAGUUGGUGUGGUGUAGCGCCAAGAGGACCGGUUCGAGCGGCUCCAGGAGUUGAUGGAGCGACAAGUGGCGGCGGCAUCUGUGGCGGCAACCGAAGGCCGCGCGCGCCCUCUGCUCGCACGUCAAAUGCGGCUGAGGGUGUGGGCAUUGUGGCGGCUCCGGUGGCGGCACGUCCCCCGCCGGCGUGUAUUCCUCCGACGGCUUCGGGUUCUUCGGUUCUCGAUGCGGCGGCUGAAGAGGCUGGGCGAGGGCAUGGGCUUGCGGCUCUCACGACAUUCAUGAGGUUUCAUCCUCUGACGUUUGUUAAGUAUUUUGAGUUGGCAAGUUUGGUGAAUUGAGUCGGAGUCUUGAAGGGUUCGGUGCAUGUUGUCAAAGAUUGAAGAAUCCAAGACUUCGGAGAAAUCAGAAAUAACUCACGACAUAAAUCACGAUGCUAAGGUAAGCUUUCAAUUCAUGAUAUGGUGAUUCAUACUUAGUUAUAGACAUCAGAAUCAUGAAAAUCAAAGUUUAGUGGAUUAGAAAGUGCUUUGGAACUGUUGAAACCCGAAAAUGAAGUUAUGCUGAAAAGUGCACAGGGUACCGGUACUGCACUGACUUGGGACCGGUACUGAUCUUGUUCCGGUACAUCAUUGGCUUGUUAACCGGUUCUCAGUGCUUAAAAGUUUUUUAUGCCGUCUUUUGGUACCGGUACCAACUUGAUGCAGUACCGGUACGCAAUGUAAAAAUCUGAAAAUUUUCUAAUCCGACUCCAAUUGAUUCUAAGGUCUAUAAAUAAGCUAUAAGGGUUCUCUAACUUAUUGAACAUCACGAAAAUCCAUGUUUGAGAAACCCUAGAGGCUAGGAUUUCGUUCAAAACCUAUUUUCUACAAAUUAGCCUCUUUUAGGUCAAUUAGAAGUAUUGAAAUUUCAUUCUAUAUGUCGAAUUGAUCUAAACUUCGCUUGGAGAUUCUUCUCUGGUUUUCAUCGAUACUCUAAGCGAAAGAUCACCAUAGUCAUGAUAUUCUUCAUGUAUGGCGUCGUGGAUUCGGCGUGAUUGAAGGCGGUUCGAGGAUUCGGGUGCUCGUGGAUUCGAGUGGUGUUCGUGGAUUCGGACGUGUGCGAGGCGUUCGUGGAUUCGAUCGUGUGGGCAUGGACAACCCGGAGGAUUGCGCGAGAUUCAUAGGAGUUUAAGAGAGGUCGAGUCCGUGGAGUCGGUAAUCACCUUGUAAUCUUUUCUCUUAGUAAAUUAUUUUUUCGCGUGUUGGUCCUGUGGGUUUUUUACUCCAAGUUGGAGUUUUCCCACGUAAAUCUCGGUGUGAUUUUUAUUUUUCGCAUUUACUUUUAUCGCAUUGAGAUUUGUGGUUUUUGGCUGUUACACCUAUUCACCCCCCCUCUAGGUGUUUGAUACAAUCUAGAUAGAUCCUAGGGCUCCUCAUAACUUAUAACGUUCCUCGGGGAGGUGAUUGAUCCUUGGAUCGUGGAGUCUUGGCUAGCCACGAUGGAGACACUGUUCGAGGACAUCUACACCUUGGAACAGGACAAAGUACACUUGACCGCUCAUUGCUUUGAGAAGUCGGCUCGAGUGUGGUGGAGGAGGGUGAAGAAGGAUCGAUCUCCGGACCUUCCCCCGAUCAAUUGGGAGGAGUUUCGAGGGUUGUUGUUCAUCGAGUAUUUUUUCGAUAGUGACAAGAGAAAGAUGCAGGAAAAUUUUCAAAAGCUAAAGCAAGGCAACCGCACCAUAAGGGAGUACGAGCGGGAGUUCACGCAUCUUGUGAAUUGCAUCCCGGAUGUGGCAGGGAAUGAUCAAGACAAGGCGGAGUGCUUUGUGCGAGGACUCCAGCCCGACAUAUUUCGGAUGGUACAUGCUUUCAAGUUUCGAACCUUUGCGGAGGUGUUGGAUUGUACCUUAUGGGUCGAGCACUGGAAUGCUUGCGCGUGGCAGGAGCGCGAUAGAUUCGAGAAGGACAAGGGAAAGAAGCACCCUAUGGGUGGUUCGGGGGGACAGUCUAGCUCCAAGAAGCCCCCGAAGUAUCCGAAGGGACAGUCGAAAAGCCGUGCUCCGACUCGGUGUGUGAUCUGUGGCAGGGAGCAUCGCCCAAUAAACUGCGAGCAUCGGGAGGGACGGUGCUUCAGAUGUGGACAGGUGGGACAUAUUGGCCGUUAGUGCCCGGAGAGAUCGUCACCUGUCCCGUCUGUUGCGUCUGCUCCAGCGACUCCGAGGCAGUUUGGAGGAGCUUCAUCCGCUGCAGUAUCUGCUGGACGCGUGAUGGCGCCGCGUCAGUCUGAGGCGCCCCGGCCGGCUCCUAGUGGCCGGGUGUUUGCGGCUCAGGCGGAGGAACCUGUGGAGGUCGUCGACCACGACAUUGUGGCAGGUAUGGUUUUGGUUAAUAGUGUUCAGGCUCGAGCCCUAUUUGAUACAGGCGCUAUGCAUUCAUUCAUUGGCCUAGGUUAAAAUGAGCAACAGUUCUUGGCGGGUGGAUGCACCCGAGCGUUCCUUUAUUAUUAGGAAGGAGUGUUUGGCGUGUUCGAUACAAGUAGGUGACUGGAUUAUGCUGACACGGUUGUUGGUGAUCAAGAGGUUGAAGGACUUCGACUUGAUUUUGGGCAUGGACUGGCUCUCGAGGUAUUAUGCAUCUCUUGAUUGCAAGACCAGGGUGAUAACAUUUCGUGAGCCCGGACAAAAGGAGUUCACUUACCGUGCUUGCAAGAGUUCGCUCUUCGCUAUGACAGUGUCGUCGUCGAGGGCAAGGAAGCUAGUUAGCGGCGGUUGCGCGGCUUAUUUGGCGACCAUCGUGGAACUUGAUAGAGAAACUCCGACGCUCGAGUCUAUUUUAGUGGCACGGGAGUUUCCGGAUGUAUUUCCCGCAGAGUUGCCGAGAUUGCCACCGGACCGGAAGAUUGAGUUUGUAAUCGACUUAGUUCCCGGGACGACGCCAAUUUCUAAAGCUCCGUACCCUGUGGCACCGGCGGAGUUAAAGGAGUUGAAGGCGCAAUUGCAAGACCUUCUGGACAAAGGCUUCAUAAAGCCAAGUGUAUCACCGUGGGGAGCCCCGGUGUUAUUUGUGAAAAAAAAAGAUGGAUCGUUUCAACUUUGCGUGGAUUACCGCAAGUUGAACAAGGUCAUGAUCAAGAACAAGUACCCGUUGCCCCGUAUCGACGACUUGUUUGAUCAGUUCCAAGGGUCGCGGGUGUACUCGAAUUUCAGUCGAGCUAUCAUUAGUUGAAGAUCAAGCCAGAAGAUGUGCAUAAGACCGCAUUUCGGACACGGUACGGGCACUACGAGUUCACGGUUAUGCCAUUCGGGCUUACAAAUGCCCCAGCAGCAUUCAUGGAUCUGAUGACCGUAUGUUUAGGGCUUUCUUGGAUCGAUUUGUUGUGGUGCUCAUAGGCGACAUCUUGGUCUACUCUCGUAGCGACGAGGAGCACGUGGAACAUUUGAGGAUUGUGCUACAAGUCCUUCAGGAGGAAAGGCUUUAUGCGAAAUUGAAGAAGUGCGACUUCUAGCUCCGUGAAGUUGCCUUCUUGGGACAUGUCAUUUCCGAUGGUGGUGUAUUUGUUGACUCGAGGAAAGUGGAGGCGAUCAAGGUUGGCCUCGUCCGACGAAUGUGUCUGAAGUCCGCAGUUUUGUCGGUUUGGCUGGCUACUAUAGGUGGUUUGUGGAGGGCUUCUCGAAAAUCGUUACUCUACUUACCUGCCUAACACAGAAAGGCACGAAGUUCGUGUGGAGUGACGAGUACGACCUAUGCUUCAAAGAGUUGAAAGAAAGGUUGACGUCGAAUCCAAUACUCGCUCUACUAGUUCAGGGAGAGGACUUCGUGGUUUAUAGUGACGCAUCUUACCUAGGUCUGGGGUGUGUUCUGAUGUAGUACGGGAAGGUUAUCGCUUAUGCAUCCCGCUAGUUGAAAAGCUACAAAAAGAACUAUCCCAUUCAUGACCUGGAGUUGGCAGCAGUGGUCUUCGCUCUCAAGUUAUGGUGACCCUAUCUCUAUGGAGCGCGUUGCGAGUUGUACACUGACCAUAAGAGCUUAAAGUACUUGUUUACUCAGAAACAGCUGAACAUGCGACAGCACAGGUGGUUAGAGCUAUUAAAGGAUUACGAUGUUACAAUCCUAUACAACCCCAGGAAAGCCAAUGUGGUGGCAGAUGCACUUAGCAUGAAGUCGAUGGAUAAUCUAGCGAUGAUGAUCACGCAUCAGGAGCCACUAUGGACAGAUAUGUGGCGACUGGAUCUUGAGGUCGUGGCACCGGAGGUUCCGGCUAUACUUGUGGCUCUCGUUCUCCAACCGACCUUGUUGGAGAAGAUUAGAAGUUUGCAGUCUGCAGACCCGAGUCUCCAAAAGGUGCGGGGCGACAUCGAGAGUGGGCGCAGCAGUGACUUCAAUAUAGCCACCGAUGGUGCACUUCGGUAUCGAAACCUAUGGUGUGUGCCGGAAAACGAGGAGAUCCGAUGGUUGAUUCUACAGGAGGCUCAUCGGUCUCCCUAUAGUGUCCACCCGGGCGGCACCAAAAUGUACAAGGAUUUAAAGUUACACUAUUGGUGGCUGGGGAUGAAAAGAGAUAUUGGGCACUAUGUGGCGCAAUGUCUUGUGUGUUAACAAGUCAAAGCGGAGCGCCGAUUUUCAGCGGGGAAACUUCAAAGUUUGCAAAUUCCCGUUUGGAAAUUGGAGGAUAUAGCCAGUGGACUUCGUGGUCGGAUUGCCCCGUUCAUCAGGUGGCCACGAUGCUAUUUGGGUAGUGGUGAAUCGCUUGACCAAGUCGGCGCAUUUUCUACCGAUCCACACUACUUGGUUUGGAGACAAGCUAUGUCACGCCCCGACCCGAAACCACUACCAAUUUGGCACGAUUCGGGCGCGGCGACAGACCGCCGAACGGACAGCACCUCCCCUGUCCGCCCAAGGCUCAUAAUAAGAAUGUGUACAAGAAUUUAUCCAGGAAUUUAAAUUCUAAGCAUACACAUUCAACGGGGCACAAAUAGUGCCAGCAACUACAAGGAGCAAGUAAUCCACAAGAUAAAGCAUGUGAAAUAAAGAGAAUACUUUACUAGAUAUUACAAUAAUUUCAUUACAUAAUUUUCUUUAAUGAUUACAUUUUUCACUCAAAAUACAUAGCUCUCCAAAUCCUCACCUACAAGGAAUCUCUCUCAAUACAUAGGUGUACUAAUGCACAAAAGGGAAGCUACUAUACUACCACUGUCUCACUGAUCGGGCGCGAUGCCCUUGCUGCGGUCCUCCCUCGGCAACCCUGUACCUACCACUGGAAAUAGUGUGGGGUGAGAACUAUCUUCCAUAGUUCCCAGUGGGCUCGACCGCCGACUCUGCCGAUCUCCCCACUAGGUCCAAGUGGGCACAAGCAACAACAGAUAGAUAGGUAGAUAGAUAUCUGAAAGCUGUAAAUACGAUAGUAGGAAAACUAUGCUACUAUAUCCAUAAUCAUGAAUAUGAAUGCAUGCAUCAUGUAAUAAAGGUUGGCUAUCAUGCUAGCAAAUUCGAUCCAUGUUCAAAUAGCAAUGUUCAAUGACAUUUUUAAACCUUUAACCUUUCAUUUACCCAAUCUGUGGCGAGGCCCUAGGGCUCGCUUAUAACUCACCUUUCAAUCCCAAAGUGGGGAGGGAGCUCCAAGUGCACCCAAGCCCAGGACCGUCUGCGGACCUUCAUGUGGUCCGGACCUCCAAGUGGUCCUAGUCGCGCGACACUCCGGAGUACUCGACGACAAUCCCCUCCAUGUGGGGAUAGGAUGGCUAUACCACCCCAAACGCAGACUAUGAGCUAGAUCUAUCCUCUCCAAGUGACGAUGCACUACAUCUAGGGUCAACAACCCAAUCCAAUCCUCUCCAAGUGAGGAUGCUCUACAACUAGAGUCAAGAUCUCUCGCGGGAUCACGUGUUCCCGACACUCAUGCAAUGCUAUUUAGCUUUUCUAAAUUCAUUGUUCACAAGGCAUUUUCUAAGGGAUCCGCCUACCCCUAGGUCCAUCGACCUCUAGUGUCAUUUACACUACAUUAAUGCCACUUAUUAUCUUUUAACAUUUGGAUGCCACUCGUUUGUUCUUUGACAAUAACACUACUUUCUAUGUCAUCAACACCCCCAUCAGGUUCAUCUCUAUCUUUAGCAUCAUAGGAUCCACGUUCCGACCCAAUCCUUACCUAUCUAAGUUACCAAGCGUUCCAAGUACACUAGGUUAUCAAUUAGAAGCAUAAGGAAUAGAGCUACUAUGCAAUCCUACAAUGCAACAUGUAAGAGAUGAGAUUAAAUGCAAUCUAAGACAUAGAAAGGAGUUCGAAAGCUUCGGGAUGGCACCCCCCACCUUUAAUCGAUGUAGAGGCUUUAGAAACGGUCCUCGGCGAACGCUACGAAAAGGCUUUAGCUUCUUUGCCCAAGCCAAUGCCAAAUCGGCCUUGUUUUGCCGAUAGCUUCACGCCGGCUCGCCGAAUGCUAAAACCGACUUCGCCCCCACGUUUUGUGACCUACCAAUAGGGUUUCCAAGGCUUCAAAUGAGAUCAAUCUCAUAUUUUCACAAAAACCCCAUUUUGGAGCCCUAGGUUUGCACCCAUAGCAAACCACCCAAUGAAUCCCUAGAUUCUUGGGAUUGAUCUACUUAGAAGCAUGCUUAGGGUUCAUUUGACCCAUUCCAAAGCAUCAAAACCCACAAACCCUAAGUUUCACAAGCUAGGGUUCAAGAGCUUACCUCUUGAGCUACACCAAAGAGAAGAGGAGAGGGAGAUGAAGGUGUCUAAGGCCUUCUUCUUGAUCUUCUUCUUCUUCUCCUUCCUUUCCUUCUCCUUCUUUUCCUUCCUCUCCUUCUUGUUCUUCUUCUUCUCCUUUCUUUCCUAGAGAGAGAGAGAGCAAGAGAGAAAGAGUGAUAGAGAGGAAAUGAGAGGGGCUGAGGGAGAGGGUUAUUUCCUAUAUGCACCCUUCACAUGAUGGCCAUUUUGCACUUAAAUCCCUCAACUUUUCAUCUCUCAAACGGCUGUCGCUGGGCUAUUUUCGCUCGGAGGGAUCUGUCUCCCCGACAUGGGAUCGGUCCCCAAGAGCAGCCCAUGCUGCUAGGGGCCUUUCUCGCGUUCGGGAACCGGUCUCUCCCCGGGAGCGAUCCUCACCUGAGAGACUAGUCCCUGAGAGCCCAAUUUUCAGGACUUAGCCAAAUUUCGGCAUUUCUCGCUGGGACCACGUUCGGGAACCGGUCCCUCUCCACCAGGGACCGGUUGCACCAAGCAACCUCGCUACACCCAGCCGAGGGAACCGGUCUCUCACCUCCAGAGACCGGUCCUCGAGAGUAAUCUCAGCUCAAUGAUGCAGUUUGCACCAUUUGCUCUCGUGUACUCAACUCCAAGACAUUUUUGUGCUUUGGACAUCUUUAACUUCCCCAAAGGAUACUCUCUCGACAAAUAGUCGAUUCUGGACGAAGUACGACGAAGUACAACUCUCAGAUUUCGAGAAUUCACUUCCUUACAUCCUCCCCUCCUUAAAAGGAGUUUUGUCCUCGAAACUAACUCAAUUCUUAACUUUAACUCAAUUUCUUACCUCACUCCACAAAUAGAUGAGGAUGGUGUCUUCUCAUUAAUUCCUCGAGUUUCCAGGUGGCUUCGGGAUCAUCAUGAUUGCUCCACCUAACCUUCACAUAGGGAAUUUCUCGAUUUCUCAACUUUCACACUUCUCGGGCGAUAAUCCCUACCGGAAACUUUUCAUAGCUCAAGUCUCCUUGAAGUUCCGGCGGUUCAUAUAGCAUCGCAUGCUCGGGGUCGUGAAUAUACUUGCGAAGAUUGGAGACGUGGAACACAUUGUGUACAUCCGCGAGCUUCGGCGGCAAAGCGAGUCGGUAAGCCACCGUGCCAACUCGCUCCAAUAUCUCAUAUGGUCCAAUAUACCGGGGGCUCAAUUUUCCCCACACUCCAAAUCGCUUCACAUCCCGCAUCGGUGAAACCUUCAAGAAUACGUGAUCACCCACCGCGAACUCUAUAUCUCGACGGCGCCUGUCCGCAUAGCUUUGCUGUCUCGACUGCGCCGUGAGCAAUCUCUUGCGAGCAAGGCGGACUUUCUCCUCCGCUUCUCGCAACACAUCGGGGCCGAACUCUGCACGUUCACCCACAUCGCUCCAGUGUAUAGGAGAUCGGCACACCCACCCAUAGAGGGCCUCGAACGGUGCCAUCUCCACACUAGCAUGAUAACUAUUGUUGUAGGCGAACUUGGCCAUCGGUAGGUGAUCACACCAACUUCCCUUAUAGUCGAUGACACACGCCCGCAACAUAUCCUCCAGAGUUUGAAUGGUUCUCUCAGUUUGCCAAUCGGUCUGGGGAUGGAAUGCGGUGCUAAAGUCGAGCCGUGUGCCAAGGGCUUCCUGCAGGCUCUUCUAGAAAUGCAAAGUGAACCGGGGGUCACAAUCCGACACGAUCGAUUUCGGCACCCCAUAGAGUCUCACUAUCUUAUUGAGGUAUACAUGCGCUAACUUGUCACCCGACCACGUGGUGUGGAUCGGCAUGAAGUGAGCCGACUUCGUCAAUCGGUCCACAAUUACCCAUAUUGCAUCGUGGCCGCCUUUUGAGCGGGGUAAGCCGACCACGAAGUCCAUCGAUAUAUCCUCCAUUUCCAAACGGGGAUUGGUAGGCUUUGAAACUUUUCCGCUGGAAAUCGACGCUCGGCCUUCACUUGUUGGCAUGUUAAGCACUUCGCCACAAAGCGUCCAAUAUCACCCUUCAUUCCCGGCCACCAGUAGUACAUCUUUAGUCCUUGAUACAUCUUGGUGCCGCCCGGGUGAUCGGCAUAUGGAGAUCGGUGUGCUUCUUGUAGAAUCAAUUCACGAAGCUCUCCAUCCUUUGGCACACACCAUCGGUUUCGAAACCGAAGUGUUCCAUCGGCGUCUACAUUGAAAUGGCCGCCAUGCCCUUCCUCGAUGUUUCGCCGCACCUUUUGGAGUUCUGGGUCCGCGGGUUGCAGAUCUUUAAUCCUCUCCAACAAGGUCGGUUGGACAACGAGUGUCAUCAACUGAGCUGGGGUCUCGGGAGUGACCACUUCAAGGUCCAAUCGCUCCAUAUCCAGCCAUAGGGGUGUUUGCUGGGUAACAUCGAAAGCGAGGUUCUUCGCCGACUUCCUACUAACUGCAUCCGCGACCACAUUUGCCUUCCCGUGGUGGUAGAGGAUAUCAACGUCAUAAUCUUUUAACAAUUCUAACCACCGCCGCUGACGCAUGUUGAGCUCCUUCUGUGUAAACAGGUACUUCAAGCUCUUGUGGUCAGUAUAGAUCUCACAAUGGGCACCAUAUAGGUAGUGCCUCCAUAGCUUCAAGGCGAAGAUCACCGCCGCUAACUCCAAAUCAUGGAUGGGGUAGUUCAUUUCAUAGCUCUUCAGCUAACGGGAUGCAUAGCAAAUUACUCUCCCGUUUUGCAUCAAUACACACCCCAAUCCAAGAUAGGAAGCAUCGCUGUAGACUACGAAGUCUUCGCACUGCACCAGUAGAGCGAGCACCGAAGUCAAAGUCAAUCUUUGCUUCAACUCUUUGAAACUCCGGUCAAACUCUUCGCUCCACACAAACUUGGUACCUUUCUGAGUCAGGCGGGUAAGUGGAAUCACUAUCUUGGAAAAGCCUUCCACAAACCGCCUAUAAUAGCCCGCUAAGCCCACGAAGCUUCGAACCUCCGUGACAUUUGUCGGGCGCGGCCAAUCCUUGAUUGCCUCAAAUUUCCUCGGGUCUAUAGAAACUCCACCCGGGGAAAUUACAUGCCCUAAGAAGGCGACUUCACGGAGCCACAAGUCACACUUCUUCAGCUUAGCAUAUAGCUUCUCCUCCCGAAGGACUUGAAGCACUAUUCUCAAAUGCUCGGCAUGUUCCUCGUCACUGCGAGAAUAGACCAAUAUGUCGUCUAUGAAGACCACGACAAAUUGGUCCAAAUACUCUCUGAAGACAUGGUUCAUCAAAUCCAUGAACGCCGCUGGUGCAUUCGUGAGUCCAAAUGGCAUGACCGUGAAUUCGUAGUGUCCAUACCGCGUGCGGAACGUGGUCUUCUGCACAUCCUCCGGCUUGAUUUUCAACUAGUGAUAGCCGGACUGCAAAUCUAUCUUCGAGUACACACACGACCCUUGCAACUGAUCGAACAAAUCAUCGAUUCGGGGAAGUGGGUACUUAUUCUUAAUCGUGACUCUGUUUAACUCUCGAUAAUCCACGCAUAGUCAAAACGAACCGUCUUUCUUCCUCACGAACAACACCGGGGCUCCCCACGGUAAUACACUUGGCCGGAUAAAUUGCUUGUCGAGGAGGUCUUGCAGUUGACUCCUCAACUCUUUUAAUUCCACCGGCGCCAUUUGGUACGGAGCCUUCGAGAUCGGUGCGCUACCGGAAACCAAGUCUAUGACGAACUCGAUCUCCCGAUCCGGUGGUAUCCCCGGCAACUCCAUAGGAAACACAUCCGGGAACUCCCGCACCACCGACAUCUCCUCCAAUGUAGGAGUUACUCGAUCCACCUCUACAAUGGUCGCCAAGAACGCCGCACAACCGUUGCUCACCAACUUUCUUGCUCUUGUCGCCGACACCGUCGCGACGAAGCACGAGCUCUGACAAGCCCGAUAAGUGAAUUCUUCUUGUCCUGGCUCACGGAAUGUGAUCACCCUGCUCUUGCAAUCGAUCGUUGCGUGGUAUUUCGAGAGCCAGUCCAUGCCCAGAAUGACGUUAUAAGCCUCAAGCUUCUGGAGUUCUAGCAUUCGAAUAGGCAUAAUCCAGUCGCCUAUUUGUACGGGACACGACGAACACUCCGAGUAAGUGUUAAACGUCGACCCAGGGCCCUCCACUCACCACUUGUCACUCGCUUCUAUAUGUAUGCCAUGCAUGCGUGCGAAUGAUCUACUUAUGAAUGAAUGCGUGGCUCCUGUAUCGAAUAAAGCCCUAGAGCGAACUCCGUUAAUCAAAACCAUACCUGCCACAAGGCGAUGCUCCUCUGCCUCCACAGGUUCCUCGGCUUGGACCUGAGCUGCGAAUACCCAUUCGCUCGGGGCCGAUCGCGUCGCUUCAGGUUGACGCGGCAUCAUCAAGCGUCCCGUCGACACAGCCGUCGGUGGAGCUCCUCCAUAGUGAGCCGGGAUCGCCGGCGCUGAUGCAAUCGAUGAGGCGAGUGAGGCUCCUCCUCCCGGGCAGUCCCGAAUGAAGUGGCCCGGUUGCCCACACUUGUAGCACUUGCCUCGGCCUUGCUCACAGCGCGAGACCGGGUGAUCUCCGCCGCAUACAAUGCAUCGCCGCGCUCCACCGCCCUUCUGUUGAGUGCGCGGAUACUUCGGAGGUUUCUUGUAGUGUGUUUGUCCCCCUGAACUACCGCCGCCUUGGCGUUUCUUGCCCUUGUCCUUGGACUCCGCCAAAAGCUCACGCUUCUCCCGAACGUGGGCAUCUCCGUGCUCCGCCCAUAGGGCUCGAUCAAAGACCUCCGCAAAGGUCGAGAGUUUAAGUAUUUGCACGGCCUUGUAGAUUCCCGGCCGAAGUCCUCACAAGAACCACUCGACCCGGUCCUGAUCAUCCUUUACAACAUCCGGGACGAAAUCAAUAAUAUGGGAGAAUUCUUGUUCAUACUCCGCCACCGUGCGGUCCCCUUGUUCUAGCUUGCGGAACUUCUCCUUGAGCUUCCGCUUCAAUGUGUCAGGGAAAUAGUUGGCGAACAUCUCCCGCUUAAAUUCCUCCCACAACAUCGGCGGAAGGCCGGGAAGCCGAUCCCGUUUGACGCACUUCCACCAAACCUUCGCCGCUUUCUCUAAGCAAUCGGUGGCGAGGUACACUUUAUCCCUCUCCAAGGUACGCAGAUCAUCGAAGAGGGUUUCCAUCGAGUCGAUCCAAGACCCGACCAUCGCCGGUUCCACCUUCUCGCCCUCAAAGGUUGGCGGAUGGAACUUGUUGAACUUGAUAAGAGUCGCCAAUGCGUGCUCUCCUUCCACAUCCUCGGCCGACACCUCGGGUGUAGCCGAUCCCGACGCCGCCGGAGGUACGAUCGCUGACGGGGGACGCGCCGCCACCGGGACCGCCGCUAUACCCUCACCCUCAGCUGGCCCAGGUACGCGAGCCGAGGGUGGGGGCACAUCGCGUCUGUCCGUUGCCGUUGCGGCCGGUGCCGCCGCCCGCCGCUCUAAGAGCUCCUGGAGCCGCUUGAAUCGGGUCUCCUGGCGCUGCACCACAUUGGCCAGCGUGGCCACUUGCGCUUGCAACCGAUCCAUCACACUCGGUUCACCCUGCUCGGGCACCUCAGGAGUCGGUGCCAUAGAAGAUCUACGUGUGUAGCGUCUUGGAGACAUUAGUCCCUAAAAUGUUGGUCAGUCAUCUUAACCAAUUACCUCGUCAAAUUACGACACAUGACGACUCAACAACAGAAUCGGGCGGAAGCACACAAGCAUACUCGUUCUAGACUCUCGGUAUCAUGUCGUCGGCCGCCGACACAACCAUGUCAAAUCAAGAACUAAUACCACUUGAAUCCAUCUCGAGUCACAACUAGAGACAUAUAACCAACUUCGACCCAAUCGAAUCGACUCCCGCCAUCGCUAUAGGUUCACGUUCCGCUCACGCACCUAUAACCUUAAGGCUUACCAUCCUAGGGUCUCCUAGGCCAUCCUAGACUUUCUCUCUUUACUUGCUCUUAUUGCUCUAAUACCAAAUCAGACUGGCACGCUGUUAGGUCCUAUGUGUUGGCAAGUUUCGUGGGUCGAGUCGGAGUCUUGAAGAAGUCGGGAGCGGAGUAUUGAAGAUCAAAGAAUUCAAGACUUCAAAGAAUCGGAAAGGACGCAAAACACGCAAAACAUGAAUCACGAUGCGUAGGUAAGCUUUAAAUCUUGUUUAUGGUGAUUCAUACUUAAUUAUAGAUUUUAGAAUCAUAUUUUCAAGUUGUAAUUGAUUAGAAAGUUUCUAAGAGUUUGUAAAAUCCAAAACAAUGCAUUUUCAGCGAAAAUUGCAUUGUUGUACCGUUACAAGGCUUUUCUGUCCAAGGUACAGCCAUCAGUCGUGGAACAUGGCCUUGUUCCUUUCGACAGGUCCCAUGUGGUACUGCCUUCUAAAAAGACGCUUCGAGGACAUGGGACCUAUCGAAAUCGAACAAGGCCUUGUCCCGAACAUGGCCAUGUCGUACUUCGAACAUGGCCUUGUUGGUAGUUUGAAGGACGCGUUUGAUNNNNNNNNNNNNNNNNNNNNNNNNNNNNNNNNNNNNNNNNNNNNNNNNNNNNNNNNNNNNNNNNNNNNNNNNNNNNNNNNNNNNNNNNNNNNNNNNNNNNNNNNNNNNNNNNNNNNNNNNNNNNNNNNNNNNNNNNNNNNNNNNNNNNNNNNNNNNNNNNNNNNNNNNNNNNNNNNNNNNNNNNNNNNNNNNNNNNNNNNNNNNNNNNNNNNNNNNNNNNNNNNNNNNNNNNNNNNNNNNNNNNNNNNNNNNNNNNNNNNNNNNNNNNNNNNNNNNNNNNNNNNNNNNNNNNNNNNNNNNNNNNNNNNNNNNNNNNNNNNNNNNNNNNNNNNNNNNNNNNNNNNNNNNNNNNNNNNNNNNNNNNNNNNNNNNNNNNNNNNNNNNNNNNNNNNNNNNNNNNNNNNNNNNNNNNNNNNNNNNNNNNNNNNNNNNNNNNNNNNNNNNNNNNNNNNNNNNNNNNNNNNNNNNNNNNNNNNNNNNNNNNNNNNNNNNNNNNNNNNNNNNNNNNNNNNNNNNNNNNNNNNNNNNNNNNNNNNNNNNNNNNNNNNNNNNNNNNNNNNNNNNNNNNNNNNNNNNNNNNNNNNNNNNNNNNNNNNNNNNNNNNNNNNNNNNNNNNNNNNNNNNNNNNNNNNNNNNNNNNNNNNNNNNNNNNNNNNNNNNNNNNNNNNNNNNNNNNNNNNNNNNNNNNNNNNNNNNNNNNNNNNNNNNNNNNNNNNNNNNNNNNNNNNNNNNNNNNNNNNNNNNNNNNNNNNNNNNNNNNNNNNNNNNNNNNNNNNNNNNNNNNNUAUCUAAUGGCCGAAGGUGGUAACAUUAAUCGACCUCCGCUCUUCGACGGCACGAAUUAUGCCUAUUGGAAAGUUCGCAUGAGAGCUUUUCUAAUCGCAAUCGAUGAGCGGGUAUGGAAAGCUAUUGAAUUCGGAUGGAAACAUCCUACCGAAGUUGUCGAUGGUGCUACCGUCCCUAAACCACGAAACAAGUGGACUAAAGAUGAAAACGAGUCAUCUUCGUUUAAUGGUAAAGGAUUUAAUGCUUUAUUCAACGCUUUAUCACAAACGGAGUUUACUCGGAUUUCGGCAUGCGAAACGGCAAAAGAAUUUUGAGAUACUCUACAAAUUACACAUGAGGGUACUAGUUUAGUAAAAAUUCAAAAGCUCCAAAUGUUGACUAGUCAAUUUGAUUCUAUUCGUAUGGAAGAGCAUGAAUCUUUUACCGAUUACUACACUAGGCUUCAAGAUAUCAUUAAUACAUGUGCUAAUUUGGGAGAGAAAAUUCCGGAUUCUAAGGUUGUUCGUAAAAUUCUUCGAACUCUUCCGGAACGUUUUCGGGCUAAAGUAGCCGCGAUCGAAACGGUCAAACAUCCGGACGAGAUGAAAGUAGAAGAAUUAGUAGGAGCUUUACAAACGUAUCAGAUGACUUUCCGUACUAAUCAAUCUUCUUCCAAGUCUUUUUCUAAAAGCACAGGUGUUGCAUUGAAAUCUACAAAGGAGAAGGACGAAGACUCGAGUUCCGACGACGACUUAUCAAUUGCGGACUUUGAACAACAAUUUGCACUUCUUACGAAAAAGUUUCGUCGAAAUUUCAGGAACAAGAAUAGAUUGGACAAGGGUUCAUCGUCCAAGCGACAAUCUUUGUCUAAGUCAUCUUCAUCUUCAAAGUUUAAGGAUAAAAACCGUGCAAAAUCUUCAAGGGAAAAGGAUGAAUUUGAAGGAGAGAUCCAAUGCUUCAAGUGCAAAGGCUACGGCCACAUUGCGACGGAUUGUCCGUCAAAGAAGAUGUAUAGACAAAAGGCUAUGCAAGCAAAGACGUGGGAUGAUUCAACAUCAAGUGAAUCAUCGUCAAGUGACGAAGAAAAGAAUGAUCAAAUUGCUCUAUUUGCUAAUACUCCCUCGUCGAAAGUUGUGUGUUUAUCCUCUAUUGCUACUAACUCAAAUAUUUCUCUUUCUUCACAUGAUUCAUCGAGCAACAAUGACGAAAGUGAGGAGGAAUCAAACGACGACGACAUAGCGGAAGCGUACAAUCAACUUCUUAUUGAAUCAAAGAAGAUGGCUAAACUCAACAAGAAGUUGAGACGUCGUUUAUUGGAACUUGAGGAGGAGAACAACAACGUAAAGAGUUUGAAUAAGGCUCUUGAGGAGGAAAGAGAUUCAAGUUUGAAGAUUAAUUCGGACCUCCAAGAGAAGCUUAGCGAUGCGGAAUCAACGAUCAAAUCUUCUAACGACAAGAUUGGAUUUUUGGAGCAACAAUUCGAGGAAUCGCACACAUCCAAUAAGUCGUUGAUCGAUCAAGUUCGUCAACUCCAAUCCGAUCUUCAACAAUUUUCUUCGGGAUCAAAGAAGUUGGACAAAAUGCUUGGAUUGGGUCAAACGAGCAAAUUGGGCCUUGGAUAUAAACGAACAUACGUUGAGAAGGAUUCAAUAUCAACUUCUAAAGUCUCAACAACUUCGAAAAAGAAAGUGUGUCAUCGAUGUGGCAUCAAAGGACACAUUAAAAGAAAUUGCUCAAACAAGGAAAUGAAGAAUCGAUCGACACUAUCUAAACCUCAAACGGCAUCAUCCACAACUCGACUUCCCCUGCGGAAUCAAAAGACAAAUCAAGUUAGUCGAGUACCUCAAAAGAACCGGUUUUCUAAUGCAAGAAGACAAGUUCAACCAACGCAUCAAGCAACCAAACGACCAAUGGUUGAUCCAAAAUCGAAGCAAAUGGCACCAAACGUCGACAAUCCGAGAAAACCAAACAUCCGACAAGUUUGGAUCCGGAAAGGUGAUAUCUUUCCUUGCUCAUUGUAUUAGUCAUUUUUUAUCUUUAGUGAAAUGCUUUGAUUGGUGCUUGUUGCAUAAUUUUAUUCAUUGCAUUACAUGUUUAAAUGAUUUUUGGUGCUUUGAAUUUUGUUUAUUUAAAAAUCAUUUUGAGGAAGAGGUGUUUUUAAAAAAUUUUUCUUUGAGAAAAGAGAUAAUUGAGAUUCAUGAUUUGGAGAGAGAAAAGGUGUUUGAACAGUGUUUAUCUUCACAAUCAUAUUAAGUUAAAUUCAUAUUAAUUAUCGUCUUUACUCCACUAUUUAUUAUUUUGACGAUAAUUUAUUAUAUGAUUUCUUAUAUCAUAAAUUCAUCAAAAUUUUGAAAUCAAAUUUAAUUUUUUGGUGAUUAAUUCAUCUUGGUUGUGAGUGUUGGAUAUGAUGGAUGGAUAUUCUCUAAUAGACUAAAAUUUGUCAAAUUAUUUUCAACUGUGAGAUUGUCUAAUUUAGGGGGAGUUUGAAAUUGUUUAAAAAUAAAAAAAAAGGAGAAAAAGAAACUCCUAUAUUCAAAAGAUGUGGAAAGAGUUACAUCCUAAAAGGAGUGUGAAAACUACCACCACAUGUAGGAAAGAGCUACCACCCCGGUCGUCCGGUAAGUGUGUGAAGCUACCACAUGAAGAUUGAAUUGAGUAACCGAAAAAGGUUGGAAAAAAAAUAAAUAUUUUAGAAUUUUCGGAGUUAUAAGGUGGUAAGAUAAAAAGAUGCUCAAAGAGCUACCCCCAGUAUCAUAUUAGUUAAAUCUCUAUUUUGAACGUGUUACGACAAAUUGGUGUCAAUUUUUGUUGAAUUUCUAAAAAUCAUUUUUCAUCAACUUACAUCUUGAUGGUUUUGAAUCAUUAAAUUAUUUUUGAUAAUGAAAUUUUGAUGUUUUGAUGUAUUUUGAAAUUUUAUAAUAUCUUAUUGUCAUUAUAAUGAUUCUUGGAGUAAAAGCCUUAAAUUAUUUGAAAUUAAUUUAAUUUGAUGGAUUUUUAAAGCAAAUUUUUCGAAAUCUGAGAUUCUUUGUCGAGCUUAGUCUCUUUCUUUCACUGCAUUUGAUGUUUAGGACGAUGUUUUUGAUUUGCUUGUUUAUCUUUCUGUAGUAUGUUUUUACUUUUAUUUUAGGCCUGUAACUAUGACUAGACUACUCUUAUGCUUUCUAGUAUGUUUUCUCUCUUUAUUUGCUUUCUUUUGGCAAUUUUUGACAAAAAGGGGGAGAGCGUAGAUGAAGGGGGAGAGCAUGGAUGAACAGGCAUUUCAUUGAACUGAAGCAGAGGAUGAUGAGUUCAAGGACAAAUGGGGAGAUGUGAACAAAGGGGGAGAAGGUAUAAGAAUUUAGUGCUAAUCAUUUUUUAAUGAAUUGUUUUGCAGGAAAUCAAGACUUCAAGACUCCUAGUUGCGUCUAAGUCAUAGAGUCUGUUUUAGGAGUUUUGAUGUAAUUUUGAGUUUCAAAUUGUAUUUGGAUUACACGCGAGGGGUUCGAUGUUUUGGUGAUGACAUUGAACUUCGUUUUUUUUAAAUUGUAAUUUGUGAGUUUAUGUGUGUUUUGUCACGAAAUUGCAAAAGGGGGAGAUUGUUAGGUCCUAUGUGUUGGCAAGUUUCGUGGGUCGAGUCGGAGUCUUGAAGAAGUCGGAAGCGGAGUAUUGAAGAUCAAAGAAUUCAAGACUUCAAAGAAUCGGAAAGGACGCAAAACACGCAAAACAUGAAUCACGAUGCGUAGGUAAGCUUUAAAUCUUGUUUAUGGUGAUUCAUACUUNCACCCAUCCUAGGACUACUCCCGUCCUAGCAUGCUUAACUCUCUUAACCUCUUCGGCCUUGCCACCAACCAAAAUGCUUAAGCCGGGUUAAGAGUUUAGCCCUAUUAUAUCUUAUAUAUAGGACUAUCUGGGGUCUCACAAUCUCCCCUCCUUUAAGCCCUGACGUCUUCGUCAGGCUCAGACUCACAAAUACCAGGCGAUGUGAGACUCAUCUCGCUAGCCUGUUAUCCAGACCCUAGCUUAGCCGAGACUCAUCUCACACUUCCGGCUGGUAAUUGGCUCUGAUACCAACUAUGACGCCCCGACUUCCCAGGGGGUCACCCAUCCUAGGACUACUCCCGUCCUAGCACGCUUAACUCUCUUAACCUCUUGGGUCUAGCCACCACCCAAAAUGCUUAAGCCGGGUUAAGAGUUUAGCCCUAUUAUAUCUUAUAUAUAGGACUGCCUAUUAUAUCUUAUAUAUAGGACUAUCUGGGGCCUCACAAUACCUCUAGGGUACUAGGAGGCUAGAGGACACUUUCGUUGGAGCAAACGAAGGGUUUCGUUUACCGUUGGUGGGUUUGACUUCAUGAAAAUGGGACAAAAUGGCCCCUAUGCUUUCUAAACUCUUCGUAAUGUUAGGUCCUAUGUGUUGGCAAGUUUCGUGGGUCGAGUCGGAGUCUUGAAGAAGUUCGGAGCGGAAUAUUGAAGAUCGAAGAAUCCAAGACUUCGAAGAAUCGGAAAGGAUGCAAAACACGUAAAACAUGAAUCACGAUGCGUAGGUAAGCUUUAAAUCUUGUUUAUGGUGAUUCAUACUUAAUUAUAGAUUUUAGAAUCAUGUUUUCAAGUUGUAAUUGAUUAGAAAGUUUCUAAGAGUUUAUAAAAUCCAAAACAAUGCAUUUUCAGCGAAAAUUGCAUUGCUGUACCGGUACAAGGUUUUUCUGUCCAGGGUACAGCCAUCAACGUUGCGCAGAAAGUUUGAUGGUUGUUCCGGUACAAGGAUUUUCUGUCCAGGGUACAGCCAUCAACGUUGCGCAGAAAGUUUGAUGGUUGUUCCGGUACAAGCUUCAUGCUGUACCGGUACAAGCCCUGUUCCGGAACAAGCAACAGCCUAUCCAGGGUACAGGAGCUUCGCAGAAAAAUCUUCCGUCAUGGUGUACCCUGGACAACAUUUCUUGUUCCGGUACAAGGUGCUGAUUUUGGAAAGAAACUUUCUAAUUCGACUCCAAUUGAUUCUAAAGUCUAUAAAUAAGCUAUAGGGGUUCUCUAACACAUCAAGCAUCACGAAAAUACAUAUUUGAGAAACCCUAGAGGCUCGGAUUUAAUCUUAAACCUAUUUUCUACAAAAAGCCUCUUUUAGAUCAAAUCGAGAUAUUGAAAUUUGAUAUUAAUAUGUCGAUUUGAUCUCCGCUUCGCUUGGAGUUCUAUUCCCUGGUUUUCUACAACACUCCAAAGCGAAGGAUCACCAUAUUCAUGAUAUUCUUCAUGGUGGCGUCGUGGAUUCGGCGUAUUUGACGGCGGUUCGUGGAUUCGGAUCGUGGGCUCGUGGAUUCGAGUGGCGUCGUGGAUUCGGCGUGAUUGAAGCUUCGUGGAUUCGAAGUGAAGGCGUUCGUGGAUUCGGACGUGAGGGCGUGGACAACCCGGAGGGUAGCGCGAAGAUUCAUAGGAGGUUAAGAGAGGUUAAGUCCGUGGAGUCGGUAAUCACCUUGUAAUCUUUUCUCUUAGUGAAUUGUUUUUUCGCGUGUUGGUCCCGUGGGUUUUUCUCCAAGUUGGAGUUUUCCCACGUAAAUCUCGGUGUGCUUUUUAUUUUCCGCAUUUAUUUUUAUUGCAUCGAGAUUUGUGGUUUUUGGUCGUUCACCUAUUCACCCCCCUCUAGGUGAUAGAUACAAUCUAGAUAGAUCCUUGGGCUCCUCAAAACUUUCACACGCCCCGCCCAGAAACCACUACCAAUUUGGCACGAUUCGGGCCCGGCGACAGACCGCCGAACGGACAGCACCUCCCCUGUCCGCCCAAGGCUCACAACAAGAAUGUGUACAAGAAUUUACCCAGGAAUUUAAAUUCUAAGCAUACAUAUUCAACAGGGCAUAAAUAGUGCCAGCAACUACAAGGAGCAAGUAAUCCACAAGAUAAAGUAUGUGAAAUAAAGAGAAUACUUUACUAGAUAUUACAAUAAUUUCAUUACAUCAUUUUCUUUAAUGAUUAUAUUUUUCACCCAAAAUACAUAGCUCUCCAAAUCCUCACCUACAAGAAAUCUCUCUCAAUACAUAGGUGUACUAAUGCACAAAAGGGAAGCUACUAUACUACCACGGUCUCACUGAUCGGGCGCGAUGCCCUUGCCGCGGUCCUCCCUCGGCAACCCUGUACCUACCACUGGAAAUAGUGUGAGGUGAGAACUAUCUUCCAUAGUUCCCAGUGGGCUCGGCCGCCGACUCUGCCGAUCUCCCCACUAGGUCUAAGUGGGCACAAGCAACAACAGAUAGAUAGGUAGAUAGAUAUCUGAAAGCUGUAAAUACGAUAGUAGGAAAACUAUCGUAUAUGCCCAUAAUCAUGAAUAUGAAUGCAUGCAUCAUGUAAUAAAGGUUGGCUAUCAUGCUAGCAAAUUCGAUCCAUGUUCGAAUAGCAAUAUUCAAUGACAUUUUUAAACCUUUAACCUUUCAUUUACCCAAUCUGUGGCGAUGCCCUAGGACUCGCCUAUGACUCACCUUUCAAUCCCAAAGUGGGGAGGGAGCUCCAAGUGCACCCAAGCCCGGGACCGUCUGCGGACCUCCAUGUGGUCCGGACCUCCAAGUGGUCCUAGUCUCGCGACACUCCGGAGUACUCGACGACAAUCCCCUCCAUGUGGGGAUAGGAUGGCUAUACCACCCCAAACGCAGACUGUGAGCUAGAUCUAUCCUCUCCAAGUGAGGAUGCCCUACAUCUAGGGUCAACAACCCAAUCUAAUCCUCUCCAAGUGAGGAUGCUCUACAACUAGAGUCAAGAUUUCUCGCGGGAUCACAUGUUCCCAACACUCAUGCAAUGCUAUUUAGCUUUUCUAAAUUCAUUGUUCACAAGGCAUUUUCUAAGGGAUCCGCCUACCCCUAGGUCCAUCGACCUCUAGUGUCAUUUACACUACAUUAAUGCCACUUAUUAUCUUUUAACAUUUGGAUGCCACUCGUUUGUUCUUUGACAAUAACACUACUUUCUAUGUCAUCAACACCCCCAUCAGGUUCAUCUCUAUCUUUAGCAUCAUAGGAUCCACGUUCCGACCCAAUUCUCACCUAUCUAAGUUACUAAGCGUUCCAAGUACACUAGGUUAUCAAUUAGAAGCAUAAGGAAUAGAGCUACUAUGCAAUCCUACAAUGCAACAUGUAAGAGAUGACAUUAAAUGCAAUCUAAGACAUAGAAAGGAGUUCGAAAGCUUCGGGAUGGCACCCCCCACCUUUAAUCGAUGUAGAGGCUUUAGAAACAGUCCUCGGCGAACGCUACGAAAAGGCUUUAGCUUCUUUGCCCAACCCAAUGCAAAAUCGGCCUUGUUUUGCAGAUAGCUUCACGCCGGCUCGCCGAAUGCUAAAACCGACUUCGCCCCCACAUUUUGUGACCUACCAAUAGGGUUUCCAAGGCUUCAAAUGAGAUCAAUCUCAUGUUUUCACAAAAAUCCCAUUUUGGAGCCCUAGGUUCGCACCCAUAGCAAACCACCCAAUGAAUCCCUAGAUUCUUGGGAUUGAUCUACUUAGAAGCAUGCUUAGGGUUCAUUUGACCCAUUCCAAAGCAUCAAAACCCAAAAAUCCUAAGUUUCACAAGCUAGGGUUCAAGAGCUUACCUCUUGAGCUACACCAAAGAGAAGAGGAGAGGGAGAUGAAGGUGUCCAAGGCCUUCUUCUUGAUCUCCUUCUGCUUCUCCUUCCUUUCCUUCUCCUUUUUUUCCUUCCUCUCCUUCUUGUUCUUCUUCUUCUCCUUUCUUUCCUAGAGAGAGAGAGAGAGAGCAAGAGAGAAAGAGAGAUAGAGAGGAAAUGAGAUGAGAGGGGCUGAGGGAGAGGGUUAUUUCCCAUAUUCACCCUUCACAUGGUGGCCAUUUUGCACUUAAACCUCUCAACUUUUUAUCUCUCAAACAGUUGUCGCUGGGCUGUUUUCGCGCGGAGGGACCGGUCUCCCCGUCAUGGGACCGGUCCCCGAGAGCAGCCCAUGCUACCAGGGGCCUUUCUCGCGUUCGGGAACCGGUCUCUCCCUGGGAGAUCGGUCCUCGGGAGACCGGUCCUCACCUGAGAGACCGGUCCCCGAGAGCCCAAUUUUCAGGACUUAGCCAAAUUUCGGCAUUUCUCGCUGGGAUCACGUUCGGGAACCGGUCCCUCUCCACCAGGGACCGGUUGCACCAAGCAACCCCGCUACACCCAGCCGAGGGAACCGGUCUCUCACCUCCAGAGACCGGUCCCCGCGAGUAAUCUCAGCCCAAUGAUACAGUUUGCACCAUUUGCUCUUGUGGACUCAACUCCAAGGCACUUUUGUGCUUUGGACAUCUUUAACUUCUCCAAAGGGUAUUCUCUCGACAAAUAGUCGAUCCUGGAUAAAGUACAACUCUCGGAUUUCGAGAAUUCACUUCCUUACAAGCUAGCUCAAGUAUAUCUUGAUGAGGUGGUGAGACUUCACGGGGUUCCGAAGUCGAUCGUGUCGGAUUGAGAUCCCCGGUUUACUUCACACUUUUGGAAAAGCUUGCAAGAGGCACUUGGGACACGACUCGAUUUUAGUACCACGUUUCAUCCUCAAAGCGACGGUCAAUCGGAGAGGACAAUCCAAGUUUUAGAGGAUAUGUUGUGAGCGUGUGUCAUUAAUUAUCGAGGCAGAUGGAAUGAACACGACCUAUGGCCGAGUUCGCCUACAACAAUAGCUACCAAGCGAGUAUAGAGAUGGCACUGUUUGAAGCUCUCUACGGGCGGAAGUGCCGAUCUCCUAUACAUUGGAGUGAGGUGGGUGAACGGGUAGUUUUGGGCCCCGAUGUGUUGCGAGAGGCGGAGGAGAAAGUCCUCCUUGCUCGCCAAAGGUUGUUGACGGCUCAGACGAGGCAAAAGAGUUAUGCAAAUAAACGCCGUCGAGAUCUAGAAUUCGCGGUUGUAGACCGCGUCUUCUUGAAAGUUUCGCCCAUGAGGGGUGUGAAGAGGUUUGAAGUUCGGGGAAAGCUUAGUCCCCAGUAUAUCGGACCGUAUGAGGUAUUGGAACGGAUUGGUGCGGUGGCUUAUCGACUUGCAUUGCCGCCCAUGCUUCCGGGAGUUCACAAUGUAUUCCACGUGUCUAAUCUCCGCAAGUACGUUCAUGACCCCGAGCAUAUGCUCUUGUUCGAACCGCCCAAGCUUCAAGAGGAUAUGACCUAUGAGGAAUUCCCGGUGUUCAUCAUUGCUCGAGAGGUGAGAAAGUUACGGAACUGCGAGAUUCCGUAUGUUAAAGUCCAGUGGAGCAAUCACGAUGAUUGGGAGGCUACUUCGGAGCUCGAGGAGGCGAUGAGAAAGCGUCAUCCUCAUCUUUUCGAAUAUUUGGAUUGAGGUACGAGUUUCUAUUUAAAUGCGUGGUGUUUCGCGGAUGAAACUCCUUUUAAGAAGGGGAGGAUGUAAGGUAAUGGAUCCUCAGCACGUGCAAAAUCGAACUUGGGUCGGAAUUGACCGAAAUGCGGAGUUGAUAGCUUCGGAACGCUUUGGAAAAGUCUGAAUGCGUUGGAAUGGCUUUAAGGGUGUUAAGGGACCUUAGUGAGCAGCUGGGAGAAAAUUCUGCAAAUUUCGCAAUUGUGGUGCUCACGGGGUCCGGACCCUGAACUACGAUGCUCACGGGGUCAGAACCCUGUGCAGGGUCCAGACCCCAUAGGCGAAACCAGCCCAGUUUGGGCAGUGUGUGAAUAGAGUUGUUUGGGGUGUUAAGUGCAAUUGUGUGCAUAUGGGAGUGUAUAUGAGUGGGUUUUAGCUCAUUUCUCUCCCUCUCCCUCACAUUUGCAACCAAAGAACACUCUCUUUCUCUCUCUAAGAUCUCUCUCUCUCCCACGGUGGAACCAAGAGGAGAAGGUGGUGGAGAUUAUGGCUUGAAGGUGGAGCUUCUUCCUCUUCUUCUUCCUUGGCUCAAGAAGGAAGCUUGUUGAGGUAAGCUCUUUGAGCUCUAAUGGUAGAUUCUUAGGGUUUGGUUUAUAUACCCUAGAAUUGGAUCUAGAUGGAACCCUAGAUGUUGUUAGGAUGCUAUUUGCUUGAAUCAAGAGUUUGUUUAGUGUAUUCUUGCAAAUAGUGGAUUCUAGGGUUUGGUUUGGGGUUUUGCCAUAGUAGGGUUGGAUCUAAAUUGACCCUCUGGAAACUCAAUUGAAGGUAAAAUCGACAUGGUGGGCAACUCAAACGGGAGUUCCUACGGGCGUGCGGCGAGUUCUUGAGAGAAAGGACCAUUUUCGCUUCGUUUCCAUCGGAUAGAGCCAAAGCGACGUCUAAAAAUCAUGAAACUAGAAUUCUCACACCUCGACAGUGUUUAGAGGUGGGGGGUGCUAUCCAGAACAUCCAGAUUUCCUUUUAUGUCUAUGUUGCUCCUUUGGCCAUUUAUGUUCAUAUUAGCAUUCAUGCAUUGUAGAGUAAGUUGUUGCUUAUUCCACUCUUUGCAUAUUCUCAUGAGGUUUGUAUAAAAAUGAGAUGGAACAUAAUGUUAUGUGCAUGAGGAUUGGAUGUGAACAAGGGACUCUAUAGUGGCAUGAUAAAGAGAACUUGGACAUCGUGGCACUGGCGUUUGAUAUGAAAAUGUGGAAUUGUGACAUUGUGGCAUUAGCUAGAGAUAUUGUGACUUGUGGCAUUAGCGAGAGACAUUGUGACAUUCUGGUAUUAGCUAGAGACAUUGUGACAUUGUGGCAUUUGGCUAGAGACAAUGUGAUCACUCAAGAAAUAAGGAUUGGGAUUAGUAUUUUACCGGAUUUGAUUACCACUAGUUGGUAGGGUAUCCUUGGGUUGGAGGAUUGGAUCAUGCUCACAUACGUCUGUUUUUGCUUAGCAGUGGUCACUCCACCCAAGCAGUGGUCUUCGGAGUACUUCACGGUAGGGGCUAACGUAGCUGUCCUGCAGACAGUCCCGGGUGAGUGUAGCGGACAUCUCCUCACGAUGCGGGAUUGGGGUGUGAGUAGGGGCUCAACCUUCGGGUGAGUCGGAAUGAUUGGGUGAUGAAAAGGUAAAUGGCAUGCAUCAUGAGUAUAGUAGUUGCUAUUACUUGUUUACCUUACCUGUUUAUUGUUUCAUAUGUUGAGGCGUAGUAGCAUGCUAGAUGAUCAUUAUAUUGCUAACCUAUCUACUUUUGCCUGCUUAGACCUAGUGGGAAAAUCGGCGGCGUCGGUAGCCGAACCCACUGAGAACUAUUUGUUAGUUCUCAUCCCACUUUGUUGCAAGGCCUAGCGCGAGCGGACAGGUUGAAAACCGCGGUAAGGGUAUAGCGCCCUAGGUAACUACCUCCUAUGCAUUGGAGUCGAGUUCCAUUUUGUGAUAUGAUGUAUAUUGGUAGAGAGACUUUAUGUAUUUGGGUGAGGUUGCUAAAGAUGUUCAUGUAUUAUGAGAAGUAUUAUAAACCAUUUGUAUAUUUGAUGGUUGAAUGAUGUAAAACCAAGUGGAAACAUGUAAAAAUGGUUGAAUGUCAAUGUAAUAACUAGUUUCUCUCUAACUCUCGCAUGUAUCAUUACUUGCUUGUAUCAUGUAUGUUGUUCAUGUUUGUUUCCUGGGCAACUAGAUGUACAUGAUCGUUCGUUGAGCCUUGGACGGACAGGGGAGACUAUGUCCGUUCGGCGUCUGUCGACGCGCGCGAACCGACCAAAUAGGCGAUUGCGGGGUGUGACAAUAUGUGCUAUUGCUUGCCAGCCUCCAUAGCGGCACUAGAGGGGAGCAACCCCUACCUUGUCUAAUAGCGUGUAACCCUGUCAAGCUCCAUGUGGCUCUGCAGGCUAUAAUCCUAUGUGAGAUCAAAAGAUCACGAGUGACUAAUAUCAUGUUCUCAGUAUACUAUAGACUACUGCUCUAAUACACAACUUCUAACACACAUCUUGCAACAAGUGUAUUGUAACUAAGUGAACCAGACUCUAAAAUCAUGCAUACUAUGUCACUCUACCCCUUCGGCCUAAUCAACAUGUGUAAACAAUAAUUUUCCUAUGUAUUGAUCAUAACUAACUUAGAUAGGUACUCGCAAAUAGGAAUGUUCGAUUUCUACUUUUCGAUAGAAUUUACACUGACAAUACUCUCUAUGAACAUGCAUAAAAUAUAGGCAUGUAUUUGCAUCGAUGGAGACAUAGUAGGAAAUUCGCCAUUUUCAGCGACUCGGAACCCACCUCGAAUUGUUAAUCCAAUAACGGUCAAAAUCAACCUCCAAGGCAUCAAUCCUCGGCUCACUUCUUUUAGGAAUCCACUAAGAAAACUCUGAUAUCAGUGAGGGUGCUAGCAAGGCAAGAUAGAACUAAAAUCCGUUAAUUCAGGAUUCGGUGAAUGAAUACCGGAUUUUGUCGAAAAUUAGUCAAGUAACCUCACAAUCCAAUAGAGGUAGCUCCAAGACAACCAAACGUGCUAGAGGAGCUCGAGAAAAAGCCAAAGCCGGGGUAGGCAUCAUAGUCAUACCCACAAAAUCUGAGAGAGAGACGCCCACAUUGCAGUCGUCCAAGCAGCCACUACCGAAACCACGAGCUGCAUUCUAGCAGCCUCCGCAACAGCCGCGACCGUAACAGCUCCCUAUGCCGUCUCCAUAAAGACGCUCGCAGCAGCUCUCGUGCUCUACAUAGGCAGUGGGGCCUGGGCAAUAGCAGCUGAAUCGACAACAUAGACCCAGUAAGUGCCGUAACCUGACCCGUUAAGGCCACUACUUACCAACAAGUGGCUAUACCUGGUGAAUCUCACCUUGCCGCUAGAUGCCAACUUGGUAAUCCACCACGACUCUCGGUAGAAGCACGAGUCUGCACCAACAUUGUAAUACAAACAGACGUAAUAAAUUUACCAUAUACCAGUAGCACCAAACACGGCGUAAUAAGAUAAGUAUAUGCCUAGAGAUUAUUAAAUCUCGACCCAAAUACUGCGACUUAAUUCUAACAACCCCGCGCUCUCACGUGCCUAUAAGCCUUAGGUUACCUAUGGGUCAUCAUAAACUAUAGUUGAUUGUGGUUCAAAUUUUCUCUGAUACCAUAUUAAUCUGUCACGCCUCAAGGUUCUUUUUGGAAGUCCUUCUUAGAAAAACUAGCGAAAAACAUGUAGAUUUUUUAAAAAAACAUCUUUGAGAACACCCCGCGAACGCACAAAAACCCAUCACAUGGACAAAAGAUUCCCUAUAUAAAUGGACAAAGUCUCCCCUGUACAUGGACGGCGUAGUACUAUAAUAUAAAAUCAACCAAAGAUACAACCACACAAUACAAAUAAUAUAAUGAUCAUAUGAUAACGAUAAAUUACAUACGUCCAUUAUAGUUAAACAUUAAUAGGUAAUGAACUAAACUAAUACAGCGAAAUGAUAAUGAAUAUUAACAAUGAACAGAUCUGGAACACGGCUAUCUAGUAUCGUCCUCAUGCACCGUCCCAACCCUCAUUGCCUGCGUCACCUAAAAAAUGGUGAGGGGCAGGGGGUGAGAACAUGUAAACAUGUCUCCUCUCCCAGUGGGUACCGCAAGACGAUGAAAGCAAGGCAUACUCACCUGCAAAAGGAAGAGAUAACCAUAAUCAUGAGCAGGUAUCAUAUGGAUAGUAACAAUGAAAUGAUAAUUGGCAAUGAAUGCUAAAGCACUGCUACUAUAAGUAGAAAAUGACAACUAGGCAUAAUCGACAAAUGUAUCGAAGUAGUAACAACGAUGGCUAGGAAGAAACUACAACAGCCAAUCAAUAUAUAACUAUCUAUUACUGCAACAAGCAAUAGAAUACACCAAUGCAGCAAAUGGGUGAAUAAUGCCAAUAACCAAGCCAACUAUCGUAUUGGCCAAAAGACUUUAGGCUAAACCACAUCCUACUCGCCCACCUGGCAGAUAACCCUAACAGGCACUUCGUAGGGCUCAUGGGUCAAAUGUACGACUACUUUUCUGGAAAAGAACACCUUUUGGGUUGAUCAGACCACUGGUGUACAUGAAAUUCUUACGAGCUGUGGUGAUCGAUGCAAUAUGAACAAUAGCGACAUCGGCAAGUAGCCGAGAGAAUAAUCCAUAAGGAGUCGCGGACCAAUCAGGUCAAUCUCUAUCUAAGAGUGCCACUGACCAUCAGGUCAAGUAAUGUCAAGUCAUGCGAUAUACCAAUAGAAGUGUCACCAAACGCAAGGUCAAAAAAUAUUAAAUCAUGUAACACACAAAUAGGAGUGCCACCGACAACAAGGUAAACUAAUGUCAUAACAUGCAAUAUACAUCUAAGAAUAUUAGUAACCAUAUGGUCAACUAAUGUCAUAACAUGCAAUAUACAUUUAGGAGUGUCACAAACCAUAUGGUCUACUAAUGUCAUAACAUGCAAUAUACAUCUAGAAGUGUCACAGACAACACCGUCAACUAUUGUCAUAACAUAAAAUAUACAAAUAGGAGUGUCACUGACCCCACGGUCAACUAAUGUCAUAACAUGCAAUAUACAAAUAGGAAUGCGACCGAUAACAAGGUCAACUGAUAUCAAGGUCAUCUACUAUAAUCAUACAAUAGAUAACGUCUCAAUCACAAAAGAACACCGCUCUAACACUAAAUCAUGAUAAUACGAGACAAAAGCAACUGUAGAACAACUAGCUAUGAAGUCAAGUGGUGUACGAAAGCUGUACCGAUAUCAAGUAAAUGAAAGGAGAUGAUAGGGACAGAAAUCACCGAACAGGCACCACUUUACCAACUUCGGAUCGAAAUACCCACCUCUACCAUAGAAUAAAACCCGAUUGUUGGGACCUAUGCAAAGUCCCAUCCAAAAUCAAAAUUAGCUCAAACCCACUAAUUACAAAAGCUAUGAUUCCAUGUGAAUACAAACAAGUGAACAAUCAAUUUUUCGAAUCUCGUUCCACGGUCACUGGAAGAUCGCCCGAUAGUCACACCGACUCGUUGGAACGUCACCUCCACCUACGAGGUGUCCCAAAUUGAGCCCCACACUUAUCCUACCUCACCCACUAUCCCAACAUAUAAUUUUAAUGCUAUUGGGGCAAUUGCACAAGUAGUGCGCCAAAACGAAAAACUAAGAUCCCGAAAAUCACCGAUUUGGCUUCGGGAAUGUCCAUUUUAGCACUGGAAUCACCCACAGCCCUCACACUGCGACCAGAGGUGUCAAACCUUGUCUUAACACCAGCCAAUAAGGUUACAACACCACUACAACUAGCAGCAGUAAGCGCGAUACGAAACCGCUCCCGAGAUGACACAAUUUUCAUAUUUUAGGGUCCGGAACUACCCUGAAGUUUUUGAAACACUCCGAAAUUCACUCAACCAUCCCCCCUUGUCCCAAAACACUCACUUUUGUGAGUCAGGACAGCCGCACACUAUGUGGUACGAUCUGGGUGCGAAAUCCUUAAAAUCCACUAUAUUUGGUUCUCAAAAAUCAUCUAUUUAGCUCCGGAACCCACUAGGGCCCAUCGUUGGUCUGAGCUUUGCACCAGCGAAAUCCAGCCAGCCAACGAGGCUUCCCAACCACUGUAACAAGCAGCAAAACCCGUUCUGCGAGAACGGAUUCAAAAAUCACCUAUAUUAUACACAUAACCCACCAUUUACAUGCUCAUCAACAUGAAAUCCCAAUUGAGGGAUUCCUGGACUUUGAAUAUCAAGUACGAACCAUUCAUGCAAGAAACCAUGCUAUCCGGGACAGUAAUGACACAACAAGUGUCAUUGUGGCAUUAAGUCGAACACCCGGCGCAUGAUAAUAAUAGAAUAAUUCAUUGUAUAGAAAAUUACCAUCAAUUCCGUGACUUCAGAAUGCAAGCGAAGCUAUAGUCCAGAAGGUCUCACUGUUCUGGACAUCGUUCUCACUGUCCGGACUGAAUCUGAGCAUCAUGGAAGAAGUUGGAGCAACAAGAAUCGUAGCUUUCAUCGUCUCCAAGAGCGACAUCGUGAGAACAACCAUUAGGGACACAUCUAGUUGCAAACAAAGAGAGCACUGCACUAUAGAAGGGCUCCUAAAGCUAUGCUUUGCUGUCAGAAGAUUGCCGGUGGCCAGAUGUGUCGAGAAAGAGGUAUCAACCCGAGCCAAUCCUAGCCGCAACCUACAAAAUAAAUAGUAGGCAGUAAAGACUCCCAGACUUUCGUACGACCUAGGAGUGGUUGACGCCGACCAUAAUUGGUGGUCUCGACAAGAGGAGACCCUUAGGUACGAUGGCCGGCGGUGGAGACCAACGGCGGUGCCAGAUUUGAAGACUUGGCCAUACCAUCCUUGAGCUUGGGCUCGGGCUUGGGCUCAAGCUCGGGGAGGUCUGGGGCAGUGGCUAGGCUGAGAAGGGGUCGUCGGACUUCUCCCCCGAUGGUUGCAGCGGCGGCAGUCGCAGCAGAUCCAAGUAUGGGAGAAAACCCGAGGAGACAAAGGUCGGUGAUGAGAGAGGAAGAGGGAACGAGAGAUAGAGAGGGAAACCCAGCCAGGGGCUCGCCGCUAGCUAAGGGGAUCACCGAUGGCGGGGCACCAUGCAACGGCGACUAGGAGAGAGAGGAGAGGGUAUAGUAGGGUUAGGGUUACCCUAGGGCAUCAUUCUCUCUAUACACAUAUAUGUAAACCUACUCAUACAUGGUAUAAAAAAUAGUUUAGUCGAUCAAACCAUCCUAUUUUCUUCUCAGCCCCCUCCAUGCACCAGCACAAGCACUUCGCGCAAAAGUACCUCUCCAAGCGAUCUCUCACGGUUUGCUGCAUAAAAUACCGCAUUAUAUACAAAAAUAUCCUGGUUCCAAAACCCUUCCUCUAGAUUCAAGUCUGUGCUAUUUUGCACAGGAGACCCACAAUUUUGCGAAACAUGAAUCAGCACAUUCCCCACUGAGUGUACAAUCAAUUGAGCCCAUACACUUGCCAAAACUCUACAAUUUUAUACAUAAAAUGAUAACCUCUUCCCAAAGAGUUUCAUUUUCACACUUUGCAAAAAUUACAAUUUAGCCCUCCAACCUUAGAGUUUCAUAUUAAAAAUAACAACUGCAUGUAAAAUGCCAAAUGACACCAUCUCAUGGAUUUUCACACAAAACGGAGUAUCGAAAAAUUCUAAAAAGCAAAAACAUCGAGUAGAAAAAAGCCAAUCUGUGAUAAUAAUAGAUUUUCUCGAAAACUAUGCAUCAAACGUAAAAUCAAACAGUGCCAUUACUUCCGGCAUAGUCGAACCAUCGAAAAUGAUCUAUUGGGUCAUCCAAAAUGAAGUUUGAUUCACAUUCGAAGCCAACCUGAAGUCGAAGCCUCAAAAUAAAAUCGGAUUACUAUUCAUUUAAGUGAAUAGUAACAGUCACCAUACACCUUUAAAUAUAAACUAGUCUUUCACCGAUAUUAAACCAAUAAAUUCCAACAUUAAAAUAUAUGUACAACACUACUGAAAAGUACCAAAUUACAUUAUAAAAAUCUCAGUCCUCUUAUCAUCCCCUUCUUAUAAAAUUUCGUCAGCGAAACUUGACUACAGCCACCGUAAUCAAAUUUGGAUACCGUUCCACUAUUGGUUUCACCUUCGAGAUGAGGGAAAACGUACCAACCCUAAACCUACAGACUAAAAUCCACUGGGUGCACCAUCCACUAACCAGCGAAUUAUGACAGUACCGUAACCUGGACUAUCCGAUCUCACACCUGCCAAACUUGGGUGGUAAAAGCUCACUGUAAAUAUCGAAUCUUCGAGUUAUGAGGCUAACUUUGAUCGAAUUGAUCAAAGUGAGGCUUGAGCAUGAUGUGCGACAUCCCCAAGCUGUUUUGGAGGCGUGGGGAUGGUUAGAAGUGAGUUUCGGGAUUGUUUAAGUAUUUUCGGCGCAAACCGGGCACGAAAACGAACCCUAGAGCAUUGCUGCUGUCAAAAGGGCCAAAGUAACACUGAGUACCGAUACUAGAGCAAUGCGGUAUCGGUACCCAGUCAGAGCGUGUUGGUAUAGCUCUCGGGAUCCGGACUGUAUGAGACUGUAUACUGGUACUGUACACUGGUACCAGUACUAGACUAGUCUGGUACCGGUACUGGGAUGGUGUACCGGUACCCCAGGUCGCAAAGCCUUCGGGUUUGGAGGCUGUGUACCGGUACUAUACAUGGGUACUGAUACUGGAAGCUCUGCGUACUGGUACUCCAGCCCGAGUACCGAUACCCAGCCUGAAAAGGAUUGAAUUGUAAUAGAGUAAAUUGGGAAAUAUGAAAUUUUUAAGUGCAAUUGUGGGGCUCCUAUAAAUACCCUAACCCUUACACCUAUUAUUCCCAUGCAUGAAAGGGAGCUUUGUUCUUAUCUCCUCCUCACUCUUUCUUCUUCUCUCUCUAGAGAUUCAUCAUCAAGGUGGUACUUGAGAGAUUGAAGAUAAAAAUUAGUAGAUUUGGUAGAGAAGAAGCUCAAGGGCAAGGAGGAUUUCGUGAAGCAAGAACCCAAGGUAAGCUUCUUGCAUUUCUUGGUUAGGGUUUGAGUUAAAUAACCUGAAUCAUUAGGUUUUGUAGUCUCUAGGAUUUCUAGAGCUUGAUUAUGCAAUGAAACCCUAGAAACUUAGACUAUAUUGGGUAUCUUAUACCCUGGAGUAAAAGUGGGGCUUUAUUAAAUAUGAGAUCUAACAUGGUUUUGAUCUCUUGUAGCCCUAAUUAAGGAGUAAAUCGACGCGUUGGGAGGGUCGGAUCGAAGUUCUGACGAGUCUACACAGAGUUAUUAAGGAAAAUCCUUAUUUCGGCUUCGUUUGUCGUGGGUCGAGAGGAGCGGUCGUCUAUAAAUCGCGGAAUGUGGUUUCUCACACUUCGGCAUCACUACAAGGUGGGUUGUAACAUACCGAAGUUCUAAAGUCAUGAAGUUACGGUAUAUGUUAGCUUGGAGGAGUUAAAAAUAAGUUUAAAAGAGGUUAGAAAGGUUUUGGCAUCGACCGGCGCGAAAUAGAGUCGAGUCGGAGCCAAAACAGCAUUCUGGGCAAUGAGUGCCGGUACAGCAAAGUGUACCGGUACAGCAUUGAAAGUGUACCAGUACAAAUGCUACGAAACCGAGAAGCAGCUCUCGGGUUUUGUCUCUGCGCAAUCGUGUUAUCGGUGACACGAGGAAGUGUACCGGUACACUUUGUGCAGACAGCACAGAUUAGGUCUGCUGCAAAUAUAAGUUGAUGGAGGGCUUAUUUAGAAAUGUUGCACAUUAUAUAUGCAACCAAACCCCUUCUCCUUCAUAGCUGCCCUCUCCUCUCCCAUUUUCUCUCCCCCUCUCUCUCUCUAGAAGCUUUGCACCGAGGCAAAGGAGGAGGAGAAGAAGGCUUAUUGAUGGAUUUUUGAGGGUUUUGAAGGAUCAAGAAGCUCUCCUUCAAGGUGGUCUUGGAAAAGCUUGGGCUAAGGUGAGUUGUUUUGUAAGAAUACAUCUAGGGUUUAGAUUUUUACCCUAAAAUCUAGUGUUUUGAUCUUCUUACAAGCUUUAGAACCUUGUAGAGGCUUGGAAAUACAUGAAACCCAUGUGUUCUUCAAGGUGCUCUAAUGAUAGAUUUCUAGGGUUUGUUCUAAAAGCCCUAGGGAUGGUUCGAAUGGUUCUAAAUGAAUUCCUAGAUGUUGAACAAGCCCUCUUUUGCUUGUUCCAGAGAUCAAAACUAAGGAUUGGGAUUAUGGCAUUGUUAGGGCACCCAAAUUGGGGCUUUUGUCGUAGAUGGGUUUAAAUGUAAAUUAACCUAUACAAACCUAAUUGCUAGCUAUACGAACACGUUGGUGAAGUCGGUUCGGCGAUUCGUCGAGCCUACGCGAAGUUAUUGAAGAAACGGACCGUUAAAGCUUCGUUUCCGCCUGGAGGGUCGAGGCAACAUCCUAAAAUCAUGAAAACGGAAUCGUAGGCUCGUGGCAACUAACCGUAGACCUUUAAUUUUCGGAUCGUGGAUUGGAGGCCGUUCGGGUGGUCGCGCGAGAGUUCGGGCCAAACUGGGUCACGGGUGCCGCGGGAGGCCGAUUGCAAGUGACUACAAGCAAUCGGAGUGCGAAUUGAGGUGGGUUGUGUUUACCGAAGCGACUAGGUCGCCUGUAUGUCUAAGACUAGUGCUUACUAUUGAUGCAUGUAAUGGUAGCUAGUGGUAGAACAUAUAAAUGCGUAAGGUGAAAUGCUAUGUUAGGCUACCAAAUAAUGCAUAUGGUCAUAAUGUGAGAAUGCUAAGUAAUGCAUAAUGACAUAGUGUAAAUAAUGUUAAUUGGAAAGUAUAAAGUAAAUGACAUAUGUUAGUCAUAUUGCAUGUAUAGAAAUGCUAAUGUAAGAAUGCUAAGUGAAUGCAUAUUGAUAAGAAAUAAGAAUGCUAAAGAAAAUGUAUAAUAAGCAGGUUGUAGAGAUGCUAAUGUAAAAAUGCUCAGUAAAGGACAUGUACUUGUGGACAUAUACAUAUACACAUAGAUCGAGUGGCAUUGAACCUAGAGUCGUGAACCUAGGUUGAACAAAAGUGAUAUUGAACCUAGUGUUAAUGAACAUAGGUUAAACAAGAAUGGCAUUAAACCUAAUGUUAGAGAACAUAGGUUGAGAUUGAAUCUAGAGUUAAGUCAACCUAGGUUGUGAGUUAAAGAUAAUGAACCUAGUUUUAAAGUAAACCUAAGUUAUGUGAUAAAAGUGUUAAACCUAGAGUCAAGUGGAUCUAGGAUGGAAUGGAUAAUGGACCUAAGUAGGUCGAUACCAUAGGGUUAAGACCAACCCUUGAGUUAUGUGGAAAUGAAUUCCGGAAUCCCAGAGCUUAUGGAACACCCAAAGUGGUGUUGGGCGUGUGUGACGAUUUUGCCGUCCGGGGCUAUACCAUCGACGUGGCGUGUGCGACGAUUUCGUCACCGGAUGGGUGAGCUGAUUUGUGGCCUAUACCGGUUGAGCCGGGUUGUGGAUCAUAUCGCUGGUGGACUCGAACCAUCGACAUGGCGUGUGCGACGAUUUCGCCCCCGGGUGGCUAGGUCAUGGACCGCGGUGGGCUGUGGUUGGCUGAGGUGCUUGUGAGAGUUCCUUCACCUUGAGCCGGAGACAGCACGGAUUAUCCGCUGUUGAUUGACUCAAGACCGAGUCGAAUGGCAUAGUGUGGCUAAGGUAAGAGUAACCUUAGGAAAGAGCAAAGAAUGUGGCAUAGUGUGGCUAAGAUAAGAGUAACCUUAGAAAAGAGCAAAGAAUGGCUAAGAAUAAGAGUAGAAUUAAAUUAAUCUACUUAGUUGGUUGUAUAGAUUUCAUAUUGCUAUUGUGAGGCAUGACAUGUAGUUCAAUAUCAAAUAAAUGUAUAAAUAUUUGUUGUAUAUUAUUGGACUAACCUGUUGCAGUGCCUCAUUAGAUCUAUUGGUUGAGCUUUUCCCUUGGGUGGCCGUACCCACUGGGAAUCAUGGAGUUGGUUCUCACCCCACGUUAUUUUGGGGUGUUACAGGUACACACGUGAGUGGCGCGACGGCGCGAGGUAAGGCCGUAACUCCGUAGAUAGCGCCCUACCCCAGAGACCAGAGGUAGCAGUACUCCGAGGUGGUCUAGCGUAGGGGUUUAGAGAAACAAAGAACAAACUUGUAUUAAGUGAUGUAAUAAAUAGAUUGUAUUUGGAAGUUGAAUGUAAAAGAAAAUUGUGAUGUAAAAGCAUGUAGUAUGAAUAUUGUAAUAGCAUUAGUUGUUUUAUGUUUUUGAUACUUCCUUAUGCAAUCUUUGUUUGAAAUGUAUUCCUAGAUGGAACUUCAUACAUUGUAUUGAUUGCGACGCCUAGGACGUACAGGGGAAACUCUGUCCGCUCGGCGGUCUGUUGGCGUGCCCGAACCCGACCAAAUAGGCAGGGCACGGGGCGUGACAUGGGUGGUAGUCUUGAGUAUCUAUGUAUGUGUACACUGAAUUCAUGCAUUAUAGGGUAAAUGUGACACAUGGUUCAAUUGUAUGCUUUGAAAGUAAAGGACAUGUGAACAAUAGAUGAUGAACAUAAAAACCCUAUAGAUGUAUGAACAAGUGUUGAACUAUGACAAUAGUAAACAAAGUGACAUUGUGACUAGACGGCAUGAGUAGCACCAAGUAAUGUGAAUGCUAGACAAGGAAAAAUCAUGUAUGAACUUGUGGCAAUUGUGGCAUUUAUAAUUAAGAUGAAUUGGUUAGCACCUAGAAUUGGAAAUACUAGAUAAAGAGAACUUGUCAAGAUUGUGGCAUGGUAUCCUCCAAGUGAGGAUUGGAUCGUACUCAUAGGUAGUCUGAAUGAUCGAGGUAGGUUGCUCCACCUUAAGCGGUGAGCUCUGGAGCGUCAUCAACUGGGUUGGUAGUGGAAUUCUCCCCAGCAGACGGUCCCGUCGGGUUGUAGCGGUAUUCUCCCCGACAAAAGUGAUUUGGUUUGGUGAGUUGGGGUUAACCAAAUGGUUAACCAAGUUGAUUGGGUAAUGGUAAAAGUAGGAAGCAUGCAUCAUGAGUAUAUUGUUUCCUUCCAGUGGUAUACAGGCAUUCUAGUAGCAUUAGUUUUGGUUACUAUAUCUUUUUUCUUUCCUACAUAUGCCUGAGUACACCUAGUGGGUGAGUCGGCAAGGUCGGCAGCAAAACCCACUGGAAACUUUCAUUAGUUCUCACACCACUAACCUUGCAGAUCCUAGCGCUUGCAGGGCGGUCGAGGAUUGCGGCAAGGGCAUCGCGCCCUAGGUAGCGGGCUUCCCUCGAGUUUAGAUUUAUACUAGUUUAGUUUCAUCUUUUUUGUAUUAUGAUGUAAAGAAAUACAUAAAUGAAACUAUGAUGUAUGUAUUUGAGGACAUGUGAUGUAAGUUGGCAAAUGGAUGUAAAGAAUACAAUGAAUUAUCUAGCUUUGUAUUUUGUUUAAAGUUUGCAAGAUACAAUGGAUGUUGUAAUAGUAGCUAGUUACUUUCACUUGUGCUUGUAUUGCUUGCCCUCGUGCAAGCCAUGUAUAAUGAAUUUAAUCCUUGGCUAAUUCUUUAUACAUGAUGGUUGUUGUUGGUUGAGCCUUGGGCGAACAGGGGAGGCCCUGUCCGUUCGGCGUCUGUGGACAUGCCCGAACCGAUCAAAUUGGCGGUCGUGGGGCGUGACAGAUAUAAUGGUAUCCGAGCAUGAAAGUGAAAGUAUAGGAUGGACCUAGGGACCUUAGGAUUGGAGACCUUAAGGACUAUAGGACACAUGUAAUGUACUGAAACUCCGGUAGAGUAUAUCGAACUUUAGUCAAAUUGACUGAAGUGCGUGAGAGAAAUGUUUGGACAAAGUCUAUUUAACAUUCCAAUAAUGUUGGAAGGGUUAAAGUUGAGUUCCAAAAGAGUUAGAAAGGUUUUAACAUUGGUCAGCGUGAAACGGAAUUUAAACAAUGCAAAACUGAAAUUCUGGAGCAUUGGUAACCGGUUACAGCCUUGGAUGGUACCGGUACCAUACAGCUGAGAGAGAGCAGCAGCUCUCGGGUUAGCCUCUGCGCGACGGUGUAACCGGUGACACCCUUGGCUUGUACCGGUACCAAGUCAGCUACCCGAGAAGGCAGCUCUUUGGUUUGGCUGUUGCGUAAUCGUGUAACCGGUGACAAAAUUUGUUUGUACCGAUACGCAGUGUCCCGAACAGCAGUUUUGGUCUGCUGUAAAUAAAAGAAAAUUGAGGGCUUGGUUUCAAUUGUAGCAACUUAUAAAAGACCCCAACCCCUCUUUUCUCUUGUUCCCAGCUGAGAACACUCCAACUUCAUUUCACUCCCUCUCUCUCUCUAGAAACUCUCUCCCAAGGUGCAAAGAGGAGAUCAAGAGGAGGAUUAGGAGAAGAUUUGGACUUUUGGAUGAUCUAGAGCUCACCUACAAGGUGGAGCUUGUUGAGUUCAUAGACUAAGGUAAGGUUUCUUGUGAGAUUGAGGCUAGCGCUUGGUUUUGUGCCCUAAACCUUUUGGUUUUGAGCUUCUUACAUGAAAAGAAAUCUUGUAGAGAUCAUGGAGCCCACGAAACUUCAUGUUUAUCCAUGAGCUCUCAUGGUGGAUUUCUAGGGUUUGGUUUAUAUACCCUAGGAAUAGUUCAAAUGACCUAGAAAUAGUUCUAGAUGAGUUCCUAGAUGAUAGAUAAGCUUACUUUUGCUUGUCUUAGAGAUCAAACCAAGGUAUUGGGCAAAUGAUAUUGUUAGGGCACCAAAAUUUGGAGCUUUUGCCCUAGGUUGGUUUAAAGGUAAAUUGACCUUGUAGAAAUCAAAUUUGGGAUAUUUCUAACCCGUUGGUGGACUUGGUUCGCUAAUCCGACGAGUCUAUAUAAAGAUAUUGGGAAAAAAUCCUAAUUUGGCUUCGUUUUGCCGCAGGCGAGAGAAUAGGAGCCCAAAAAUCACGAGAUUUGAACUGUAACACCUCUACAACUAUGCGAGGUGGGUGGUGCUUUCCGAAAUUAUUAGAUUUCCUCUCAUGUCUAAAGUGUCAUUUUUGAGCAUAUGUAUGUAUAGUAUCUUCAUGCAUUGUAGGGUUGAUUGAGAUAUAUUAUUUGCAUGCUUGUAGUAUAAAGAUGCAUAUAAGAAUGUUGAACAAAGUGGAAACCCUAUGUAUGCAUGAAUGGUGACAAAGACCUAGAUGAGGUAAAGAACAAAAUGACAUUAUGACAUAUGGAUUGUGUGGUAUUAGUAAACACAUAGAGUGGCAUUAAUGAGUUUUGAAUGCUAGAGUUGAACACUUAAUGUGUGUGGCAUUAAUGAAUGCAUGUGAAUGAGUAUAAAGAACAUGUAGUGUAAGUGACACUAAUGAAAGUUAAAAAUGCAAGUAAAGUAAGAUAGUUGGUAUUAUGACAUAACAACCUUAAAGUUAAGGGUCAUAUGAGCAUUGCAUCCUUAUAGUGAAUGAUUGGAUUGAACUUGGUAUCCUUAAAGUUAAGGAUUGAUCAUACUCGCCUAUAAGUCUUGGCUCGGAGGGUGGUAGCUCCCCCUCGAGCGAUGAGCUCCGGAGUGUCAUCACAGGGUUAGUGUUGCCCAGAGGACAGUCCCGUCAGGAGGAAGCUUAGGGCCCGAUAUUAGGGAUUUGGUUGACAAGUCUGUUGAUCCCGUCGAGAGGAAGCUGAGGGCCCGAUAGUAGGGAUCGGAAUUGGUAAGUUGUUGGUUGAGGCGAAACCUACAGGUUAGCCAAAAUGACCGGGAAUUGAAAAGUGGAUCUUGUAUUCAUCAUUAGCAUUCUAUUUGAGUAUAACAUUGAUUAUAUUGUUCAGACAUAUUAGCUGCAUUUGUUUAGUUGGUUACUAUCUAUCUAUUAUUCUAUUAUGUCUGAUUUAGACAUAGUGGGAAAGUCGGCGAGAUCUGCGGCCGAACCCACUAGGAACUUUGUUGUAGUUCUCAUCCCCCCUAUUUCCACAGAGCCAGGACUGAGUGAGCCGGCCGACGAUCGCGGUACAGGUAUCGCGCCAUAGACAGUGACCACCCUUGUUGGUUAUAUUUUGUGUAGUUGCAUACCCUUUUAUAUAUCAUCUUUUGUACUUUGAUGAUUCUAGUUGUAUGAAUGAUGCAAAUGUUUAAAUGAAAGAAUGUAAAGAGUUCUAUUUUAGGAAUAUGUGAUGUAAAAAGAAAUGAUGCAAAAGAUGUAAAAGAGUACAAAUGUUGAAUGCGUGUACGUGGUUAAAAGUUAAUCAUAUUACUUGUAUGUUGUUUAGUUAGUACUUUCACUUUGGCUAUUGCUUGCCCUCGUGCAAGCCAAAUUUGUAUGUUUUCGUUUGUGCAAAUUUCUGUACUUGAUUGUACUUGUUGUUGAGCCUUGAGCGAACAGUGGAGGUGUUGUCCGUUUGGCGUCUGUUCGACGUGCCUGAACCGACCAAAUAGGACCGGUUUUGGGGCGUGACAACACGAGUAACGUGGACUUGACUUAUAACGAAAGCUAAAUGAAUUGGGUUAGUUGGUAGUAUGUCUCUAAUAGUAAUUAGGGACUAAUCCAAGUUGUUAUUUGUUCUCAACUUAAGAGAUUAUGUUGGCGGUCGACAAUAUAAUAUUGAGAGAUGAGGACAAGUACAUUUUAUUGCUUUCGCCUGAUUUGGUUUGGUCAGGGUGUGUUGUUAUGAAGUGUAUGUAAUGCGAGUCGAGUACUAAUAUGGGUACUACGUUUUAGGAGACGAUGGCACCAACUCGAUGUCCGACAACAAGAUCCACUCUUGCAUCGCCUUCUGAGGUGCCCGAGCAGUCUGGAUCUGAUGAAGUGCGGGAGUUUCGUGCUCAUGUGGCUGCAAUAGUUAGAGCUAUGCAGCGUUAGGAGGAGCAAAUCGGGAGGCUCCAGGAGUUGGUGUCUCGGCAGGCGGCGGCGGCGGCGACUGCACCUGUGAGUCAGGAUCUGCCCGCUCCUGCAGUACUGGCUCCUACUGUAGCAGCGGCACCGGCCACGACACCUCCAGUUCCGGCGACUACUCCAAUGGCUUCUGGCUCUUCAGGUGUUGAUUCGGCCAUACUAGAGGCCGAGCAGGAGCGGUCAUUGGCGGUGUUGACUGCCUUCAAAUGGUUCCACCCUUCUACUUUCGACAGGGAGGUGGCGGACCCUUGGGUGAUGGAGGCAUGGCUUACGUCUAUGGAGGCAUUAUUUGAAGAUAUCUAUACCUUAGAGAAGGACAAGGUUCACUUGGCCGCACAUUGCUUUGAGAAGUCGGCUCAAGUGUAGUGGAGGCAAGUUUAGAAGAACUGGUCUUCAGAUCUUCCUCCAAUUACAUGGGAGGAAUUUUGGGGGUUGUAAUCAUGGAGUACAUCCCCGACAGUGAUAAAAGAAAGAUAAAGGAGGACUUUCGCAAGCUGAGGCAAGGAAGUCGCACCGUGUAGGAGUACGAGCGGGAUUUCUUGCAUUUGGUGAAUUGCGUUCCGGGUUUAAUUCAUGGUGACCGAGACCGUGCGGAGUGUUUUGAGCAGGGGUUGUGACCCGAGAUAUUCAAGAUGAUCCAUGCCCUCAAGUUGAAGACUUUUGAGGAGGUGUUAGAUCAUGCUCUUUGGGUGGAGCGAGAUAAUGCUAUCGCGCGGGAGGAGCGCGAGUCAUUUGAAAGUGAAAGGGACAAAGGCAAGAAGCAGGCGGCUAGUGGUUCCAGGAGUCAGUCAAGCUCUAAACGGCCCCCUCAGCAAUCACGAUCACAGUCGAGGAGUCGGGGAUCAUUUUGGUGUGUCAUCUGUGGUGGAGACCAUCGACCGACGAGUUGUCCACAGCGUGAGGGGAGGAGCUAUAAGUGUGGCCAGGCAGGACAUCUAAGUCGGGAGUGCCCGAGUGGAGCAUCGCCUACCCCAUUAGCUGCGUCGAUUCAGUCGACUCCGAGAUAGCUUGCGGGAUUGCACCCGCUAUGUCAGCUGGACGCCCACCUUUGCCGCGUCAACCAAAAGGAUCUCGAGCGGCACCGAGUUGUCAAGUUUUUGCUGCUCAAGUGGAGGAGCCUGCCGUAGUCGAUGAUGUAAUGGCAAGUAUUGUUUUAAUUAAUAGAUUAUGCCGACGGAUUUGCUUGUGUUGAGCCAUAUGAAAGGCUUCGACAUAAUCCUUGGGAUCGAUUGGCUCUCGAAAUAUUAUGCUACUGUUGAUUGUGAGAGAAAGGUAAUCACUUUUCGUGAACCCGGUCAAGAAAAGGUAGUCUACCGUGCGUGUAGAAGCUCGCUCUUUGCUAUGACGAUGUUGACGUCGAGAGCGACGAAGUUGAUUAAUAGUGGGUUUCCGGAUGCUUCCGGCGCUUGGAGAUAUUCCAGUAGUUCGUGAGUUUCCGGAUGUGUUCCCCACUUAGUUGUCGGGAUCGCCACCGGACCAAAAAAUUUUGUCAUUGACUUGAUUCUCGGGAUGGCGCCAAUUUCGAAGGCUCCGUAUAGAAUGGCACCGGCGGAAUUAAAGAAGUUAAAGGCCUAAUUGCAAGAUCUUCUCGACAAAGGCUUUGUGAAGCCUAGUGUGUCACCUUGGGGAGCUCCAAUGUUGUUUGUGAAAAAAAAGGACAGAACACUUCGGCUUUGUGUUGAUUAUCAUGAGCUGAAUAAGGUGAUGAUUAAGAAUAAGUACCCGUUGCCUCGGGUUGAUGAUUUAUUUGACCAAUUGCAAGGGUCUCGGGUAUAUUCAAAGAUUGAUCUUCAAUCGGGUUAUCACCAAUUGAAGAUCAAGCCGGAGGAUGUGCACAAAACGGCAUUUUGAACCCGUUAUGGUCACUAUGAGUUCACGGUGAUGCCGUUCGGCCUACAAAUUACUCUGCUGCAUUUAUGGACGUAAUGAAUUGGGUAUUCAAGCCGUUGUUGGAUCAGUGUGUCGUGGUGUUCAUUGACGACAUAUUAAUCUAUUCUCGGAGCGACGAGGAUCAUAAGGAGCAUUUGAGAAUUGUGAUGCAAAUUCUCCGAUAGAAAAAGCUCUAUGAGAAGUUGAAGAAGUGCGACUUUUGGCUUCGUGAGGUUACCUUCUUAGACCAUGUUAUUUUCGAGGGUGGUGUAUCCGUUGACCCGAGGAAAGUUGAGGCAAUUAAGGAUUGGCCUCGCCUGACAAACAUUGCGGAGAUCCAAAGUUUCCUUGGUCUUGCGAGUUACUAUCGGCGGUUUAUGGAGGGGUUUGCUAAAAUUACUACUCCACUAACGCGCCUCACGCAUAAAGGAGCGAGGUUUAUUUGGAGCGAGGAAUGCGAUUGAAGCUUUCAAGAGCUAAAGGAAAGAUUGACUUCAACUUCUGUACUCGCCUUGCCGAUUUUGGGGAAGAGUUUUGUAGUCUAUAGUGAUGCCUCCUAUAGCGGUCUUAGGUGUGUUCUUAUGCAAUGUGGGCGGGUUAUUGCUUAUGCUUCUCGCCAGUUGAAGAGCUAUGGGAAGAACUACCCUAUUCAUGACCUCGAGUUAGCCGCGGUGAUUUUCGCGUUGGAGUUGUGAAGGCACUCCUUGUAUGGUGAGCGAUGCGAGGUUUAUACCGAUCAUAAAAGCCUCGAGUAUUUAUUCACUCAAAAGGAGUUGAAUAUGCGGCAAUGCCGGUGGUUGAAAUUGUUAAAAGACUAUGAUGUUACUAUUCUAUACCACCCGAAAAAAGCAAAUGUAGUGGCCGACGCACUUAGUAGAAAGUCUGUGGAGAAUCUUGCCAUGGCUAUUACACAUCAACUGUCAUUGUGGAAUGAAAUGCGGCGGUUUGAUCUAGAGGUUGUUGCUGCGAAGGUUCCAGUUAUACUUGCUUUGCUAGUCGUGCAACCGACUUUGUUGGAGAGGAUUAAAGAUCGACAAGCUUUGGAUCCAUAUCUCCAAAAGGUGCGGCAUGAUAUUGAGAGCGGGCGCGCCGGUGAUUUUAGUGUGGGAUCCGAUGGCGCACUCCGGUUUCGGAACCGUUGGUGUGUGCCCAAGGACAAGGAGAUUCAAAAGGUUAUAUUGCAACAAGCGCACCAAUCUUCGUAUAGUGUGCAUCCAGGCGGUACCAAAAUGUACAAAGAUCUCAAAGUGCAUUAUUGGUGGCCGGGGAUGAAGAAAGACAUUGGAGAGUUCGUGGCGCAGUGUUUGAUGUGACAAUAGGUUAAGGCGGAACAACGAUUUUCAGCGAGCAAGUUGCAAAGCAUAUUUAUUCCCGUUUGGAAAUGGAAAGAUGUAGCGAUGGACUUUUUGGUUGGGUUACCCUGAUCCCAAGCCAAACAUGAUGCUAUAUGGGUAGUGGUGGAUCGAUUUACAAAAUCAGCACAUUUCUUGCCGAUUCACGCUACUUGGUUCGGGGAUAAGUUAGCACAAGUCUAUCUUGAUAAGAUGGUGAGAUUGCAUGGGGUUCCGACGUCUAUAGUAUCGGAUCGAGACCCUCGAUUCACAUAUCAUUUUUGGAAGAGUUUGCAAGAUGCUCUUGGCACACGGCUCGACUUUAGCACGGCAUUUCAUCCUCAAAGUGACGGACGGUCGGAGAGGACAAUUCAAAUUUUGGAGGUAUGCUUCGAGCGUGUGUACUUAAUUACAAAGGUGGUUGGCACAAUUAUUUGUUGAUGGCCGAGUUUGCAUACAACAAUAGUUAUCAAGAAAGUAUUGCGAUGGCACCAUUUGAGGCUCUCUACAGGAGGAAAUGUCAAUCCUCUAUUCAUUGGAGUGACGCGGGUGAGAGGAUCGCCCUUGGACCGGAUGUGCUGCGAGAGGCAGAGGAAAAAGUUCGCCUUGCUCGCCAAAGGCUAUUGACGACGCAGUCGCAGCAGCAGAGCUAUGCUAAUGUGCGCCGACGAAGUCUAGAGUUCGCAGUUGGAGAUCGCGUCUUCUUGAAGGUGUCUUCGAUGUGGGGUGUGAAGCGAUUCGGUGUUAGAGGAAAGGUUAGUCCUCGAUACAUUGGCCCCUAUGAGAUAUUGGAGAGAGUUGGUGUGGUGGCAUAUAAAUUAGUUUUACCGCCGAAGUUUGAAGGAAUCCAUAACGUGUUCCACGUCUCUAAUCUCUACAAGUAUAUGUAUAACUCUUCACACGUUCUUGAGUAUGAACCAGUGAAGUACAAGAGGAUAUGACGUAUGUAGAGUACCCAGUGCGCAUUUUGGCUCGCGAAGUGAGGGAGUUGCGGAAUCGCACAAUUCCUUACGUGAAAGUGCAAGGGAGCAACCAUGCCGAGCGUGAAGCCACUUGGGAAAUCGAGGAUGCGAUGCGGGAAUAUACCGAAUCUCCGAGUUACAAGGCUAACUUUGAUCGAAUUGAUCAAAGUGAGGCUUGAGCAUGAUGUGCGACGUCCCCGAGCUGUUUUGGAGGCGUGGGGAUAGUUAGAAGUGAGUUUCGGGGUUGAUGAAGUGUUUUCAAUGCAAACCGAGCGUGAAAACGAACCCUGGAGCAUUGCUGCUGUCAAAAGGGCCAAAGUGACACUAAGUAUCGGUACCAGAGCAAUGCAGUACCGGUACCCAGUCAGUGUGUGUUGGUUGCGUAGCUUUCCGGUUUGGAGGCUGUGUACUAGUACUGGAAGCUUUGCGUACCGAUACUCCAACCCGAGUAACGGUACCCAGCCUGAGAAGGAUUGAAUUGUAAUAGAGUAAAUUGGGAAAUGUAAAGGGUUUGAGUGCAAUUGUGGGGCUCCUAUAAAUACCCUAACCCUUACACCUAUUAUUUCCAUGCAUGAAAGUGAGCUUUGUUCUUACCUCCUCCUCAUCUCCUUCUUCUUCUCUCUCUAGAGAUUCAUCAUCAAGGUGGUACUUGAGAGAAAUUGAAGGUAGAAAUUAGUAGAUUUGGUGGAGAAGAAGCUCAAGGGCAAGGAGGAUUUCGUGAAGCAAGAACCCAAGGUAGGUUUCUUGCAUUUCUUGGUUAGGGUUUGAGUUAAAUAACCUAAAUUGUUAGGUUUUGUAGUCUCUAGGAUUUCUAGAGCUUGCUUAUGCAAUGAAAUCCUAGAAACUUAGACUAUGUUGGGUAUCUUAUAUGAACCCUGGAGUAAAAAUGGGGUUUUGUCAAAUAUAAGAUCUAACAUGGAUUUGAUCUUUUGUAGCCCUAAUUAAGGAGUAAAUCGACGCAUUGGGAGGCUCGGAUCGAAGUUUCAACGAGUCUACACCGAGUUAUUGAGAAAAAUCCUUAUUUUGGCUUCGUUUGUUGUGGGUCGAGAGGAGUGGUCGUCCAUAAAUCGCGGGAAGUGGUUUCUCGCACUCCGACAUCACUACAAGGUGGGUGGUGCUAUCCGAAGUCUUCGAAUGACCCGUUAUGUCUAGUCUCUUUCUUGAGCAUCUAUGUAUGUGUAUAGUGAAUUUUUACUAUUAAUUUUUAUAUUAUAAUAAAUUUUUUUAAUUCUAAUUUUUUAUUUCUUGAGCAUCUAUGUAUGUCUAUAAUAAAUUUUUUAAAUUCUAAUUUUUUAUUCAUAGGUUCUUUAAUUAUUUUAAACUAAAGUUAUUAAAUUAGAUAUUGAUUUUAAAAGAACUAAUCAUUGUUUAGAGUGUGCUCUUUAUAAGACGUAUGUAUACAUGUGGUGUAGGCAUAAUUUCUUGUGAAAGUGCCCACUUUUUAUGGAAAAAUUAUUGCCUCCAUUGGAUGUAUAUGUAGGGUUUUUUAGUGCAAUAGUUUUUUUCUAAAAUUUUAUUCUAAAAAUAAAUCUGUUAAAUUUUUAUUUAUAAAUAUGGUCCUAUGAAAGCAGUGAAUGGUUCACCGUUUUUAAAAGCGGUGAACCAUUCACCGCUUUCUUUCUUUUUCCCACUUCUUUCUAUAUUUCUACGAUGGUAAAAGCGGUGAAUGGUUCACCGCUUUUAUUAUUUUUCUACUCCUAAACAGGAAUUAUGAAUGCGGUGAAUCAUUCACCGCAUUUAAAGGUCUAUUUUUAUAAUUAUUAUUUUAAAAAAAUUAUUUUUACAAUUAUAAAAAUCGAUAGGAUUAUUUAUAAAAAAAAUUCGUAUAUGUACAUCGCAUAUACUUUAUCAUUAAAGUUUAUAAAAGAAAUCUUAAAAUUAAAAUUUAAUUUGUUAAAUAUGUCCAACAACAUUUGUAAGGCAUAUAUCUACAUAUAAAAAAUCAUAAAUUUUGAAUUUCGAUGUCUUAUAAAUUGAGUAAGGGCUCUUUCUCUACUAUUAAUUUUAUAACUGCUUAAUGCUUAGGAUAAGAUUUUUCAAAAUAGGUGAUCUUCUACUUUAUAGGUUCUUUAGAUUUUGUAUAUUACAUGCAUUAAAUUAAUAUUUUAGUUUAAAAAAUUAAUCAUCAAAUACAGUAUGUGGUGUAUGGAACAAAUGCAUACAUCCGAUGCAAGGAAUAAGUUUUUUUAGGACCAAGUGGAUGUUUGUACUUGGCACGGAAUCGUUCCACCAAAUCCACCCAUCCACCCUUCUGCGUUGUGUGUAUAGUUCUAGUCAGCGCACUACGAUUAAGUUGAAGAAAAUAUAGAAAUAUUAAGUUAUAUAUAUUUUUUUAAUUUUAAAUAAAUAUUUUUAGAGUAUCAUAAUACUAUUUAUUAAUAUUUAGCUGUUAUAUUAAUUUUUUAUUGAUUGCAACCAACAACCAAAAUUUAAUUUUAAAUAUAUAUUUAAAUUUUAAUCUUAUUUAAUUUUAAAAUUUUACUUCAUCUUAAAUUCUUAGUUGAAAUUUAAUGAUACUCUAAAACUUUAAUUUGUCUUUAAAUAAGGUUUAUUUAUUUUCAAUUUUGUUAUAAUGUAAAUAUUUUUCAUAUGUGUUUCACAAUAUAUAAUUGUUUUUAAUGUGUACCCAAAAUUUAGAACCAAAAUUUAGAAUUUAAAUUAAGUCUAAAAUUAAACAAUAUAGGUACACAAUAUUUUUUUAUGUACUUCAUUAUAUAAAAAAAAAAUUUUAAUAUGUACCCAAUGUCACACCCCGGAUUACACGUUCCCCGGGCACACCGACAAAUCCGCCGUACACAAUUCUGUAUACGAAGCGUAGCUGUACCUGUAAAACAUACAAUACUAUAACCAGUAGUAUAGAGCUGCUAGGAAACAAAACAUAAUCAGUAGAAAAAAACAGUUCACUAUACAUACAACGUCCAGUAUACAAAAACUCGCCCAGCGAGAUACAGUAAAAGUAUGUAUAUGAACUCAAAAACUAUACUACCUGCAGCGGGUAAUCCUCUAGCUCGGCGACUCGUCGGGUAGGGCUCUAGCUCCCAACGCCCUUGUCACGAUCUGCCUCAGAAGAUGCAGCAGCCGGAACUGAAGGCUCUGCAAAAGAAGAGUAACAACUGGGCGUGAGAACUACUGUAAACACAAGUAGUCCUCAGUGGGUACCGCACAAAACAACAUCGGUCCACCCACUAAGUCUACAGAAGGAAGCAAGGAUAGUAGGAAAAGCUGAAAGACAUCUACAGUUAAAUACCACUACAAUAUCAUGCUUUACAUUAACCAACUAUAGUAAAAGUAAAUCCUGACCCAAUCACACUAGGGACUGUAAGCAUACACGUCCUUGGGACUGUGAACACAUCCGUCCCGUCCGGUUGUGACUAUACAGCUACCUCCACACUAAGCAGUCAGUGGAGAGCGAGUCCAACCUGCACGAACGACACCAACGCAAAAGUAUAGCGCCCGUCUCCGGAUUGGCACUCGUAGGAGUUACCCAACCGAGUAUGCAAGCGUAUCUCUGUCGAGCUCAAUCGGGCUCUCAAAGGCUAAAGUCAAGCACAUAGGGUCCAACUGGUCUAACCACCAACAAGUCACGUGCUCUCGGCAUAAUCUGAUGCCAAAACAGCAAUCUGAGUCCACCGUCAACCCCGACGUCACCCAAUAGUCUGGAACAGUCUAAACGCUACUGUAAAAAAAAUAUACUCGGUAUUCGAGCACGAGCGUAACAAAAAUCUAAACUACCUGGGGUAUCCACCACGCUGAUACUGUGGCGAUACAAAAUAACAACGGCUCCUAGAGCUAAAUCAAGUACUUAAAGCAUAUGACAGGUUGUAUUCGCGGGUUUCCUUCUAAGUCAAAUCCAAGUCCAACAUGUGCAAGUAUAAAUAUAAUCCAAGGCUAAACUCCAAUUCAGAUUUUAUAAAUGCAUACGUUAAAUCCAUGAAUCGAGCAAAUUCAAAAUGCAAAACAACACGACUAACACAUGCCGACUAUAUAUAUAUGUACUCAAAAGGUAAACUGACGAUUAACCCACCUCGAACGCUAAUCCAAUAACGGCGAGAAGUCGAUAGGAGAAGAAAUCCCGUGCUCGCCCGGCCUCCAACGGCGCUACCACAACGCACGUAGGCUCAAACGGCUCGCCGGCGCGAAGUCGACGUCAAUCCGAACCCCAACCGAAGUCUCCACCCUACUCACGUUCAAAGUCUAGAGAGAUGAAUACGAGAUAAUUAAUUAUCUCUCUACAGGUGGUAACUAUAUAUAUUGGUUGAGUUGGUGGGGUGGAUAACCACCAACAAAAAUUACAGUAAUAACCCCCACCAACUCAACCAAGGGUAUUACAUCCUCCCCCACUACAAAAAGUUUCGUCCUCGAAACUUAAAACAUACCUCAACUCUGGGCAUCAAAUAGGUAGGGAUAGGACUCCCUCAUUAUCGUCUCGGGCUUCCAAGUCGCCUCUCACUCCUCGUGAUUACUCCACUGCACCUUUACAUAAGGAAUGACCCGGUUGCGCUGUUCCUUCGUCUCACGAGCAAGAAUCCGCACCAGUCAUUCCUCAUAUCUCAAGUCCUCGCCAAGCUCGAGCGGAGUGAAGUCGAUCACGUGCGAGGGAUCAAACACUUACCUCCUCAAAGCCGAGACGUGGAAAACAUCAUGAAUACCGGCCAGUCGUGGUGGUAAGGCAAACCUGUAGGCAACUAGUCCAACUCGCUCCAAUACCUCAAAAGGGCCUACACGACUGGCACGCCCCGUGCCCCGCCUAUUUGGUCGGGUUCGGGCACGCCGACAGCGCUGAACGGAUAGGGUUUCCCCUGUACUGCGGACAGAGUCUCCCCUGUACGUUUUAGGCGUCGCAAUCAAUACAAUGUACAAAGUUCCAGCCAGGAACUCAUUUCAAUCGAGAUUGUAUAAGGAAAUAUCAAAAACAUAAAACUACUUGCUAUUACAAGCAUUCACAUUCAUACAUUUUAACUCUCAAUUCGAUUUGCCUUCAACCAAAUGCAAUCUAAGUUAUUACAUCAUUUAUUUACAAACUUGUUACAAUUUUAUUUCAUUGUCUUCUAGUCCCCUAAGCUAGACUACCUCAGGGUACUGCUACCUCAGGUCUCGAUGGUAGGGUGCUAUCUAUGGAGCUACGCCCUUUCCUCGUUCCGCCGCGCCGCUCACGUGCGAACCUGUAACACCCCAAAGCAACGUGGGGUGAGAACCAACUUCAUAGUUCCCAGUGGAUACGGCCACCCAAGGAAAAUGCUCGACCAACAGGUCCAAAGGAGGCAAACAGCAAGUUAGUUUAAUAAACAGAUAUAUAUAACAUCUAAAUUAUGCAACUAACAAUACCAUACUUUGCCUCACGAAUGCAAUAAUGCCAUGCUACAUGCGAGUCAUACAAUGAUGCAACAUCAUAAGUAGAUUUACCAAUUCUGCUUCUAUCUUGCUAUCUAGCUCAUAUCCAACUAGCUUCUAAGGUUUCUACUACCUUAGAUUCACAAUUCGAGUUCAACUUGCUUAUAAGGUCUCUAUUACCUUAUCUCUUGCCUCUAUCACUAGCUUAUAAGGUUUCUAUUACCUCAACCAAGUUAUCCACUCGGCCUCGAGUCAAUCAUCCGCGGACUACAGCGUACUGGCUGCUCAACAGCCUACCGCCCUCCGUGACUUAGCCCCAUAGCGGUGAAAUCAUCGCACACGCUGAACAGACUCAAGUCACCCGGCGGCCUGAUCCACAAGUGGCUUAACCAUCUGGCGGCGAAAUCGUCGCACACGCCCAACAAUGGUUCAAGCCUCCGGGUGGCGAACUCUGCACACACACCCAAUCCUCCUUGGUAUCAAUCUCGGCGGCAAAAUCGUCGCACACGCCCUAGCCUUGAUACUGAGGUCAUCACAAGUUCUGGGAUUCCGGAAUCCACUUUCACGUCUCAAGGGUCCAUAUCCAACCCUAUGCUGUCGACCUAUCUAGGUUCGACCCAAAACAUCCUAGUGGCUGCUACUACUAUGCUCAACAACCUAGGUUCAAUGUCACUCUAGGUUUACUACAUAUCCUAACCUAGGUUCCAACACUCUAGAUUCUAUAUCAUUCAUGUCCGACCUAUGUUUAUUAACACUGGGUUCAAGGUUAUUCCUGUUCAACCUAUGUUCACGACACUAGGUUGGAUGCCACUCACCUAGAUCCACUUAACUCUAGGUUCAUUCACAACCUAUAUUCUUUAGCACUAGGUUAGAUGCCACUCGAUCUACCUGACAUCCUAUUUGUCCACAUCGAGUUUCAUAGCCUUGCCUGUUCACAGUGCUAACAUGCAUCUCAUCCAACAUAACAACUAUAUGUUAAUAUGCAUGCUCUCUAUCAUGAUCUCAUGAUGCUAAUAUGCACCUAGCAUAUAAUCCACAAUGCAAAUAUUCUACGAGAGGUUACCAUGCAUUUCACUUUGUUUCUCUACAUUAUGUCCCAAUGCAUUUAUCAUCUUAGCAUAUUCUAUUUACAUGCUUUAACACAUUCACGAUGCCAUUAUGUAUUUUAUCCAAUAUGAUCUCAUAAUGCUAAAUGCACCUUGCAUUUAUCCCACUAUGCAUAUAUACUAACAUACAAUCAUGCAUUUCAUUAAGCAUUUCUAAUCUAUGUCGUUAUGCAUUAUCCUCUAGCAUGUAUUUUCAAUGCAUCUAUAUGCAAGUAUCACUAGCAUAACUCUCACAAUACCAACAUGCUUAUACAUAUGCGUCAACAAGAACUCAUAGUCCACUUUGACAUGCAGGCGACCUAGUCGCUUCGGUAAGCACAGCCCACCUGUUAUCGCAUUCCGAUUGCUUGUAGUCACUUGCAAUCGGCCGCCCGCGGCACCCGCUAUCUGACUCGGCCCGAACUCGCAAUUGCGCACCAACUGUGCGCCGCUUCGUAGCCCUGAAAAUUAUAAGUCUUCGGUUAUGUGCUACAAUGCUCGGGAUCUAAUUUCAUAAUUUUCGAACGUCGCCUCGGCCCUCAAGGCGAAAACGAAGCUCCGAACGUCGGUUUUUCCUAUUACUUCGCGUAGGCUCAACGAACCGCCGAACCGACUUCGCCAACGCGUUCGUGUACCUAGCAAUUAGGUUUCUAUAGGGUUAAUUUAGAUCAAACCCCUACAUUAACAAAACCCCCUUUCUAGCCCUAGCAUGCCAUAAUCUCUAAUUAGCCCAAAAUCCCAUAGAGAAAACAUGCUAGAAACACUUUAGAGUCCAUUAGAACACUAAGCAUAAAGGAUUUAACCAAAUCCCAAAUACUUACUAAAUUGCGAACGCUGAGACGGAAGCAUGCCGCUCAAACGGGCGCACGAGGGCUCGAGUCGUCGCCUCCCACGCGUUCACGAACUCCUUCUCCUCCAAGAUCCAAACUUUUAGAGAGAGAUAUAGAGGGAGGAGAGAGAUAUCUAGAGAGAGGAGAAGGUCUCUCUCUCUACAUUGUGUGUGGGUGUGUGUGUGUGUGUUUGCUGUGAAGAAUGAGAAGAAGAGGUUGAGACCUCUUUAUAAAGCAAUCCCCCCACAAUUACAAUCAGCCCCCUGCUAUUUUUGGGCAAUUUUCGGGCUGAGGGUCCGGACCUUGAAGCUAGGGUCCGGAUCCUGUAAGUCUAGAAAUUCAACCUUUUCCAGACUUAGCCAAAAUUUCAGCCUUUUCGUCAAUUUUGGUCCAUUUUCGCUCGUUUUUGCUCCAUGAGUCUCCGAUUUGUUUCAAAUCGAACCGAGACUCUCAAAACAUGUUUUCGAGCAUGUUUUCAUCGUCUUUUCAUCCACACUAAUGUUGGAUUUAGUUCAUGAUCCAACAUAGCCUUUCGGAUCCUGUUUUCGCGCUUACGCGCUCUGAAAAUGCCCGAAUGCUUCCGAACUUCACCGGAACCUCACCGAAACCAUUCAAAUGGCUUUCCAACCAAAUGUACACCGUAAUUUCAUAAUUUUAGAAGUCCGGUACCUUACAGUAGGAAAGCUGGAAGACAUCUACAGUUAAAUACCACUACAAUAUCAUGCUUUACACUAACCAACUGUAGUAAAAAUCAAUCCUGACCCAAUCUCACUAGGGACUAUAAGCAUACCUGUCCCUGGGACUGUGAACACACCCGUUCCGCCCAAUUGCGACUAUACAGCUACCUCCACACUAAGCAGUCAGUGGAGAGCGAGUCCAACCUGCACGAACGACACCAACAAAAAGGCACAGUGCCCGUCUCCGGAGUGGCACUUAUGGGAGCUACCCAACCGAGUAUACAAGCGUAUCUCUAUCGAGCUCAAUCAGGCUCUCACAGGCUAAAGUCAAGUACAUAGGGUCCAACUGGUCUAAUCACCAACAAGUCGCGUGCCCUCAGCACAAUCUGAUACCAAAACAGCAAUCUGGGUCCACCGUCAACCUCGACGACACCCAACAGUUUGGAACAGUCUGAACGCUACUAUAAAAAAUUAUGCUCGGCAUUCCAGCACAAGCGUAAGAGAAAUCUAAACUAUCUGGGGUAUCCACCAUGCUGAUACUGCGGCGAUACAAAAUAACAACGGCUCCUAAAGCUAAAUCAGGUAGUUAAAGCAUAUGACAGGUUGUAUUCGCAGAUUUCCUCCUAAGUCAAAUCCAAUUCCAACAUGUGCAAGUAUAAAUAUAAUCCAAGGCUAAGCUCCAAUUCAGAUUUUAUAAAUGCAUACGUUAAAUCCAUGAAUCGAGCAAAUUCAAAAUGCAAAACAACACGACUAACACAUGCCGACUAUAUAUAUAUAUAUAUAUAUAUAUACUGACGAUUAACCCACCUCGAACGCUAAUCCAAUAACGGCGAGAAGUCGAUAGGAGAAGAAAUCCCGUGCUCGCCCGGCCUCCAACGGCGCUACCACAACGCACGUAGGCUCAAACAGCUCGCCGGCGCGAAGUCGACGUCGAUCUGAACCCCAACCGAAGUCUCCACCCUACUCACGUUCAAAGUCUAGAGAGAUGAAUACGAGAUAAUUAAUUAUCUCUCUACAGGUGGUAACUAUAUAUAUUGGUUGAGUUGGUGGGGUGGAUAACCACCAACAAAAAUUACAGUAAUAACCCCCACCAACUCAACCAAGGGUAUUACAUCCUCCCCCACUACAAAAAGUUUCGUCCUCGAAACUUAAAACAUACCUCAACUCUGGGCAUCAAAUAGGUAGGGAUAGGACUCCCUCAUUAUCGUCUCGGGCUUCCAAGUCGCCUCUCACUCCUCGUGAUUACUCCACUGCACCUUUACAUAAGGAAUGACCCGGUUGCGCUGUUCCUUCGUCUCACGAGCAAGAAUCCGCACCAGUCAUUCCUCAUAUCUCAAGUCCUCGCCAAGCUCGAGCGGAGUGAAGUCGAUCACGUGCGAGGGAUCAAACACUUACCUCCUCAAAGCCGAGACGUGGAAAACAUCAUGAAUACCGGCCAGUUGUGGUGGUAAGGAAAACCUGUAGGCAACUAGUCCAACUCGCUCCAAUACCUCAAAAGGGCCUACACGACUGGCACGCCCCGUGCCCCGCCUAUUUGGUCGGGUUCGGGCACGCCGACAGCGCUGAACGGAUAGGGUUUCCCCUGUACUGCGGACAGAGUCUCCCCUGUACAUUUUAGGCGUCGCAAUCAAUACAAUGUACAAAGUUCCAGCCAGGAACUCAUUUCAAUCAAGAUUGUAUAAGGAAAUAUCAAAAACAUAAAACUACUUGCUAUUACAAGCAUUCACAUUCAUACAUUUUAACUCUCAAUUCGAUUUGCCUUCAACCAAAUGCAAUCUAAGUUAUUACAUCAUUUAUUUACAAACUUGUUACAAUUUUAUUUCAUUGUCUUCUAGUCCCCUAAGCUAGACUACCUCAGGGUACUGCUACCUCAGGUCUCGAUGGUAGGGUGCUAUCUAUGGAGCUACGCCCUUUCCUCGUUCCGCCGCGCCGCUCACGUGCGAACCUGUAACACCCCAAAGCAACGUGGGGUGAGAACCAACUUCAUAGUUCCCAGUGGAUACGGCCACCCAAGGAAAAUGCUCGACCAACAGGUCCAAAGGAGGCAAACAGCAAGUUAGUUUAAUAAACAGAUAUAUAUAACAUCUAAAUUAUGCAACUAACAAUACCAUACUUUGCCUCACGAAUGCAAUAAUGCCAUGCUACAUGCGAGUCAUACAAUGAUGCAACAUCAUAAGUAGAUUUACCAAUUCUGCUUCUAUCUUGCUAUCUAGCUCAUAUCCAACUAGCUUCUAAGGUUUCUACUACCUUAGAUUCACAAUUCGAGUUCAACUUGCUUAUAAGGUCUCUAUUACCUUAUCUCUUGCCUCUAUCACUAGCUUAUAAGGUUUCUAUUACCUCAACCAAGUUAUCCACUCGGCCUCGAGUCAAUCAUCCGCGGACUACAGCGUACUGGCUGCUCAACAGCCUACCGCCCUCCGUGACUUAGCCCCAUAGCGGUGAAAUCAUCGCACACGCUGAACAGACUCAAGUCACCCGGCGGCCUGAUCCACAAGUGGCUUAACCAUCUGGCGGCGAAAUCGUCGCACACGCCCAACAAUGGUUCAAGCCUCCGGGUGGCGAACUCUGCACACACACCCAAUCCUCCUUGGUAUCAAUCUCGGCGGCAAAAUCGUCGCACACGCCCUAGCCUUGAUACUGAGGUCAUCACAAGUUCUGGGAUUCCGGAAUCCACUUUCACGUCUCAAGGGUCCAUAUCCAACCCUAUGCUGUCGACCUAUCUAGGUUCGACCCAAAACAUCCUAGUGGCUGCUACUACUAUGCUCAACAACCUAGGUUCAAUGUCACUCUAGGUUUACUACAUAUCCUAACCUAGGUUCCAACACUCUAGAUUCUAUAUCAUUCAUGUNCACACACUAAGAAGGUAAACCGACGAUUAACCCACCUCGAACGCUAAUCCAACAACGGCGAGAUGUCGAUAGGAGAAGAAAUCCCGUGCUCGCCUGGCCUCCAACAGCGCUACCACAACGCACGUAGGCUCAAACAGCUCGCCGGCGCGAAGUCGACGUCGAUCUGAACCCCAACCGAAGUCUCCACCCUACUCACGUUCAAAGUCUAGAGAGAUGAAUACGAGAUAAUUAAUUAUCUCUCUACAGGUGGAUAACUAUAUAUAUUGGUUGAGUUGGUGGGAUGGAUAACCACCAACAAAAAUUACAGUAAUACCCCCCACCAACUCAACUAAGGGUAUUACACCCAAAAUUUAAAAAUUUGAAAUAAAUAUUACCGGAUAAUAUUGAGUCAAUCUAAAAAUAUUGAAUUAAAAAGAAAGAUAUGAAAUAAUAUAGAAUAUUUAAUAAAGAAUAAGGAAAGGAAAGGUUAUCACUAAGAAAAAGAGGAAUUUAAAACUUGUUUGGUUACAUUAUUUGUUUUACAGAAAAUGCUUCUUUUACACCCAAAAAGGGUAUACAUCUUACACCCGCAAUCCUAGGGCAUGUUUCCGAAUCCGUUUGUGGGUGUUUGGUACGCGUGAGUUCCAUUCCGAUUCUGAUUUUCGAGUGGAAUGGGAAUCCCUCAAUCACCUCUUUUUUCAAUCCGACCUAGGAUGCCGGAUUAGAAGUUGAAUCCGGACGGAAUGGAUAUUUAUUCGGAUUAAAUUUAUUUUUUCAACUUUUUUAAUUAAAAUAUGAGUUUAAAUUUAGAAAUUAAAUAUAUAAUUUUAAAUUUUAAUUUGAACUUGAAUUAAAAAUUAAAAUUUAAUCAAAUAUUUCGAAUCUAACUUAUGAAUUUGAAUUUUAACUUAAAAUUUAAGUUAUAUAAAGUUUUAUUCAAAUUUUAUUUAAAACUUAAAUUAAAUUUAUGGAUUCAAAUUAAAAUUUAAAUUGUAAUUUUAAGUUUGAAUUUGAAUAAAAUGAAAUUUAGUUUUAUAUUUUGAAUUAUCCACUCAAAUUCAAAGUUUAAUUUUAAAAAAAAUAGAUUUAAAAUUUUGACAUUAUUUCAAAAUUUUGAUAUAAAUUUUUGGGGCAAUUGCCUAUAUACCCCUGAAAAGUUUUCAAUUUUCUUAUUUACCCCUCUUAGAAAGCUAUUAAGUUCCAUCAGUUACCUGUCGUUAUCUCUGAAAAAUUACCAUUUUGCCCAUUCCAAUAUACCCUUGUACGGUAACUAACUUAUUUUAUAUACCCUUCAUAUAGCAAAUAUUUUUCUUAUUUGUCCUUCAAAUAUCAAUUAAUUAAUUAAGCAUGUCGGGAGCGAGCAGAUGAACGGAUGAGAUCGAUCACAGCUAAACCAACCUUAGUGGCUAGAGGCAUAGUUAGUUAAUUCGGAUUCGGCAAAAAUUCGGUACAUAUAUAAUUCGAAUAAAAUUCGUCUUUUAAUUUUUAAAUUUGAUGAAAAAUACAGCUAAAAAAGGGAUUCGACAAUUAUUCAGAUACGUGAUUUAUACGGGUAUUAUACGUUCACCAAUUAAAAAUUUGGGAUUAAAAAUUCGGCUAUAUAAUAAAUAUAUAAUAAUUAAUAUACUAUAUAUAUUAUUAUUAUAAAUUUUAUAUAUAGAUUAAAUAUAUUUAAAAUUAUAAUAAACAUAUAUUAAUAAUGGCCUCGUGGACCGCGCACACACGUGGACCUCCCUCUCAUCCGGUCUGCGAGGCCAAAUUGGCCUCGUGGACCGCGUACACCUGUAGCUCCCCUCCGCGUGCGACACCUGUCACGCCCGGGACCCAGCGGAAGCCCGCCCGGCGCGUGCCCAGACCCGCCAUACGUCUAAAACAUAUAAGGCGUCUAGAAACAACAAUAAANUAUAUAUAUAAUGAGAGGGAGGUCCACUGUGGACCUCCCUCUCAUCCGGUCCAUGAGGCCAAACUCGCCUCGUGGACCGUGCACACCCACUGCUCCGCCCUGCCGCACGAGGACAAGGACGAAGGCGACCACUCGACAACGAGCACGAUGGCGCCGCCCUGCCGCACGGUGCGCUCCAUCUCGACGGUAAACCUCGUGGGGAAGAGCGCAUCGGCGAGGCCAGGGGUAAAGGCGAGGUCGAAGAUGCCGUCGAACAAGGGGAGAUUGUGGGGGUAGGCGCGGCUGACGAGUGAGAGGAAAUCGAGAAGGUCGACGCCGGUGACGUCGGCAACGCCGGAAUCGCGGAGGGCGGCGACCGACUGGCCGGCGCCGGCGGAGACACAGAGGACGCAGGAGGAGUUGGAGAGAAGGCGGAGGGUGCGGAGGGGGGAGAACACAGCGGCGGAGAGGGAGGCGGCGUGGCGAGAUUGUCGGUGCAGCCCUCUUGCUCUCAGCGCCGGCCAUGGUGGCGGAGGAGGACGACGACGGGACGGAUGAAUUUGGCCGGAGAGAAAGUGAGAAUAAGUUAAGGAAAUAGUUUAAUAAGGUACGGGCAAAAUAGGUAUUUUAAUUUGGUUUUAACUCUGGUAUACAUUUAACCCAUGUUUAACCCGAGUUAGUUUAACAGGGACUAACUGCAGGGGUAUUUUGGAAUAACGGUGGAACAUAUGAUGGGCAUUUUAGAAAGAAAAAAAAAAGUAGGGGUAUAUCGGAUAUUUCCAGACGCAUGAGGGGUAUAUAAACAAUUAUCCCUAAAUUUUUAAUAUUUAAAUUUUACUUUGCAUUUUAAAUUAAUAUAUUAUAAAGAUAAAGUUAGUAUAUUAAUUUGAUUACGUUUUUUAUAUCUACCUGAACCAAAUACGGACAAUGAGAAUGAUUUGUUACGAUUUCGAUUCAGGUGAUGAACCAAACAGAAUUAGGUAAUGAGUUAUUCUGAUUUUGAUUCCAGCUUAUUUCGAUUCCGAUUCUGAUUCCGAUUCUGACUUCGAACCAAACACGCCCCUAGAGUUGAUAAAAAAUCGAAUUGGUUUUUGCGCAUCCCACUUUAGGGUGUAUUUAUAGCAUUGCUCUUAUUUUACAUGAGACAAAAAAGAAACCAUUUUUUUUUUCUGCCAAAAUAUGAGUCCAUCGAUAGAUCCAAAUUCAAAAUACGUGUUUUUAUAUGUAGUAUGAUAAAUAUAUAUAGAAUUUGGUUGGGAUAUUUCUAAUAGCGCCAACCCCUUUGAUCAAUUCCACCUCUUAAAUCAUUCUAUUCUACCAACACCUGCUAAAUCCUAGGGACACCUAUAUUUAUAAAAUUUUUAUUAUCUAGAUUUUAGGUUAGCCCAACCAUAAAGAAACUUAUAUUUUAUGAAUUUUAGUUAUUAGAUUAAGAUUCUACUUUUAUAAUUUUCUUUCAACUUUUAAUGUUAUAUUAUGACUAACAAUUUAACUUAUUGCUCAUGAACCAACUCGUAUUCGGCUCGUUUUUUGAAUGAACCAAACACUAUUCGAGCCAAUUCGUUUGUGCUUGGCUCGUUGACAGCCUCAACUAUGGCUAGAAUAGUUCUAGAAUGAGUGACUCUCUUGAGAAGUGGGAUGUCACAGUUAGUAUUAGAGUCAACACUAGCAAGAAGUAUAAGAUGAGUCUCGACUGAGGUAAGGGCAUGCAGCAGAUAAAACAAGACAUACAAUGGGUAGAGUAUGGAUCCCCGACUGGUGACUGUUGUCGGUAGAGUGCGGCUCACUAAAAUGUCUGCUAAGACUAGCGAAAAAAGUACACCAGUAUAUCUAUUCCUUGACACUUGUGAGUGUAUUUGAGCCCGAGGAGAACGUCAGAAUUUAAACAGUGCUUUUGAGUAUGCUCUAGACUACAAGAAUGUCAAGGCUAAAAGGACAAUAAAUAUGACACUGCGGGUGCGUUUGGUUCGCGCUAUCUUUUAAAGAUUUCUAGUAAUCCAAUGGGAAUAAAAAAAUAUGACGGUGUUUGGCUAAACGCACUAAGUAAUCUAGUUGGUAAUAUCGGAUUCACUUGGGAAUAAGAUUCACUCCAAAAUACUAAUCUCAUUCCCUUGAGGGAGGUGGGUAUUCUUAUAUUAAUGGAUUGGGUAAUCAUAAUAUAUCUAAUCCUUUUUUUCCUUCCUACCCGCCGGCUAAUUGAUAUUAUUUUUUUUUACACUCUAACCUUAUAUCUCUCUCUAAACUUAUUUUUUUCUCUCUAAAAUUCAACUUUUUUUUCUCUCUCUAAACUAAGCUUUCUCUCUCUCUCUCUUUCUAAAAUUUCAACUCUCUCACUCCUUCUAAUUUCAACUAUAUUUUUCUUUCUAUUUUUUUAAUUAUACUUUCUCUCUCUAACUUAUACUCUCUCUCCUUUUUUUCUAAAAUGAUGUUGAAACUUUUGAUAACAUUAUCUAAAAUUAAAUAAAUAAAUAAAUAAAUAAAUUGUAUAUUUUUUGUAAUAUUAAAUAACAUGGCUAAUUAAUAUUACCGUGUGAACCAAACACAGGAAUUCUACAUUCUUAGUAAUAGGAUGAAUAGGAAUAAGAUUCUCGGAUAUCUUUUAUUCCUAGUAAUCUUUUAUAAUGCGAACCAAACGUACCCUGCAAGUUAUCUAAUUUUUUAAGAGCUUACAGACUAAUUUACAUCGGACUUAAAAAAUUUACGGAGGAAAAUAAAACUUAGCUGAAAGUUUGGGGACUAAUGGUGUAAUUUAUCCACUGCAAAUUCUUUUUGGCUACCCACAAAGUACAUGGUGGUCACAUGAUUCUCAUGCUUGCAGUACUAUAUGAAUAGCAUUGCAUGGUGGUCAUAUGAUUCUCAUGCUUGCAUACAACGGGUAAAGUAUGGUUCCCGACCGAUGACUGAUAUCGGUGAAGUGCGGCUCACAAUAAAUCGGCUAAGGCUAGCAAAUAAGUUUUAAAUCGUAUGGUAUUUGUGAGUAUAUUUGAUUCUGACGAAAAUAUUAGAAUUUAAAUAGUAUUUGUGAGUAUGCUUUAGCAUACAAGAAUGUGGGGCGUAAAAGGAAAAUAAAUAUGACACUGCAAUUUAUCUAAUUUUACUAAUUUUUUAAGAGCCUACGGACUAUUUACAUCGUACUUUAAAAAUUUAAAGACGAAAAUAAAACUAGGCUGAAAGUUUGGGGACUUGCCCACUGCAAAAUCUUUUCGGCUACCCCAAAGUACGUGGUGGCCACAUGAUGCUCAUGCUUGCAGUACCAUGAAUGGCAUUGCAUUCCAUAGUUAAUUCUAAUUGGGUAAAAAUUCGGUACGGGUAUAAUACGAAUAAAAUUCAUAUUUUAAUCUUUAAAUUCGUUGAAAAAUUCGGCUUAAAUAAUAGAUUGGUCAAUUAUUCGGAUAUGCAAUUUAUACGAAAUUAUACGUUCCCCAAUUAAAAAUUUGGGAUAAAAAAUUUGCCUUUUAAACUAAUUUUUUUUUCUCUAAAUUUAUGCUACUAGCAUACAUAGUUAUAUACUCUUAAGAAUAUAUAAAUAGAGAUUUACAAAAUAAAGUAGAUUAAGUAAAAAAAGUAAUAGCAAAUUUUAUUGUCAUCUCCAUUUUUAUCUUUUUCAUGAUCCACAUAUUUCGGAUGUUUAUGAAGUUUUUCAAUAAUUUAUAAAUAAUUUGGCAAUAAUUCGAAAAGAGAUUUUAGCCAAAAGUUAUGUAUAUUUUUUUUGGAAUAAGUUGCAUACGGACUGUUUUAUUCGAAUUUUUAAUAAUUCGCAAAUAAUUUGCAAAUUAACUUACUCUGUUGCAUUAUAUCAAUUUUUUAUUAUUUUUCAUAUCCAAGAUCAUAAGCAAUCACAGCUGCGUGAAUAAUUGAAAGAUAAAUUUGUACAGAAUUUGUAUAAACUAAAGAAUAUUUUGUAUUGGUUAUCCAAUCUUUUAAAAUUUUAAUGUAAAUAUUUAAUUUUUAAAUUUAUUUAAUUUGAGUCAGACAACAAUACUAACUUUAACAUCUGAAUAAUCAUUUAUCUUUAUAAAUUUAGUUAGUAUACUUUGUGCAAAUCUCACAACUAUAAAUUUACUAAAAUAAGUAGUUAGGUUAAAUUUUAAAGUUAAAAUAUUGUUUACUUACUCAAAUAAAAAAAAUAAAAUUUGAUUAGUAAAAUUAAAAUUUUGAAAUGUUGGAUAGUUGGUUUAAAAUAGUCCAAAUUUCAAAUAAGUUUUGUAUAUUAUCACAUCCAUAUAAUCUUACCCGUCCAUUAUAUGGGACUCGAUUGGUGUUUGCCGCACAAAAGAUUCCACUGUUGGACGGCUCUGAUCAUCUAAGAAGAUGCCCAAUCGUGAUAAACGAUCCAAACUAAUUUUGGCCUGACCUUUCCUCAAUUUAUUUUACGCUUCGUUUCGGAUUGUAAGGGAAUUGUAUUAGGUGCAGUGAGAAAGUACAAUAGGAAAAUAUCUUUUUGUUUCCAUACAUAAUACUGUAUUCCGCAUAUGGCGAUGAGUCGGUUACGAUAUAUUUUCUACGGUCUCAAUGAGAACGCAAAGGCAUAUCUCUAUAUGCUUUUAUCCCAACUUCAUUUUAUCCAAUAGCAUCGGAUGGCCUCAAUACCAAACUAAGCAUUAGUCUUUUUUUCCUCUUUUGACCCGUGGGCACAUGUUACUUUAAUUUUAACUUUUAAAUAUUUAUAUGUAAGUUUAAAAUAUUUAUUAGUUGGUUCAUUUCAAUUUCUUUUGUUGAAAAAUUUUCUACAAAAUUACCACAUAAGCAACCUAAUCAUAUUUUUUGAUACAUUAUAACGACAAAUAUUGUUUCAUGACAAUUUUUACUAUGACUAACAUAUUUUUUAAGAAAGAUAAUAUGAUUGAAAAAAUUAUAAGAAAACAGGUUAUCACACACCAACAACAGAAGUCUGACCGGGCGUGUGAGCAGACCUACUACAUAAACAGAAUUUUUCAUCCAUGCACAACGUCGAAAUGUAAAAUAACUAUCGAAAAUCAAUCUUCACGAUGAGCAAAUCAUAUUUAAUUUAGCUCAUUUACAUAGAAAGAUAUCCAAAAAAUUUAAUACUUUAAAUCAUUAAUAUAAAUAUUUACAAAAACUCUCAAGUUUUCAAAAUAAUACAAUUACUCAAUUACAAUUUCUUUUCCAAAACGGUUAUAGUAUUUGGGAUAUAAUAAUAAACCAAAAUAAGCGACUACAAAGGAGAGGCUUUUAUCCAUAACAUGAUCCUUACUUUGCAACUCACUCCGCCUACCUAUAAAACAACGGGAUGAGAAACUAAUUAUACAAGUUUCUCAGUCAGUACAAUUGUAAUAUCCGAGAUUUUGACAGAUUAAAGUGGUAUCAGAGCAAGUUACAACCAUAAUACCAUUCACAGGUUGUUUUGAAAAGUAAAUAAAAUUGAACCAUUGGUUAAGUUGACCCAUAGGAAGACCUACGGUAUAUAGGCAUUUGAGUGCGGGGUUUGGGCUUGAGUCCCGGUGUGCAUUCGAGAUUGGUAAACUCGAAGUGCAUGGUUGUUUUCUGUACGUGUUUCGAUUUUCGCGGAAGCUGAUAUCUCUUUCGAGAGUAGUGACAGUGUAUCUAAACCUUCUGUUGACGAUGUUUUUCUUUGUAAUGUAAUUAUAUAAGCACUCGUCAAGUUUCAGGAGAAAACGAGUUAGGAUGGAGAAGUUACGCGACCGGUACUAAUCACUUAAAGUGAAUAGUAACUUCGAUUUUCCGGAGAAGCCAAUGAGUGGAGAAGGCUUCUGGUGCGUAUUGGACUCCGAUCAUAGUGAUCUAAUAGCUAGUUUUCGACAGUUCGACUAUCCUGGACCCAAUGGCACUGACGGAUUUGGAUUCUGAUGCACGAUUUUCGAGAAAAAGAGUUUUAUUGGAUCUAUGUGUAUAGGUGUGGUUUUUGGAGAUUGGAGAGGGUUGGUUUUGUCGCUAAUCGGCGACCGAAUCGGACAAAACGAAAUGCUAGAUUCGAUGCCCCACUCGUGUUGAACGCACUCGCACGAUCCGAUCGAAAAUCCGACUGACGGAUCUUCGGGAAUCGCGAAAUAUUCGCUGAGGGGUCGAAAUCGGCAAAAUGAAAAAAUCGCAAAAAGCCCAAUCUUUUAUGCGCCGUUUUGUGUGAUUUCGAACGUCGAGGGACUUGUCUGCAAAUUACACGUGUUGGCAGGGGACCUAGCUGAAAAUAGUGGACUAUGGAGGAUUUUCUGCAACUAUACACCUAGUAUAAAUGUAGUUUUAGGGUUUCACCUAUGGAACCCUAACCCUAAUCCACCCCCAACUAACCCUAGUCUACCCAACCGACCUCAGCUCUUCCCUGCCCUGCCAGUGCGCGUGCCCCGACCGCCGACGAGCAUCUCCGGCCGCCGGAAAACCCAGCAGCACCUCCCUCUCUACCACUCUCGGCCACCCUCUCCUUCCUCUCGGUCAGAGUUAGCUGGAGAGCACUCACAACCCCCUGGAAGCUACAUCCCUGGGCUGAGACCCCUCUCCGGUGCCGUUCCCGUCGGCCCCCGCCGUCCCCGUGCGUCGCUGGCGCUGCCUCGAGCUCCAUGCGGCCAACCCAGAACCGCCUGGGCCGAGCUCAGCCUAGCUCGAGGCCGGAGUGCCGCAACCGCCCUAGCUCGGCCGCCCCGCCUCCCUUUGGCCACUGGGGACCUCCCGCGCACAUCCCCGCCAUCCCCGCGUGCCGUCGGCCGCCGCUUGUGCCACAUGCAGCCGCCCAGAGUUGGUGCGGGCCCAGGCGUAGCUACCUCGGCCAUCGCACAUCGCUGCCGCCCAUAGCGCGGCACACCAACUCUCCCUCGACCUCCGGCGACAGAUCGUUGUCGCUCGGUGCUCCUCCGACCGCCGCUUGGCUGCUGCGGACCCCUUGAACCCGAGAGCAAGCUGUGAGUUGACCUCUAUCGCCGCGCCACAGACUGCUGCCCGCCGCCGGCCAGCACCUUCCUCGGACCGCACUGACCGGCCGCACCCGUCCCUUACAGGAGCGCCCGUUGCCCGNCUCCGUCGCGCCACCGGCCGCCUCCCGCCGCCGGCCAGCAGGUGACCCGGACCCCUUGGACCAGCUGCUCCCAUCCCCUGCCGAAGCGCUCGUCGUCCGGCCGCCGGCGACCAACCCUUGAUCACAAUGCUCCGAUAAGGCAAUUGUUAAGUUAUCUGCACACUGUUUGGAAUUUUCGGUCACCUUUUCGGUGAUUUGUGGACACCCCGAUAAUCCUGGAAGUGAGCACGAUGAUCCCUGCGUCGUGAUGAACAUCAAGCUCACCUCCGUUAGGGUUAGAGAUGCCCUGGUUUGCGGGAUAGAUGCGACCUAAGCACUGUGCGCGCUGUUUCACUGAUGUUCGUGUCGCUCGCGCGGCCGCUAAAGUGGCUGGCAGUGCUCCGAAGGGUGAGCACGGCCUCCGGCAUGCCGAGACCUGUCAGCGGGUGUCUCGGCUUGGCAGAAAGGUUAUCGGGUCGCGAUGUUGGACCAUAAAUGCCCGAAAAUUACAUAAAAUAAUAUGAUUUUAUGUAUUUGGGAGGGCUUUUAUGCAAUUGUGCUUGUUGUGGACACUGUUGGCAGCAUGUGAAGGCAGGGGGUGACCUAUGGAUUGGUUGUCCAAGGCCCCAAGCCUUUUCGGAAAUCAAAUGUUGAUUUUCGGUGCGUUUUUCGGCGAAAUCCGCCGGCGGAACCCAUUUUCGGUUCGGAAUUCUUCCGACGGUGCCUCGUGAGAGUUGGUUAUGUCGCUAAGCCUUGUUGGCUGGUCACCCACGUCGUUUCGGAGGUUUGGAAACGAUAGGUGAGCGACGGUGGGUUCCGGUGUCGAAAUCGACACUUCUGGGAACUCGGAUCGGAACAAUUAUCCGACGAUAAUCGUUUCGAUGCGAGGCCAUGUGUUUGCUGCCAAGUCCCAUGGAUAAUGGUAUUUAGUGGUAACGGUUGACAUGUUGAGCGAGUCGGCAAGUUCCGGGACAGUUAGUGGGUCCCGGCGGAGUCCCGGUGCUGUUUUCGAGUCUCCCGGUGAGUUACAGCAAUCGGCUUUAGGAAACCGAUUCCCGUAGGUUUAUUAGUGGGGAUUGUUAGCUAGGGUUUAGUGAUCAUGGGUUGGAUUCUAACCCGGUGGACCCUUCAUAGGUCCGGUUGUUAUUUUCCUCUGCAGUAGGAAGGUUCGUACCGUAUUCGUACAGUUGGAUACUUCGACCCGAAGUCGAUACAGUGGUGCACGCUCGGUGACAUUCCCUUUACUUUUUCCUUGUUAUUUAUCUUGCAUAUUAUAUGUUGAGCCUAGCACAUAUAUCAUGUUUCUUUAUUGCUCUACUUAGCUCUUUUGCAUAUCAUGUAUCAUGUUUAGAAGUAGAGCGAUUUUGUGAUUAUUUGUGAGAUUGAUGACCUAGUCGGUUAGUGCGUUGCAUUUAGUAUUGUGACCUAGUUGGUCGGUUCUUGUAUCUCGUAUCUGUGACCUAUCCGGUCGGUUCAUUGCAUUUGGUGUUGUGACCUACUUGGUCGGUUUCGUGACUCUUGUCGUCUAAUGACCUAUGAGGUCGGUAUAUAUACCCUGAGGGGUAGGAUUCCGGGCUAGUGGCUGACGGCUAGUUCUGUAUACCAAUGUGUGACGUGACAUCCUUGUGACCUAUUGUCGGUCCUUGUGCAUAUAUGUUAGUUGACAUUAGUGGUUGGUACUUGUAUAUCUUUGGAAGGAUGUUGAGUUGUUCCAUUCUAGUUGAUCUGAGUGGUCGGUACUUGUGUUCCUUACGGUUCGAUGACCUAUAUGGUCGGUAUACCCUGAGGGGUAGGAUUGUCGGCUGGUUGCCGACGGUUGACUAUUGAGCAUAUCAGCAUUGAUCGCCCGAUACUCGUACGCAUUUCACGAACACCAGCGGUCUGAUCCACCGCAAGAGAGUGCUCUUUUCCGAAAAAGUGGUUGGAGGUGCCAACCCGUGAGCCCAUAGGCUACCUUGGGUUAUAUGCAGCUAGAGUGACAACUUGAGGUCUGCGGGGCUGACCAACAUGGCACAACAGGGCACAGCUUGAGGUCUGCGGUGCUGACCAACAGAGCACAGGUUUCAGAUUGGGUAUUUUUGGACUUAUCGUUCGAUUGAUGCAUACAUACAAUAGCGGUAGUUGUUCAUUUAUAUAUCUCGUUCAUUUAUUAUCGUUGCUACUGUAUUGCACUUACCCAUAUCGUUGUUUAUCCUCCUUGACUGGUGAGUACUCCUCGCCCUCGUCGGCUUACGGUACCCACUGGGAGGGGAGACAUGUUUACAUGUUCUCACCCCCCGCCCCCAUUACAGGUGACGUCGCUGGUCCUAGUGGGACGGUUUGUGAGGAGCGCUCGUAGUGGUUCGAUAGAGCUUUCGCACCCGUCGAUUGGUUUCAAUUCUAAACUCUAGUUUUCUUAAAUAAUUGAAUUAGACAGUUUAUAUGGUUCAGUAUUUUAUUACUUUUGAAUUUGGGAUUUCAUGAACAUAACAAUGAAUUUGGGAUUUUUGUGAAAUGGAAAUAGUUUUCUACCCCCCGUGGUAGCGAGUUUUAAAAGGAGAAGGUUUCUGUGUGAGAAAGAGUUUUUAAAAGAUUUUAUCGUGGUUUUCAUGACUUAGUAUUUCAAAAUAAGUUUCCGGGUAGAAAACAUUUUAAACUAAUAGUUGUGGACCUUUAGAUAAACUUUGAAUAUGAAAAUGUUGGUAAAUAGUGUAUGAAUGUAUGAUUGUUGAUAUAUUCAGUUGCGGUGGUUGUAUUCUGUUAUGUACCUUGUACUUGUGCGACGCUGUGCAAAUAUAGGGGAUACUCUAUCCGUGUGAACAAUGGACUCCCUAUAUUUGUGGCGGAUCUGGCAUACCCUAGGGUCAGAUCUUCAAAAAAAAAAAAAAAAAAGACACUUUCGCUGUGUUUUUAAACUAAAAAAGAACCUCGGGGCGUGACAACAAUAAGCCAUCGAUGGCAAGUUAUACGUACUGGUCAAUUGAAACGAGAGUAAUAACAAGAUAAACUAAAAUGGAACUAUAGUUAAGCAUGUAUCAUAAUUUCAGUUGUUGAAAUAAAUGGUGGCAUAUCUCAUGUAGUACAGAUAGGUAUGUAGUACAAAUAAGUACACUAUGCAUCAACUCCAUGGGUGUUAUUGUUAACUGAUGGCCCAAUCUACAUUUUAACUUUUCAAUCUUGAGUGAGGCCCUAACAUUUUAGCCUCGGGCACCUUGUGUUCAAUUGCCUUAGCCUUUUAGUUCUAGACUGAGCUCUAAUUUGCCAAUCCUUAGCCAUUCUUCCGAAAGAGCUCAUCUAGCUAUCACGUGAUUGAUCAGGCAAUUACUGUCACGCCCGGGCUUCAGCAGAAGCCCGCCCAGUGCGUGCUCAGACCCACCAUAUACCUAGGCUGCCGCCGCCUGCUGCACCAGCAAAUUCGUCAAUACAGAAAGCUAAUCCCUCAACUCAUGGACCUCACUAGAUCCGGAGGUAGCGGAGGUUUCCACCUCCUCAAAAUUUGCCGCCCCGUCUGCCCCGACUGACCUAGAGCGAGUCGUCGGCAUCACGAGCUACAACAAACAUAAAAAGCGUAAGUUAGUAAAACCCACGCUAUCGCAACCCCACUCGAAUUAAAUUAACAUCCCAAUCACACGAAAGUAAUGAAAUAAGCCACACUACUAACUUCCGUUGUCACGUUGUCGGCCGCCAACGUGACCUUCCAUGAAGUUAGAAGUUGCACACUUCGAUUAAAUUCCAACAUUUUAGAGUUAAAAUAAAAUCCAAUUAUAAUACUUUCGCUCAAAUAGGUCCUGUCUCUCACGAGCCUAUUUUCUAUAGUUCAACCGGCCUAAGAUUUGCUAGGUUCACUAAGACUCAACCCUAAGCUCUGAUACCAAUAUAAUCUGUCACGUCCGGGCCUCAGCGAAAGCCUGCCCAGUGCGUGCCCAGACCCGCCAUAUGCUAAGAACAUAUAAGGCGUUUACAAUAAACAUAACGAAAAAAAUACAAGAUAAUCACAAUAUCUAACAUGAUAUCACAGCGUGGAACAUAAAUUACUCUCUAAUGACAAGUACAAGGAAAGUAAAUAACUAGACAACAAUAAUCCACGAAAAUACAUACACCAAGGAUAUCACAAAAAUAAAAGGCUAAAUACAUAGUGGUGGUCUCUAUACAUCAAGAACAAAAUAUCUCUCUAACUAAAACAAAAGGAGAGAUGACCACCUAACAGGAUCUCUAUGCUAGGUCUAGCUAGAUGCGAACCCCUUGUCGCGAUCCCUAGCCUCUCCUGCAGUGGAUGGCUCUGUAAACAAAAACAACAACUAAGAACUAUUAGUCAAUAGUUCCCAGUCGGUAAGCUGCCGAUAUUAGCGAAUUACACCACUAGGUCACCGAGGCAUAAGUAAUAAAUAAGCAUAACUAAAGAGAUAACAUGAUGAUUAAGCAGGGAUGAAUUACUAACCUACUAUGCCUCCAAUUAACAUGUUAUUUACCAAGUAAUAAAGCUACUCUAUCAUGAAUGAGUAUGUCCAUCUAGUAUACACUAUCUAGUAAUGAAGGUUACAUUACACAUUUCAAUGCCAUCGUUCAAUUCAACUAGGACCUACACAAGUGUAGUUCGGCUUGCGCCGUGCCUAAUGGCCCCGUGGUAGUCAACAUUCCCCCUCUAGGAAUAAGCCUCGCCCACGGCAAUCCACUUCGGCACCCAAUCUCGCACGAGCGAGCAUAUUGUCGCGUAGGCUAACUCCGAAGUGCCGGCUUGUAGAGAGCGACCCUCACAAGCUUGUGUGAAUGAGUACAAUAGCAAGCAAGCAUGAUCAACAAUAUAAAGUCCUCGGUCAUCAUAUCUAAAACAUGGUACAAGCACUAGCGACCCGAAGGUCGGAUUCUAUGUCACUUUGUAGUUGUUUAGUCAUUUAACUAAGUCAAGUGUUACUACAUGAAGUUCAUGCUAUCUAUAUCAUGAAUAAGUCAUUUGUCUCCAAGCAUGUUAAACUUAUUCUAUUUCACCGGUCCAAACAUGAUUUCUAAUAUAGCAAUGAAUAUCAUUUGAAUUACUUAUUCAAAAUACAACGCUCUCUCUACUACAUAGAGGAUAUAAAACUUGACAUGUAACAUGUACCUCUUAAGCAUUCAAAAAUUCAUUUAGGCUACAUCUAUCAUGAAUAUGCAUGAUUUUCAAUUUUAGAACAUAAGGAAUGACAUAGGAGAAGUUCACCCAUUUUGGUGAGGUCAAACCCAUCGGAUACUUCUCGAACUCCUUCAUUUGCACGAACGAAGUUGUGCUCAAGCUUCCUAGCACCCUAACAAAAAUUCCAAGUGGGUUAAAAGCUUCUAACAAGCUCCCCAUGAAAUUUCACAAAAAAUCAUACCAAAAAUAAGUAGAAAAUACCUCAAAUGGAGAGAAACUCUUCCAAAAUUUCAAUGGAGAUUGGGAUACUUCAAUUCCAAGUUUUGGAACCAUCAAUUAAGCCUCAAAGGCUCUACCAAGAGAAAACCCAAUUUUAAACCCUAGUUUUACAAAACUUGGUUAAACUCCAAAAACUCUUCCAAAAAUACAAUCCAAAAGAGCAAAUAGGUAACUAACGGUCAAUAAAGCUCCAAACCAAGCUAAGAUGAAGCUAAAGUUGGAGAUAUUUCCUCAACGAAACUCUAUUCUUCUAUUCCAAGACUUCUCCAAGGUUCAAGUACACUCCUCCAAACAAAAGCAGAGGAAAAGUGAGAUCAAUCCACUAAAAUUACUAACAAAGGAGAAGAAGACUAGAGAGAGGAAGAGAGGGGAGCUUCCCACACUCUUCCUCAAGUCCUCAGCACAAGAGCUGAGUAGUAGAGAGGUGAUGGGUAUUUAUAAGUGGUAACAAUCUGUUAAGCCAAUAACGCACGGCCAUAUAGUAUGCCGGUGCACCGUUCAACCUCAAUCUUUAAGAGCAAGGAUUAGAGAAGAUUUUGGUGUGCACCGGGAGCAUCGACAAUAUAAUUAAGUAACCGCCAGGAUUAAUUGCAGGAAGUUACAGUAACUGCAGGCAAUUACAUGCAGAUUUGAUCGACCUGAAGUGGCCCGUAAAAAUAGGGUAGUGGCCAAUCAUGGACGGGGCAAUAACCGACCAGCAAAGGCAAACUAUAAAUAGGCAAAUAACACCUAGAAAAGAGGUCUUUUUCUCCGAGAAUAGAAGACCACCUUUAUUUCCCCUGCAUUUUCAUACAUUUUCUAGUAGUCUACUUGUAAUCUUUUACUUUCCCGCACUUACUGUUUGCCUAGGAGUAAGUUUAAUUUAGAUCAAUCGAGUCUGCAUGCCCUCAGGCACACUCGUGCUUUGUACUAUUUUUGCAAGUUAAUUCCAAUAUAUAAAAGCAUUCGGCUUUUCAACCGACCCAAAGCACAGUGUAUUUCGUACAUUCGGCUCAUCCAGCCGAACCGAAUCUAUAGUAGAAGGUUCUGAACUUCGCCGAUCCGAUCCCUCAUCAGCCGAAUCGCUUGAUCCAGUCAAAAGGCGCAAACUUCGAGGGUCAUCAUUCACAGCCGUUCUGCAUCCCUGCACUCUUCCCAAGAGAGAUCUUUGACCGGGUCAAGGAUCAGGGCAUUCAGCUUUUAACAAUUUUUAGCACGCCCGGUGGGACUCUAGCCUAGGUAAAUUUACUGUCUUAUUGAAGUUAUGGCUGAUGAUAAUGCCAUGAAUCUGCGCAAUAGGGUCGUUCCUAGAAAUUCCGGGAGCGAUCAACCUAAUAAUUCUGAUAAUGCUGAUGAACGCCAAGCAGUCUUGCCAGUUGAAGGCGAAACUAGCGGUCAGUCAGACCAACAAGAGCCAAGUUUGGCUCAAGCGCUUGGACAAAUGACACGGGUUCUGCAAAUACUGGACCAAAAUAGUCAUAGGAGUACUGCUCGUUUAGAUACAGUACUAGCCGCAAUCAUAGCUUCAAACGAGAAAUUGCCCGUAUAGGGCAAUUAUUAACUCGAAACGAGCAACCUGUAACGGGUUUGCAAGGACCUGUAAUGACACCAAUAUUGCAAAAUCCUAUAGUACUGGUUAGUGGUCAGCCUCAAAACCAGGGGGCACCUUUCCAAGUGGUCUAUAGGCCGGCUGUUGUGAACGCCAAUCAACAACCAGAAAUAACCUGGGGAUUACUACCUCCUCCGCCAAUGGCAGCAUAUCAGCCCCAAAAUGUAGGGGCUAGAGCUGGGGGGUAGGCACUAAAUAUACAAGGGGUUAACCCUGCUGCAUAGAACUUCGGACUACCACCAGGAUCGAAUCCAGUGCAAGCACAGGUACCAGUUCCUUUGCAGGGGAACAACAACGAAAUAUACGCUCAGAUUGAAGAAGCUAUCCGAAAUACUUUUGGAGUUAGAGCUAGGCCGGCAAUGCGGCCUGUGUUUAGAUCACCUUAUCCCGCAAAUAUAGAUAUAGAACAUCCCUAUCCGGCAAAUUGAAAAAUGCCGAAGUUCGAUAAAUUUUCUGGUGAUGAGACCGAAAACACGGUCGAACAUGUUGCAAGCUUUACAGUGCAAUGUCGAGAGGUUGCUGAAAAUCCGUUCUUGAAACUUAGAUUAUUUAAUACAUCGUUAACCAAGACAGCAUUUACUUGGUAUACGAGUUUACCAGCCAAUUCUAUCCGAGACUGGGACGAAUUGGAAAGGAAGUUUCAUGAACAAUUCUAUAGAUCAGAGCCGGAACUUUCGGUCACUGAUCUAGCUCAAUUUAGGCAAAGGACAGGAGAAUCAGUUGAAGAGUAUUUGAAUCGAUUCAAGACGGCAAGAAGCCGUUGCUUCGUAAGAAUGCCAGAAUCGGAAUUUGCCAAAAUGGUAUUUAAUGGUUUACACUUCAAAAUUAAAGAUCAUUUUGAAGACAAAUAUUUUUCAAAUCUUUUUGAUUUGAGAGUUCGAGUUGCUCAAUAUGAGCAGUUUCAAAAAGGAAACAAUGAAGAUCGAACUAGAUGGAGCCGAAACAAAGAUUGAAGCAAAGGGAAAGAGAAAAAUAUCUCUUUCCUUGAAGAAUCUUUGGCUCAAGACGAGCCAAACAAGUCCGAAGAGACAAAGGAUUCGGCCGAUGAGGCUGAAAUAUAUAUGGCAGAGAUGGUAAAAAAUCGUCAGCCAUGUAAAUGUGCUUUAUUAAAGCCUGCUAAAUCAAGCGAGGCAAAAGCACGGGUAUCAGCAUAUACCUAUUCGUUUGAUGUUUCUAAGACCGAUUUGAUUUUUGAUUGGUUGUUAAGAGAUGGACGAAUUCAGCUGUAGGAAGGUCAAACUAAUGCCUCCUGGAGAGAAAUUGAAAAGGCGAAGAUACUGUAAAUGGCACCAUUCAUGGAGCCAUAGAACAAAUGAAUGCGCUACCUUUAAAAGGCAGAUUCAAAAGAAAAUAAACGAAGGUUGGCUAAUAUUUGCCGACCAAGAAAAUAAAAAUAUGGAGAUUGACAAGAAUCCAUUUCCAUCGCAGGACAAUAUGGUGGACAUCAAAGGAAAGGCAAUAGCAGAUAAGAAGACUGACGAAGGCAUUGCCUACACUUAGAGGACGCUUUGGCUCUGUAUAAGGUGUAAGGCCGAAAUGACCAGGAAGGAUUGGGAAGCGAUCAUCCCUGAGAAAAAGACGCACAAUGAAUGGAGAGAAUUCAUGGCGUUCCCGGAGGAAUGGGAGGAAAAACAAAAAAGAAGAACAAGUUAGAGGUUAGCUCAGAUGAAGCCUCCAACGAAUUUGAGCCAGAAGUUGACUCGGUGAAAAACAAAAAAGACUUAUUAAUGUAAAAGGUCUUGAAUGAUUACUACAAUAGUAGAAAAGAAGAACACAACAGCCGAUGGAGUUACCCAGAAAAACCAUUCGGCUCAAAACAGAGAUUUUUAGGAUAUCGGCCAAAUUGGCAACAGCAAGCCAAGCCGAGACCUGAACCGGAGUUUGAAGGGAUGAUCGAGGGGGAUAUAGAAUUCCUCGGUCGGAGGUUAGUUAAUGAACUCGGCAUAUAAUCUUGGCCGAGACCAUGGGAAAGAAGAGAGAUCUUGAGAAAUCAUCUCAGGACAGUGAAGGUACUAGUAAAUGUGCCGAUUGAUUAAUGGCACGAAGCAAAACCAUCGGCCAAAUGGCAUGGGCCGAUAUUAACAAAAACUCAGAAGCGUCGGCAGCAGAGAUUGCAAGCCGAAGUAAGACAACAUUAUGAAGAAGCAAAAGGGAUAAGAUUGAACGUAUGGAAACGACCUAAUGAACCACAAAAUCCCUUUCGUCCGAUGCGAAAUGAUCAUGAAGCGGGCGGUUCGUCGCCCGUUCCUUGGCUAAAAUCAAAGAUAGAAUGGCCAAUUCCGGCUGAACCUGAGAAAAAGAUAACUCGAAAAGAAUGAGAGGAGAAGAUAGCCUCUCUCGAGACAAUAAUUAAGAGCGACAGACAGCCUCCUAAGGAAAGAGAGGCACGAAUGAAAAGCGACUACUCAGCCGAGAUGGCAAAGGAGUCUCAAGAGAAGAAACAAAAAAUACAAGGAAAAUCGGCUGAUGAAAGUCCAGCCGAUGUGAAUAUGGUUUACACUCUGCCUCAAUCAUUCAAAGCAGAGUCCACAGAGUAUGAGGAAGCAAUGUACGAAGAAGACGGAAUUAUAGUAGCCCAACUGCAGUUGGAGGACGCCAAACCAGUCGAUUCAGUGGUUUUCGAAAAACCAUCAAUCAUGCAAACAAGAUUUGUAAGGCCUCUAUUCAUAAGGGCCUUGAUAGAAGGACGGCCAAUAGGCCGAGUGAUGGUGGAUGGCGGGGCAAUGGUCAACGUUAUGUCCACUUCUUUCUUUAAAAAGUUACGCAAAAGUAAAGAUGAACUGAAGCCUACCGAUACGAUCAUGACCGAUUUUACCAGCAGCAGUCAACAAGCCAAAGGAGUGUUCACAACCGAACUCACGGUAGGAUCCAAAACUUUACCAACAGCGUUUUUUGUGGUGGAUGCAGAUAGUCACUACAAUUUAUUACUCGGGCGCGAUUGGAUUCAUGCAAACGAGUGUGUACCAUCUACGCUUCAUGGAAAGUUAUUCCAGUGGAUAGGAGACAAGGUGGAGGAAAUUCGGGCCGAGGGGCGGCCCCAAAUGGUGGAUGUUAAUGCAGAAGGAAUCGGCGAUAUCAAUUGGGCCGAUAUUGACCCCGAUCAAAUCUCUUUUGUGAGGGUGACUGAAGAGGGAGUAUAACUAAUUCUCAUGAAAGAUGAGGAAGCCAUGGUGGCAACCGAAGAGCCACCAAGUUGGUUAAAAUGGAACACCAAAGAUCAGAAACUGAAGCUUUAGAAAAGCUUCGGUAGAAUGAGCUGACCAACGAAGUCAGCUAUAAGGGUAAUUCGGCCAACCAGGCCGAUAAGAUGACACCUAUCAAAACGGUCAAGUCGGCCGAAAAAGACUUAUUAAUGAAAUCGGCAAUGAAGGCCGAUAAGGAAACAGCUGGUGAAUCGAGGAGGUUGACAACUGAACCGAAGAUGGAUGAAUCACCUAUCAAAGUCGGCGACAAAAAGCUAAAAACCCAGGAUCCAUUAAUAGAAGUGAACCCGGGAUUCAACGAAGACAAACGGCCAACUUACAUCAGUGCUAGACUUUCGGCUCAACAACGGGAGGAGCUCAAAGAAUUAUUAUCAGAAUACAAGGACUACUCCGCCUGGAAUUACGAAGAAAUGCCAGACUUGAGUCGAGAAAUCAUAGAACAUAGGCUUCCUAUUAAAAAAGGAUAUAAGCCUUACAAACAACCGGCUCGUAAGUUUAAGCUGGGUAUUGUACUUUAAAUUAAAAAUAAAAUUAAAAAUUUACUAAAGGCCGGUUUUAUUAUAGUGGCCCGUUACGUUGAUUCGGUAUCUAAUAUAGUCCCAGUACAAAAAAAGAAUGGUAAACUUAUGGUGUGUAUUGAUUUUAGAAACUUGAAUUUGGCUAUACCUAAAGAUGAAUAUCCAAUGCCAAUAGCCGAUAUGUUAGUAGAUUCGACAGCGGACAUGAAAUCCUGUCUUUUAUGGAUGGAGAUGCCGGUUAUAACCAAAUUUAUAUUGCCGAAGAAGAUGUAGCUAAAACGGCUUUUAGAUGCCCGGGGUCUAUUGGGACCUUUGAAUGGAUAGUCAUGUCGUUUGGCUUAAAGAAUGCCGGUAGGAUAAGAUAGGAGUUUUCACUCCAUUACUUCGGCUUAAGAAUCAAGAAGAAUUCAGUUGGACAAAGGAACAGCAAGGAGCAUUUGAAAAUAUAAAAAGUUAUUUAACAAAUCCUCCAGUCCUUAUGCAUCCUAGGCAGGGGGAGCCGAUGAAAUUGUAUAUAUCGGCGGCAGAAGAUAACUUGGGUUAUUUGUUAGCACAAGAAAAUCAAGAAAAAGAGGAACAUGCCAUUUAUUAUCUAAGCAGGCGUUUGUUAGAUGCCGAAAAACGUUAUUCGGCAAUUGAAAAAUUAUGUCUGUACAAAAUUAAGAUAUUAUCUUUUACCAACAGAAGUGUCGGUAAUCUGCAAAACUGACCUGGUGAAGUAUAUGCUAUCUAAGCCUGUAUUAGGAGGCGGAAUCGGACGAUAAAUGUUGGCCCUGUCCGAAUUCUCUCUUAAUUAUGUGCCAGCAAAAGCUAUCAAGGGGUAGGCAAUAGUUGAUUUCUUGGUUGCCCAUCAAUGUGUCGAGAUUGAAGAGCCGAAACAAAAUUUAAUCGGCUGUCAACCUUGGAUACUCUAUUUUGAUGGCUCGAAAACAGCCGAGUCUGUAGGAGCCGGGGUGGUUAUACAGCCUCCUGAAGGAUAUAUUUAUCGAUUUGCUUUUGAAUUAGAUUUCGGCUGCUCUAAUAACCAAGCCAAAUAUGACGCAUUAAUAAUUGGCCUUGAAAUUUUACAAGAAUUAGGAGUAUACUCGCUCAAGGUCAUCGGUGAUUCACAAUUGGUAAUUAAACAGGUGAAUGAAGAAUACCGAUGUGAAAACCAAAAUUUGCAAAACUACUUGAGAAAAAUAAUAGAAUUACUCUAUAGUUUCAGGGAAGUUGAGUUUGAGCAUUUGGCCAGAGAAGGAAAUGAACACGCUAAUGAAUUAGCCCAAUCGGCCUCAGGGUAUAAAGCGCCAAAAUAGAAUUAAGUGAAAAUAGAACGAAGAUUAUUACCAUCGGUUCAUAUACGAGAGCCGACUAUAAUUUCUCCCAUAGAGGUUAAAGAAGACUGGAGAAAGUCUAUAAUUGAAUAUCUAGAAGACUCUAACAAGCGAGUCGACUAUAAUAUUCGAAGAAGAGCACUCGGCUAUUGUCUAUUAAAUGGAUAACUCUAUAAGAGAACAGCCGAAAAAGUGUUAUUGAAAUAUUUAGGACCUGAAGAAGCCUUAUUGGUGAUGGGAGAAACACAUGAGGGCUUGUGUGGAGCCCAUUUAGCAGGGAAAAGACUAAGAUGGACAAUUCGGCAUUUAGGGUACUACUGGUCGACUAUGCAUCAGGAUUGCAUAGAAUAUGCGAAAGGAUGCCAGGAUUGUCAAUUCCAUGGCUAUGUACAAAGAGUACCUGCUUCUGAGAUGUAUACAAUAAUUCAACCUUGGCCUUUUAGAGGUUGGGCCAUGAAUUUAAUUGAAGAAAUCCAGCCGAAUUCUUCGGCUAGUCACAAGUUUUUGAUAGUGGCCGUCGACUAUUUCACUAAGUGGGUAGAAGUAAAACCCGCUAGGUUGGUCACUCAAAAAGAGAUUAUUGAUUUUGUGGAAGAUUCUAUAAUUCAUCGUUUUGGAAUUCCCGAGAUGAUUACAACAGAUCAAGGAACAAUAUUUAUCGGAGGACGGUUUACUCGGUUCAUUGAAUCCAGAAAGAUUAAAUUAAUUCAUUCAUCACCUUAUUAUACUCAGGCCAAUGGACAAGCCGAGGCGGCAAAUAAGAUAAUUAUAAAUCUUAUGAAGCGACAUGUUGGAAAGCACCCAAGGAAAUGGAAUGAGAAACUUUUCGAAAUAUUGUGGGCAUGCCGAACUACAGUGAAAACGGCGACAAGGAUGACGUCGUUUCAAUUCGUAUACGGCCAUGAGGCUGUAGUACCAGCCGAGAUAACAAUUCCCUCUUUAAGGGUGGAAAAACAAAAAGAACUGAUGGCAGAUGAAUAUAAGAUUCUAAUAAAUGAAAGAGUAGAAGAAAUGAAUGAAACUCGGUUGAUAGCAUUUGACCAUGUACGAGCUUAUUAGAGCCGAGUACGCAGUGCAUACAAUAAAAGAGUUAAAGCUAAGUCUUUUACAGUUGGAGACUUAGUUCUUAGAUUAAUCUUUCCAAUCGGUCGAAAGGAUCGAGUAUAUGAAAAAUGGUCUCCAAAUUGGGAAGGACCAUUUCAGAUUAAUAGAAUUACAAAAGAAAAUGUAUAUUAUUUAAAAAACAUAGAUGGGUCUGAGCAUGAGAAGCCAAUUAAUAAAAAAUAUUUAAAAAAGUACUACCCAUCCAUGUGGGAAAAUGAACAAAGUGAGAGUUAAAAGCAUUAGAAUAUUAUAAUUAAUAAGCUGAAUCAAGAUAAUAAGUCUUUAAGCUGGUUCCAUUCGGUUUCUAAGUUUGCUUGGGCGGUUUCGGCCACCUUCCUCCUGCGCUUCAUUAAAGGAUGCAACUUGUAAAGUUGAGAAAGCCGAUCUUGAAGCUUCAUCCCUUCACUCUUCUUGGUAUUCAGUUGAUCUUGCAAGUGGAGUCGGCGCUUAGAAGUACGAACAAGAGCCAAUUAGACCACAGCUAACUCCUCUUUAAGAGUUGAAAUCCGCUGCCGCAAGGCCGAUUCCUGAUUUUCCAAAGCUUGGUCUUCUCGGCUCAGGUUAGUUAUUGGAGCCGCUACUUCAGGAACUUUCAUUUUUAAAUGGUCGAUCCGAUUGAAAUGGUGAUCUAGGGAUAGAAAUUUGGCGGCCAGAGAUUGUUGCCGAGAUAAAAAAAAAGAAGAAAGUCGAAACGAUAAAGUUUCCGCGAAGUACUUGCCCGCGGGAGAAAGAUCUGGCUGAUCGGCUAAAUCAAGUAAAAGUAUGCCUAGCCGAUCAAACUGCUCUGUAUUUCGAGCCAAAGACGGGAGACCAUAACUAUAUAGUCUUAGACACUCAUCAAGUUUUUGUUGAGUGUCUGCCGACAUCAUAGCUGAUAAGUCUUCCCCUUCAUUAGAAUUAGGGCUUGAAACCAAUAAAGCCUGAAGAGAAGCAGACAAGGGGUCCUCAGUUUCAGGCGUCGGUAAAGGAGUCGAUGAUGAGGCUUCGGCUGAAGAAGUGAUGAGAGGCAUAGUACUUGGGUCUACCUCUUUAUCAUCCUUUUUCCUUGAUAUAUCUUCCCCUCCUCUUCUUCACUGUUGUUCUUUUUCUGUUUCAUCUUCCGGGUUCGAUGGCUUUGUCAUUACCUCUUUUUCUCCACUUUCUUCGACAGUAGCUCGUUGUUUUUCUGCUUCUUGUUUCUUAUGAAGACGGGCUUCCCUGCGAGCUUGUCUUUCAAUAUCAGACAUUUUCUUCCCCAGAGAUGAAGCAAAACGAGCACGAGAAGCAUCUCCAGGAGGUGAUUGUUUCAUUGAAAAGAAACGAUGAAGAUGAUGAAACAACACAAAAAUUGGUUAUAAUCAAUUAGACUGAUUACCUCGAUUGAGAUUGGUUCAUCAAGAAUAGGGAUUUGUUCUGGAACAUCAGCCGAAGGUGUAUCUUCGGCUCUCGUAAAAGUUGACUUCUUAGCAACCGACUUACGCCGCUUCGGAGGCGGCGGAGGGGUAGAUUGCUCGGGCUCUAUCGGUCGUUUUUCUAAUGCUAGGAUCGAUGAAGAGGUUGGAAUUGGCUGUACAUGAAGCAGAUAUACAAAAGUAAGCAAUAAGAUCAUACAAGGAAAAGAAAGCCGAACAAAAAGAGUAAAACUUACUGCAGAAGAGGAAGGUGGCUCAUCAGAGUUAUAAUCGGAAGUCUCUUUCGAUUCAUUCCCCGGUACGGAUUGAGAAGUAGCAUCGAGCGAAAAAUCUCUGCUCGGAAAAGGCACUACUAUGGAUGGAGGAUAAAUAAAUAAAAGUCAUACUAAAAGACUAAAAGAAGAAUAAUUGUAGUAGAGAGCAAGGGACGUACUAAGUGGAUGGAUGGUCUUGCGAAUCGCCUAUUGUGUGACUAAACCAAAGACAUGAUCGGCAAAGUAGUCCCAAGUAAUGGCAUAGCAAAAGCCCAUCACUCCUGUGUGAUUUGACCUAAAGCUCACCAAUUUGAAGAACCGCCGAAGACGAUUCCCCAUAGCUGAAAUCCGAUCAGGGGGUUGGUUAACGGCAGUAUAGGCUGUGAAGAACUUGGCUGGAGUAGGGAUUGCUCGCAUAAACCCAAAUUGACGCGCUGCGUACUGGGCAGAAUAAACCUCGGUGCUAGGCAGCAGUUUCGAGCGCGAUUUCAAUCCAAUAUGCAAAUCCCUUGUAGCCAAGAAAGAAAACCAGACGUCUAAAUAUUCACUGGCACGAGAAGAAGCCAGUUCGCCUUGAAUGGCCUCAUAUCGAGUAAGAAGCCAAGGUGGACCAGUGACACGUUUGGCAAAUGGAGACCAUGAAAUGAGAAAAUAAGGACGCGAUUCAUAGAAAAUUGUGAAAUAAGUAGCAAAAUCAAAAGGGUGACCUAAUGUUAACAGCUGGGGGUAGCCGAGAGCUAACCCGUAGGUGUCAAAUUAAGGAGCCGAGUCCAGAUCCAAAGGAUCUCGGCACAAAUUAGGAAAAUAAAUUUGCGAAAAUAUUUGCAAAAACCAGAAAAUACCACAACCAGAGAUGAUUGUUGAACCAUCUCUAUAAGAUAGUGGUUUAAUGGAAUCAAAAAUUUUCCUGUAAACAAAAGUAAGGAAAUAGAUUCCUAAAGCUAAUCUUUCGUCGUUAGCUAAACCUACGGCGAUCGGGACAAAAUCUCGAUUGAUCUUCUGCGAACGAGUGCAAAAGAGAUUGUGGCAUAACCAAUACAGAAGGAAUAUUGUAUGCUCCUUCCUAAUAACCUCAACAGGAGACUCACCUGCAAACUUGCAGAGAAAUUUGGUAUAAGCCAGAUCGUUGAGGUCAAGAUGGACUUCAAAAUCAGAUGCGCCAUCAGGAUUGUAAGCCACUGAAAAAGUAACUCCAUGAGGGCGUAAACCAAUGAUGGCAGCGACAUCAAGAAGAGUAGGAGUGAGGGGUCCUCCUUUGAAAAGAAAAGUGUUAGAAACAGAGGACCAAAUAUAGAAAGCUGCAGCCAAGAGAAGGUUAUCAGCUAUAGGAGGCUUCCGAGAUAAUCGUAUCGUCUCAUAAAUACCAACUUCCCGCCAAAAAUCAGCAUAGAUAGCCUCUACACGGUCCAACCAAGCAAGGUACGCAUCUGAAACGCUUGGCCAGGUUCAGAGAUUUCUCCCUGUUGAAGCUGAUGGAUACCAGGAAUGAAGAUGAAUGGAUUUGGCCAUUAGUGGAGGGCCGUCACUUGAGUAUGGGAAGUCAUCAGGGAUCGGUUCGUCGGUAAAGGAGGGACCUAAGAUGAACCGAGAAGGGUCUGAUAGAACAAACUGCCUAAGUAUGGUGUAAUCUAAUGACGGAGUAGAAGGAAGAGGUGGAAGCGGCGCCAUUGUUAAAAUGAAGAAAGAUAGCGAAAAAAAAGCCCUAAGAGUCGAGGGUGAAAAGGGGGAAAAGAAGACGAAGAAGCAGAGAAAAUGAGGAUUCAGGCCAAAGAAAAGGAAAAGCAAAGAGAACGAAGUUGAGCCAGAGAAAAGAAAAGUGGAAGCUUGGCGAAGAAGAAAGAGAAGCCGUCGCGCCGAAUCGAUUUCCGAGACUGGCUAUAAUGAUGAAGAGACGGCGGCAAUUAAUAUGACCUAAUUAAUGCCGCAAAUAAGACAAAAAGGAAUGUUGAGAUCGUAGCCGUAGAGAGGAAAAGAACGGCUGGAAAGGAACCGUACAAAGAAUUCGAAUUGACAGUAUCGAAAGAUGCGCCUUUGAUUACGCCAGCUACCGAAGCGUCUAUUCGGAAGCUGCCGAGGAGGCAAAUUGUUAAGCUAAUAACACGCGGCCAUAUGGUAUGUUGGUGCACCGUUCAACCCCAAUCUUUAAGAGCAAGGAUUAGAGAAGAUCUUGGUGUGCAUCGGGAGCAUCGACAAUAUAAUUAAGUAACCGUCAGGAUUAAUUGCAGGAAGUUACAAUAACUGCAGGCAGUUACAUGCAGAUUUGAUCGGCCUGAAGUGGCCCAUAAAUAUAAGGUAGUGGUCGAUCAUGGAUGGGGCAAUAACCGACCAGCAAAGACAGACUAUAAAUAGGCAAAUAAUGCCUAGAAAAGAGGUCUUUUUCCCCGAGAAUAGAAGACCACCUUCAUUUUUCCUGCAUUUUCAUCGCAUUUUCUAGGAGUAGUCUACUUGUAAUCUUUUAUUUUCCCACAUUUACUGUUUGCCUAGGAGUAAGUUUAAUUUAAAUCAACCGAGUCUGCAUGCCCUCAGGCACACUCAUCCCUUGUACUAUUUUUGCAAGUUAAUUCCAAUAUAUAAAAGCAUUUGGCUCUUCAGCCGACCCAAAGCAUAGUGUAUUUCGUACAUUCGGCUCAUCCAGCCGAACCGAAUCUAUAGUAAAAUGUUCUGAACUUGGCUGAUCCGAUCUCUCAUCAGCCGAAUCGCUUGAUCCAGUCGAAGGGCGCAAACUUCGAGGGUCAUCAUUCACAACCAUUCCGCAUCCCUACACUCUUCCCGAGAGAGAUUUUUAACCGGGUAAAGGAUCAGGACAUUCGGCUCCUAACACAAUCCCCACUAAGCCCCUCACAAACACUCAAAUAGCAAACUGCACUAAAAACAGUUUACUGCACUACGUACCUGUACUCGAAUUGGAGUACCGGUACCCGGCACCCAGACUCGCAAAACCCGAGCCUCGAUCAAUUGGGUUAAUCGAGUUAAAAUUUAAAAUUUGAAAAAAAUUUAAAAUAAUUAUGAAAUUUAAAAUACCAAAUUUAAAAUUUAAAUUCAAAAAUAUAAAUAAUUAUGAAAUUUAAAAUAUAAAAUUUUAAUAUUUAAAAAUAUAAUUUUAAAUUUUAAAUUUUAAAAUUUAAAUUUAAAAUUUAAAAUCUAAAUUUAAAAUUUAAAAUUUGAAAUUUAAAUUUAAAAUAUAAAUAAUUAUGAAAUUUAAAAUAUAAAANNNNNNNNNNNNNNNNNNNNNNNAAAAUAAAUUUUAAAUUUUAAAUUUCAAAGUUUAAAGUUAAAAUUUAAAAUUUAAAAUAAUUAUGAAAUUUAAAAUUUAAAUAUUUAAAAUUUAAAUUGUAGAUCAAUUCUAACAGAGCCGAUCGUCGAUUUGGAAGCCGCAUCAUUGAAAACAACUUAGUAGUACAGAGGCCUUCGUGCUAUCGAUAGUAUACCAGCUUUUAUAUAUACAUAUAUAUAAAGCUAGGCUGGUAUACUAUCGGUAGCACGGAGGCCUCCGUGCUACCAAGUUGUUUUUUGUGAUAUGGCUUCCAAAUCGACGAUCGAUUUUAUUAGACUUGAUCUACACUAUCGAAAGUAUUUGGAAACUAAAUUUCAUAACUUUUCGGUAUCAUUUACCUAUCAAACGAGUAAUAUAAAAAUGAACGGCUGCAAAUAAAAAUCUCAUAAAAAAUGAUGAUAAAAGACCUGAAUUUAAGAUCAGAUACACUGAUCUUACUCUAAAUAGUAAAAAGAAUUUGCUAUAAAAAUUUCAUCAAAUUUGGAUUGUUUUACACCGUUAAAUUCACAAACGCAUCACAUCUACCUUUAAAGUUAUCAAUUUUGAGACAUUUUGAUCACUAGCCAAAUGAUGCCGAAAAAUUAUGAAAUUUAGUUUUCAAAUACUUUCAAUAGUGUUGAUCAAGUCUAACGGAACUGAUCGUCGAUUUGGAAGCUGCAUCACUGAAAAUAACUUAGUAGCACGGAGGCUUCCGUUCUACCUAUAGUAUAUCCGCCAGACUCUAUAUAUUGAAUGGUUUUUAAAAAUUAAAGACUUAGUUAUAAAAACGAAAAGAUAAAUACAUCAAACUGUAAAAAUGGCGCAAAAGUUAGGGCCUGUGUAACGUUUAACCUUUGCUCUGGCCGUCCAUAAAGCGGAAAGAGAACCCACCGCUCUGAAGGGAGCACACCAAUCGAAAUUGGAGGAGAAACUUUCUCCACGACCAUUCCCAAAUUCUAAAAUAACUGACCGUGGAGAGAGAGAGAAAAUUAAAGGAAAGAGAGGAGUGAGAGAGAAGGGGAGAAGGGGAGACGAGGCAACGAGUUUUUUCAAUUUUACUUCCUUUUUUUUUCUCAUUGAUUUUGAUUUAUGUUGAGGUUUUUGGUGUGAAGGACGAACAGUUCUACGCUGCUACGUUCUUAUUUAAUAUCAAGUAGGGCUUUUCUUUUUCUUUUUCUUUUUUUUUUUUCUUUCCUUUCAGUUCUUUAGAGCUUUCCUAGCAAACCCAAUUGAUUUUGAUUUUCUUUUAUUUCUAAUCUGAGUGAAAAAACGGUUUUCCGCGAGAUAAAUCAUUGAAUAGGAACGGCGAUUCUCUUUAUCAUUUGAUUCAUUUAUUGGUGCCUUAAAUUCUUUGAGUUCCUUUUUCUUGAUUCAUUCUAAUCAAGUUCUAAUGUUAUCUGUGCGUUUGAGUGAUCCCUAGUUGGGUAUUUGCCUUUUUCUAAUAAUUAGGGCAGCUUCCAAAGCAUUCGUUCAUCAGUAUAAUUUUUGUGUUAAUAUUGUUGGGAAUGUGGGCAACACUAUGCUAAAAAGAGAACUUUUGAGAUUGCUUCCCCAAAAUUUCCAAGCUCUUAGGAUUGAUCGUGCCUCGAUGGCUUUAAAUAAUCAACUCUUUUCUGCAAGAUUAUGCAGUUUUAGUCAGUUUAGUGGUGAAAAGGAGAGUGCCAGUAUUCACACAAAGACUUUAACUGAUAGAACUAGUGGUUCGAGAGUACUGCCAAGUAAUGCGUUGAGUUUGAAAAGCUGUUUGGAUCGGCAUGAUGGCGUUUUGAGGAGAGCAGAAGUGGAAAUUGUAAAAGCUAACCCCGUCGCACCUUGUCGUCGACCAGUUCACGAUUCUGAAUUGUUUGUUGGCGAGGUGGCGGCUGCGAAAACCGUGAAUGGAAAUGGUGCAUGCCGACAAGGAAAAUGUUUCCGGUUUCCCAAGUAUAUGGUGCCUGAGAAAUUGGUUGUGGCAGUUGAUGUGGAUGAAGGUAUGGUGUUAGUGCUGUGGUGCUAUCUUUCACCUUUUGUAGAUACAUUUGCUGAAUUAACUGUGAUUCUCUUCAAUUAAUGAUAGUAAUAGUAUUGUCGCUUAUACUUGCUCGGCAUUGUAUAUUUGUUGUUGAUUUGAUCCUGAUGACUUGCUUUGCCUCUAUCGUAGGAUUUUCCUAACUAGUCAAAACAACAUGAACAGAAGAUACCACCCCCCCUCCCCCCACACACACAAUCAAGAAAGUUAUAGCAUCAAUUGAGAUCUUGAAGAAUUGCGAAAUUUGGAAACUAACUUGGAUAGAUUCAAACUAAACUAAGAAUGAUUUAGUAGCACCAUAUUUGGUGGCAACCAGAAAAGGAAUUAUGUGUAACACUACAUAGUCAUUUUCUAAGUCUGUAGCAACAUUGUGGAAAUUUUGAUGAAAGGAUUUAAAUGCCACGGCAUGGGUUCAUGCUGAGCACUUGCACACACGGUACGACACAGGCAUGCCGUGCUAUGCCGAUGACUGUUGACGAAAACACCUUGUGUGUUGGCAGCAUGAAUUAUUAUUUUGUUUGGCAUUAGUAUGUUCAAAUUGUUCUUUAUAUAUUCUUCAUCGAAUCUUUUGUAUUCUAUUAAUGAUAAUUACCUGUUAAUUUCGAAAAAAAGAAAGAGGGUUUUGGGCAUUGUCAGCAUGGUGGGCACGGUUCAUGCCGAUGGGAACUUAAAACCUUGUUUUAAUGUUGAUACCUUUCUGCUCUAGGUGAGUGUGAAGAAUUUAGUCAACCAUCUAUUCUUUUCAAAUGUGCAGUGGUUGCUUGUGCCCAUGGGGUAAUUCAACAAUUAUGGUCACCGACAAACAUAAGCGAUGAAUAUGUUCUUAAUUCAACAAUUAUUGUCAAUGUUAUGUAACCAACUUCUGGAAAUUGAUUUUUUUUUUUCCUUUAGAGAGAAGUAUAAACAGUUUCUAACUACCAAAAUACUGGUGUCUGUCCUUUUAUGGUAUUCUUCAUGCAUUUAUAUAUCAUUUGGUGCAUAUUGUUCUCCUAUUGAAACUCUGUAAGCAUAGGUGGCUUUGAAGUUGAUUUCAAAAAAAAUAUAAAAAAAAAAUUUUGUAGGAUCUGACUUCUGAGGAUAUGUACAGUGAGCUAAAUGAUGCAUUUUCCCCAGAAAGGGGAAAGAGAUUUCUGUGAUUCAACACUUUUAUUUCUAUACGCCAUGGAUGCAUACUGAUCUUAACAUUGAUUGUUCAUACUUGUAUGCUUUUGCACUUCUUUUACAGUUCUUGGAAGCUUUCUCACAGCAUUGAACAGAUUUAUUGCCGACCGGUACUCUUUGAAUCACUCAGUUUCGGAGUAUUAUGUUUAUGAGUUUUUCAAGGUAUGUUCAUGGGCCUAUUCGAACUGUUCGUUUGUUUUAGGCACACUCUUAAUGUAGCACUCAAUGAUCUUAUCAUCUGCUUCAUUUGUCACAAUUGGUAUGCUUAUAUUAUUUUCUUCUGACUCUUUGCAGAUAUGGAAAUGUUCUCGUGCUGAAGGUACGUGUUGAUGCAGCGCUUUAUUUCAUUACUAAACAUCUCAUUUUAGUUCCAAAAUUAGGGGACCGUUUGUGCAAACAACAUAACUUUCUUGACCUCUAUGUGCGCGUAUAUUGAUCUCGAGUAUUCUGCUAAAUGUGGCAGCCGAUUUUCGUGUUCAUGAGUUCUUUAAAACUACCUACUUCCAAAAUGGGAUUCAUCCCAUCCCAGGUGCUCAACAUGCUCUUCGGAAUUUAUCUUCCUUUUGCAUCUUGUCUGUGGUGACGUAAGUUAUUUUAAUUUGCUUUAACAUUAUAUCUGUCUAAUUAUGAAGCAAUCUUCUUUUUUUUUUUUUUUAAUUCUACAUGCAUACACUAAACCUUGAACUUGAAUUUUGUUUUUCCAAAGAUCUCGGCAGAAUGUAAUCAAAGAUCACACACUUGAGUGGAUUCAAAAGCACUAUCCUGACUUGUUUCAGGAGAUUCAUUUUGGGAAUCAUUUUGCUUUGGACGGAGAAUCAAAGCCAAAAUCCGAAAUUUGCAGGCAAGAUUUAUUGAUUUAUUUGCCGAUUUGUAGAAUUUCGUACACCUGAAUGUUUGUUUUUCUCUUUCAUAUGUUUUGAUUUCUUUUCUUUUUUCCUUUUUCUUUCACUUUGUCGUUUCACGAUAUAAUAUCAUAUAUCAGAGGGUGGAAAAUAACAUUGAAUAUUUAAUUAUAUUGAUAUAAGGUGUGCCUUUUCUGAUAAAAUGUGGUAUUGAAGAUUGUUUUGCAAAUAGUAUCUGUACUUUUGUAGGUUUUCUGUUACCUACAAAAUUGUACAGUUUUAAAUUAUAUUGCCUGUCCUAUCCUUAUCCAGAUUUCCAAAUGGUAAUUAUGUUGUCAUGCAACUCAUACUCACCUUGUAAACCAAUUACCAUAUUUAAAUGUGCAAGGGCGCCACCUUGGAUUCAAUUUGUUUUCUCCAUGACCACUCUAAUUUCACGGGUGAUCAGUUAUGAACUUCCAUUACUACUGUUUAUUAAUUGGAAUAGUAAAUAUUUAUCACCGUACAUUUACUUUUUCUAAUACACCACUUUUAAUUUUUUUUUUUAUUUUUACUUUUAUUUUUAUGGUUUUAUCUUUCCUUUGGUAACAACGCCUGCAGAUCUCUGGGUGCUCAGAUCCUAAUUGACGACAACCCAAGGUAUGCUUCAGAGUGUGCAGAUGCUGGUAUGAGAGUCUUGCUCUUUGAUUACGAUAACUCAUACCCUUGGUGCAAAACUGGGGUCGAAAAUUCGCACCCUCUUGUGACGAAGGUUCAUAACUGGGAAGAAGUAGAGCAACUGCUGGUUUCUUGGGUAGCUUCUUCAACUUGAAAGAGAAGAACUUUAUUCAAGUUGAAGAUUAAAUAGAGCAUUAGGUGCCCCUCUUUUACUGGUUUUUCGAAACUAUGCUUCUGGGCAGACAUUGAGGGAUCUAGAUGAGUUGAUAGGGACAUUUUUCUGCUGCUUUUGUCGCACCUCAAAUAUAUUUCAGUACCUGAUUUUGCAGGUCCAUCAUUAAAGGAUUUCCAUUCAUGUGAAUUCAAAUGCGAAAGUUGAAGUAUCUGUAAAUAUGCACACAGACCUUUCUCAAUGCAUUGAUAUAAAUUCUUUCAAAAUAAUCUUUUAUAGAUUUCAGUAUAUCUGUGGUCGUAUCAUUAAAUUACUGCAAAUUUCUGCUGAUUUCCUUGUAAAAACCAGCACAGGCUAACUGAUCAUCAAAUUGUACUCAGUACCAUGUAAUUGCCAAAAAGUUGUGUUUUAUUUUUUCUCUUCUUUUCUUUUCUUUUUGUUUCUUUUCAAAAUAGUAGGAUAGUCGAGAGUAUUUUAGCUCGUUUGGAUGCAUAAAGAUUUUUUUUAGUUUACUUCAUUUAUUUACGUAAAGCUAGAUUGGUAGUGUCUUUUUCACAACCACUAUCACUUAACAGGUUGAUUGCAUUACUCUGCAUAAUCAAAAUCGAGGACCUUGCAACAAAAUCAAGUUACUACUAGGUUGCAAUGACAGGUGUUUUUUUUUUUUUUUUUUUUUUUUUUUUUUUUUUUUUUUUUUUUUUUUUUAUGAUACACGUUAAUGGUGGCAGAGCAUUUCGCGUGCCUUCGUGUGCCUGUAGUCCAGUCCGUAGGGGUAUUCCUGCACCUUCGUGUGCCGAUACUGCAGUCCGUAGGGAUGUUCUGCCACUCACAAAUUUGUGCGAACGCGUUAACUCCCAUUUGCACAGUGAGUUGUAGAUUAACCGUGCGCAGUUUAUCACUGGGCACUAUCCCUUCCCUCGGGUGCUAGACGUUGGCAUGGUUUUGCUAAUUACGUGAGGAUGAUUCGUGGCACAUAAUUUGCCAACUUGACAAAAUGUUCAUCCGUUUGACCCUUAAUAAAGGUAUUCAUUAGUUAGACUUGAAUAAUUAUGCCUCAUGUAACGUCCCAAACUCCAAAAAGGGGCUAAAUUUAUGUGUGAAAUGUUUAAAGGGAAUUAACAUAUAUCUCCCAAGGUCCAAGAUCAAUUUGAAGUUACUCCGGAUUUAAGUUAACACCAAACGGAAAAAAGUUCUUAGCUAAAAGGCACAUCAAUGGUGUCAAAACUUUGUAUGAUUUGUUUUUUUUUUUAAAAAAAAGGAAAAUUUUAGAAAGUUCUGAUCCAAUCGAAGAUGGAGUUAGGAACUGAGCACAUUCAGCAAGAGAGUUUGGAACUGAGCACAUUCAGCAAGAAUCAAACUCGUUCGUACUAAUGAUACAUUCACUUAUUACAAAGAGUAAAUCUAAAGCGGUCCAAAAUACCCGAUAUUCCAUGCUCGGCCCGGACCCUACCUGGACCCGAAUCGGAUCCGAUAAAAGAUGGAUAGAAUACGGGUUAAAAUAAUUACCCAUUAAAGUUUCGGGUACGGGUCUGAAUACUUUAUACCCAGAUCCGACUUGGACCCGACCCAAAUCCGACCUUUUAAUGGGGAGGGUCAGGAAGAGCUUUCAAAUCUCGACCCAGACUUGGACCCAGUGAAAUAUCCGAUAGUAAAUAAAAAAAUUUAAAGUUAAGGGAUCAAUUUCAAUAGUACUUAUAGAUGAAGGGUCUCGGUAUAUUUUCAUCCUAAUAAAAAUCCUAGUCGCUUUGUUUACUCCUUUUUUUUAUUUUUUUUUUAUUUUACUCAUUUCUUUAACCCUAGCCGUUUACUGCUUGAAUCUUUCUUUUGAAUUAAUUUUAUUGGACGGUGCAACUAAUUAGAACGCGAGUUUUCUAUAGCGAGAGAUUUAUGAUUUUUUUAUAAACUGUUUAAUAAAGUAUAUAAAAAUAGGGAUAAUUGCCUAUAUACCCCUCAUACGUUUAAAAAUAUCCAAUUUACCCCUUUUUUUUUCUUUCUAAAAUACCUAUCAUAUAUAUUCCACCGUUAUUGUAAAAUAACCCUGCAGUUAUCUCCUGUUAAGUUAACUUAGGUUAAACGUGAGUUAAAUAUCUACCACAGUUAAAAAAAUUAAAAUGCUAAUUUUGCUCUUAACUUAAUGAUAAAUAAGAAAUGUUGGUGACGGUAGAGGGGUAUAUUUGAAAAGACCAAAAGUCAAAAUACUUUUUGUGCCCCUAACUUUAAGGGCAAAUAAGAAAGUCAGUGAUGGUCGAAGGGUAUAUUUGAAAGGGCAAAAUAGUAAUUUUACAGAGAUAACAGAGUUCAUUAACAGAUUUUAACUCUAAAGGUAUAUUAGAAAUAGGUUGGAACGUAAAAAAUGUAUUUUCAAUAUUAGCCGUCUAAGAGGGGUAAAUCGAAAAGUUGGGAACUUUUCAGGGGUAUAUAAGCAAUUGUCCCAUAAAAAUAUAUGCAUACGGGUAUCUGUACCCGAACUAGAUCCAACUCGUACCUGAUCCAUGAUGGAACUCCCCUCGGCCAAUCAUCACUAUACUUGGUCUUAAGUAGGAAACAUACCGGUAAUCACUACCCAGACCCGCUAAAAUAGACCCGAUAGGUAUAUUAUUAACUUAAGUACUCAGAUCUGGACCCGAUCCGAAGUUAAAUGGAUAGGGUGUAUAUAUAUUUUUCUACCUAUUUCUUUUUAGGAUACGGGUAUAGUAUAUCAACUAUCUAGACUCGACCCGGUUCAUAAACACCUUUAAGCAAAUCUGAUAAUAUCUAAAGUAUUAAAUUAUGUCGAAACUUCCUUUUUUCACUAUAAUAAUGAUCAGUUAGCUUUUCUACUCUUUUGAAUCAUAUGAAUAUAAUAUUGAAUGACUCAAAAUUUUACAAUUUUACAAAAAUGUGUCACUGCAAUCUGACCAUUGUUGCAGUAUGAAGUAAUAAUUGUCAAAAUUUUCGAAGAGUGCUUUGGUAUUUAUUGUUAAGCAUUUUAAUGUUUGUGGAUUUUGUGAGCUCUAUCGGAGUCUUGAAGAUUUAAAGAUGAAAAGACGAAGAUUGAAGAGUCAAAGAUUUGGACAUUGAAGCUCAUGAACUCCAGGUAAAUUUAUACGAAGUUAGUGGUGAUUUAUGAUAAUAUAUGUGUCUAGAAGUAAUCAAAAUAGGGAUAAAUUUGUCUAAAUACAAAACUAAAGAUUUUUUGGUGCCAGGAUCCAGACCCUAUGAGAGGAUUCGGAUCCUGAAAGGGUGUUCUGUCGACCAUAAUAGAGGAUCCGAAACUUCACUAGAGGAUUUGAAUCCUGAACAACUAAUUUGCUGUUUUGUAGGAACGAUCUGAACCCUGCCUGAAGGAUCUGAAUCAUGAACGACUUCGGGACCCUGAACAAAGGAUCCGAAUCCUGGACUCGUCAGAUUUUUUUAAAUCAAUUUUUGUAAUCCUAAUCUAAUUCUAAUUGCUUCCAACCCUAUAAAUAAGAUGUGGGGAUCUUUUUAAAACAUGAUUAAGAAUAUUUUAUCUUUGGGAAAACCCUUGAAAUUUGUGGGUGGCCAUCUCUCUCACCUUCAACAUCAAGUUUCUUUCUCAUCCUGAUUCUUGGAGCCCUAACUCAAAUUUUCUCUCAAAGAAUCAAAUUAAAAAUUGCUUAGAGAUCCUUCCACAGAUUAUAUGUUUUUCUAAGCAUCAAAUCACCACAAACUAUUAAUUGUUUGCACCCUGGACGAAGUGAACGUGCAUGGAUUCGCGUGACGACCAAGGAUUUGGUGGAUGCUUCGUCAAUUCGAGGCAUGGAUGCUGCAUGGAUUCGUAGCGUGAUUGAGUAAAGGAGCUCAAUCGAUUGAGACCAAUGAUCAAGAUCUAGUACGAACGUAGGAUAAAGGUUGAAUCAUAGAUUCGGUAUAUUACCUUAUACUCAAUUUUAUUCUUUAGCGGAUUUUUCAUGUGAUUGGUCCCGUGGGUUAUUUAUUCUGCUUGGAAUUUUUUCACAUAAAUUUUCGGUGUGCUAUUUUUAAUUUUCACAUUUAUGUUAAAAUAUAUUGAGUUGGUUGUUUUUACUGUUUAUAUCUACUCACUCCUUGUAGGUGUUUUUCUACCUAUUAGGUCCUUGGGAUUAACUACUCACAAGUGGUAUCAGAGCUAGUGUAUGUUUGUAAACUAUAAGUGAGGGUGGUAAUAUCAACGGGCCUCUGCUUUUCAAUGGCACAAAUUAUGCACACUACAAGGUUAGCAUGAGGGCUUUUUUGACAGCCAUCAACGAGCGGGCCUGACAAUCGGUCGAAUACGAAUGAAAACAUCCAACUGAAACUAAUAUUAAUGUUGUCACUCCCAAACCUCAGAAUAAGUGGACCAAAGAAGAAAUUGAUUCAUCUUCUUAUAAUGGCAAGGGGAUCAAUGCUUUAUUUAAUAUUUUAUCUCAGACCGAGUUCUCACACGUUUUUACAUGUGAAAUAACCAAGGAGAUUUGGAACAAUCUUAAAGUCAUGCAUAAAGGAACAAGCUUGGUAAAGGUUCAGAAACUCCAAAUGCUUACUAGCAAAUUCGAUUCUAUUCGCAUGGAGAAAUAUGAAACCUUUACCGAGUAUUAUACUUAUUUGCAAGAUAUUAUUAAUACAUGCAUGAAUUUAGGAGAGAAGAUCUCAGAGUCUAAAGCUAUAAUAAAAUUUUGAGAAAUAGUAAAACAUCUGGAUAAGCUUAAGAUAGAAUAGUUAGUAGGUGCUUUAUAAAUUUAUGAAAUGACUUUUCCUACUAAUUCAUCUUCUGUCAAAUCUUCUAAAGACUACAAGAAAAAAAAGAAGACACAAAACUCUUCAUCUUCGGAUUAGGAUGAAAAUGCUUCAACGGAAGAUUUUGUGAAACAGUUGGCUCUUUUAAUGAAGAAACUUUGUCGGAACUUCAAAAAGAACUGAGCCAACAGAUCAUCUUCAUCCUUGAAGCAAUCAAAGAUCAAAAGGAGUUCAAGGAUGAAGUCCACGAAAUCUGAGAACUCUUCUAAGGAGAAAAAAAAGUCCUGAAGGACAAAUUCAAUGUUACAAAUGCAGAGGCUUUGGUCGUAUUGUAUCAGAUUGUCCUAAUAAAAAAUUGUCACACUUCAGUCCUACAGCAGAAGCCCCCAGGCAUGCGAACAUAUCUACCGCAUAUGCCAGGACACAUCUUGUCAUGCCCCGAGCCCGCCACUUUGGUCAGAUUUGGGCACGCCAACAGACCGCCGAACGGACAGGGUUUCCUCUGUACCGCGUACAGAGUCUCCCCUGUAUGUCCAAGGCGUCACAAUCCAUACAAUACGCGAGGUUCCAACCAGAAACAGCAUACAAGCAAAGAUUGCAUAAGGAAGGUAUCGAAAACAUAAAUACACCUAUACUACUAUAAGCAUUCAACUGACAUACAUUUUACAUCACAUAUUAUACUUUUCAUUCUCUUUUUAGCUUCCAAAUAAAAUCUAGUUUUAACAAGAUUAUUACAGCUUUGUUCUUUUCUUUUCUUUUACAUCCCUAAGUAGCCGACUCAGGGUACUGUUAUCUCUGGUCUCGGUGGUAGAGCGCUAACUAGGGAGCUACGCCCUUUCCUCGCAUCGCCGCGCCGCUCGCGUGUGAAUCUGUAACCCCCAAAAACAACACGGGGGUGAGAACUAUUGUCCAUAGUUUUCAGUGGGUACGGCCACCCAAGAAAAAAGCUCGACCCACCAGGUUCAAAGGAGGCACUGCAAACAUGUUAGUCCAACAAAUAUCCACAAAUAUAUAUAUAAUUCAUGCAACUAACAUUUAUCAUGUUCAUGCCUCACAAUAUGCAAUAUGCAAAUCAUGCAACUCAUGCAAGUAGAUUAAUUGAUUCUACUCUUUAUUCUUAGCCAUUCUUUACUAUUAGCCAUUCUUUAUCGCUAAUCAUUCUUUAUUCUUAGUCGCACUAUGUUCAUUGGCAAUUCUUUCCUAAGGUUACUUUACCUUAGCCAACUUUGCCACUCGACUCGGUCUUGAGUCAAUCCACCGAGAAUAGUCUGCGCUCUGUCAAGCUCGAGGCGAAGGAAGUCUCAUAUGCACCUCAGCCUUAAAUCCUCUCGACUAUGGGUCUACUCACAGGGUGAGGAUAUACCGUCGAACCCCGGACCCCAAGUCACUCAAUGGACCUACGGGCGAGGAGAACCAACAUACCCGCGUCCACAUUCUCAUGGCAUACUGGGUGAGGAGAACCAACAUACCCGUUGAAUCACUGCCGGGCGAGGAGAACCAACAUACCCGCAGUUAUGAUUCUCAUUUGCCAUUCCACUUACCGAGCGAGGAGAACCAACAUACCCGUUGAAUCACUAUCGGGCGAGGAGAACCAACAUACCCACAGUUCUGAUUCACUUGCGCUCGGUCGCGAGUCUUAUCCGCUGCACUAGCAGCCGCUGCACUAGUAGCCUUCAUUCCUAGGGAUUCCAGAAUCCACAUUCACAUCUCUAGGGUUGGUCUUAUACCCUAUAGUGUCGACCUAUCUAGGUCCAAGCCAUUAUUCAACCUAAGUUUAAUACAUUAGGUUCGUUGCCACUAUGCUCAUAGCCUAGGUUCAUUAACACUAGGUUCAAUGUUCUUUACUAUCUAGAUUCAUUCGACUCUAGGUUCAAUGUCACUAUAUUCAUAACCUAGGUUUACUUGACUCUAGGUUCAAUGCCACUCGUGUCAUAACAUAGGUUUAUUUAAUUCCAAGUUCAUUGCCACUCAUGAUUCGCCUAUGUUCAUUUACACUAGGCUUCAAUGCUAUUCAUUAUACUUGUCAUCCUAGUUAUUCCCACUUAGGAAUCUUAAUUAACAUGCCACUCAAUGUUCUUAUUUUCCUAGUUGUCCAUACCUAGGAUUCUUAAUUAACAUGUCACUCAAUGUUCUUACUUUCCAAUGUCAAGUUCUUUACUCUACUUAGAGUUAUCGAUCCAAAUUCACAUUCAUAUGAAUCUAGCAUAUUCUCGCAUUAUGUCAAUAUACAUGUGUUCUUUAACAUUUCCUAUACAUGUCUAUGUUCUUAUCAAAAUAGUAAUCAAUAUACAUUUGGCAUAUAACUCAUAUAGCAUAUAUCUCAUGCAUCAUUUACAAUUUGGACUACCAUUACAUGCACUCAUUACUAGCACAUAUGUUAUACAUUCAUUUAACAUUUAGCUCAUGUAUUCACUUAGCAUAUAUCUUAUGCAUUUAAAUUAGCAUCUAUCUCAAUCAUGCAUUCUUUUAGCAUAUAUCAUGCAUACCCAAUUAGCAUAUGUCCUAUACCUUCACUUAGCAUAUACUCUAUGCAUUCUUUAUUAGAAUCUCAAUUAUGCAUUCUUUUACUAGCAUACAUCUCAUGCAUUUGCAAUUAGAAUCUAACUCAUGCAUUCUUUAGCAUACAUCAUUCACUUGGCAAUUUUACUACCACUUCAUGCAUCAAAAUUAAACACACUUCACUUUGGCAUGGAAGCGACCUAAUCGCUUUGGUAGAGCACAACCAACCGAAUAUUGCUCUCCGAUUGCUUGUAGUCACUUGCAAUCGGGCUCCCACGGCACACGUGAUCCGGUUCAGCUCCAACUCGCAAUUGAUCACCGAACACCCAACAAUCCGCAACGAAAGGUCAUCAAGGGUUCAUUUCUAACCUUCAAUUAGAGAUCCAAAAGAUUAAAUGAGAUCAAAACCCUUAUUUACUUCAAAACCCCAAAACCCUCAUUCUAACCAUAGCAUGAACAAAAUCUCCAAAUAAUCCAAACUAAAUGGAGAAACAUGCUAAGAGUACUCUAGAGAUCAUUAGAAUCUCACACACAAAGGAUUUAAUCAAAAAUCCCAAUUGCAACCCUAGGUUUCCAUUUCAUCAAGAGAGUCUCAUUAAUCAUGAUAAUCUCUUCAUUAAACUAGUUUAGAAUCAUAUAAGGUUUCCAUUUAUAUCAUUCUCAAAAGAUUUACACAAAACCCUAACCUUAAAUCUACAAAAUCUCACCUUGUUCUCCAAGCUUCCAAGCUAAAUCCACCAUUAGAGAGCUUGCUUCACCAUUAGAGAGCUCCAAGCUUCAUCUCCAACUUCAUCUUCUCCAACCUCUCCUCUUUAAUGGAGAAACUUGCUAGAGAGAGAAAGCUAGGGGAGAGAGAGAUGUGAGGUGUGAGCUAAAGAGCAAGAGAGAAAGAGAGAGGGCUUGCUUCCUCUCCUCUCUCUCUCUCGGGUUCGAACCAGGACAAAGGCUGAAAGCCUUUUGUUACAUACAUAGGCCCCCCAACAACAUUGAAAUUUCAGUUUAGCAGCUCAGAAUCUGAUACUUUUCGCCGGAGCCCUUCUGAAUGUCCGUUUUCUCUCAAAUGUGACAGUCAGUCUCGGUUUAAGCUAAUAAAAUGAAAAAUAUCUUAACUUUUCAGUUUCGACCAUCUUUGGUAACCGAAAGCUCUACUGAACUGAAAUCUCUAGCAGAUAGCAGUCGGAUUUUAUUUUCCACUUUCCGAGUGUCGGAAUGACAUGAAACUUUAAAUCUAGCCUCAUAAAAAUAAUCCCGACAUAUUCUCAAGUUUUCAUAAUUUUUUGACACUGUGAAUUUUCUACUAAAAUAUCAGCUCCGUUUCUCACAGAAAAUUCUAAAUUUUCUAUUUCCGUUCCGAUUUCAGCAUAAGUCGUUUCCGACUUGUAUUUUACUUCUCUAAGUCAAAUAAAAAUAGUAGCUCACACUACUUUUAUUUAUAUUUACUUUUAUACUAAAAAUCCGGUAUAUUACACAUCUUGCACACGCGAAGCGUCCAACAAAGUUGUAGUAAACGAGCAAAUCUAUAGCUACAAAAGUAUCAGAGCGAUGUAUAAAACUAAACCUACCAACUAUCACUAUGCAAAAAUCCGUGCAAUCAUCACUCCCUAAAUAUAGAUACAAGUAAGAGGCCCAGGCCUCACCUAGUCCUGAUGUAUAGUACAAUACCCAAAAGCUAGCUAGCUAAUAGUCCUCUUCAGCAGCUCACAAACAUUGGUAGGAGUCACUAUCUACAUGCUGAAAUUUCAAUAACUUAGAAGGAAUUUCGAAAAAUUUUUAACCCUUUAAAACCCUAAUUAAGAGAUUGGAAAUCACGGGAAACAAUAUGAUUUCUAGAGAUAAAAUUGUUUUAGGGUUCGAAAGUGGUAAUGAACCGAUUUGCUUGCGUUUAUGGCAAGAGAACUUGGGAUAAAAGCUUGAAGCUCAAGAGAAAGGCCUAAUUGCAAGUGACAACAGGCAAUUAGGAGUCUGCUAAAGAGCAAAGGUGUCACCUCUCAUGUCUAGAGAUUAAUAAUUAACUAGACUAAGUGAUAAAAUGGUUGCAUGGUAGUUAUUGGUCAUAAGAUGUAUGUAUGAGCAUAUGUUAUUUGUAUUAAUUGGUUUUCACUAUCUAUGCAUGAGUAGAUGUGCUUGCAUGUAAUACAUGUUAAUUAGGGUGCCAAUUUCAUGAGAUAAAUAAAUGCAUGCAUGGUUGGUUGUGAACCUAUGUUGUGGACUGUAUAAUAGGUUGAUUUUCUUUAGGGUCACUAGAGAACUCAACACGUGAACAUAGAAAACCUAGUGUCAUGGAACAUAGGUUCAGAAUAUAGUUGUAGGAAAACCACUUGGAUUGAAACGUCAUUGAACCUAGUAUCAUUGAAUAUAGGUUGGAAAUAUAGUUGUAGAAUGACCACAUGAACAUGAAUGACUCGAACCUAGAAAGGUUGACAAUAUAGGGCAAAGGUAAUGGACCCUUGUGACCUACAAAGAAUAAAUUUCGGAACUCCUAACGACCCGAUGGCUGGGGGUGGUCGACAAUUUUGUCACUCCUGGCCUUGCCUAGUCUUGAUGUAUAGUACAUACAAUACCCAAAAGCUAACUAGUUGACGGUCCUCUUCCGCAGCUCACAAACAUUGGUAGGAGUCGCUAUCUACAUGCUGAAAUUUCAAUAACUUAGAAGGAAUUUCGAAAAUUUCGGUAAACAUUAACUUACCGGAAGAGCUAAACCAACCACAGAACAAAGGACUCGAGGACUACCAACUCAAUCAAUUCCCUCUCAAGCUACUAUACUGCUGGAACCUCUGGCAGCAAGAUCUGGACGCCCAAACCUGAGCCCAGAUCCUCAACUAGUAGUCCAUAACAGCAAGAGAUCAACAUGAAUCCACAAUUCAAAAAUCUAGAAUUGGAGUUCAAACUUACUUAAACUUACCUUCUAAAGUGUUAAGGAUUUUAUAGGUUGGCGAAUUUCGUAAAGUUGUUUGGAGUCUUGAAGAGUUGAUCGCAGAAAAUUUCGAGAAAAGAUUCAAAUUAGAGGACAAAGACUUAUUCAGAAAGAUCGACACCUAAGGUAUGUAGAAAAAAUUAUUUGUGGUGAAGUUACGUGAUUAAAAUAAGUUCAGAAGGCUUAGAUUGUUUUUAAACAUAUUUACUGAACUUUCUUAUGUUCUGGGACCGGUCUCUGAAAUGGAGAGACCGGUUCCCCCAAGGUCCUCACUGCGUAAUUCCUGAUGCAACCGGUCCCCUGUGAUGAGAGACCGGUUCCCGAACCUUGGUGGUUCUGUCACGCAGCGAGGGACCGGUCUCAAGUUUGAGAGACCGGUUCCCGAACGUGGGGUUUUUGGUCACGCAGGGAGGGACCGGUUCCUCACUUGAGAGACCGGUCUCUCACAGACCGGUCUCCUCGACAGGACCGGUCUCUGAGGACGACACAGGUUUUUGAAAUCGACUUUUUGCAAUCCUAGUCUACUUCUAAGUCUUCUAAACAUAUAAAUAAGCUAUGUGGGUCAUCUAAAAUUAAGGCUUUGAAUAUUUUACCAAUUCUAAACCCUAGAAACUCGUUUUCUUCGCUUCGAUUUACAUGAUGAGUUUCUAGCAAUCAACAUCGGCUUGUUUCUUCGUUUUUACUCAAUAUUUCUUACAAGAAUCAAGUAGAUGAUUGAUUAAAGGUGAAUCCUCAUAGCUUAUGGUUUUCAAAAGAUAAAUCACCGCAAAUCUUCAAUUCUACAAGCUCCGGAAGGAGGUUCGGCGCGUGGAUCUCGCGUGAAGCCGAGGAUUCGGUGGACGCUUCGAGGAGUUGAGGCGUUGACGCUGCGAGGAGUUGCAGCAAGGUCGAUUGGUGGAUUCCUAUCGAUCGAGGACCGGCAAAGAUCACCGUCAACAAGAAAUCGGUAAAUUGAGUCGCGUGUUUUUUGUCGAAAUCACUUGUACUCAAGUUUUCUUAGUGGAUUUUCUUUGCGUGAUCGGUCCCGUGGGUUUUUCACUCCGAAUUGGAGUUUUCCCACGUUAAAUUCUCGGUGUGCUAUUUUAAUUUCCGCUAUUGUGUUUGUUUGCAUCGAGAUUUUUCGAGUUUGCCGGAUUUACACCUAUUCACCCCCCUCUAGGUGUUACUUACCUUUUAGAUCCUCGGGAUCCAUAACUUACAUAAAGUAGGAUUAGACCCUAAAUUAGGGUACACUACUUGUCCAUAGCUCAAAACAGCACUACGAGCCCCCUUAGCCGCAAUUCGGAUCUAAAAAGGGUGGCCCAAAUUUGCAUCCAGAAUUCAGCACUACAGUUCAAAAUCAAUUAAGCUAAACUUUGGGAAUUCUAACUUGUAAAUUCAGUGGAAAAAAGGGGGGUCUAAAACUUGCAGAAAUGCGGAAAGAACCCAUCCAAAUCUAGCAAUCAACUCUCUAACAAAAUCUAGAUUCAAAAUUCCACCAAAAUCAAGUGAAGUCCCUAAAAUCUGUAUUACUACACAGGAACUUCAAAAUUUUGAAUAUUUCUCACCUUCAAAUAUGAAAAUUUUGGUGAGGAAUGCACCAAAACCAGUGGAGAAGGAUGGGGAACCAUUUCCAAGUCUGAAAUUUCCAUUACAACAAAAAUUGAACCAUGAAAAUCCAAGAAAUCCAACUAAAUUCCAAAAUUAGCUCAAAACCUCCAAUUCGACUCAAUUUUCGAAAAUUGACAUCACUAACCUAGAAAAGAUGAAGAAGGUAGUUAACACACUCUCUUUCAAGUCUACAACCCACGAAUUGCACCUCCACAGCAUCAGGUUACAACAAAAGUCCACAAAAUCCAGGUUUGCUGCUGCUACAAGCUGAAUUCUUACUAAUGCAACAAUGCUCUAGGGAGAAAUAGUGAAUCUGAGUUAAAUUUUGGCUGGGGAAAGGAGUUCCCUGAGAAGGAGAGGAGAAAAGCUCAAUGGGGACGUCCACCCACUUUUAUAAAGGUGUUGAAAGGGUAAAAUGAACCCUAGAAAAAAUAGGAACUAAACUUGUCACUACAAAAAAUCUAGAAUUCGGUUGCCUUAAACCCAGAAUUGGGCGCCCUAAAUAGUUCGCCACACCGAAAUGAAAGUCUGGAGAGUUAACCUGGUCCAGCAGCCCAUAUCUACCACCUGCCACAUGUCCACCUGCCACAUGUCAAAAUGAUCGAUAUUCACGAGAGAUGCUGCCAAACCCAAUCUGGGCUCACUUCUAGCCCCCUAAACUGGGCCCGAAAUGACUUUAGUAACAAAUACCAAAUAGCACUCCAAAUCUAAGCACCCUAAUUCAACUUCCGGGCCCCCUAAACUACCAAAACUAUAGUUUUGGCCUAUUUGAGUGUGCCAAAUCUGUUUUCGCAUCCAUUUCGCGCCAAAACGACUCCGACUCAUCCCAAUACUCUACAAAUGUGUCAAUCAAUCACUAAUAUUGUAUUCACACCGAUAGCUAAACCCCAAGGACACUACAACUAGGCGCCCAGAAAAUAAUUCAAACGCACCCAAAAAGGGAUUCCAAAUGAUCAGGUGUAACAAAAGUCGUCCGAAAUAGCUUGAACAGGAGUUUCUACCUACUACAGUUUUGAGAUAUCUAUUAAUAUCCUUAUUACCAUUGUUAUCUUCUUUGCAUAUCCAUGUAACUGUAUUUGAGAUGAUUUGAUAUUAUUAGCACGAUGAUUAUAAUGGAUUGGGAUUCUUUAUCCUUAUUGUAUAUUAAUCAUAUUGAGAUCCUAUUAUACAUGCAAAACUGUAAAACUGCUAAAAGUAUUACUGACAAAUAGCGAGACUUAUGACAUAUGGCUAUGAUUGAGGAUAUUUGGGGAUUGCCAGUUAUGAUCUGUUUGAUCGCUACACAUGACCAUAGCCUAUAUUGGGCCAGUUGAGCUCGGUUGUGAGCCGUGUGACACUAUGAUACUCGGUAGGGUCGCACCCCACGAGUGCCUCUCCGGAGCUGCAGCAGUUGACUAGAUCUGUUAGGUGUAUGCAUGCGGGUCGGACCACCAAGUCAAGGUUGGUUACUGGACAUGCGACAGCGUAAGCUUGGUCGAACUAAUAAGCCGGUCGAAGCAAUUGAGUCUUAUGAGUUUACUUAUCAGAUAUUCGCAUAAUGACUCUUGUUACUACACUGAUUUUUAUAGUGACACUUUUCCUAUUCAUUUACUUUCACCACUACUAUAGAGGCAUGAUAGUACAGUAUUCAUUAGUUCAUUUCAUAUUAUACUCUAUUACUCGUUUGUUAUUUACUACACUUCUAAUAGACCUAGUAGUGUAGCUCAUCGUCUCAUCAACUGUACCCACUAGGAACUAUUGAUUACAAUUCUCACACCCCCUUUUGUUUUCUUUUUUAGAGAAUUCAGCACCAAGUACAGCUGCAGGUCAAGAUAAGGAGAUACCGAACUAGAUAGCACCUCCUACCCUAAUGUGCGACAACUAGAAGAGGACCCUACUGAUAAUCUUUUGUAUACAAGCUUGUAUAUCAUGUAUUAUCAGGGUUUGUGAGAGAUGUAUUAAUAUUUCUAUGUUGGUUGUUGGAGACGAUGUAUACAUAUAUGCUUCGUGUGAUAUUGUGAGAUAGUGGAUAUGUUUAUAUAUAUGCUACUAUACCUUUGUUUAUUUUAUAUACUCUAAUACAUGCAUAGUCGUGAACUCUAGGUAUGUUGAGAGGUUUGUUGUACACUACGGAUGCACGGGGUGUUCCUCGUGCAUCCAACGAGUCUGUUUACGUGCUCAGAGGCUUCCUUUGCAAUCACGAGGUGUUACAGAUUAAGUUGGUAUCGGAGCAUAGGAAUAGGUCAAACGGACCUAGGAGACCCUAGGAUUUUGGCUAACCUUAGGGAUAUAGGACAUGAGUAAAGCGACUUGUAAGUGAAAGUUUGCGACUGGGUCAUCUGAACUCUUUAAAAGGAAUUGAAGAGUGACUGACACGUCUUUCAUAUGCUGGAUAAUUAUGUUGGCUGCAGACAACAUAAUGUCAUAGAAGAAAGAGAUGCGCUCUAGACUUUCACCUAAUUAAAUCGAGUGUUUGGUUCUUUUUACGUGUAAUUAAUGUAUAUAUGUGUUGUUUCAGCUGCUUAGAAUGCCACCACAUAUGCAACCACAGACGAGGCCCACCCCAGCAUAGCCUGAGGAGUCAGCUCGGUUUGAGCCUAGUGAGGUGCUGGGUCAGCAUGAGCCCAGUGAGGCGUGAGAGCUGUAGGAGCAGGUGCCGAUGUGAGACAGGCACUGGCGAGGCAGGCUGAGACCUCCCAGCGACAGGAGGAAUACAUGGAAAAGAUGUGUGAAAUGUUGGAGCAGCAGAUGAGUGCCCCACAAUGAGCUCCCGAGAAGCACGCACCUUUGCUACUUGCACCAGCGAGUGCCCCACUAGCAGCGACUCCCUGACUGAUGCCACUACAGCUAAACCGACGACCUUGGGGGAUACUCCAGUUGCCUCUCAGGGCAUGUCGAAGACUAAGCAGAAGAGGAUCCCGACGAGACUUGUCAAUUUCAGAAGAUUUGAUCUGCCCUUAUUUAGAGAUGACAACAUCGAAGCCUAAGCAAUGGAAGCAUGAGUAGGAGAGAUGGAAAAGCUUUUUGAGGAUUUAUUCAUUCCUGAGGAGGACCGGGUGCAUCUAGCAGUCCAUUGUUUGGAAGGAAAUGCCCAAGUACAGUAGAGGAGAGCACGGAUUGGCAGGCCGUUGGGCGCACCCUCUUUUGACACAGGAAAAGUUCCAAGGAAUGCUAUAUGGAAUGUAUUUUUUGGACAAUGUAAAGGGAAAAAAACUAAAAGAUGAUCUCAAGAAGUGUCGACAAGGGGAUAGUGUACAAGAGUAUUUGAGGGAAUUUAGCUAACUUUUUAAUUGCAUGUCAUUCAUUGCCCCAAAUGAUCGACACCGAGCUGACUUUUUUGAGGGAGGUUUGAGGCCCGAGAUUUAUCACUUGGUGUAGUUGCAGCACCUUCAGACAUUAGAUGAAGUAGUAGAGAUGGCCUUACGAGCCGAACGGGGUGCAGCUGUGAUGAAGGAAGAAAUUAAGGCAUUAGAAAAAGGAAAGGAGAAGAAGCGCCCAACAGAGAGUAAACGGGUAAACUGCAUUGUUACCCCCUAAACUUUUGGCAAAGUUUCACUUUACCCCUCGAACUUCUAAAAUGGACAUCUAACCCUCUAAACUUUAAUAUUUCAUUCAUGUCAUCCCUUUCGUCAGUUGUCCGUCAAGCUCCGUUAACCGAAAACUGACGGAAGGAGUAAAACGAAUGAAAUAUUAGAGUUUAGGGUGUUCAAUGUCUAUUUUAGGAGUUUGGGGGGUUAAGUGAAACUCGCCAAAAGUUCAGGAGGUAGUAGUGCAAUUUUCCCCCUAGGACUCUUGACUAUAAAUUAUUUUAUUAUAAUAUGUUACUUAUGGAUUGACUACUAACUCUCAAGUUAGUGAUCAUGCUUGAUUUUAAAUUUAUAUAUAUUUUUUAUCCUCAAAUAAAUCAUACCAUAGUUUAUCCUAUAUUUUAUUGUAAUAAAAUAAAAGCGAAAGAAAUGAAUUAGAGUGGCUUAAAGAUAAGAACAAAGUGAUACUAACUACCUACGAUGCUCAAACACUCUACUGUCCUGGUGUACUUGCUAAUAUGGUUGAUUUACAAUAGGUGUCCACACUAAGAUAUAGAGAUUUUAAUUCUUAGUUAAUUUUCAGUUAAUUCUUUCGCUUUUAUUUUAUUACAAUAAAAUGUAGAAUAAAUUAUUGUAUGAUUUAUUUUAGGAUAAAAAAUAUAUAUAAAUUCAAAAUCAAGUAUGAUCACUAAUUUGAGGGUUAGUAGUCAAUCCAUAAAUAACAUAUUAUAAUAAAAUAAUUUACAGUCAAGAGUGUUAGAGGUAAAUUGCACUGCUACCACAUGAACUUUUGGCGAGUUAAUUAACACCCCAAACUCCUAAAAUAGACAUUUAACAUCUUAAACUCUAAUAUUUCAUUCGUUUUACCCCUUCCGUCAGUUUCUAGUUAACGGAGCUUGACGGAAACUGACGGAAGGGGUAACAUGAAUGAAAUAUUAGAGUUUAUGGAGUUAGAUGUCCAUUUUAGGAGUUCGAGGGGUAAAGUGAAACUUCGCCAAAAGUUCAGGAGGUAACAAUGCAAUUUACCCAAGAGUAAACUAUAUGGUAAAAUGGAUUUGAUCUCCACUUUGUCUAAAGUUUUCAUAAUUUAAAUACCUGUAUUUUAGUAAAGUGUAUAUUAAACUACUGAUUCAUGUGCAUAUAAUGAAAUUUGAAAGGUCUUGUUGGCUUAGGAGCACUUGACCUAGAAAAUAAUUUUUCAACCCAUUUGUCAUGCUAAACUAAGAGCAUAUGUUUUAUGAAAAUAGAGUAUUAUAUAAACCUUGAAACAUAGAUGACAUCAUAGUGACGUUAAACCUAGGAUGGAGCCUAGUGUCACGGACUUAGCGUUUUUGUUCGCAAAGCCCGUGCGGCGCCCACCUUUCCUGCUCGAAGAUGGACAAGCCUUUGUCCCUAUUGCUAGCCCGGACCUUCGCGUCCUACGACACCCUUUGAGUUCCCAGUACUUUGAGUACCCUCAAUACCCACUGAGAACUCGAAAACCGUAAAUACUCCCGAGUAAUACAUCCGAGUAAUAUAUACAUUAUUACCUACUCAAUACACCAUCACCCACUCAACUUUUCCGUGGAAACCCGGAUAUUUAUCACCCCAACCGAUUCUGGUACUGUGUGUUCUCUCUCACACAAACAUACGACAAACAUCCAACAUUAAGAGUAAAGAUUCAUCACAUCAUGAAUCAGAAAACUCUCUUGGAGACGGAGAAAGAGAAACAGUAAAGGGAAACGUAUGAAUCAGUNNNNNNNNNNNNNNNNNNNNNNNNNNNNNNNNNNNNNNNNNNNNNNNNNNNNNNNNNNNNNNNNNNNNNNNNNNNNNNNNNNNNNNNNNNNNNNNNNNNNNNNNNNNNNNNNNNNNNNNNNNNNNNNNNNNNNNNNNNNNNNNNNNNNNNNNNNNNNNNNNNNNNNNNNNNNNNNNNNNNNNNNNNNNNNNNNNNNNNNNNNNNNNNNNNNNNNNNNNNNNNNNNNNNNNNNNNNNNNNNNNNNNNNNNNNNNNNNNNNNNNNNNNNNNNNNNNNNNNNNNNNNNNNNNNNNNNNNNNNNNNNNNNNNNNNNNNNNNNNNNNNNNNNNNNNNNNNNNNNNNNNNNNNNNNNNNNNNNNNNNNNNNNNNNNNNNNNNNNNNNNNNNNNNNNNNNNNNNNNNNNNNNNNNNNNNNNNNNNNNNNNNNNNNNNNNNNNNNNNNNNNNNNNNNNNNNNNNNNNNNNNNNNNNNNNNNNNNNNNNNNNNNNNNNNNNNNNNNNNNNNNNNNNNNNNNNNNNNNNNNNNNNNNNNNNNNNNNNNNNNNNNNNNNNNNNNNNNNNNNNNNNNNNNNNNNNNNNNNNNNNNNNNNNNNNNNNNNNNNNNNNNNNNNNNNNNNNNNNNNNNNNNNNNNNNNNNNNNNNNNNNNNNNNNNNNNNNNNNNNNNNNNNNNNNNNNNNNNNNNNNNNNNNNNNNNNNNNNNNNNNNNNNNNNNNNNNNNNNNNNNNNNNNNNNNNNNNNNNNNNNNNNNNNNNNNNNNNNNNNNNNNNNNNNNNNNNNNNNNNNNNNNNNNNNNNNNNNNNNNNNNNNNNNNNNNNNNNNNNNNNNNNNNNNNNNNNNNNNNNNNNNNNNNNNNNNNNNNNNNNNNNNNNNNNNNNNNNNNNNNNNNNNNNNNNNNNNNNNNNNNNNNNNNNNNNNNNNNNNNNNNNNNNNNNNNNNNNNNNNNNNNNNNNNNNNNNNNNNNNNNNNNNNNNNNNNNNNNNNNNNNNNNNNNNNNNNNNNNNNNNNNNNNNNNNNNNNNNNNNNNNNNNNNNNNNNNNNNNNNNNNNNNNNNNNNNNNNNNNNNNNNNNNNNNNNNNNNNNNNNNNNNNNNNNNNNNNNNNNNNNNNNNNNNNNNNNNNNNNNNNNNNNNNNNNNNNNNNNNNNNNNNNNNNNNNNNNNNNNNNNNNNNNNNNNNNNNNNNNNNNNNNNNNNNNNNNNNNNNNNNNNNNNNNNNNNNNNNNNNNNNNNNNNNNNNNNNNNNNNNNNNNNNNNNNNNNNNNNNNNNNNNNNNNNNNNNNNNNNNNNNNNNNNNNNNNNNNNNNNNNNNNNNNNNNNNNNNNNNNNNNNNNNNNNNNNNNNNNNNNNNNNNNNNNNNNNNNNNNNNNNNNNNNNNNNNNNNNNNNNNNNNNNNNNNNNNNNNNNNNNNNNNNNNNNNNNNNNNNNNNNNNNNNNNNNNNNNNNNNNNNNNNNNNNNNNNNNNNNNNNNNNNNNNNNNNNNNNNNNNNNNNNNNNNNNNNNNNNNNNNNNNNNNNNNNNNNNNNNNNNNNNNNNNNNNNNNNNNNNNNNNNNNNNNNNNNNNNNNNNNNNNNNNNNNNNNNNNNNNNNNNNNNNNNNNNNNNNNNNNNNNNNNNNNNNNNNNNNNNNNNNNNNNNNNNNNNNNNNNNNNNNNNNNNNNNNNNNNNNNNNNNNNNNNNNNNNNNNNNNNNNNNNNNNNNNNNNNNNNNNNNNNNNNNNNNNNNNNNNNNNNNNNNNNNNNNNNNNNNNNNNNNNNNNNNNNNNNNNNNNNNNNNNNNNNNNNNNNNNNNNNNNNNNNNNNNNNNNNNNNNNNNNNNNNNNNNNNNNNNNNNNNNNNNNNNNNNNNNNNNNNNNNNNNNNNNNNNNNNNNNNNNNNNNNNNNNNNNNNNNNNNNNNNNNNNNNNNNNNNNNNNNNNNNNNNNNNNNNNNNNNNNNNNNNNNNNNNNNNNNNNNNNNNNNNNNNNNNNNNNNNNNNNNNNNNNNNNNNNNNNNNNNNNNNNNNNNNNNNNNNNNNNNNNNNNNNNNNNNNNNNNNNNNNNNNNNNNNNNNNNNNNNNNNNNNNNNNNNNNNNNNNNNNNNNNNNNNNNNNNNNNNNNNNNNNNNNNNNNNNNNNNNNNNNNNNNNNNNNNNNNNNNNNNNNNNNNNNNNNNNNNNNNNNNNNNNNNNNNNNNNNNNNNNNNNNNNNNNNNNNNNNNNNNNNNNNNNNNNNNNNNNNNNNNNNNNNNNNNNNNNNNNNNNNNNNNNNNNNNNNNNNNNNNNNNNNNNNNNNNNNNNNNNNNNNNNNNNNNNNNNNNNNNNNNNNNNNNNNNNNNNNNNNNNNNNNNNNNNNNNNNNNNNNNNNNNNNNNNNNNNNNNNNNNNNNNNNNNNNNNNNNNNNNNNNNNNNNNNNNNNNNNNNNNNNNNNNNNNNNNNNNNNNNNNNNNNNNNNNNNNNNNNNNNNNNNNNNNNNNNNNNNNNNNNNNNNNNNNNNNNNNNNNNNNNNNNNNNNNNNNNNNNNNNNNNNNNNNNNNNNNNNNNNNNNNNNNNNNNNNNNNNNNNNNNNNNNNNNNNNNNNNNNNNNNNNNNNNNNNNNNNNNNNNNNNNNNNNNNNNNNNNNNNNNNNNNNNNNNNNNNNNNNNNNNNNNNNNNNNNNNNNNNNNNNNNNNNNNNNNNNNNNNNNNNNNNNNNNNNNNNNNNNNNNNNNNNNNNNNNNNNNNNNNNNNNNNNNNNNNNNNNNNNNNNNNNNNNNNNNNNNNNNNNNNNNNNNNNNNNNNNNNNNNNNNNNNNNNNNNNNNNNNNNNNNNNNNNNNNNNNNNNNNNNNNNNNNNNNNNNNNNNNNNNNNNNNNNNNNNNNNNNNNNNNNNNNNNNNNNNNNNNNNNNNNNNNNNNNNNNNNNNNNNNNNNNNNNNNNNNNNNNNNNNNNNNNNNNNNNNNNNNNNNNNNNNNNNNNNNNNNNNNNNNNNNNNNNNNNNNNNNNNNNNNNNNNNNNNNNNNNNNNNNNNNNNNNNNNNNNNNNNNNNNNNNNNNNNNNNNNNNNNNNNNNNNNNNNNNNNNNNNNNNNNNNNNNNNNNNNNNNNNNNNNNNNNNNNNNNNNNNNNNNNNNNNNNNNNNNNNNNNNNNNNNNNNNNNNNNNNNNNNNNNNNNNNNNNNNNNNNACUAAGUACUACACUACUUAGAAAUGAGAAUUACAACCUACAAACAGCAUACAAACACACUCUCUCUUGUGUGUCAUGGUCUUAGCCAACCCCACUAUUUAUAGGCCCAAAGGUGCCUUUUCAACUCACCCACUACCACAUAACUCACCCAUUAUUACAUAUAUAAUGAGCCUACAUAAUGAGCCCUCAUAAAUGCCAAAAGCUCAAGAGUCACCCAUAACUCCCAUGAGUUUCAUGACCCUUGAGUUUCCCACAGCGGGUUGGGUUUGGGUCUACUUGCCAACCCGAUUCGACCCGUUUUCAACCCGAACUCGCUAAGCAGAUUUGGGCCAGAGACCGGGCUGCAUAGGAAUUUUUCGAAGUCCCUGACACUAGGGUGUGGAACAUAAAGACACAUGGACAUCUAGACAAACUUGAACUAGAUAACAAGGGAAUGUGUCAGUGAACUUAAUGGUUAGCCCUAGAAGUCAUGAGAAGUUAAGGUAUAACUAUGAUACAAGUCGUGACCAUUUGGAAGUGUCGAAACGAGAGAUGUCGAUUCCCCUCAACUCCCUACUGCAUAUAGCUCCAUGUUUAUUCCCCUCAACCCCCUACUUCACAUCGAGAGAUGCCGAUAACCCUCGAAUCCCUACCGUACUUGGAGAUGCCGAUUUCCUUCGACUUCAUGUGCCUACCAUUUUAAGAAAUACCGAUAGCCCUCGACACUCCAUAAGGUGUUUAGCAAGAAGUGGAAUCAAACCAAAAGAUUGGUUAGUGAUAAGAAAAGAUAGGGACAAUCAAGUAGGCCAAUGAUAGAAUAAAUUAUUGUUGCAUAUUGUAUAUAUUUGAGGCAUAGCAAUUGUAUUUUUCUUUUCUGCAUCACUAUUGUAGUAAUAGUAGAUUCUUUUUUUAUUAUUUUACUAAUACCUUUUUUAGACAGAGUGAGUGUAGAACGUCACUUUCAGAACUAUGUAUUACGAGGUGAGGCCCAGAAUCACAGCAAAGGCAUCGCAAGUUAGAUUAUUCGUGAGUUGGUUUAGGGAGUAUUAUCUUUUUAUAUAAACAUGAAUCAUGUAAUAUUUUGGAAAACCACAGUUGUAAAAUCAAGAGACUUAUAGCAAUAGUUUUAAUUUAGAAGUUUAAUUACUCAUAUCAUAUUAUGUAGAUAUAGAUUGGCAUAUGUUUUCGCUCUGUACGGGUAGGAGAAACCUAACCUUUUCGGCCGAUCUGUUGUACGUGACCGAGCGAGUUCAUUUGGUAGGACUUGGGGGUAACAAAACUCUAAAUGCUAAAGCAAAACGAUAAACAUAAUAAUAAUAUUCGAUUAAAGGAAGCUCUCUUACAUGAUAUGAUUUAAAGAGUUAAUGUACUCAUACCAUACAUACACUGUACAGAUUGGCAUCUGUCCUUGCUUUCUGCGGAUAGAAGAAACAUUAUCCGUUCGGCGGGUUUGUUGUUUGUGCCCGAGCGAGUUCAUUUAGUGGAACUUGGGAGCUACAAAACCCUAAAUACUAAACGAACAAGGUAAACGUAAUAAUAAUAUUCGAUUAAAAGAAGCUGUCUCUUUCAUAGUAUGAUUUAAAGAGUUAUCGCACCGUCAUCGUAUUUACUCCGGCCAACAAAAAAAAUGAAGUUUUCCCAUCCUCCUCAGGUAGAUAAUGUAAAAUGAGCAUAGAUUCACACGGUAAAAAGGCUACUGCCUUUUUUCAUUAUACAGUUUUCUGAGAAACAUCCACUCUACGACAUAGUUGAAUCUGACGAGUAGACAACCUGUAAAUUUUUACUUCUUUAAAGCCUUAAUCUAUGAUUGCAUUCAACUCAUUAUUUAUCUUAUCAUUCAUGAACAUAGAUUGAGGGAGAAAGCGAAGAUUACAUGCAACUUCAUACAUUUAGCAUCCCUGAGCAAAAAUUGCUCAGGCUGCAUUAGCAAAUAUUUUUCCUAAUAAUGGAAAAGUUCACUGAUUUAUAAAAGGAUCCUCCAAAUAGCACAUGAAUUUAGGAAUAAUAAAUUUACAGCAUGUCCUGCAGAAAGUCUUAAAAGUGAUCCUUUCAUGAGGUUUCAACUUUCUCCAAUAAAGUUAUACCACAUGCUUCCAAGAUCUCCAAAGCUGUCAUGUAUUUGAAAAUCAAUUAUAUUCAGUCUUACCAUAGCAUUAAGAAAGGCCCCUAAGAUUUUCUUUGAGCAAUACUAUCGAUACACCCCAAAGUGGAUUGUACAUCUUACACCCGCUCCUUCAUAAGGUUAUUAAUACUCUAUCUGUCACACCAAUUUUUUUUUAUUUUUAAAAACUAAUUGAAUUUUUAUCAACCCUCGGAUGCGGGGUGUAAGAUCUACACCCCCUUUUUGGGUGUACAAGAAGCAUUUUCCAUUUUCUUUCUCCUUUCCGUUAUGUAUUUUAUAUAUAUAUAUAUAUAUGUAAACCCUUCCAUUUUGUGCUCACCUGGUAUGUAGACUUCAGAUUGUAGAGGUCUAACGACACCUCUCUGUUGGAUUCUGUUCUGAAGCAAGAGCUGUAAAAAAUAUAUAAAUGUUCAAACAGUCAUUUCACUUUGUAUUUGGUAUUAAAAAUUGGGUAACAACCUAUUGCUAUUCUUCCAAUUAUAUAACACUAGGAAUUACCUGAGCUCCUACGGCUGCUGGAAUUCCAACAGUAAGCGCCAUUGCGGUGGUUGUUUUACCAUUUUUUGUCCUCCCAAACUCUAGUAGGGUUGCUCGGUGGUUUUCUCUAGGUCCAUCAUCAGGAAAUUCCACCUCCACUUCAUGAUGCAAGAGCACCAUAUCCUGCAUAACAAGUGGGGUUAAAGUGUGGGUCAAUUCAAAAAAUAUAAUGUGAAUGCUCUACAGACAGAAGAAUAUAACGUGAAUGCUCUACAGACCUUUUUUUUUAGGACACACUAUUAGACUUAGUUAAUAAGGAACUAUUUGAUUCAUGAGAUACAAACAAACAAAACAAAUAACAAUAAGAAUGAGAAGAAAAUGAUACAAACAUAACCAAUAACAAGAAGGAUGAGAAGAAAACGAUACAAAGUUGAACGUUAUAAAAUUCCGAUCUCUGUGAUCUUAAGAAAGAAGAUACUUACAUUUAUUGAUCGCAUAAUAUUUUAACAGAACAGUGCAGUUUAAACAACAGAACUAGAACUUUGAACUUCUAAAAUUCCUAGUUUAAAUUGAAGAACAUAAUUCAUUGAUAAAAGAAAACUUGAGACAACAACAAUCUGUGAUGCUAUAUGGUUGGAUUAUUACAAGUUCAACUUGAGACAAAAAUGUGCCAUCAUCAAAAGAAAGUUAUUUUUUCUUGUAGUUCAAGUCACAUAAUAAUCUGUUCUCACUAUCUGCAACAAUCAUCAGUCCUAGUGUGCACAUUAGCAGAUAAGUCGCAAUACUGUGAAUGAUUAAAAUAGGAAGAUAAGAAGCCUGUUAUCUCUGAUGGACAAAACUGACAAUAGCUUGUACCCAAAAAGAGCAGGAAAUUACCUGCUCUUUACUACCAUAGGAUAACCUCUCUUCCAUUUGUAGACACAUGACAUCAAAUGCACUUGAGCAUGCUGCUGGAACUUCCACGUCCUCAUUAAGUCCCAAGAACCUGCUCACGUAAGAUGGCAAGCAAAUUGCAAACUCAUAUUCUAGUUCAAAAUAGUAAAAACCAGCACUAAUCUAUAACAGACAAAAAUUAAUCGCCUUUACUGUUCUAAUCUGUCUUUUGAGAAGGAUCAAACUGUGAGCACAGGCCAUGAUUACGGGAUCCAUAUAGAGGAAGCUUUGGAAUUGAUAUCUUUAGGAAAUCCUUUUCGAAGGAAAAGAUAUUGAUGUAACUAUGCGUAUUUUAUCUGUUCUCAGGAGCGAACUACCGGAUAUGAUGAUUAAACAGAUUUAUGAAAUACACUACGACAAAUAGAAGAGGUUAUGUAUAAAGGUGUAAGGUACCGGACUUCUAAAAUUAUGAAGCUACGGUGUCCAUUUGGUUGGAGAGCCAUUUGAAUGGUUCCGGUAAGGUUGCGGUGUAAUGUAAUAUACCGAAUUUAAAUAUAAAAAAAAAUAGAAAUAAAUAAAAAAUAGUAUGAGAUACUAUUUUUAUUGAAUUUAGAGAAGUGAAAUAUAAAUUGGGAAUGACCUGUGNGCUGUCCGUUCGGCGUCUGUUCGACGCGCCCGGAUCGUACCAAAUUGGUAGCGGUCCCGGGGUGUGACAAAAGGACAAGCCCUUAAUUAGUAGUUCAAAGAGGCAGCAAUCACUAACUUGAUGGUUUUGACUGUCCUCACGGCAGUUGCUUUUUCUUUGCAAUGCCCAAGCAUAAUUAACCUUUCAACUAGUUCUUCAUCACUCCCAACAGAUCCUUUGAAGCUACCAGUGGUUAUUGGUGUAGAACUACCGACUUUCAGAAUCUCAUUUAGGAAUUCCUUAAAUGUUGGUCUCCUACUUCCUUUAAUCAGCGGAUGAAGCUCUGUCUCAAAGAAACCAACUCUGGCCAUAGUUGCCAUUAUUUCACUAAAACCUGCAGAGAAAGCGAGUACAACUUAGUAAGUGAAUACUUUAGUCAUGUAAGGAUAAAUAUAUAAUAUUCUGUAGCAUGCCUUCAUAGCGAAGGGUAGCCCUAAAGAUUGUUGAUGCCUCUGCAGAGAUCCCAUACAAAUCCCCAUAAGUCAAUGAAUUCCGAUUCGGGAGGCAUUCUAAAGCAAAAGCUGGGAGCUCUGGCAAGCGAAAUCUUUUUGAUGCAUCAUAUAGUUCAUUGCCUGCAAAAAAAUAGUGGAACCUUUAAUCAAAUGUUUGACACAAAUGAGCGGACUUUUUUAUAAACUAACCCUCUAGAAUUUUAAAAUUUGUGAAAUAACUCUCCCAAAAUUAUAUUUGUAAAACUAACCCUCCUUUCGCCACGUAAGCAGAGGCAAAAUUUUUGUUAUGAAGGCGGUGAAUCGUUCACCGCCUUCAGUGUCUUUACUAAUUAUAUUAGUAAAGACGGUAAAUGGUUCACCGUCUUACCGUCUUUUGCUUAUUUAAUAUUUUUUCCUAUGUCUCAUAUAUAAUCUUAACAACCACAUAAAACUUAUAACAAAUCACAUAUAAUUUUAACAACCUAAAAAUCGUAAUAAUCUAUCCAUACAAUCCUAACAAUCAAAUAAAAAUUCUAAUAAUCCACAUAUAAUCCUAAAAAUCUCACUUUUUUCUAUCUUCCAUCUAACAACCUCACAUUUUCCUGUACGUGGAUUAUAUGAAAAAUAGGAAAAAGUGAGGUUGUUAGAUGAAAAACAGAAAAAAGUGAGGUUGUUAGAAUUAUGUGGAUUAUAUGGGAAAUAGAAAAAAGUGAGGUUGUUAGAUGGAUAGAAAAAAGUGAGGUUUUAGUAUGCGUAUUGAAAUUUUUAUUUGAUUGUUAGAAUUAUAUGGAUAAAUUAUUAGGAUUUUCAGGUUGUUAAGAUUAUAUGUGAUUUCAUGAUUUGUUGUAAUUUUUAUGUUAGAAUUGUAUGGAUAGAUUAUUAGGAUUUUCAAGUUGUUAAGAUUAUAUAUGAUUUGUUAUAAUUUUUAUGUGGUUGUUAAGAUUAUAUAUAUGAUAUAGAAAAAAUAUUAAAUAAACAAAAGACGGUGAACUAUUCACCGUCUUUGCUAAUUAUAUUAAUAAAGAGGGCGGUGAACGAUUCACCGCCUUUAUAAAAAAAAAUUAGUACUGAAGGCGGUGAAUCGUUCACCGCCUUUAUAAAAAAAAUCCCCCUGCACCUACGUGGCAAAAGAAGGGUUAGUUUUACAAAUAUAAUUUUGGAAGGGUCAUUUUGCAAAUUUUAAAAUUCUAGAGGGUUAGUUUAUAAAAAAGUCCGAAAUGAUUGAAUGGUUGAAAGUUCUCUAUUUGAAUAUGUGUGCAUAUUAGAGUAUUCACUGCAUAUGUAGUGGUGAGUAAAUUCCUACAGCAGAAAACACUACCAAAAAAAAUCAAAAAAUAUGUAUUACAUAUUUUAAAACCUAGACAUUGUCUACAGAAAAUAGCAUGUAAAAUAAUUACAGUAACUGCCAACAAACUAGCAACUAUCAUCCAUUUAAUUUGUUCAGCAAGAAGAAAAUGAUAGACUAAAACAACUAAAUUCUCUAGAAAUAUAUGGAAACAUAAAAGGACUAUAAAUUAUCUCUCUAAUGUACCAGAAAUAUGAGCAUAUUAUAGAGUGGUUGUGUUGUAAGCACAAUGCGGCAUGCUAAAUAUAUUAGGAGCAAAAGGAUACCUUUUUUCAUAAUAAGUAAAGAUGCCACAAGUAAAAAAGCUCACCAUCAACACGUACAAUCUCCCCUUGGAACUUGUAAAUUGCAGAAUUUCUCCCCGCCUUGAUAGCACCAGCGGGGUUCCAACUAACCGAAAAAUAAAUAAAUAAUAAAAAUAUUUUUAUAUCAAAUUCAAUUUCAAAAGAGUGAAAGAGUAACUGGAAAAUACUGUAGUACUUUGUCUGCCUUCAAAGAGAACUUAGUAGUGGAAAAGCAGGAAAAUGAUCUAAGGCUUUUACCUGAAUUUAUAAGCCAGUGGGUUGUUUGCAGCAGCAGGAGAUGGCAGUCCGCCGCAAUAAGAAGUAAAGGCUUUUACUUUUCCCCUUCUGCUGUGCGCUUGGUCAAUCAUUUUCAUUGCCAUCAUGUGGUCUGUACAUGAAAAAUAAAUAAAAUCUGGUAAAAAAUAUUAUCCCCUAGCAAUAUUCUUUGGUCUAUCAAGAAGUCAUUCUUUAAACGAUCUGCACUACACUUCUCCAAGUAUUUCUGUAAAGUGUUUCUUGUGCAGCCUCAAGUGCUCAGCCACAAUGGUGUACAGAACAUAAUAACAAAACUUCUCUGAGGUUCGUUGUGCAAAAUGUGAGAAAAAUAUAGAAAUAUUAGUAGAAAAUGUUUUUAUCAAUAUUUAAAUAUCUGCGCCUAUGUAUGAGUGCUACUUGAGAGGAUGAUAUAUAAUCAAAGAAACACAACAGGUACAAGCAAGAGCUACCUAUGCCAGGAUCAAGGCCCAUUUCACAGAGUAUCGUCACGCCUGCACUUUUUGCAACUUCAUCCAACUUGGACAUGGAAUCGUCAACAUAGCUUGCAGUGACCAUGUGCUUUUUGUGCUGGCGGAGAAAAAAGGAGCCGGUUAUAUCAGCUAUUAGUCUAUACAGUAUUCUUAGUGAAAAAUGAGCAAUAUACACUGAACAGAAACAUCUCAAAAAAGAUUCCUGGACAAGUAAACAGGCACCAAGCAGUUUUUACCAGAGCAAAUAAGUCAGCACAAUAUGCAGGAUCAGACAAUUCAAAGUUUAUCAUAUUGGAGAUCUAAUAUAUAUGAAGACAUCUAACCUGGCAUUAAAUAUGAGUUUAAGUCAGUUUAAUUAGCGACUUGCUAAUAACUGAUCAAAUACUUGAAAGAUUAAUAUCUUCAUUAACAUCUCAAUUCAAGUAAAAGACAAUUUAAGAAUAUUACCGCUAUUUUAGGGCUUUCCGUAUUUUAUUUUUAUUUAAAGUGAAAAGAAUUUACUUUUAAUUAGCUGUAUUUACUCCAGCCUUUUAGGGCAGCUGUGUAUUAUAGGAUCAACGAGUUGGUAAAAUACUAAAGUCACUCCACUAUACUGGUACACUAUGGUUUGCGCUUUGUAUGCCAAAACAAUCUUAAACAGUCUCCACACAGCUCAAGAGUAGAGCUGGAAUCUAUCUUAUCAAUGAUAAUCUAGCUUGACGCCGCUAUCCUAAGAAAUCUAGCUCAAGUACAAUUUUUCAUGAUAAGACUAUUCUUGAUUAGUUUACUAGUCCAACAUACUUUUAGACAAGUGUUUAGCUAGUUGAUAGGAAUAAAGGAGACUGGGCUGCUGGCACCGGAGAAUAUUGCAUGGCCUAAAUAUUGAAGGGUAGCAUGAUAGAUCAUCACUCAGUGCCAGUUUGGACGCAACAAAUGCUUACAACCACAGCAGAGAAAGUACCUCUAUGCAUGCACUUGCAACGGCAACAUGAAAACUAGCAGGCAGUAAGCUAAUGACGACAUCAACCUGCAAUAGAUUAACAUAAAUUAAAAGAGAAAAGAACAACAAACUUUUGGAGGCACAUGCUAAACUGAAAAUAAAUGAACAACAUGAAAAAAAAUAAAAAAUAAAAUUCCAUAGUUUUAUAAUAAGGCAUAAGAAAUAAUGCUAAAGUUUCGCCCUUCAAGAAACUCAAGAAUUUUGGCAUAUCAAGCAUAAAUAUGCUUGAAAAGGUGUAAGUACAUCAACAUCUGUGCUUAGCAAGUUGGCAUGUCAGAAAAUUUUGUUGUAAAUAAAACUUUCGUAUGAUAAGCCUUAAUGAAAUGGCGACAAAGAGCUCAUGCUUGUUUGAUACAGUAACCACUUCUAUUUUAAAAAUAAUCGACUAUACUUGGGAUACUUAAAAUCAGUAGAUACCCUUUUACUUAUAUCUAGGGAGAUUCACAAUGCCCAAGAGAAGCUCAAAAGUGGAGAAAGGGAACUACCUUUGAUACAUACUCUGAAAGUCUUUCAGAAUCCAUGACAUCAAGCUGAACAGCUGUUGCAUCUUUUAGACCCUCAAUUGUCUACACAUAAAAUUAAGGAUAAGAAAUAACUUACCAUCCGGUGGCCAAAAUUGUUUCCUAAAGAAUGAAUAUACAUCCAGAAGAAAAGCAUGCAGUACACAAAUGUAGGCAAUAACAACAUCACAGGAGAAACAUACCGUAAAAUUGUAAAACUGAAUAGUAGUUAUCUCGCAUUCUAGGGGAAAACAUGAAAAUUUGUCUAAGCUACUAAAAGCAUGCUUGCGGUCUUUCUAAUUUGAAAUGAAUGAUGGGCAUCAGUAUUAUAAAUUUUCUUCCGAAUAAUAUAAAAAUUAUAAAUUAUCUCCUAAAUGAUAUUAACAAGUUAAAAUAAAAGAAAAUGGUAAUAGAACAUUAGCAGGAUAUCAACUGCUAGCAAGUAAGUAAACCUAAUUUCCAACAGUAUUCAUCUCAAAGCGGAGAUAUAAAUAGAGCUUAAAAGAUCGGGGGAAAAGAAAAAAAACUUCCUGAAACUUCAAUAAAAUGUGUAAUUCUAUCCAUUGUAGCAUAGCAAAGCGAGACAAGCUAAGAAAACAAAUUGAUCUGGCAAAUAUAGUUCUAUUCAGCAUGUUCUAAUGGAUAGUAGACUAAGAAAUUGAUUGCCUUCUAUUUAAUCAUGUCAUUCUACAAGACAAAGAUUAGAUUAGUUAGGUCAUGUUUGAAUGGCAGAAUGCGAUGGCAACUUAUUCGGUAUGAAGAUUUUCCUACGUUAUUGGAAGGUAGGAGCUUGAUUUUUGCUCCUUGAAAAACCUUCGCAUUUAUGAUUUGGUAGGAAUAGAAUAGCAUACAUCACUUGUGAAGUGAUUUAUCUUAUUCCCGAAAAAUGAGUGGAGCUAUUUCAUUUGAGACAAUUGGACCAUAUACCUAACUUCAACCAGAAGAUCCUCAUACUUGGUGGAUAACUUAAUCUGAUAUCCAAGCUGGGACUUAGGGCAUGGUUGGUUUGUGAGUGGAAUGGGAAUGGAAAAUGGAAUUGGAUUGCAUUGAAAUAGGAAAUGGAAUGAUGAAUCAUCCCAAAAUGUUUGCUGCAUUAUUGUGAUGGAAAUCAGAAUGAACAAUUGGGACACUUAGGAUUUUGAAAGAGUUUUGAUUAAGGAAGAGGAGAAUGAUGAACAGAGAGAGAUUUUUUAAGAGGCUUACUCUGGAAUGGGCCAAUCCAAAAUUCAAAGUCGGAUUGAGCCAUAAAUGGAUCAGGUCAUUCCCAUUCCAGAGUGGAAUGGAAAUAGGAAUCUGAAUGCUGUAAAAGAAACAACAACUAUGGAAUUAGCGUACGUCAUUCUAAUUCCAAAAUCUAAAAUAGCUGAACCAAACAAGCCAUUAGAGUCUUCAAAUCACAUUACUUAAUGGAUUUGUCAUAUAUAUAAACUUCCCCAAAAUGGUACUUUUUUCUUCUUUUUUUUUCUUUUUUUUUGUCGAAGUUCCUAUGACCUAAGAAAUGCAAUACACCAACAACGCCUAUAGUAACUAUCUAUUACAGUAAGCAACAACCUAAGAAAUGCAAUGUGCCGCCAACACCACUAGUAAUGAUCUACAAUAAUGAGCACAUGUCGACUAAUAGCAUUUUUUGCAUAUAAAUAAAACUUACCAUGUGAUCUUACAUAGUACAACACCAGCACCAGAAUUAUAGUUGGAUGAUAAUUUUAUCCCUUUAUAUUUCAAACACUUUCACAUAAAAAAGAAAAAAGAGAAAAAACAAACGUCGGGACAAAGUAAUAGAAUUAUAGAAAGUCCAUAGAAGUUUUGCUAUACGCGUUAAUAGAAAAACCUGAAAUUCUACAGUACUAUCACUGAAAAAUUUGCCUUGAACAAAUUUAUGCCAAAGUGACUAGUGGAUAUUAAUAAAAAUUUGCACGUAAAUAGUUUGCCCAAUCUAACAAUAUUACUAAUAAUGCAAGAAAAUCAUCAAUAUUACAAAUCCACUCAAUCAUAUUACCUGUAUAUUUCAUAAUAUUCUAAAUUGAAAGACACUAGUCCUACUUAUGAUCUGAAUUUCUGAUAAAUAAGUACGUACAGAGGAUAUCUUCAAGGAAAAUUAUAUUUAUUAUAGAUUAAUUACCUCUUCUGCAUCCUUUUGAUAAAAGGAUGCCACAAUAACAUGGAAUCCUCCGACAUCACAUCCAUUGAGACCACCACAAUAUGAGUUUUCUUUUGAUGUUAGAAAUUCAGCUGCUGGUCGACAAACUCGGCCAGCGCCAAGAAUAAGAACUGCUUGCUCUUUUCUAGGCAUGCUAUCCUCAGUUGAAUAAGCACUAAUUUUUCCUAUCUUCAGAGAUAAUUCUCUUUCUUUUCGAAUACCUUCUUUAGACCUAGGGUUUGCAAGAGAAGUCAAGGAAUCAAUUAUCUGAUCCAGCAUAGCGCUGUCAUCUGCGCCUACCUGCAAACUCAUCAACAGUAUCUGUUAGUGCUAACACAAGUGCAACAUGCAUUAGGAAAACAAUGAUUCUCAUCCAAUUCAUUUUCCAAAAAAAAUGCAAGAGAAAAGUUCGCAAUAUAGUACUUAUAGCCAGCAGCUGGAUGGAGUUAUUAGUACAAUUGCUUGCAUUUUAAGCAUACCACAAGAAAGAGCAACCUUCAGAAAAUUCCUACGGAAAUGGAAAGAACAUAGAUGAAAGAGGAAGAGUUAACAUUUGAUACCAGACAUUUCUAUAUCUCCAAGUAUACAUAAUCCUAUCAGCGAAACAUUAACCAUAUAACCAUAUUAACAUAAAUGUUUCGUUUGUAAUUGCAUUUAUUCGUAAAUAAUUCUAUUACAUGCUUAUUCUUGAAGUAUUAUCUAUCAGCAUGUCAUAACAUGUGUACGCUAAUUAACCACAAAUCCUACCCACAUAUGUUCUUACCAAGUGUCUAAUUUCAUGUAAUUUAUCAGGGGGUUUCAUGCAUUGUGUCCAUAAAUAAAAGCACAAAGUUCUCCACUAACAAAACAAAGUUUGUCAAGUCAAAAGCCAUUAUUAACAAAUUAUUAAUUUCCAAAAAUUAACAUAAUUGACUAAGAAACACAGUGAUGCACUAAAUUUGAUGACAAUCAGCAGAAAAUCUCUACUUGUCACAUGGAUUUUCAUAUGAAAGGAGAGAUAUAGAUAUUGAUGUUACUAGAAGUAAUUAAAUAAAUUUUUUCCAUCAAAGGAGUUAACUUACUUCGAGUUCUGAAAAGGACAUAGCAUUUGUAUUUUGACCCACUUCACAUCUAACUAAACGGAAAGAUCCACCGGCAGAUUCAAUAAUAUCCAACGCCUCAUUUAUUAGAAACUGAUCAAAUAAAUGACCACUAAGAGAUACCUGCGUGUCAAUAGAAUUACAGUUAGAAAACUAGGAGCGCUAUGGAUUAGAACUAAGCAUAACGCAAAUUGCCAAAGCAACAACCCAACCAGCAAUAGAUAAAAUGAACUAUCUAUUAGUGCAACAAAAACCGAAAAAAGCUCUAACCAGUGUAUUGUACUUCUUGCCAGAUAAACCAUUUGUAAGAAUUGGUAAUGAAUCCCUGCAUAUUGGCAAGAAAUUACUACAGUAAGCAGAAACUUCAGACCAGAAAAAAGGAACUAAAAGCAAGCAUUCAUCAAUUUGAGAAUCAAGAAACUUUUAAUUUUGCUAGACAUCCUUAGAACAUUGCCAACAUAAUUUUCAUAGAAGCAUAUAAAGCACAACACCAUGUGUUAUUCAGAAAAAAAAAAACAAAUAGCUCCAAAGAUAGUUUUCAUUCAAACGAAAGUGGAACAGAUGGCCAGGGAGAAUAAUAGAAAAAAAAAAAAAAAAAAAUUGUCAUGACAUAAUAUUGCCAACGAAAGAAAGCCCCAAUAUCUCCAAUCAUAUGUGACUUUGGUCUUUUUUCUAUAAUUUCAAAAUAAUCAUAUGCAUACAUAUUUCUUUAAUUGCUCAUUAUACAUCAAAAGUCCCACUAUUUCUUGGAAUGAUAAUUAUACAUCCAAAAGUCCCACUAAUCAACCUUGUUAUAGAUGAAACUACAAGGAGAAUUAACCAUGUAAUAACCAUUGCUGAUGUGUUAUACUUGGCAAUGAAGAAAACAAUAGCAUAGAAGGCUAAUCCGAAAGUCCAUUUGAUUCAAGCAUCCAAGGAAGAUUAGGGCAAAAAUUUGAAGGACAAAAAUUUGAAGCUUACAUUAAAGAUUUCCUCAUUCGGGGAAUGUAUUCAUACAAAGAGGUAAGUGCUCCACGAUGAGCUAUGCAUGCUUUUCUCAAGUGAGAAGAAAGUUCUUUUAUGUCCUUAGCUGAAGCCAAGCUGCCAAUAAAUUGAGAUAAGAUAUCUCCAAAAUGUUGAGAAGCCUUCACAAAAAUUUAACAAAUGAAAACAGUCAAACGUAUGUUCAGAUGAAAAAGUAGACUCAACUAAAUUCUCGUGAUAUACUAGCAGUUUCAUGGACGAAAGGGCUACAUAUUUCAAUUGGUAUGUCUUACCUCUCUAGAAAACUCUGUUGGAAGUAUGUCAACAGCUAAACAGAUAACACCAUCACCCUCCAUAUCAUCAUGGUAUGAAUCCUUAAAGGGGUCAUACCUAUCAAUCCAAAUAAAUCAGGUCAAGUUGAAUAUCUCUAAUUUGAUUAAAACUUUAGAGAGAAUAAGACACUUAAAAUAAAACUCAAGUUCUAUUAGACAAAAUUUUCAUAUAGAAAUCCCCUUGAAUAUACUGCAAUUUAUACUGUCUGCCUGGUAAAUGAUAGCCUACAUUUAUUUUCUCAAUCCCUUAUCACUUAGACUUCUAACAGUAACCCCUUCUGUUGCAUUUUGCACCCACGGACUUAGAACAUUUUAAAAUAUUAUAGAAAAAUGAAAAUGGGUUAUAUUGGGUAUUUCAUAUCACAUAACAAUAUUUUACCGAAGUUCUUGAUAAAAACAGGAGAUUUAGUAGUGAUUGUCUGAAAAUUGAGGGGUUUAACUAUAGGAUUUGUUUGCUAUUGUUGCAGUUUUUUAGUUUUAUAAAUAACAGUUUUAUGUAAAAUUGAGGGGUUUAACUAUAGGACUUGUUUGCUAUUGUUGCAGUUUUUUAGUUUUAUAAAUAACAGUUUUAUGUAAUAGCAUGUGCUGAUAGAUGGUCUUCUCUACUCUUGUCAUCUCAGAGUAACUUGCGACACAACCUACCCAACAUUGUCGAAACGUGUCUUCUUCAAAAAGCAUACAAGUGAAAAAAAAAAUUAGUUUCUACUAAUUUUCAGUUUUUUUGUUGCCAAACAAAGCCCUUGACUCUAUGGACUGCAAGCACUCCAGCAUCCAUUUACACACUCUAUUACAUGGAAUUUUUUAUUAAAAAAAGAAAAAAAUAUCAACACCAUAGGUUUUUAUGUUUUUCCUAGCAGGGCCAAAGUGCAAUCACAAUACUGUAAGAGGAUGGGUAUGUAUUUUAGGCAUCAACAAAACAAGAUAAAGAUAAUUCCAAAGAUACAAUUUUAAAGUAAUCUAGCAAUGAUUUGAAUGCAUUUGCUACUUGAAUGUGCACAAAAAUCAAGGAUUCUAUAUACCACCUGAAGAAAGGCUUUUCUAUAGAUGUGGAGUUGUUGACAAAUUCCAGUGAACCACCAAUAUCACAAGUUAUAUCAGAAACUCCAACAAGAGGGCAUCCGUUCUUCAUUAGUUCUUGUAACUGCUUAGUGCUCAGUAACCGAGGAAAUCUUUUCUCCCAAUACAUACAAUUCACUAUACAAAGACCAAGAUUGUGAGUGGCUAAGGAAUGACCGAGUCUUACAAUUUUAUCAUACUUUUGUAAGUAGUGAUAGAAUGAUUAAUAAAAAGAGAAAAAGUGUCAACACAAAGAAAUCGGUCCCUUAAGAGCAAGUUAUCAUGCUGAAAGUACAACAUAUGGCCUAGAUUGAAAAAACUAGUGGCUUUUAUUUACUGCCUUCCUUAAAAGGCAAAUGGCAAGAUCUGUAAUGUGAAACUCUUACAGGAAAUGAAUAUUUUGACAAAUUUGUCUUAGUAGAGUGUGGAAGGACCACCAUAGGCCAGAGAAACCAAUGGUUGCCAUACCGAAAGCAUACUUCCAUGGGAAAUACGAGAGAUUUAUGUUUCCACAUAUAGCAAAUAAGAAAAACAUUCUCAAAGUUUAGGCCAAAAUAUCAUUAGAAAGUAUUUCUAUUUAUUUACUUACAAGAAGAAAUAGGAGAACAUAGAAAAUCAAGAAAGAAAAAAAAUAAACAGAGGAAAACAUAAAAAGAAGGAAAAGGAAUGGCAGCUCAUACCAAUGACAGAUGCGUAUGGAGCUAUCUUUUCAUGAAAAAUAGGGUAAUAGUGCUCUGGAUGAGCAUAAUAGUCUGCCUGCAAACAAUAUGACAUAAAGGUACAUACUUAAUAAGCAGGGAAAGAGACUUGAAAUCCUGCUAAUGUAACCUAAUGUAACUGUAAAGACUUUUAAAAAAAAAGAAAAAAGAAAAACUUACUUCUGUAACAAAUAGAGUAUGAAAGAUAAGUCAUUGCAGCAAAUAAUAAAAAUACAUGCUAUAUAAUAAAUGAACUAGCAGUCAUUAAUCUACAACACCAACACCAAUGUAGGAUAAUUCUAUCUAGAGAGUGGUUAAAACUCAAAGAGGAGGAUAAGGCUGGUAUAUUAGAUAUUAUCCCUAUAUAUAUAUAUAGUAGAUGAAUAGUGUUUACUAGCAACUUUCUAUUCCAUAGAUCAAAUACUAUACCACCUAGCCCCACUAAACCCAAGGCCUCCGAGGGCUAAAAAUCUAGCUUUACUAUAUAUACGUAAAUAUAUAUAUAUAUAUAUAUAUAGAGAGAGAGAGAGAGAGAGAGAGAGAGAGAAAGAGAGAGAGAGAGAGUAAAGCUAGAAUACUUUUGAUAGUAAUAUUUAUAGAGAGAGAGAGUGGGCCUAGAACACUAUUGAUAGUAGAGGAAUAGUGUUUGCUAUCUACUUUUCUAUUCCUUUGAUGCCUAGGGUUUACUAUUUGGUGGUGGUACUAUUAAGAAUUAAGGGCUAAAAGUUAAUAGAAAAUACUAUUCAUCUGCUAUCAGUAGUUAUUCUAGACUCUAUAUAUAUAUAGAGAGAGAGAGAGAGUAGAGCUACUAUGCUAUCGGAAGUAUAGAUGAUCUGGUGCUUCCGACUUAUCGGCCCUUAGAUCAGCCCCUUUAAUCAUUUUUAACCUUUGGAUUAAUACUAUUAUCCUGUGGGGACCACUCAAUCCUAGGAAUACUACUCAACCCUAGGACGGGCCAUAAUCAUCCCAACCGUACAAUUCUUGAUCCAAAGGUCAAAAAAUCGGUAGCAUCAAAUCCUCUAUACUUCCGAUAGCAUAGUAACUCUACACUAUAUAUAUAUAUAUAUAGAACUAGGCUGGAAUACUAUUAAUAGCACCAAUGACUUGGUGCUAUUAAGUUUUCUGCCCUUAGAUUAAAAGAUGUACGGUUAGGAUGAUGUGGACCCUCUAGGGUUGAGUGGGUGGUUAGUUGAAUAGUAUAAUCGAACGGAUGAAAAUGAUAAAAGAGGUAAAUCUAACGGCAAAAAACUUGAUAGCAUCAAAUGCUUCGUGCUAUCGAAAGUAUCCCAAUCGGACUCAUAUAUAUAUAUAUAGAGCAGGGCUGCUGUGCUCUCAGGAGCACGGAUCCGUACUCCUGAGCCGUUUUCGAUGAUGGAGUUUCCGAAUCGACAAUCGGCUCCGUUAAACUUGAUCUAGCGUAUUUGAAGUUUCUAGAAAAUAAUUUUUGCGAUUUUUCGAUAUCAUUUACCUAGCAAUCAAAAUGAUUCAAAAUCAAUAAUUUUUAACAGCUGAAAAUAAAAAUCCUAUAAAAAGUGGUGAUAGAGCACUAAAAUUUUCGAUCAGAAAUAAUGAUCUUGUUAUAGAUAGUAUAAAGAAUUUUGUAUCAAAAUUUCACCUGAUUUGAAUACUUCUACACCGUUAAAUUUGAAAACGUCAGAUAUCAACCAUUAAAAAUUAUUGAUUUUGAACCCUUUCGAUUACUAGGUAAAUAAUAUCAAAAAAUCACAAAAAUUAUUUUCUAGAAACUUCAAAUACGCUAGAUCAAGUCUAACGGAGCUGAUUGUCGAUUCGAAAAUUCCAUCAUCGAAAACGGCUCAAGAGCACGAAGGCCUCCGUGCUCCUGAGAGCACAGCAGUUCUGCUCAUAUAUAUAUAUAUAUAUAUAUAUAUAGNCUCAUCGGAGUUUUACUUGUCGACUUUUACUUUUAGAGUAUUUUUUGUCACUAUUUCCUAAGUUUAAAAUUUAGCCUUCAUAACUAGAACGAUGACUACAAUUCAUCUUAAAAGAUAAUUUAAAAGUACAUUAAACCUAUGAAGAUGUGGCAACUUGAAUUUUUACACGGUGUAGCUGGCAAUUUUAUCAGUAAAAAAUCUGGAAAACUAGCGAAUCAUUUACUACGGUUUUUUUAGAUUUAAACCAAAGAUUUAUCAAGGUUAACCCAUCUAGUAUGGAUUGCCUCGGCUAGCAGCUUAGCUUGCAGGAUAGUAGCUUUUGUUGAAUGUUCGUGCCCCGGAGGGCAUGAAAGCUUUCAUGCCCUCUGCCUGAGAUAUAUAUAUAUAUAUAUAUAUAUAUAUAUCAUCCCGAUCUUAUGAACAUUUUCAUAGUACCCCACUAUGAACACACAAAAAUCGGGAACCUAUCUCUCUACACUCCAACUCUACUACCACCAUCCACCACUAUCCACCACCAUGCACCUUAUCACAAAUUAGGUUCCCGAUAAUUAUUAGUUUUUCAUCUAGGUUACCGAAUUUUGGAUUAUCGUGGUACUACCACUAUGAACAUUUUCAUAAUAUCGAGUUGAGAUAUAUAUAUAUAUAUAUAUAUAUAUAUAUUAAUAGAAAUGUGAAAAUCUUCAUUAUUCAGUAACUAUAAACAUUCAAAAAAUAGGAACCCAAUUCCCUACAUGUCAAUCCUACUAUCACGAGAGAAUCCUAACUCGACCAGAUAUUAGAUAGUCUACUUUUACCAGUUUCUCUACUAGAUUGCUGCUUUUUGAAUGUUCGUGGUUAACGAACCACUAAAAUUUUCGUGGCAUCGGUUUGUGGUUAACGAAACACGAAAAUUUUCGUGGUAUCGGUUUGUUUAUAUAUAUAUAUAUCUCUCUCUCUCUCUCUCUCUCUCUCUCUCUCUCUCUCUCUCUCACACACACACACAAGGUGAUAUUAUGAUAGUUAAAGUUCGUAAAUUACGAGGGUUCAAAAAACGGUGAUUUAGAUGGGAAAAUUGAUAAAGAUGGAGAAUCUAGUACAAUAAGGUGGUUAGUGAGUGAUUUGAUAUUUUUUGGUGAUAAUAAGAUUAACGUAUAACGAAGUAAGUUCUUGAUUUUUAAAUUAUCGCGUUUAUUGAAUCACGAAGAUUGACGUAUAAGGAAGUAGGUUCCUGAUUUUUAAAUUAUCGUCUUUACUGAAUCACGAUAAUUUCCAUAAAAUCGUAUAUACCUUUAAUAUCAUAGAUAUCACAAAUGAACAAGGUUGAAAACUUCAUAAAAAAGACAUUUUAUUAUGCCGCUAUUUUUUAAGAUUUCGAAACAUCUCUUGUUUUUCCGCUUUAUCUGUCAAAUUAUAAUUCGUUGACUUAAAACUACUUUACAAACUAUAUAUAUAUAUAAUACAUGUCUGUGUGGAGUUUACUAGAUAUUAAAGUUGUAUCUCUAUUAUGUUCUUUUUAUAGUUUCACGAGCACAUAUAAUAUGCUUCCAUAAUUGAAUAAGUUUUUAUAUGAAAAUUUCAUUCUUUGUACUACUAUUCUAAGCUUGAAUUCUAGAAUGUAAGACUAUGGCACAUUUUAUUGAUUAAUAAUAGCUAUUUUUAAAUUAUCAUAAAAUUACUUUAUUAACGCAUAUAUAGAAAGUUUUGAAGUAUUUAAAGAGUAAAUAGGAAUGAAAAAAAAGAAAAGUUGUAUGGGAAGUAUAUAAGGAGGCGGGAAUAUACCAGGAGGCAAUAAAGUUUUAUUGGAAUGUCAAUAGUAGGCAAUUCAAUUGGACACAAUUUACAUUCAAUUUAUAGAUAAUCUCAAUUUUUAUUUUUUUUUAGUUUUACAGAGAAAACAGGAAUUGAAUUCCCGUUAUUUUUAAUAACCACUACCAUCUUUCCAUAUAAACUUUUCUAGUUUUUAGUUUUAUGAAAAACAUGGGGAUUGAAUUCCUGUUUAUUUUUUCAGUUAUUUCAAUCUUCUUAUAUAAACUUUACUGUUUUAUCAUUAAAGUAUGUUUAUUAUCGAUAACGAUUGUCAAAUAAUUGCUUUAAAUUGAGAUUUUAAUAUAAAUUUUAUCAAACUUAUAUUUUUUUUUUUUCAUAAAAGUUAUAAUUGGAAGAUUUUUUCUAUUUAAUCUUUCAGUUUUUAAAAAGUUCUUAUAUAUUUGUUAACGGGGAUAAAAUUGCCUAUAGUUAAGGAUUAAGGACACUCGUGAUUAUGUAUACAUACAUAAAUAAAAAUUAGAGAAAAAAAAUUUUUUUUUUUUUUCUUUUCUUUUCUUUUUCUCCGUACACCCACUAGUUGUAAGCAUCUGUUUCGUUUAUUCCGUUCGAUGGUGGUUAACCACUGGCACUCUAGCGGGGGGGGGUGGGGGGUUCAUCAUCAUCAUAGAAAGAAAUAAGAAAAGAGAAGAAGAAGAAAGAAAAAGAUACAACACGCCGUUUAUUACUAUGCACCUGCAUACGUAUGCAAGUAGUUUCUAAUAAUUAAAUAUAAUAAUAUAAUUUGUUUAUUUUUUUUUUUUCUCCUUUUCUUUUUUCUUUUUCUUUCUCUCCCUUUUUACUGCUGCGUAGCCUAACACGCUUAGUAAGUUACCUUUCACAAACUAUCCUGAAUUUCCGUUAGUAUUACUCUGGUAAAACGGUUUUCACCCACUAAUCUUUUCGGGGAGAAUAUAAUCCGAUACCUCCGUAGAGGUUAACAUGUGGUUAGAGGGUAAAAGGUAUUAAUGAAUUAAUUGAGUAAUAAGGUUGCAUGCGCGUUGUUUAAAGUGUCGGAGAAAUUAAGAAGCGUUAUCUUUUUAUUUUAUUUUAUAAAGAAAAAAUAGCAUGAAAAAGUGACGUGCACAUUUGCUCUGGUGUAAAAGACUUAAUUUGAAUUUUUUUCUAUUUUAGAUCUCGUAAUAGCAAUAAAAUAUAAAUAAAAUUUACGUCUAAAAUACAUAUGCCUUUUUUUUUUUUAGAAUUUAUUAAGUUGUAAGAAAGACACAUGAUAAAAUAUAUUUAUAAAAAAUAAAAAAUUUUAUCGUUGUCAUGUUUAAUGAAUAAAAAGCUACCAUUUGGGUUAAGACUUACCGUGCACGCACUGUAAACUUGGGAAAUGUACAUCGAAGCGUUUUUUAUAUUCUUCUCAUUUAUCGCAUAGUUUUAAAGAUAGGUUUUAAAAACAUAAAUCUCAGCUUUAUAAUCGUCAAAUUUCUUCAAAACAUAUAAAAACUUUAUUUCGAUAAAUUUAGAUUUUAUCGUAUACUUUACUUAAAUUAAUUAACAAAUUUGAUAAUAAUUCUAAGAUCCUAGUUAAUAUAUAGAACGAACAGGUUUUCGUUUGAAGCUUAGGCGUGAGUCUAAAAUUAAUCCUCUUUUUUAUUUUCUUUUAAGACCUCAAAUUAAAAAAACUUGUUUUAAAAAACAGGUUUAAACUGAUAAAAAACUUAGUUUGUUUUAGUCUAGUAUGAAAUACAGAGCAUUAUUAUUGUUAUUAUUAUUAUUAUUUGGAAACUUCUCAAACCUCGCAUUUAACCACAGCUUUAAUAUUAUUCUAUAAUGCGGAUGAAAGCAAAUGUACAUAUAUUUAUUUUAUCACAUAAGGAUGUAUUCGGACGUUAACGUAUGCACCUUAAGAUCGCUAGCAAUAUCUUAACGUGAUUAGCUGGAGCAGGCAGCCUAAAAGCAUUUACCUCCACCUUCGCCUGUAUCAUACAUAAUGACCAUUAUUCGAUUUAUAUAUAAUCACCUUUAAUUCGCAUUAAUUAAUUGCUUCCAAUUUAACGUUUCCUCCAUGUUAAACCCCACGCGUAUCGUGUGAGGUACCUUUUCCCCCGGCAAGUAAAUUUUCUAACAACUUUUACACCCAACUAACAUCACAUACAAAAAAAAGUUUAAUUAAAAAACAAAAGUGUACAACCACCUCCGAUUACUGGGUUAUGCAGAGCUAUGUGUGGUAAUGGUGAAUGUUUACCAUGCCCGGAAACUACACCCUGUCCAUUAACGAGCUGGGAUGAACGAGGGUGUAAAAGGGACGUGGGCCACGACGCAAGGGGCAUGCGAGAUGCGCAGCGUGGAUUAUAAAGAUUUAAAGUUUUCGUUAAAUCAUUUAUAUUAGACAUAACACCUGGCAUUCGCGAUUGGUUAAUAGAGUUUUUAUGCACAACUUUCCUUCCCUCCCGCGUGAUUAGCAUAAAUUCCUGAGUUGGUGUCGCGAGUGCCCGAAGCUAGGCUGAGUUGGGUGGACUUCCAAUCCAGAUAACAGCCCGUAGAACGGAAAUCCAGAGAACACUUGGCGUUGUGAUGAGUUGAAUAAUUUGAGUAGGUUGAGUUGAAUAAUCAGAAGAGCUGGAUAGUAAUACCCCGGUUUUUAUUCUGUAUAAAAUCGGGAUUAUUAUUUAUCGGUAGAUUUUACAAUGUCAUCCUUUUUUUUUUUUUUUUUCCAUUCUUUAUACAGUUUAUAUAUGUAUAUAUAUAUACCGAAAACUAUACGUUCACGAAACUUAUAAUAUUUUAUUUAAGUUAUUUUUUCUAAAACUCGAUCAAACGCCGUAGAUAAUAAUAUAUCUCUAAGUUAACUCUCUUACCUAUCUCAUCCUCUACCUAAACAUGUACACCACAUCCGUUGGUAAACCCCUUGCACCACUUGGGUUGGGGGAUGGAACAUCAAACAUGAGUACGAUCGGUUCACUAGACAAACGAAAUCAAAAAAUUAUGAAAUUUGGUUUCUAGAUAGUUACAAUAGCGUAGAUCAAGUUUAACGGAACCGAUCGCCGAAUCGGAUGUCCCAUCAUCGAAAACAACUUACAAGCACGGGGCCUCCCGUACUUUCGAAAGCAUAGGAGCCUAGCUCUAUAUAUAUAUAUAUAUAUAUGAAAGGAAGAAACGACAAGUAAAACUCAUUCAACUAUCAAAUUACUAAGAAGCCAGCAAGGCUACUCAAGUAGUAAACAUAUUAAGUCACAGUAGUUGAUAAUGGUAAAACUUUAUCUUUUAUGUCAUUUCCAUUUGUUGAAUAUAACUAUUAAAAACACUAUAACAUAGUAUCUUUAAGCUUUUGGAGAACAACGGUUGUUUCACACAAUUUAACAUGCUAUCAAAACAGGAGGUCCUGAGUCGAAUCCCGUCGGGCUCCUAACAUUAUUAAUUUUCUCUCAUUUAAUUCAAAUCCAUAUCUUGGACCUAUCAAACUAUCUCGAGCCCAGACGUGAGGGGGGGCUGUUGAAUAUAAAUAUUAAAAAAUAUCGUUCUCUCGUGGCUUAAGUUAUUAGAGAUUAACGGUUGUUUCACAUUCUUUAACAUCAUCUUUAGCCAUAACAAUUUUAGUAGUCACUAAAGGAGAAAGUUUGGUGCUUGAUAAAACCUCAUACUUCUCCAACAGCUCCCUUUUCAGACCUUCUUCAGUCCUCAAAAAUGAACCAAUUUGUUACUUUGGAAUUGUUCAAAACCAUUUUCUUCAUAUCAAUCUAUAUGAUCCAAAAUUAAUUUAGAAAUAUAUUUGCAAAUUAGCUAAUCCUUGUGAUGGUUGAACUUAAUUUUAACCAUUAGAAGAAACUUGCAACGAAAAUUAAAUAAAAUACUUAUUUAAAAGACAUAUGGAACCAAAAAGAAUUAUUGAAAUACUUUGUCGAAAUUUCUUGUUGAAUCCUUGGGGGCAACCAUAUCUCGAGAUGUUACAAUGCAGCCAUAUACUUGAAAUACACGCCUUGUUGAAGGAGAGUGCCCAGCCUACAAUUAUUUUUCGCAAGACACAGAACAAUGAUUACUCUUCUAGAAAAAGAUUAUAAAGUUAACUAAACCAAGUAUAUGAAAAAUGAUAAUGGUGAAAUAAGCAAGCAGGAAUUACUUAAGCAGUGAUAAGCACUUGAGAACAAAUGAGAAGUUUAAACACUGCAAUCUAAUAUAUCAAUAAUUUAUACCAUCUUUGAAGAACAUUAAAGUCGCUAAGAAAUUAGGCAUAGGUAACAAGAAGCAGAAUGUAAGAUUGCAAGUUCACACAUAUUUUCCUUAAGUCUAUGACUCAAAUAAUAGAUAAUUCGAGAAGUUUUGAUUUUGUUAUGACUCAACGAGAAAAGAAUGUUUUUUACAUUUUUCUGAGUGAAUUAUGUCAUAACAGCAACCUAUUAUUCGAAAAAAGCAACCGAUUCUCCAACAAAACAACCAAUUCGACAUCAUUUUACCAACCGUGCAACCGUCACGUAAUUUGCUUCAAAAGUGCGAUAAACCCUUCGUAAAUUAAAUACAUUCAUAAACUAUGUAAGAAAGGAGCCAAGUAUGCUUUGUCUUUCUACCUGCCUCUUAUUAGUUAACAAAUCUAAUAAUAGGAUGCGAAGCUAGCACAACACACAAGAUAAAAUGCAUACAAGAACUCAAGGGGGUUCUAUUUGAUUUUGUAUUGUGUGAAAGGCCUAAUACAGUUAAGUGGAGAUAGGCCUCCGAUCAGCAAUGAUUAAAUCACCUAACGACGUUGCAACAGACGAAAGGAUAAAGGACCCUAAUACCCCGCUCAUCUAGAAACUGAAAGUUUCGCUUAAAGUGAAGAUCUUUGUGUGGCUAAUUCUAAGGAAGAGGGUCCUCACUCUAGAUAAUCUAAUUAAAACAGGAUGGCAUAGGGAAGAAAUAUGUGUUAUGACUGACAAUGAUGAAGAGACAAUGGAUCACUUAUUUGUUGGAUGUGCAUUUCUUCUAGCAGUAUGCUCGGGGUUGGGUGUGGAAAUGAGUGAUCAACUAAAGAGAAAUAUGAGUCAUGUGGGGGAAAUAUGGAAAGUAACUAGGGGGGAAAAGUACACCUAAAGAAGAACGAAGAGGUUGACCACAUUAACCGCUGUGUGGUGGGCUACUUGGCAUCAAGGAAACAACAACAGUUUUCGAAAUAAGGAUAGAAAACCAAGACAAGUGCAGAUGGAAUUCUGAGGUUAAUAUGUAAGGAAUUGAAUCCUCGAGACGUAAAACCGAACUUCGAUCAAAAUUGAUCGACGAUUGGUUUGGGAAACUUCGGAAUAUCCGAAAUCGUCGAAAAUGGCUUUAGAGGGUUAGUAAGGACCUUGGAGAGCAAGAUGUUAAAAUUCUGCAAUUUGCAGAAUUUAUACGCUCUCGGGGUCCGGACCCUAGCUUCAGGGUCUAGACCCCAUAACCCGAAAAUGCCCAGUUCAGGCAGUGUGUAAAUGGAAGAGUUAGAGGGGUUUUUGGCAAUUUUGCCAAGUGGGGAGUUAAAUGAGGGGUUGUCUCUCUCAUUUCUCUCAUUCUCUCCCAAACCUAAACCUAAAACACUCUCCCUCUCUCUCUCUAAGCUCUCUUUCUCUAUCUCUUCAAGGUGGAAAGGAAAAGGGAGAUUUGGUGGAGAUUGGAGCUUGGGGGAAGAACACCAUCAUCAUCUUCUUCCUUUGCUUGGAGGGAGCAAGCUUUUGAGGUAAGCUUGAUGUUCUCUAAUGGUGGAUUUCUAGGGUUAGGUUUAUAUGCUCUAGAAUUGGUUUUAGUGGAACCCUAGGAUGCUAAAUAGAUGCUUAUUGCUUGAAUCAAGUAGUGGAAAUGGGUUUCUUGCAAUAGUAGCAUAUGAGCGCUCCAAAAUGGGGUUUUGUAAAAUGUAAGGGCUUGAUCUAAAUUAACCCUAUACAAACCAAAUUGCUAAGUAUUCUAACGUGCUGGUAAAGUCGGUUCUCCAUCCGUCGAACCUAUGCGAAGAUAUUGGGAAAAAUGACCGUUUCGGCUUUGUUUCCGCCUGGAAGGCCGAGGCGACAUCCAAAAAUCGUGAAACUGGAUUCCUAGCAUCGCGGCAUCACCUAGAGAUGGGGGGUGCCAUCUGAAGCCAUCGAGCUUCCUUCUAUGUCUAUGUUUGCAUGGUCGACCAUGUGAUUUUCAUAUUGCUAUGCAUUGUAGGAUUGUGAUAGUGGUAUUGCCUAUUCCUUAAUGUUUCCAUAGUUGAUAUUGCAUUGUGAGGUGGAUGCAUGAUGUAGUGGAUAUCUAAGGAUUGGGUCUUGAUAAUGGAAUCCUAUAGUGCCGAAACAAGUGAUGAACUUGACGAAUAUGAAAUGACGUAACGAGUGGCAUGUAAAUAGAUGAAAACAUGGACGAGUGGCAUGUGAAUGUAGUUUAGUGGAAACACUUAUUGUAUGAGGAACUUAGGGAUAGAGGAAUUUCCCGAGUCGUGAUAUGUUGCAUGUGAACUUAGUGUAGAUGAGACACUUGAACAUGAACAUAGGGAUAGUUGAAUUCCCGAGUUGUUGAUAGCCCUAGUUGGCAGGAUGUCCUCAGUGGACGAGGACUGGAUCAUACUCACAUAGUCUGUUUUGGACUUGGCGUGGUCGCUCCACCUAAGUAGUGCACUCCGAAGUUGUCACACGAGGGACAGACGUAGUUGUCCCGCAGGCAGUCUCGGGUGGGAUGUUGCGGCGGAAGCUCCUCACCUAUGGGAUUUGAGAUGUAAGUCUGGGGCGAACCUUCGGGUUAGCCAAGUGAUUGGGUGAACAUAUGAAUGACAGGUUUGUUGAACAUAGUAGCAUGAUAGUUGACAUCAUUACUAUAUAUUUUAUGCAUUCAUAUUGAUUGAGGCAUAGUAGCAUAUUUGCAUACUUGAUUACUACGUAGCAGUUGAUUCAUAUCUACCUAUCUAUCUAUCUGCUUAUGCCUGCUUAGACCUAGUGGGAAGAUCGGCGGAUUUGGUGGCCGAAUCCACUGGGAACUAUGGACAAUAGUUCUCAUCGCACUUUGUUGCAAGGCCGAGUUCGAGCACACCGGGCGAGGAUCGCGGUAAGGGCAUAGCGCUCUAAUAGUGAGUAGCUUUCCUUUUUGCAUUAGAGCACCCUAUGUACUUGAGAGUGAUGAUGUAUAUUUGGUAAGGAUGCAUUUUGGAGAGUUGUACAUGUUGUGAGAUGAUUAUGUAGACUUCAUGUAUGCAUUUUGGGAGAUGUAAAUGUAAACCCGAUGUAUAUGAUGCUAAAUGGUCGAAUGGUUGUAAUAGUUAGAACUCUCUCUCUUUUGCUCUUUUGUAUGCUUGUAUUUACACUCGCAUUGAUCAUGUAUGUUGUUUAAGUUUACCUGGGCAACUUGAUGUACAUGACUUUAUUAUUUAGCCUUGGGCGGACAGGAGAGGUGCUGUUCGUUCGGGUCUGUUCGACGUGCCCGAACCAACCAAACUGGCGGUUGCGGAGCGUGACAUAAUAGAUAGUUAGGAAGAUCUUCGUAGAAAAUAGCUUUUGUAACUUUUGUUUUUUUUUUUUUUACCCCGGCUCUCGGGAGGCUUAGUUGCCUCAUGAUUGUAGCUUAAUUCAUUGUUUUGAUGAAUAAAGGCUUAGUUGCCUCAUGAUUGUAGCUUAAUUCAUUGUUUUGAUGAAUAAAGUCAAUAGCUUGCUACCUUUUACUCAAAAAAGAAAAAAAAAAAAAAAAAGGCAUCCACUGCAGUGACCAUAUAUUGUUAAAAGCAUGCGUGUGUGGAUAUUUAGCACAAUCACUUGACUUGCUAUUAAUCUGAAUAAUAGAUAUGAGGAACACAUAAAGAUUGAUUCAAGAAUACAUCUCAGCACCUAUACUUAGUUAAAGUUAAAUUGAGAUGCUGGGUUAUGGCUUAUUUACAAAGCCAGGUUUCUGCCAUAUUUUGACCAUAUUUUGACCAAAUUUAGACUUGUUGUUCCAAUUAACCAAAGUUACAUACUCGUUUAGUUGGAUGGACUUUAAAAUGAAUUUACAUAGACAUGCAGACACAGGAGAACACACAGAUGAGAAUGAAUUUCCACAAAUUUGCAAUAUUAAACAGAUAUUUUAAAGUAAAAUUCUUCAAUAAAGUGAAUAAUUGAGAAGAAAAGAGGAGCAAUACCAUAGCAAGUUCUGGAAGCUUUUCAGCAUCAACAAAUGUAUGGGGUAAGAGCUUGAAGAUCUCUUGUGCACCCUGAGAAACUAAAAAAUUUAAAUAUAGUUAAAUGUAAGAUUCGCUCACUAAACGAAGAAUUGCUGUCAACUGAAUAAUCCCUUUUUUUUUGCAUGUAGAUAAUUUUCUAUCAUUUAACACAAACUUAAGUAUAGGAAUUACCAUAUACUUUAUCCCCAUCUAUCAUUUCAGUUUAUGAUUUCUGGAGGCUAAGCUUAGUAUAAAAAAAAAAAUCACAGAAAGGCUUGGUAAGAAGCACUAAUUGUCUUGGUAAUAAACAAAGUAUAUCAUGUAAGUUUCGUUUGACAUAUGCACUACAAAGCUGCAAUAAGAAUGAUAUAGAAACUUAGCUAACUCAACUUAUAGUGUGUUGAUCCUGAAGAGGAGAACAAUGAAUCUGCAAUCUAAAGAUGAAAUUUAUCUCCAAAGCCAAACAAAUAACUACAAAGCAUUAUUUUCUUACCAGAGAUAUCUGAAAAAUGAUAUUUGGUCAUUUAUCCCCUUAAAGGAUCGUAGGUAUUAUCAUAUUGUCCUUUUUCCUGAAAUUCUUAUUGUACUUCUUGACGCAAUUUAUUGGUAGGAUUGAGCUUUUGUAAUAUUUGGAUUGCUAUAUUUGCAUAAAAAAAGCAAAUUGAAUCUUUGGAAAAAAAGGUGAAGUCAUAAAGUUGAACCUUUAUAAGUUUGAUACAUGUCCAUUUCUUCCUCGAAAGGUCUAUUUCUUGAUUAUUACUCUAAACACUAAAGGAGAAACCACUUACACAGGACACUAAAUCCCUUUAUGAAACAGAACUGUAUAUAAUAAUAUUUACCCAUAUAUCAGAUAAUUGCCAAACCUUAAAAUCACCCAAUUUCAGAUUUACCCUCUGUUUCAAAUAUAACCCUUUGAACUUUGUCUGUUAUUCAUAUAUACCAUACUUUGAGGAUGUAUUUAAAUGAAAUUGAAACUUUACAAGGGUAGAUUUCUGUACAAGAAUUUUUGAGGGGUAAAUAUGAAAAUCAAAAACUUUUGAAGGUUAGCUAGGAAAUAACUCCUAAAAUUUAUAUUAAAACAUAUGCAAGGAACUUUGGCUUUUUUCUUUUUCUUUACUCAUCAAAAAAUACUAGAAUAAUAUAAUUCUGGAGCUUCUAGAAACUAAAAAAGUGUCAAAGAACAAGGAAGAGAGAGAUAACAUGCUACAGAGGUAUUGACCAUGACUUAAAUUAUAUGACUAAAGGAAGAAGCAUAUUCUGAUUAGGAAUUUAGGCAGAUACCUUAUUUCAUGCUCAACUAAUCAAGAUUUGUAAAAGAAUAGAUACAUUGGCUAAGUAACAUGCCACACUAUAUUUUCACCAAAAUCUCAAUAGUCUCCAUAUAAACAAGAAACUGUAACAAGAUACGAUAAUUUUAUGGCCUUGAUUUAUUAACAUAAGGUGUGUUAUAUAACUAGCUACAAACAAAACUAAAAUAAACUAAGAUAAAACAAUAUAUUGAUGAUUUUAAUUGUCCUUUUAUCAAUUAUAUUACAAACACAUGAUAAACGUAGAUGAGAACAAUAAAAAACAAACGUUUGCAAAACAGAAAUAGUUAUGGAGUUAAAAGUACCAUUUCCAUCUCCAGUGAAUACAAAUACAAUGGGGGAAAUUCCAGAUGGAAGUCCCAGCGUAGCUAUUUCCUCGCCGACGGCAAGUACAGCAGCCUUUGCCGCAGCAAGAGAAGGAUACAUAUAAGAUGCUCCAAGCGAUAGAAAAGGUGUAGAAUAUCCGAGACAUAGGUAUCCUGGAAUGAUAAAAACAUAUUAAACUAUUUAGGAUACUAUCAUUGCUAACAGUUCCAGAAGCAGAUAGAUGUAUACAACAUUCAGUACUAUGCUUCCCAGAAAAUAGUUGUCUGAAAUAUUAAAGCUUAGAUUGUAAAUCUCAUUGAAGCCAACCUGCUAACUAAUCACACAGAAUCACCUUUAAUGAAUAUAAAAUUCAGCAAAAGUUUGCAAAAUAGAGAAAACAAGUAAUAUGAUUAUGCCAAUUUCCGCAAUCUACAAAUCAUAGAGACUACCUUUAACAUGUUUUGGAAAAACAAAUAAAUAAAUGAAUAAAUGUGUUCUGACUGGAAAAUUGAAGAGAAAUAUAUAUCCAUCUGGGGAGGAGUUUCAAGAUUCUUACGUUGCCCCAGACCAUGUAAGAAGUCUAUUAAGCCUGCUCUCCCCGCAAAUUUUCCAAAUGCUAGCAAUCUCUUCCCAUCAUCACCAACAAUCAGUUCGUAAUCAAAUAAGGACACUCUUUCAGCUAGAAUCUACUUGAAAUGUCCAUCAAUUAAUAAUAUAUAUUUAUAUAGAUCGAUAGGAAUGACAACAGGGUGCACCAUCAAGCAUUUCACCUUAUCUAGCAAGGGCAUGUUUUCUUUCUGGGCCUUGUGGGUGUGGGAAAAGAAGGCGUAUGCUCUAUCCGGAAGUAUCAUCUCCAACUGCAAAAUCGAAUGUAUUUCAAGACAUUCAUUUCGUAUACAAGCUCUAAAACAUCAAAUAUUCGAAUUUAAGAAGACACAGCAACUAGUUUGGGGUAACCUUCGGUUGUUUUAUUCCUACAAUGAGACCACAUUCUGAUAGAUCAUCGGAAAUUUCACAUCCAACAUCCUUGUAUUGGGCAUCAUGAUGGAUGCGCUUCAUGCUUGGCUGCACGAUAAUCCGUUCGACUCCACUUCUGCCCUUUCCACGGAGCAGAAGGCGAGCACAGUGAGAGGGAGUUAAGGGCGCCCGCCUUUCCCACUUGUUAAUGGACUCGGAAAGUAUUCCUACAAUUCCAUUUCCCAGCAGGCUGCAAUUUUCCUGUAACGCCAAAAUGUUUCAUAAGUUAAGGCUUUACCAGAGUGUUUCAAGAAAUUGUUAAGCAAACAGGCCAAGAUCCCGCACUUCUCUUCUUGUAGAAUCCAUGAAGAUUCACUCUGUCGCAGAAUGCCUAAUACGGUUUUUGAUUCUUCCUUUAUCCACCUGGAAAUUAUCAGACAUUUUAAGAUGAACCGUUUUAAAGAUUGCCAUCUCAUGAAGAAUUUGAAAAUUUCCAUUUCUCAAUGACUGGAACAUCGCAUGAUGGCAUGAAAUAAGCAGAGAACACAAAUUAAGAUAUAUUGUAAAAAAAAAAAAUAUGGCUUACAAGUAAGAGAUGAACUGCAAAUUCUACAACAACAUUGCAAUCAAUGUUCUUUGAGCAACAAUGUCAAGAAUUCAACAUAAAGACGACAUUACAGAGUACAUUUCGUUUCUUCCAUUUUAAUCAAAUACACAAUGUACGACCAAAACCAGAAAAUUCCACAAUAUCAAGAAGAAGGCGGGAUUUUUUUGCAAAUAGAAAUCUACUUGGAGCGGUAUGCUUUCGUGUACAUUUGACAUCGGUUACCUAAUAAAUAAAUGAAUGUUGAAAUUCAAGAACUCGAUUUUUUAUACGAAAACAACAAACCAAUAAAAAAAUAAAAAUUAAAUCAAAACUCAACAGUCUUAGAGCCGAAGACAGAGCCGAGAAUAAAAUUCAAGAAAUAAAGGGAUUAAGCCAUGAAACAAAUGCUCGACCGGCCCAGAAAAUUUUGAUCAAAGAAGAAGAAAUAAAUGGGAAUAAUAGGACUCGCAUAUACUGAGUGUUGCGGCUGAGACUUGAUCAAGGAGGAGCCAAAAAUGCGCCGAAAAUAAGGAGAGAGAGUGUGGGAAAUGGUUUUACUGAUUUCUAGAAGGAUAGAAAUGUCUAUUGUAAUAAGUAACAGGCACUAUUAUAUGGAAGAAAGCCUGAAAGAGACAAGGGCGCCGAGCCUGAACUAAAAGAUGGUGGACGGUCAAAGUGGGCAACGUUGCCGCACAGAAAAAGACGCGAAAAAAUGUCCCACUUCUCUCCUUCUUGCUUGUGCAUUUUUUAUAAGCAGUGAUGCUACACAUACGUCACAAAAAGGUUAACUUUUUAUUUGUCACGCUCCAAAUUCGAAACAUAAUAAACACCGUAUACCUACUAAAUUAACAAAUAUGCAAGAUUAUAGAAAAAGAGAGAAAACAAGCAAAAUAAUGAUUACGAAAUUUUUCACUAAAUCCAAGAAUCAAAAGAUGAGACUAACAACUGAACUUCAACUAGAAGCAAAUGAAUUCUCACAUAUAUAAAACUAGAGUUUACUACGAAACACAAACGAAAAUUCGCUCCAACAAAUACCAUAAAUAACAAAAAUGCAGGUAUGAAGAAAUAACGAAAGAAGAUAAACAAAUGAUAGUUUACAAAGUUCAAAUAUUCACAUCUAAUUAUACUAAACAUAAAAACAAAAGAAACUAAAUUCAAACAGUAACUAUAUCUAACGUUCACUCGGUCCCGCCCCCGCCCGGCAAAUCAGUCUCGAUAUCUAAGUAAGCAACUAUACACCAUAUUAGUCGUAUUAAGCAUACAAACAAAUAUGUACAAAAAUUAAUUUAAGCGAUACAAAAUUUCAAAACAUAGAGAUUAUUAGAAUUUAAAAUUCAGAUCAAAUAGAAACUAUAAAUUUACAAAGUAUUUUCUCUUUCAGCAAAUAAACGAAAUAAAAAUUAAGUCUCCGGUAACUAACUAUAUCAUGUGAUCCGUUGGCGAAAUCCUAGGCGCAAAACAAAAUAGAGGCACCCGAAUGUGUCUAUACAGAACAGAGGCGCGCGAAAACGCAAAUACAGCAUAGGGGCACAAAUAGGCACAAACAUCCGGAAGCGCAAUACAGAGACAAAACUAGCUUCUAUAACAGAAUACAUAUCAACAUAGCUAACAUUAGCAUACCAGGAUACCAAGAGACAUUACAAUUUAUCCGGUCACUAAUUUACAGAACAGAUUAUCAAAUUUUAAAAUUAUUUUGCUAAAAAACCUUUCAAUCACAGUUGAACUCAGUUUACAGAAAUAUUUAAUAAUAUGCUUAACUCUUAAUUUUAAGAUCUAUAAAAUAAAGAUUUUUGCACAAUUAGAAUAUUUUUCUAAAUAAUUUUGCAAAAGCUAAUGGGUCUCCGGUCGCUUACCUCAAAAACAGUUUCUAAGCUAAUAAGCUAUCCGGUCAAGAAUGCAAAGGGAGCCAAUUCACCGGAACCUAAAACAGAGAAUUACGAUUCUUUAUGAGCUACUAAAAAUAAAAUUACAAACUAAAAAUAAAAUUACAAAGGAGCAGAACUAUUAGAAGAAGAGCUUAUAUAAACAAUUGGUAACAAACACAUUCAACUAAGUUGAGACGGAGCACGAAGGAAUUUAGAAUAAUAAGCUCAGCAAAACUUAACUAUCAAUUAAGAAGAUGAAGAGUUUUAAGAAUUAAAUUAUUCAAAGAGGUAAGAUAAUAUGAAGAGAAUUUUAAAUAAUAAAAAGUUUCUAGUAUUCAAAAAGAGGAUUUUCAGAUGUUGAAACAUAAGUUUACAACCAAUAAGAUGGGAUCAAGAUUGAAAACAAAAUCGACAUAUGCCUUCUCUUAGACAUUUUGUCGAACAUGUGAAGGGCAUUUCGAAAGGUGUGCAGAAUAUACAGAAUUUAUACAACUAAAUCAUAUGGAGAAUAGGGGAUAAAAUUAAGAGUAUGAUCAAUAUUAAUUUAAAUCAAUAGAAAUCAGAUUUUAAUGGUUUCAAAUUUCAAUUAUCAAGAGAUAAGUAUUUCAAAAAUAAUAAUAUAAUAAUAAACAAGGAGAUUGGAUGAAUCUCAAGAUUCGGUAUGGAGAUAAAGAUGAAAGAAAGAAACCUUCUCUCAAAGACGGUAACAACGACGAUGAAGUGUCGUCCACGACGAACAAAAAUGUCGAUAGAUGAGAUGCGCGGCGGCGGCGGCCACAGAUGACGGUGACGACGAUGUUGAUCAAGCGGCCUCGCGCGUGCAUGCAAGGCGGAGAGGUCGUACGGAAGCGAGAUGAAGAGGGAGGGCCGGAUGGCUGUGACGAACAGGAGAAGAGAACGAAUUAGAGAUUUAAUUAGCGUAAAAUGCCGCCAAGCCCCUAUACUCUUAAUAUCCACCAAAAGGUCCAAAAUUUAAAAGAAUGAAAGUCUUUUUUUGAGAGAAAAGUAGCGUUCUAGUCGAGUUUAUUUUUUUAGAAAAUAAACUUUGGCUGGAAAUGUGAAUCAAAAAGAAUUAAAAUUUGGGACCUUCAAUAUCAACUAUUAAAUUUUUUGCCACUUGCGUUAGGGUUGGUCCAUCAAAAAAUAAAAAUAAAAAUAAAAAUAAAAACAAAAGAAAGAAGGAAUAGGGGUGUUGUUUAAAUAUUUUUGUUUUUAUAACGGCCCUACUAAGGCUACUUUUGUUGAUUUCUACAUAAAAAUAUCUAAAAUUUAUGUAAAAAAUUAUGAACUACUUUAAUCACACUACCUUAGUUUUUAAAAAAUUUAAUUUUAUUAUUAAAUAUUUUAAUUUGUUUGAUUGAAAUAAUUUAAUAGCUCUUCUGAUAUAAAAUUUAAAAUAACUACUCACUUUAAUUAAUUUAUAAUUAUAUAAAUUAUAUAAAAUGUACUAACUAAAUCAGUAAAAAUAAACUACGCAUUCAAAUUUUAAAGGUAAAAGUAAUUAAUAAGCUCAAGUUAAAGGUCAUUAAUAAGCUCAAAUCAAAUAAAUUAAAGUCUUAGGUUGUAAAAGUAAAAUAUUUACCUUGAUUAAAGGUUACACAACCGGAUCCAAAGAAGUUAGUAUAUAUUCUUACCUUGAUUAUAAUUGUAAAUGAUGUAUAACUAAAAAUACAUGUGGUAGUGGAAAAAUCUGAUAGUUAUAAUUAUAUACCUCUUAUUUAAUUAAAUAUUAAAAAAUAUUGUAAAUAUUAAAAAAAUUUAUUUAGUUGUAUACAAUUAGACCUGGCAAACGGGCGGAUUGGGUAACUUGCAAACGGAUCACUAUACCCACGGGUCAUAUGGGUAUAGAUAAAAUUUACCCAUAAAUUUUUUGGUAGUCAACAUCUCUACCCAUACCCAUUCACAUGAAGACGAGUGGGUAUGUGGGUUACCCGCAAGAAUUUUCUUUUUUUUAGUCCUAUCCUAUCCAAAUGCUUACAUAUAUAAAAUUUUUAAAAGCAAAACUUGUAUGUUAUUUGAAAUAUUAUAAUAUACAAUAAAUAAUAUAAAAUCUUAAAAGACAUACAUUAAUAAUAUAAAAGUAUUUUAGCAUUCCAAACAUUUAUAAUACAAAUUAAAAAAAUUUUCAUCAUUAUUAUAGAGUCAAUAUUAUGAAGAUUAUAUUUUUUAAUUUAAAAAAUAUAUAUGUGAGUACCCAUAUGUACCUAUGCGUUACCCAAAAUACUUACCACUUAACAGAUAUCUAUAUGUUUUAUCCAUAAUUUUUUAGAUAAGAAGUACACAUACCCGCAAAUUUGUGAGUAACCCACGAAUACCUGCGGGUAAGGUAAAGAUUAUCAGGUUUAUAUAUACAAUAGAGAACUAUAUUAACAAAUUUGAUUCUUUUAUAUGUUGAAUGGUGAGAUUACCCUCAAUAUAAGUUAAAAAUUUCAUUAUAUAAAAAAUGAUUAAGUAGGUAGGCUUACAUCUUAUUUAAAAUUAGGAGCUUUUGCUUAUUUAUCCAUUACUAUUAAGCAAAAUUUUCAAACUUUAUCCAGAAAUUAUCAAAAUACCUUUCUAACACCUAAUCCCAUUAGUAAACCCUAAGAGAAAUUGCAAUAUUUGAAGAAAUUUUUAAAAUCAACAAAAAAUAUUUUGGUUUUUGGGAAUAAAUAAGAUAUUUUUGAAGUUUUAAGGUAUUCUCUCCGACUGCUAUAGUUAGAAUUGUUGAUAAUUUGGAUAUAGUUCUAAUUUCUACAGUUUGAAUUCCCUGUGCAGUUUUGAUAGUAGAAAUUGGAUUCAAAUAUAUCAAAUUAGAUACUAUGUUUGGAUUUGUAUGUAAACUACAACCAAACAUUUCCUACAUGUGACCUCGUAAGGGGGGAAAAAUCUCGAAUGUCAGACUUUAAAAUUUAAAAUAUAAAAUUUUCAUCUAUAAUUUAUUAAAUUUAUUUAAAAUAAAUACAUAUUAAUGUCCAUGCCUCUCAAAAUUGGAAAUUUUAUGCCUAUACCUAAACAAAUAAUUUGCACUUGCAUGUACAUCUCUAAAAAUUAAUAUUUGAGUUUAUACCUACAGAAAUAAAUUGUGUAAGCACCAUUUUCAUCUUCGAUGAUUUGCUAUUUCCAACCAAAAUUCAAAAAGAGUAAUAAUUUAAUAUUUUCUUUAUGGGGAUAUCCUUCACUAUGUUAUUUAGGAAAUUUCAAACCAAAUGCAUCCUAGUGAUAUUCUUUCUUUUUUAUGGUAUUCAUACAAAUACUUGGACCAAGCAAAACUCACAAAACAACUGCAAAGGAAAAACUCCAAAAUUGUUCACUAUUGCUAAGAUCAAAAGUUUAAAGCCUUCAUAACGACUCGAACCACUAGUACUAAUAAUUUAUUAGAUCUAAACUAUUGAUCUAAAAUGCUUAAACUUGGUUAUUGUUAUUAGGAUUUAUGUUAUCUUAUAUUCUUAAUCACAACUCCAUUCCAGGGUGUGAAAGACUCUGUUCAUUUAAGCCGUGAUAUCCUCAUCAAUCCAAUCACACACAAAGUCUAAAAUCACCAGGCAAUGUGAGGUCGAUCUCAUAUUUUUGGCUGGUGAAUUAGCUCCGAUACCAAAUGUAAAAAUACGACCGGCUAGUAAUAAUAAUUCGUUGGACCCAAUCUCCGAUUCAAAAUAUUUAAGUCCAGUUGUUAUUAUUAUGAUUCAUAGUCUUUUAUAUAUCUAAUAAUAACUUCUUUCCCAUCUGAUAACAUCCAAUAGUCCCACAUCGAAUGGGAAAGAGAUUGUUAUUGGGUAUAUAAUAAAAGACCAUGACCAUAGUAUAACAACCGAGUUUAAAUAUUUUGAGUUAGUAGUUUAGACUCAACAUGUUAUUAUUGCUAGAAAAUCAAGUCGUUAGUUUUGAUAUUUGAGCCUGUUCACCAACCAGAAAUGUGAGAUGAGCCUUAAAAUAUUAGAGUCGGUUCACCAACCAAAAAUAUAAGGCGGGCCUUAAAUUGCAUGAUGAUCUUGGAACAAGGCGGCCCUUACAUCGCUUAAUAAUUUUAGAUUGUGUGUGUGAUUAGACUGAUAAGGACGUUACGGUCUAAACGGACAAGUUAUUAUUGCUAACAGAUCGGAUCAUUAUAGUUAUAACCUCUGAACUGCUUCAUUAAAAAUCAAAUCAGAUAAUUGACUUAUAUAUAGCACAUUUGGUUAACUGGUUGGGUCAUUAUAGUUAUAACUUUUGAAUUGCUUUAUUAAAAUCAAAUAAUAUAAUCGACAAUAUAAUAAUGCAGUUGGUUAAAAAUUUGAUGAAUGAUAUAUGACUUUGAAGUUCAAGGUUUAGUUUAUUAGUUUAUUUAAUAGAGUGGAUAACUCAGGUUAAAUAAAUAAAUUGUCAGUUUUGAUAACCCUAGUAAAUUUUUUUUUAUCUAGAUUAAUUAGGUCUGAAUAAAGCUUCGACGUUAAAUCUAGAGUUUUGGUGACGAGAAUUAGUGGGAAUACAGAUGUUUUCACUAGGACGGCGUGGACAAUUCCCAUAUAUAGAAUCACUAUCACAAAGUGAAAAUAAAGUGAAAUAACUUUUAUCUAAUUCAACCGACCGUCUCUAGAGUAAGUGGCAAAAGGUUUGAUGGUUGAUAUCCGAGACCCAAGUUCGAAUCCUAGUUGAUUCACAUUUCUAGCUAAGUUUAUUUCUAAAUGAAAUAAAUGAAGCGGGUAACGUGCUAUUUAUCUCUCAAAAAAAAAAAAAAAAUUUUUAUCUAAUUCAAAGCAAGGAUAGUUGAUAUCUUUAUUAAGUGUGGACAAUAUAUUUUUUUCCUGUAUUGUGAAUCAAAUCUCAAGAAAAAGUUAACACGGCAAUUCAAAUCUCGAGAAAAAGUUAACCCAGCAAUUUACGAUCCGCUCUGGUAUUAAGUAUAUCCAAUAAGAUUUAACACAAAGAAUAUCACAAAAAAAAAUAUUUUAAUUAAUUAAAUUAGUGCAAUAUGCAAUGACACAUUAUCACUUGCAAAAUAUUAUUGUACUAUUGUCUUUUCUCAUGGCGCGCAACGCGAACCUUGGUGUUGGACGUCACGCAAGAUUUAGGGAUGCAAAUGGUUCCGGAUCGGUGGAGUUCCCGUCCCGAUCUGUUCCGAAUGAAGCUGUAAGUGGAAACAAAAAAUAUAAAAACAUAUAACCUGCUUCGAAUUAGUCCCAAUCCGCUAAGUAAAUAGAGUGGAAGGCGGGAGGCCCUUUUCUUCCUUCAAUCCGUCCGAAUUCGUUAAAAAUCCGCUAAAGAUUUGCUCCCGUUCUGAUCCGCCUCAAAUAAGAUGGUCAGUGAGAGCCCAAAAAAAAAAUAAUAAUAAUAAUUCGUCCUAAAUCCGUUCCGUCCCGAUAAGAAAUAAAACGGGGGUGGAGAAAUCCUUCCAUCUCUGGAUCCGCACCGUUAGCAUCCCUAGUUAGAUUAGGGCAGCUGAUAAGCAGAGUAGAGCUUUUGGUGGCUGGUGAACUUAAAUAUAAAAAAAAAAAAAAAAAAAAAAAAAACAGAGAGAAAAAAAAAGAGCAGGAAGAGAAACUAAGGUGGUGAAGGGUCAUUGUCCGUGACGUAAAGAAAGUACCUACCUAGUAGCUUUUCUUUCCUUGUUGUGCAACCGACCCUCAGCGUCGUCGUAGAUGUGUCGUGUUCGUAAUGACUUGGGAUCCUUUGCGAGUGGUCUCCACCCCUACGCAUGACUAGAUAAUUGUAUCCAUAUCCAAUAUCCGAUCAUCACUAUAGUCCAACCCUAUGGCUAAAAGAAGCGCUUAUCAUCACUUGAUAUAUAACUGCAGUGUCGUCACGGAACUGAAUGCUGCUCUUCCCGUGAUAAGAAGAAACGUCACUAUACAAGCUGAUCGGAUAAGACUUUUUUUUCUUUUCUUUUUUUUUCUUUCGUUUUUUUAGGUACGUACAUGUUCUUCUUUCAUUUCUUUUAUUAGGUACAAGAUAUGUGCACCUAUAAUGCACGUUACGCACAUGUGACAAUGCACAAUAAAUUAUUAUAAUUUUUUAAAGAAUAUUUGAUAAUUUUAAAUUACCGAAUUAGAGAGUAAUAAACAUAAAUAAAAUUCAAAUAGGAGCUAAUUGCACCGGUCACCAAUUAUUACUGGAUUAUUAGUUAUUAUUUAUUUUUAAUUAAAUUCUUACUUUUAAAGAUGCAGUUAAAUUUGACAUAAUCAGUAACGUCUGUGCCUGCUAAUAUUUGUAAUGUUAGUACUAAUUGUUAUCACUUGCCAAUUAGUAUUAAUAUAAUAUGCUUUACCCAAUUUUAAAAUAUUAAAAUUGAGGAAUAUUAAUUAUAAAACAAAAAAAAUUGCAGUGACAUCUCAAAAUGGUGAUAUAGAAUUUUCUAGACAGGAAAAGGAGGACAAAGGACGAGAGAGAGAGAGAGAGAGAGAGAGAGAGAGAGAGAGAGAGAGAGAGAGAGAGAGAGUUAAAAAGAAAGAACAUGUUAUUAAUUUAUACUACUUAUAAAAGUAUGAGUUUUGAAUUUUUUUCUCUUUCCAAAAAUACUUCUAUCCUUUUACUAAUAUUUUCAUGUCUAAUAAUUUUUAACCAAUCAUUUCAAAUAAUUUAUAAAAUAAUAAUUCAUUCUCAAAUAAAGAUAUUAAUUUUUUACCAUUAGAUCUUAUCUAACGAUUGAAAAUAAAAGUAUCUGUCACUUUUUGUGACAAUAAUACCCUUACAUUUAUAUCAAAUUUUCUAUCUACGCAUUUCUCAAAUAUUUUCCUUCUCACGCAUAAUAUCCGUACCCAUCAAUCCUUUCUCAACGUAAUAUUUGUAAAUUUAUCAAAUAUCUCAUUAAUCAACCUAUCAUAUACAUCAACCACCUACAUAAUAUCCGGUUAACUUUUCUCACACAUAAUAUCCAUGCGUUUUUCAAAUAUCUCAUCAAAAUUUUAAUCCUUUCACUACAAGAAAUGACAGUAUUGGUGGCAAAAAUAAUGUGGCGACAAAUUUUGUCGCCACUAUAUAGUUACUUAUUGUGGCAAUAAAAAAAAUUGCCACUGAUUAGUUAACUAAAAGUGGCAAUACUACUUUCGCCAUUGAAUGACUAUUUUAUAGCCACUAUUUAGUUAUCUACGGUGGCGAUAAAACAAAUGGCCACCGAUUAAUUAACUUAAAGUGGUGACACUACUUUUGCCACUAAAUAAUUAUUUUGUCGCCACUAUGUAAGGACUGAGAUUUUUUUUUACUGUGCUGCUAAACUCUCUGUUGACGAUGUUUAUAUGUGUAAUUUAAUUACAUAAGCACUUAUCAAGUUUCAGGAGAAACUGGGCUAAAACGGAGAAAUUACGCGAUUUUUAGUUUUCACUUAAGUGAAUAGUAACUCCGGUUUUUCAGUGAAGCCACGGAGUAGAGCUGGCUAUCGGCGUGUACCGGAUUCCGUUCAUAGCGAUCCAAUAGCUCGUUUCGACCGGUUCAGCUGUUCUGGAACUAUUAGCGUUGACGGAUUUUGAGUUUGACGCACGGAUUUCGAGAAAAUCCAAAAAUACGUGUUUUAUAUGUAUUUUGUGCGUAGUUUCUUCUGUUGGAGGGAGGAACGGAUUUCGUUGCGAAUCCGUGAUCGUUCGAGGUGAACCAAAAUCGUAGCUUUGUUGUCUCUGAGGUGCUGAUCGUACUGGUGCGAUCCAGUCGCAAAUCUGAUGGACGGAUCUGCGGAGAUCGCGCGUUGAUCGAGGAUAGGUCGGUGUUGGCAAAACGAUAUUUUCGCAAAAGUCGCGACAUUUUAUGUACCGAAUCGCGUGAAACCGGACGUGGAGGGGUAUCCGCGCGAUUUACCCACGCUGUGAGGGACUCGGAUAGAAUUGUUGAGUCUUGGAGGACUAUUUUGCAACUUGGACCUAUGUAAAUAGUAGUUACACUAGGGUUUCAUGAGAAAACCCUAGCUUUUGGCCUUCUCCUUAGCCGAACCUACCCUAGCCGCCCCACCUGCAAUUCUGCCCUCCCCGUGCUCAUGCUCCGGCCGCCGGCGAUCACAUCCGGCAGCCGGAAUUCCCUGCACCACCUCUCUCUCUCUCCCUCUCGGCCAACCACUCCCCCGCAUCGUGGUUACGAACCCAGGAAGUCACCUAGGUCCGAGCACCAUCAUCCCCGGGCAGAGACCAACCUCCGGCACCGUCGCCGGACGAUGCCGCCGUCGGCGCGCGUCGCCGGAACCAGCAGAGCUAGCCGCGGCCAGCCUGGGCCAACCCUGGCCGAGCCGACUGCAGCUCGGUGCCUGCUUGUUGGAGCCGCCCUAGAUCGGCCGCCCCGACUUCCUCCGGCCUCUGGCGACCUCCGGCGCACCUCCCCGUCGCCCCCGCGCACCUCCGGCCGCCGCUCGGGCAGCCUGCUGCUGUCCAGACCGGAUCGGGCCAAGUCUGGGCGCACUCGACCUCCGCGCGUCGCCGCCGCCCACCGACGGACGCGCUGCCACCUCUUGGACCUCCAGCGACCUCCAGUUGCCGCCGGCGACCUCCCGUGUGUGUUUCCCGACGUCCCCGACCAACGCCGGCCGCCGCCCGAAGCUCUCGCAGCCGCCCAGACCCGUGCGGGCCGAGGUCGGGCCCGCUCGGCUUUCAAGCGCCGCCGCCGCCCACCGGGGGGUGCACCACCUCCUCCUCGACCUCCGGCGACGAACCAUCGCCGCCCCGGGCUCCUCCGGCCGCCGCUUCACCGCCAGCGCCCUUGAACCCGAGAGGAACUUGGCGGACUUGAUCUCCGCCGCCGCGCCACCGGCCACCUCCCGCCGCCGGCCAGCUGGUGCCCCGGACCCCUUCGACCUGCCGCACCCUUCCCCGGCCGGACCGCCCGCCGUCCGGCCACCGCCGGCCAUGCCCUAGCUCCUCCAAGCUCCGGUAAGCUUAGUUUAGUUUCAGCACACUGUUUAGGGUUCGGAUCGCGGUUCCAGCGAUCCGAGGGCACUCCGAUGCUACUGGAGGUGAGCAUGAUGAUACUGAGUUAGUGAGGAUCAUCGUGAUCACCUCCGUAGGGGUCAACGAUGCGCCGGUUUGCGUGUUAGACGCGAUUUAGAUACCAUGCGCGCUGUUUCGCUGAAGUUCGCUUCAUGCGUGCGCCCUCCACAGUGGCCGGAAUUGCUCCAAAAGGUGAGCACGGCCUCCGGCACGUCGAGACCUGUCAGUAGGUGUCUCGGUUUGGCUGCAUGACUCCUGGUUUGGGUAGACGGACCAUAAAAGCGCCGAAAUCGCAUGAAAUAAUGCGAUUUCGGGUAAUCGGGAGGGCUUUUAUGCAAUUUGAUUUGUCGUAGCUGCUGUUGGCAGCAUGGGUGAGCUGUGGGUGACCUCUGGACUGAUGGUCCAAGGCCCCGGACCUUUGCGAAGAUCGGAAAUGUAUUUCCGGUGCGUUUGUCGGCAAAAUCCGCCGACGGAACGCGGUUUUGGUUCGGAAUUAUUCCGACGGUGCUUCGUGAGCUAUUGUGUGGUCGCUGAGCCUUAUUGGCUGGUCACUCGCAUCAUUUCGAGAGUUCAGAAAUGACGGGUGAGCGACGGUGGGUUCCGGUGUCGAAAUAGACACUUCCGGGAACCCGGAUCCGAACAAUUAUCCACCAAUAGUUGUUUGGUUGUGUAUCCUUGUGUUUGCUGCCUUGUCACACUAAAAUAAGUGUUUAGUGGCAGCGAAUGACUCGUGGCAUGAGUCGGUGCCUUCCGGGAUAGUUAGUGGGUCCCGGCGGAGUCCCGGUGCGAUUCUCGGGACUUCCGGCGAGUUACGGUAAUCGGUAUUGGGAAACCGAUCUACGUGGGAUUGUUUGUGGGUUAUGCUUUUAGGGUUUCUUAGCUGUGGGUUAGACACUAACCCAGUGGACCCUCCUUAGGUCCGGUUGACGUUCUUUUGCAGUCAGGAGACAGGCGCGACAGUUGUACAGGUGGGUACUUCGAUCCGACGUCGGUACAGUGGUGCACGUUCGGUGAUGGUUUCUUACCCUUGCUCCUUUGUUAUUAUCCAUGCAUACGUUAUAUAUUGAGCUUUGCACCUCUGUUGUUUACAUUACACCCACGUUGUUUGAUUAUACUCUACUCGUUGUUUGCAUGUUUAGUACCCUGAGUAGGAGUAGAGUAGUUCUAUCUGCAUCCGUAUCGGUUGACCUAGUUGGUCUGUUGAGCAUCCGUAUCUGUUGACCUAGUUGGUCUGUUCUGCAUUCCUCUACGCAGUUAGUUCCAUAUUGAUAUCAUGCUUAGGAGUAGAGUUGACUUAUCGGUUCACUAUAUCUGUGAUUUGAUUGGGCGGUUCCCCUAUUUUGAUAUCUAUGACCUAUUCGGUCGAGUUGCUACAGUUCUAUCUUGACACACGUAGCCGAUUAGUUGCUGAUGGCCCAUACGGUCGGUGUGCCCUGAGGGGCUGGAUUGUCGGCUAGUUGCCGAUGGAUGACCUUUGAGCAUACUACAUUGAUCACCACUGCAGGUACGCAUUUCACGAACACCAGCGGUCUGAUCCACCGCAAGAGGGUGUUCUUUUCCGGAAAAGUGGUUGGAUUGCCAACCCGUGAGCCCAGGGGCUUUAUUGCGAGGGUAUAUGCUUCUGACCCAGGGGCUUCAUUGCGAGGGUCAGGUACUGUGCUUCUGACCCAGGGGCUUCAUUGCGAGGGUCAGGUACAGGUUGAGCAGCGUGGCAUGGGCCUGAGGUCUUCGGACCAAUAGGGCAGCGAGAUUGGGUACUUUUGAGCUUAUCGUCAGUUGACGCAUGCAUACAGUAGCUGUAGUGUUUAUUCUCAGUACAUCCUUAUCUGUGUAUUGUAGCUACUGUUUUAUUUACCUGCAUCUAUACUUGUCAGCUCCUUACUUAUCAGCAUCUUUACUUACCUGCACUUAUGUCUAUCUAGUUCUCCGUGUUGUUGUAUAGCUCUCUUCCUGAUCCGGUGAGUACUCCUCGCCUUCUUCGGCUUGCGGUACCCACUGGGAGGGGAGACAUGUUUACAUGUUCUCACCUCCCCCACCAUUUUUCAGGUAUCGCGGGCGAUGAGUAGUGGGACGAGACGUGAGGUACGUGUGUAGCGGUCGAUAGAGCUUCCGACCCAGGUUAUUUCGAUUUAGUUAUUAUCCUUGGUAUUUCUGUUGAUAUAUAGUUUAGUUAGUUUAUGUGGUUCAGUAUUUAUUUACAUUUGAAAAUGUGGAUUUCUGGAUUUUGUAAAAUAAAAGGUUUUCUACCCCUCGUGGUAGCGUUUUUAAAAGAAUAAAGGUUUCUGUGUAAGAAACAGUUUUCAAAAGAUUUUUGCGGAUUUCUGUUUAAACCUUGAAUGUAAAACUGUGAUGUGAAUGGUGAAUGUAUAAAUGUAUAGUUAUUUUUUAUAUUCAUCUGGUUGUGGUUGUAUCCUGGUUGUACUGUGUAUUGGAUCGACGCCGUGCAAAUACAGGGGAGACUCUGUCCGUGUGAUCAGUGGAUUCCCUGUAUUUGUGGCGGAUCUGGCAUACUCUGGGGUCAGGUUUUCAAAAAAAAAAAAAAAUUUCAGACGCUUUUCCGUUUUAUUUUAAACUGAAAAGGGACCCCGGGGCGUGACACACUAAAUCGUUAUUUAUGAUGGCGAUAAAAAAUAUUGCCACUGAUUAAUUAACUUAAAGUGGCAAUAUUACUUUCGCCACUAAAUGAUUAUUUUAUCUUCAUUAUUUGGUUACCUAUAGUGGCGAUAAAAAAUUUUUGCCACCAAUUAAUUAACUUUAAGUGACGAUAAAAAAAUUUUGCCACCAAUUAAUUAACUUUAAGUGGCAAUACUACUUUCGCCACUACAUGACUAAUUUUUUGCCACUAUUUGGUUAGCUAUAGUGAUAAUAAAAAAAAUUGAUGCAUAUUAUUAAUAAAAUUACAAUAAAAAUAAAAUAUUUAAAACGUUUAUAUCAAAAUAAUGUAUAGUGAAGGUGAAAAAACUGUAGUUGUUAAAAAUUGACGGUGAAAAUGUACAGAGACACCUUCAACAUCAGAUCAUUUUGAAAUUGCUCUAUGAAUUUUAAUUUUAUUUUGAUUAACAUCUCUGAACUUUUUUUGAUUAUUUUAUUCUAGUUAAUUUAGUUAAAAUUUUAAAUUCAAGAGCUUUAUUAAUUAGUGUUUACCUAUUAAUUAUUUUCAUUUAUUUUUUAAAAAUUAAUUAAAUUUAACUUAAAUAAAUAAAUAAAUUACAAUUUAUUAAUUAAAUUAAUUUUUAAUUUUUAAUUUUUAAAAAUUAACUUAUUAAAUUUAAAAAUUAAAUUAAAUUAUUAGUUAAUUAAAUUAAAUUAAAUUUUUUAAAAUUUAAUUAAAAUGACUAAAUUUUAAUCAAAUUUAAUCUCCAAACAAAAAUUAUAUGGUGAAUGAGGCCAAACAAAUUCUUCAAACCCGAAACCCGAAACCCGAUACCCGAAAUCCGAAACCCGAUGCCUUUCACGCUCGUCGACCUCCUCUUCCUCGUUUUCGUCUUCCUCUUCCUGUUCUUCUUCACCCCCCCAACUCUUUUCCUCUUUUCCCCUUCUCCACCCAAAAACCCUAGCAUCCUCCUCUUCCUCCUCCUCUCUCUCGUCCUCUCCACCCCCUCCUCGUCCAUGGCGCAGAGCAACAACAGUGCCAUCCCCAUCACCGAGCAGUUCUAGUCCCUCGUCGAUAAGGCCGAUCGCCGCUUCUCCUGCGUCCGCGAUCGCCCCUCCCACAACCGCAAUUGGUAAACCCUAACCCCCUACCUCCCCCAAACCUCUCACUCCGAACCCUAAUUCGAUCCCUCUUCGUCUUCUUCUUCUUGUUUUUCGAUCCAGGGACGACGGGACUUCCACAAGGCGUUCAAGCUCUACACGCGGCUGUGGAAGGCGCGGCGCUCACCGAGGCCGGGAUGCGGCGGUGGGAGGUGGGCGAGAUCGCGUACCGCAUCGCCCAGCUCUACUACGGCUAGUACCGCCGCACCAGCGACUCCUCCUACCUCGCCGAGGCCUUCGUCUUCUACGAGGCCGUCCUCGACCGCGAGUACCUCCGCGACGCCCCCUCCGCCGCCGCCUCCGAGGUCGCCCUCGCGCACAAGCAGCUUCGUCUCCUCGUAAGGUUCCUCAAUGUUUCGCUCGUCCUCGGGUGCCGCGAGAUGGUCUUGCGGCUCGCAUCGCUCCUCCGGAUCAUUCUCGAGGAGCACAGGCGGAGUUUUCAGGUAUACAACUGUUUGUCUCUUUGUACAUUGUUGUUCAUUUAUAUAUCUGCUCUUCAUAAUUCAGCUUGAGUUGUUUGAUAUAAUUAUAGUUUCAUAGUAUUAGUACUUCUUUGUUCUCACAUGCUGCACCAAAGUAUUGCGGAAUCUUAUGGCAACUCUUUUAUAUAUAUAUAUAUAUAUAUAUAUAAUUGAGUUACUGGUUUGAUUUGUAUUCAUGUUCCUUCUCAUAUCCAAGUUGUAGCUGCAUUCGUUUAGUGUUUGAUUCAUAUCAUAUUCAGACCCUAACCAUUUAAUAUGCGUUUUGUUGCACAUUCCUAUCUGUAUCUAUAUUUAGAUUGAUGGUAUUGAAUUGUGGUGUCCGUUUAAUAUAUCUAUGCCUUGUAGAACUGUGUUGAGCAUUAUUUGAUCAUGUUUAACGGUGCCGAUCUUCGAUUUGGAGGCUCCAUCAUCGAAAACAAAUGGGUGGCAACGGAGCCCGUUUGCUACCGAUAGUAUUCUAGCUCAACUCUCUAUCUCUCUCUCUAACUGUUCUUGCACAAAAUAUGUGAUUGAUAGAGGUUAAGUGCUAAAGAUCUAACCAUUGAGGGGCUUAAAUUUACGUUCUUUUUUUUCAAAGGGUCAGAGUACAAAUAACAAUAUUUUCAUAGGUUUUUUUUCCGUAUUUUAGUCCAUACAUAAUUUGUUAGUGGUCUUCUUUCUUUAGUGGUGGGUUCUAAAUUUGACGAUAUUUCCAGGUUCAACGUAUAUUAUUCCUUGCGAUUUGGUACCAUUUACAAGAAGACCUCUGUUUCUGGUGAUUGACAGUAAAUGCAGCCACGCAUUCAAGGCAGGUUUUCUAAUUCUUUUGGUCCUAAUCAUAAUUUUUGGAGCAUCAAAUUAGUCGCUCAUUUCCUUCGAUAUUGUUUCAGACAUGUAUAUCUACUUUAAGUUGUUUUUAAACAGUUUAACUGACCAUGCUCUAUGUGAAUUUCAUCAUGUAUUUGGCAUUUCACAUAGUUCUUUGAGAGAUCUUCUUUGUACUCCGCUUUUCGAUUUUAAUAAAGUAUUUGCUCCGUCUUCGCCUGUGGACGUAGGCCGUUGGCCGAACCACGUAAAUAUCGAUGUAUUCUUUCCUUAUCUUUUUUUUUCUUACAUUAAAUUAUUUUCUUGAUCUAUUUUUUCGCCGUUCCGAUUUUAACAAUAAAUGGGUCAGAGAAGGGAGAGACGGCAGCUAUGCUUCUUUCCCCAAUCUCUCAACCUCCGACAGCUGCGGCUGGCGAUGAUUCUUCUCGCUCCCAAAAUGGUAGCCAAUUCACAAUGUUCCUCACAGCACCGUUGCAAGCUUUCUGCUUCUUGAUUGGAAUUUCGGGCACGAAUAUCAACAAGGUAUUUGUGCGUCCGUACCUUGUUUUCUUCUGUUUAAUUUCUUUUAUCAUUAUCUUCUUCCAGAAGUGUAUCUGUAAUUUCUGGUGGCAAAUGUUGCAGGAGAAAUAUGUUGCGGCUGAAAAGCUACUCUCAUUAUCCUUGAAGGAAUGGGAAACGACUUUGGUGGCGUCCGACGCUCUCCAUCCGGUCUGGAUUCAAGCAUUGGGUGAUCCCUUUUUAAGGCGAUUCAUCCUCAGGUUAUAUCUGAACCUAUUUAAUGGAAAAGGUGAAAAUGUAUGAUUUGUUGCUUUUAUUAAUCAUUUUAUUUAUCUAAUUUAUUAUGUUAUUUUUUGACUAAUCAUAUACUUUUUGAUAAAGGGACCCCGUGACUCAAGUGGAGCCAAAAAUGACAGACUAUUGGAAAGCAACGCAUUUACGACAUAAUGGAGAUUGGAUGGAUGGUCGAUCAAAGGAUGUUAUGGUGAUUAUACUAAUGUUAUUACUUGCUUACCUAGCUUAUAUUUAUCUUGAUACUAAAUACAUUAUUCCUGGACUACAGAAUGUGCAUUCUGCAUCAUCAACAUCAGAUGGCUAUCCUAUCAGUAUAAAUACUAGUAUCCACGGUCGUUUAGUUAAAUCGUCGUCAAGUACAAUAAUAGUACGGGUUUAAGUUGUAUUUGUUCAUAAUACGGUUAAGCUAGUAAUAAUCUAUUACACACGAACAGAGAGACGUAAAUUUAUGUAUACGUAUGUUUGUAUUUAUUUAUGCCGGUAAUGUGUAUUGGUGGUUAAAUGUGUGUACGUAACUACGUUUUUACGCGUACCUAAUUUCCGUACGUGUCUUUGUUCGUACGAAGAUGCUUAUACAAGGGCACCUCUUGAUCUAGCAUAUAAUCUUGUAUAUAAUAUAGACAGUACACUGUAAGUACGUAAUUCUUUUUUAAAUGUUUCGUAUGUUUCUCUUAGGUGUUAUUUUAACCGUACCGUCUUGUUAAGAGGUUCGAUCAUUCUGUUUGUGCCAAUUCCGUAUGUACUCAUCCUUUAAGGGCUGGUUUUUCAUACACAUGUUAUGUCUUACUCAUCAUGUAAGUUUUGACCUUUCAUAUUUUUAUUAUAACUUUUAGUAGUUUUUAUUUCUUCCAGUUUUAACGUAAAAAGUUACAGGGUAAUCUUAACAUCGUUGUUAGUAUGGAAUUUGGGAUAUAGAUGAGUAGAGUAACAUACACAGUUUCUUUGUUUAUUUUACGUUUGGAACGUUACUGAAAAUUUGAAGAACCGUUCCAACAGAUCCUCGAUCAACUCCGGGAGAGGGGAGAAACACUUGGAUGUUAGUUAAUUUUAUCUCUAAAUCUAUCAGCUAUUUAUUUUGAAUUUAAGUUAACUGAUUAUAUUCGUUAUCACNACAUAGUUUUGACAAUUGUCUAUUUUGUUAAUAAUUCAUUAAAUCAAAAAUUCAAAAAGACAAAUUGUUUGUGUAUCCAACUAUGCAAAAAAUAUUCUAACUUGUUGUAGAUUGUUUAAUGUAUAUACUUUUCUUUUAUUUCUUUUAUUUGUUGCAGGAAAUGAAUUGCUGUUGAAAUAGGAGCUGAAGCAUUUUUUUUUUAUCGUUUUUAAAUAUUUUCUAUUUUUAAAGUUGAGAGAGUUAGGAAUGAUGUUGAAUUGUAUAUCGAAUAUUAUUACUCUAUUACCUUUAAAUUGACUUUGCUAUUAUUUUGUUUUUAAGCUGUUGUGAAUUAGAAGUCAAUUAGCCUUUUAAAUUGUUGUUAAAAUAAUAACUUUGUUUACUUUAAUAUUUUGUUUGUUAUUUUGUAUAUGUUCUGUUUAUAAAAUAUGAGCUGUAUAUUUUUAUAUUUAGUUUAUUACCUUUUUAUUAUUGGUGGUCAUUUAUUGCACAGUUGGUGGCGACAAAAAGUUGCAUUUUUAUUUUUAAUUAAGGUGGCGACUGUGAUGGUUGCCACUUAAGGUAAUAUUUGGUGGCGAAAAUGUAUUGCCAUCUUAUCUCCAUAAAAAAAUGACGACUAAGAAGGGCCACUAAAAAGUCAUAUUUGAUGGCGACAAUAUGUCGCCACUCUAUCUUUAAUAAGGUGGCGACUAAUAAUUGCCACUAAAAGUCAUAUUUGGUGGCGAUAAAAUGUCGCCACACAAUCUUUAAUAAGGUGGCGGCUAGCAAUAGCCACUAAAAGUCAUAUUUCGUGGCGAUAAAAUGUCGCCACGCUAUUUUUAAAAAGGUGGCGAUUUUUCAUGCUUCGCCAUAAUUUCAUUUAGCGGCAACACUUUCGGUGGCAGCUUAUGGCGACUUUAAAAGUCGCCACCUUUUAAAAAGGUGGCAACUUUUUAUAUAUAUGGUGGCGACAUUACUCGCCAUCAAUAUAUAAUAUUCUUGUAGUGUUUCUCUUCGUUUCUCAAAAAAAUUUUCAACCUAUCAUAAUUUUGAAUUAAAUAUAUCAUCGCAUUUGAAUUUAAAUAUUAAAAUGGAUCAAAAUAAAAUUUUAAAUUUUAAAUUUAAUAUGAAUUUUAUUACGAAAAUAUCUCUAUCUUUUUAACUAAUUUUUUCAUGUCCAGAAAUUUUGAGUUCGUCAGAAACAUAUAAUAUCUCUAUUAUCUUCGCAUUUGAACUUAAAUCUUAAAGUAGAUCAAAAUUAAAUUUUGAAUUUUGAUUUAAACAUGAAUUUCUUUCCGAAAAUGUCUCUAUCUUUUUUACUAAUUUUUUCAUCGUAAAAAAUUUUGAACCAUUUAUUUUAAAUAAUUCAUUAAAUUUUGGAAAGUGGAUCGAAAUUAAAUUUUAACUUUUAAAAUUAAACAUAAUUAAAAUUUUAAUUAUCUAGAAAAUACCUUAAUACUUAUCCAUCCCCAAUUUUAUCUUAUCAUAAUACUUAUCCAUACAUAAAGUAUAUCUUAUUUUAAUAUUUUCUCAUCUCCAUCUAUACGUUUCUUAAAUAUAAUAAUAAAGUAUAUCCUUUUUCAUUUUCACUAUACGUUUUCUCAAAUAUAUUAUUUUAGUAAUAUUUUAUUCGUUCCUCAUCGUUGUUCUCGGUCACCUUCGCGACAGUUGGAAAGGUAUUUUGCUCCACCUAAUUCAUUUUAAGAGUUGAGCUAUGAUACUUUUACAAGUAUCACCAUCAUGAUGCUAUUAGGUUUUAAGCCAUUGGAUUUACUUUUUGAUUAUUAAUAGCCCUUGGAUUAAACACUGUUCCACCUACCACCAUCUACCACCAUCUACCACUAUCAUCUCAACCUCACAUCUCUCCAUCCAAGGGCUAAAAACACACAAGUAUCACCCCCAUGAUACUUUUACAAGUAUUCUAGCCCUACUCUUCAUUUUAAUGUGUCAUAAUAUAAUUUCCUACUCAAUACGUCUUUCGUAUACUUUGUUUUACUUUUUAAGAUUUUUAAAUGCUAAUAAAUGUGCAUCUUCAUGACCUUUUAUCUCUCACAUUAAUUGCGCAAAUCAUCAGUAUAUUUUUUUUAGUAAUAUCUUUUUUUCAUUUUCACCUGUAUUUUUUUCAAAUAUUGUCAAAUAUUUUUUUUACUAAUAUUCUUUCUCAUUUGUCCCCGUCGCUGGCACCAGUAUAUCGUCAUCGCCGACACCGAUAUGUUGUCGCCUUCGUCACUUUUGUCACAUUUGGAGAGCUAUUUUGAUCUAAACUGAUUUUUUUUUUUAAUAUGCUUUUAUACUAUUUUAGUAUAUCUAUUUUUUAGUAUUUUCUCAUUUACAUUUAUACAUUGGCACCGGUAAAUCGUUAUCGUCAUCGCCGAAAACGGCAUAUUGUCGCCUUCACCAUCUUUGCCACAUUUGGAGAGGUAUUUUGAUCUAAACUGAUUUUUUUUUUAAUAUGCUUUUAUACUGUUUUAGUAUAUCUUUUUUUUAGUAUUUUCUCAUUUACAUUUAUACAUUUAUCAAAUAUAAAAUAUAUAUUUUGGUGGUAAUAUCUUUUUUUCAUUUUUAUCUAUAUUUUUCUUAAAUAUUCCAAAUAUUUUUUAGUAAUAUCUUUUUUCAUUUGUUCCCAUCGCCGACACCAGCGCAUCGUUAUCGUUCUCAUCAUCGACAUCACCAGCGCCGGCACAUUGUCACCUCGGCCAUCUUUACCACAAUUAGAAAGGUAGAUCCCACUUAAUUUUUUUUUUAAUAUGUCUUUAUACUGUUUUACGUUUUAAGUUUUUUUCAUGACUUUUAUCUCUUCUAUUGAGAUUGUGGCUUAAGAGAUUGUAGCUAAACUUAAGUAUAAGCAGAAAAAUUAUUAUUUGGGUACCUUAAAUUAUUUUUUUUAAUAUGUCUUUAUACUGUUUUACGUUUUAAGUUUUUUCAUGACUUUUAUCUCUUCUAUUGAGAUUGUGGCUUAAAAAAUUAUGGUUAAACUUAAGUAUAACCAGAAAAAUUGUUAUUUGAAAUUUGGAUUGCUUAGAUUAAAUAUGGGUAAAACUGUUUAAUUUCGGCCUAUAGCGUAUUUAGAUUUAUACUUACGAUUGUGAUAAUUUACUGGGCUAAAUAAACGAAUCCACAAAAAAAAGAAAAUAUGUAGAUAUAUUUAAUUGAUUUGGGCUUGAACUUGCUUAGCUUGUAAUUUGGAUUUGAAAUUGUUUAAAUCUGAUUUGGGUUUGAACUUGCCUGGUUGUACUAAAUUUAUCUAUACUACUUAUAAAAAAGUGAGUUUUUAAUAUUUUUUUUCUUUUCAAAAAUGCUAAUCCCUAUUAAUAUAAUUCUAAUCACAUACUAACAAUAUCAAUAAUUCAACUUUUAUUAGUAUAAAUCAUAGCCGUAUAAUUUAUAUUUUAUUUUCUAAUUAUCAUAAAAUGUAUUAAUUUUUGUGAUCUAAUACAAUGGCCGACCAAUUAAGUAUCUAUCAUUUUUUUUUUAUAUAAAUUGUCCUCAAGCAGUACUUAUUAAAUCCGACCUUUUAUAUAUCUAUCUUAUCUCCUAACAUAACAUCCAUAUUCCAUCUUAUCUAAUAAUAAUUCUCUUUACAAUUCAUACUUAUCUAUACUAUAUAUAAAAGCAUAUAAAAAUUAUAAUAAUGACAUACAAAAUUAAAAAAGAAAUAUAAAAAAUUUCAUGCCAAUGUUUAUGAUUAAUUUGUUAAAAAAAUAUUUCAAAUAAAAACGAAUGGUUAUGAUCAAUCUAUUAAAAAAUGGCAUUCUUAUUUAUCAAUAUAUCAAAAUUUACGAAUGGUUAUGAUUAAUUUGUUAAAAAAUAUUUUAAAUAAAAAUAAAUGGUUAUGAUCAAUUUAUUAAAAAAAAUAGCAUGCCUAUCCAUAGAUUUUACAUUAAAAUUAAAAUUUGAAUUUUAAUCAUAAAUCAUAAAUUGAAUUUAAUAUUGGAUAUCAAAUUUGAACUAAUCAUUAAAAAAUUUUAAUUAUAAUGGAUCAAAAUUAAAUUUAACAAAUUUAUAUUUAUAAAUUUGGAUAUCAAAUUUGAGUUAACAAUUAAAUAUUUAAUUCUAGUGAAUCAAAAUUAAAUUUCAAAUUUCAAAAUAAAUGUGAAUUAAAUUUUGAUGCUUUUAGUUUAAACAAUAUAUUUAAAUUUUAAAUUUAUUAGAAUUUAAAAAAAUAUAAAAAUAAUAUAGAAUAUUGCAGAUAUUUUCUAAUAUAAUAUAACAUAUAAAUUUAUCAAAUAUAAUUUUUAUUGUAUAUUUUAAAUUUUCAUAGUAUCCACUAUCUCUCAAUUAAUUAACUAAAAAUAAAUUAUAUUUGAAAAAUAGAGUGAUUAAAAAAUAAGCUUAUCAAAUCGAUUUUAAAUUUUAUGUUUGCUUCAUAAUUUCAAACGUGAAUCCAUAAUUUAAUUUAAAAUUAAUUUAAAAUUUUAAUAUUUGGCUAUAUAAAUAGGCUGUUUCAAAAUGCAAAUAAUUAAUUAUAAAUUUAUAUCUCCAAUAACUAUUUAUAUUCAAAUUAUGGAUUUAAAAUUAAUUUUAAAUUUUAAAUUUUGUUCAAAAAUUUAAAUGUGAAUUCAUUAACUUAAAAAUUAGAAUUAAUUCAAAUUUUAAAAUUUGUAUACACGUCAAAAAUAAUUGUAUAUUAUAAAAUAAAUAUGCAAAGUAUUUAUAGUGUAACUAAAUUAAAAACAUAUAAAACUUAUCCGAAGAUAAAUUAAAGUUAAAAAAAAUUUGAUAAAUAGACUCAUACCACCAAUAACUAUUUAAAUUUAAAAUAUAAAUAUAAAUUUUAUUUGAUUUAAUGUGACGUGCAUUGCACGUGCACUAUGACUAGUAUACCCAAAAAGAGAGGUUCGUGCCAGAAUUUCGUAAAUCUAAAAUAAUUUUAGUACUUGAAAAAAAAAGAAAAUUGACAAGGCAAGGGCUCAAUAUGAACGCUUGGAUAAGGGGUAUAAGAUUUACAUUUAUUUGGGUGCUGUUAGUAUUACUCUAAAAAAAAUAACUAAAAUAUAGAGACACAACUAUAGGCCACUUUGAAAAAGACCUUUCAGGUUGUAUUUAUUUAUUCUUUAAUUUAUACCCUUUUUGUUAAGGAUUUUUUAAGUUAGCGGAUUUCGUGAAGUCGAAUGGAGUCUUGAAGAGAUGAAGAUGAAGGUUGAAGAGAUGAUUUAAGCAAUUCAAGAUCAAAAGACCCAUUCAUGAUGCUCGGAAUCUCAGGUAUGAAUAUUAAUAUGUUGUAGUAAGAUUCCUGGUUCAUAAAUAUGUUUGGAAGACUUAGGAUGAUUUGAAAAUAUAAAUCUGGACAAAACUGAGUUUUUCAAGGCUCGGGGACCGGUCCCUGAAUUGAAGGACCAGACCCCGUAGGUCCUCUCUGCGUGAAGACAGAGAGGGACUAAUCCUUGAAGCAGAGGGGUCCGAUCCCCGUAAGUUGAAUUUUUGAUACGCUAAGAAGGACCGGUCCUCUGGAAUCAAGGACCGAUUUUCGUAACCUGGUUUUCUUGAUACGCAGAGAAGGACCGGUCUUCUGGAGCGAGGGACCGGUCCCCGUAACUUGGUUUUCCUGAUGCGCAGAGAGGGACCGGUCCCCUGGAACGAGGGACCGGAACCCGUAGUGUAAGGUACUGAACUUCUAAAAUUAUGAAGUUGCGGGGUAUGUUGGUUUGGAAAGCUAUUAGAAUGAUUCCGGUGAAGUUCGGAAGCAUUCGGGCGUUUUCGGAGCGCGUAGGCGCAAAAACGGGACCCGAAAGGCUAUGUUGGACUAUGGACUAAAUCCGGCAUUAGCGCAGAUGAAAAGAUGAUGAAAAUACGCUCAAAAACAUGUUUGAAGAGUCUCGGUUCGAUUUGAAAGCAAUCGGAGGCCAAACAAGCGAAAACGAACGAAAACGGAAAAGAAACGAAAAUGGCUGAAAUUUGGCUAAGUCUGGAAAUCUGGACCUACGGGGAUGGGUCCCUCGGCCUCCCUCGGCCAAGGACAGGUCCCUCAGGAACCGGUCCCUCAAGCAAGGACCGGUCCUCGUAGCUCGAAAAUGCCCUGCGUGGGCAGUGCAUAAAACACAAAGUUGAGAGGCUGUUUUGCAGUUGUUGCAUGAGUUGGUGUCACGCCUCGAGCCCGAUCUUUUUGGCCGGUUCGAGAGCGUCGAACAGACGCCGAACGGACAGAGCCUCCCCUGACCGCCCAAGGCUCAACAACAAGUAUUAAUAGAGUAUAAAGUUUGCAUAAGCGGAAGCAUACACAAUGGCUUGCACGAGGGCAAGCAAUAGCCAUUAGUGAAAGAAUCUACUAAAUCAUCACACAAGUAUUUGACUAGAUUUAAAUCACAUACAUGCAUUCGACUUUAAUACAACUUUGCAUCAUUUCUUUUAUACAUCACAAAUUCUCCAAAAUAUGAUCCUUUUUCUAUUUACAUAAAUAAAGUCUUCUACAUCAUUCCUUUAACAUGAUCACAAUACUAACAUCAUCAAGUACAAAAGAUGAUAAUAAGGGGUAUGCAACUAUGAAAAUAAAACAUCUCGGGCCGUCUCUACCUAGAGCGCGAUGCCUUUACCGCGAUCGCCUGCCGGCUCGCUCGGUCCCGGCUCUGUAGAAAUAGGGGUGUGAGAACUACAACAAAGUUCCUAGUGGGUUCGGCAACCAACCACGCCGACUAUCCCACUAGGUCUAAUCAGGCAUAAUAGAAUAGAAGAAAGAAAGUAACCAACUAACAAUGCAACUAAUAUGCCUGAACAAUAUAUAAUGCGAUGCUCGAAAUAAUACUCAUGAUGAAUGCAAGAUCAUAAUUUCUUUACCCAAUCUCUUGGCUAACCCGUAGGUUUCGUCCUCAACAAACUCACCACCCAAAAUCCUAUUAACCGGAGAGAUACCCGCUACAACCCGAUAGGACCGUCCUCUGGGGAGAUACCCGCUACAACCCAGUGAUGUCGACUCCGGAGCACAUCGCCCGAGGGGGAGCUACCACCCUCGAGCAAGGACUAAAGGUGAGUACGAUCAAUCCUACAUUGAGGAUUCCAAGUUCAAUCCAUUCCUUAACUUUAAAGAAGACCAUGCUCAAUGACCCUUAACUCUAAGAUUGCAAUGUCAUAAUAUCUCAAUCAUUCUUUUCUUUGCAUUCUUUACCAACACUAGUGUCAUAUACACUACCAAGUUCUUGUACUCAUGCCACACUUGUUUUCUAAGUGCUAUAUUCUUGUUCUCAUGCCAAAUGCCACACUUAUUUUUCUAAGUAUUCUAGACUCAUCAAUGUCACUCGCUAGAUCUAUGUCCAUGUGUCACUUUUGUUCACUAACCCUUCUAGGUUCUUGUCACUUGUCAUCCAUAAAUAGGGUUAUAAUUCUCACAUUCUUACAAGUAUUUCAUACGAAAUUAAACUCACGAUCAUGCAUAAAUAGGGAGAGGUGUGUGUGUGUGAAUGGCUGUAGAGGGAGAGGGGGUUGGGUAUAUAAGGUGUUGUAACAUUUACAACAAGACCCCUCCACUUUAUUCCCUGUGCACUGCCCAAACUGGGCAUUUUUCGCAGUGAGGGACCGGUCUCCCCGACCUGGGACCGGUCCCCGAGAGCUCCGCCCGCGAACUGCGCAGGCUGCGCGCGAUGCAACCGGUCUCCCUCGAUGGGACCGGUCUCUGGGGGACCGGUCUCUGCUCGCAAGGACCGGUUCCCAAGAGCUGAUUUUCCAGGACUUAGCCAAUUUCUCAGCCACCUCGCUGCCUACGCGUUCGGGGACCAGUCUCUCCCACCAGGGACCGGUCCCCGAGAGCACAAAACCCGCAGUGUGCAGAUUUUGAUUUCUAAAGCUCUCGAAGAUCCCCAGUAAUGUAUUUUAGCAUUAUUUGACGCCUUCGGCCUCUCCGAAGUGUACCAACCUCGCACUUUGGUCAAUUUGACCAAGGUUUGAAUUUAAUCACCGAGGUUUCGGUAUGUUACAUUCUCCACCCCUUAAAUUUAGUUUCAUCCGCGAAACUUACUUAAUUUAGACUUAAACUCAUACCUCAAUUCAGCUCGUUAAAGAGCUGAGGAUAAUGCUCCCGCAUUGCGCUCUCAAGCUCCCAAGUGGCUUCCCGAUCAUCGUGAUUGCACCAACGAAUCUUAACAUACGGAAUCUCGCGAUUUCGUAGUUUUUUUACUUCUCGAUCGAUGAUGUAUGCCGGGAACUCCUCAUAGGUCAUGUCCUCUUGGAUCUCAGACGAUUCAAACGACAAGAUAUGCUCGGGGUCGUGAACGUACUUGCGGAGAUUCGAUACAUGAAACACGUCGUGUACUCCCGCAAGCCUCGGUGGUAAUGCUAUCUUGUACGCCACCGCACCUACCCGCUCCAAUACUUCGAACGGUCCAAGGUAUCGAGGACUUAGCUUUCCACGGAGCCCAAACCAUCUAAUUCCUCGCAUCGGCGAUACUUUUAGAAAGACGUGGUCGCCAACUGCAAACUCUAUGUCUUUUCUCUGCUUGUCGGCAUAGCUCUUUUGCCGGGAUUGCGCCGUAGCCAGCCGCUGGCGGGCGAGGCGAACCUUCUCCUCCGCUUCCCGCACUACAUCGGGGCCGAGAGCUGCUCUCUCACCCACAUUGCUCCAAUGGAUUGGAGAGCAACAUUUCUUUCCAUAAAGGGCCUCGAAUGGCGCCAUCGCGAUACUCUCUUGAUAGCUGUUAUUGUACGCGAACUCCGCCAUUGGUAGAUGAUCGUGCCAACUGCCCUUGUAGUCCAAUACACACGCUCGGAGCAUAUUCUCAAGUAUUUGUAUCGUCCUUUCCGAUUAACCAUCACUUUGAGGAUGAAAUGCUAUGCUAAAGUCGAGCCGUGUGCCCAAGGCCUCCUGUAGGCUUCUCCAAAAAUGAGAUGUGAACCUCGGGUCCCGAUCUGAUACGAUAGACACCAGUACCCCGUGAAGUCUCAUAACCUUGUCGAUGUAUAGUUGAGCCAACUUGUCCCCCGACCAAGUAAUAUGAAUCGGUAGGAAAUGCGCCGACUUCGUCAACCGGUCUACUAUCACCCAAAUUACGUCGUGUCCACCUUGAGAUCGAGGCAAUCCGGUCACGAAGUCCAUUGCGAUAUUUUUCCAUUUCCAAACGGGUAUAGGUAAACUUUGCAACUUCCCCGUCGAAAAACGCCGCUCCGCUUUUACUUGUUGGCAAGUAAGACAUUGCGCAACAAACUCCCCAAUGUCUUUCUUCAUGCCCGGUCACUAAUAAUGCAGUUUCAAAUCUUGGUACAUUUUGGUGCCGCCCGGGUGUAUACUAUAAGGCGAUUGAUGCGCUUCUUGCAUAAUCGCCCUGCGGGUGUCCUUGUUCUUAGGCACGCACCAACGGUUUCUAAACCGGAGUGCACCGUCGGUCCCAAUGCCAAAAUCAUCGGCACUACCGCUCUCAACUUCACCAUGCACCUUUUGGAGAUAAUCAUCGGAAGCUUGCAGCUCUUUUAUCCUCUCCAGCAAGGUCGGUUGCACCACUAACGCGGUAAGUGUAUCUGGCACUCCCGGCUCCACUACUUCCAAUCCAAGCCAUUGCAUCUCCUUUUGUAACAACGGUUAGGGUGUAAUUGCCGAUGCCAAAUUUUCUCCCGAUUUUCUACUAAGUGCAUCGGCCACCACAUUUGCUUUCCCGGGGUGGUAUAGAAUAAUAACAUCAUAGUCUUUCAACAAUUCUAACCACCAUCGCUGCCGUAUAUUUAGCUCCUUUUGGGUGAACAAGUAUUUAAGGCUCUUGUGGUCCGUGUAGAUCUCACAAUGUUCCCCAUAUAGGUAAUGCCUCCAUAAUUUUAGCGCGAAAAUAACCGCCGCUAACUCCAGAUCGUGGAUCGGGUAGUUUUUCUCAUACGUCUUCAAUUGGCGCGAAGCAUACGCUAUAACUCGGCCGUUUUGCAUCAAGACAUACCCGAGUCCUACGUAGAAAGCAUCACUAUAAACCACAAAGGUCUCCCCCGGCGUCGGUAGAGCAAGCACUAGGGUCGUGGUCAAUUUUUCUUUUAGUUCCUCGAAGCUCCGCUCGCAUUCGGGGCUCCAAACAUACUUCACCCCUUUGUGCGUAAGACGCGUUAGUGUAGUAGUUAUUUUAGCAAACCCCUCUACGAACCGCCGGUAAUAGCCCGCUAGCCCAAGGAAACUGCGGACCUCCGAUACGCUCGUUGAUCGAGGCCAAUCUCUAAUUGCCUCAACUUGCUUCGGGUCCACCGAGAUACCAUUGCCCGAAAUUACAUGACCAAGGAAAGUGACCUCCGAUAGCCAAAAGUCGCAUUUCUUCGACUUGGCAUAUAACUUCUCUUUUCGGAGUAUUUCCAACACGGUCCUUAAGUGCUCCUCGUGUUGUUCCUCGGUCCGAGAAUAUACCAAUACGUCGUCAAUGAAUACCACGACGCAACGGUCCAAUAGCGGACGGAAGACCCUAUUCAUUAAGUCCAUAAAUGCCGCCGGGGCGUUAGUAAGCCCAAACGGCAUCACCGUGAACUCAUAAUGGCCAUACCGCGUACAGUACGCCGUCUUGUGCACAUCCUCGGGCCGUAUCUUCAACUGAUGAUACCCCGACUGAAGGUCUAUCUUCGAGUACACCCUCAACCCUUGCAAUUGAUCGAAUAAAUCGUCAAUCCUCGGCAAUGGGUACUUGUUCUUCACUGUGACCUUAUUCAACUCGCGGUAGUCCACGCAGAGUCGAAGUGUGCCAUCUUUCUUUUUAACAAAUAGCACCGGAGCUCCCCACGGUGACACGCUUGGCCUCACGAAGCCUUUGUCGAGCAAGUCUUGCAACUGUGCCUUAAGCUCUUUUAGCUCCGCGGGUGCCAUUCUAUACGGGGCCUUCGAAAUUGGAGCCGCCCCGGGUACCAAGUCAAUAAUGAACUCGAUUUCCCAGUCCGGUGGCAAACCCGGUAACUCCACCGAAAAUACGUCCGGAAACUCACACGCCACCCGAAUACCACUAAGUUCCGAGCGCUCCUUCGGGGCUUCUACCACUGUCGCCAAAUAGGUUUCACAACCACCUCUUAUCAUUUUCCUCGCCCGUGCCACCAACACGGUCGCCGCGAAGAGCGAGCUUUUAGCUGCCCGAUACACUAGCUCCUCUCGAUUAGGCUCACGAAACGUGAUUACCUUACUUUCGAAAUCUAUCACAGCAUAAUACUUGGAGAGCCAGUUGGUCCCCAAGAUCACGUCGAAACCCCACAUUCGAUUCAACACCAACAGGUCGAUCGGCAUAACCCAAUCACCUAUCUGCACUGGGCACGCUACACACUCUUCGUGAAUAUGGAAAGUAUGCUAGACCGAAUUCACCGUCCAAUAGUCAUAAUGAUGCACAAUCUUAAUGCCAUGAGCCCUAGCGAAUGAUGCAUCUAUGAAUGAAUGUGAUGCACUAGUGUUGAAGAAAGCUCUAGCUCUAGUGCCUCUGAUUGAGAUAAUACCUGCCACGAUGUCGUCGGAAACAGGAAUCGGCUCCUCUUCCACCUGAGUGCAAAAACCCGUCCACUCGGUGCUCUCGAUGCCUCCGGCUGACGCGAUGAAGACAAGCGUCCAGCCGAUAUAGCCGGCGGUAAUCCCGCCUGCUGCCUCGGGGUAUAAGGGACUGAUGCCGAGGUCGAUGCAGAUGAACUCCAGCUAGGGCACUCUCGUGACACAUGCCCAGGUUGGCCACACUUAAAGCAUUUUCCCUCCCGCUGCGGGCACGACGGCGGUUGAUGGUUGCCGCCGCAAAUAACACAACGGGAUGGUCUCCAACCCCUCGACUGCUGUCAGGGAUACCGAGGGGGUUUCUUAGCAUUUGGCCGGCCCUCGGUACCACCCGCUGUCCGCUUCUUGCUCUUCUCCCUUGCCUCGGCUGCGGACUCACGCUCCUCGCGCUCAUGGGCAUAACCAUGCUCCGCCGACAAAGCCCGAUCAAAGACCUCCGCAAAGGUCGUGAGCUUGAGGAUCUGCACGGCCCUAUGAAUCCCUGGCCGCAAUCCUCGUAGGAACCAGUCCGCUCGGUCCCGGUCAUCCCUGACAACAUCCGGAACGCAGUGAAUGAGGUGGGAGAACUCCUGCUCGUAGUCUGCCACCGAGCGAUCCUCUUGCCUCAACUUGCGGAAUUUCUCUUGCAACUUCCGCUUCACCGUAUCGGGGAAGUAGUUGGCGAACACCGCCCUCCGAAACUCCUCCCACAACAUAGGCGGAAGAUCGGGCGACCGAUCUCGCCUAACAAGCUUCCACCACACCUUCGCCGCCUUCUCAAGGCAAUGUGUGGCGAGGUACACCUUGUCCUUCUCCAAGGUGUUAAGGUCCUCGUAAAGUGUCUCUAUGGAGUCGAUCCAGGACUCCACCACCGCCGGUUCCACCACUCCCCCUUCGAAGGUAGGUGGGUUGAACUUCUGAAACUGAAUGAGAGCCGCCAACGCGCGCUCCCGCUCCGCCUCCUCCGCCGCACUAUCGGGGUUUGAGGUCCCCGAUCCUGCCGGCACCAUCGUAACUGGCACGACCGCCGCGACCACACCCUCGGCCGCACUCGGCACCACUGCAGGAGGCGCAGAGUGCACGGCCUCCACGGGCGCCGCCGCCACCUGCUGCCGCUCCAAGGCCUCCUGGAGCCUUUGGAUUUGCUCCCCUUGGUGCUGAAUGGAUUCCGCCUGCUGCCGCACUAUGCCAAUAAGCGCGGCCAUCUGCUCCCGAAGCUCCCGGUCGCCACCUGCUCCGGGUUGCACGGGAGCCGUACUUGACUCCUGGGCCAUAGAUCUCGUCCGCGGUCGACCACGAGGUAGCUUAGGUCGUCCACGAGGCGGCAUUGCUUCAUGAAACGAAGCAACUCACGUUAGUUACUUAGACAGUAUACUCGAUUAUACCCAAUUCGGCGAAAGCAUAUAAGUGCAUUUAUUUUCAUUCCAAAGCGUUUUGUCGUCGGCCGCCGAUCACAACACAAGGAAAAGCAAACGAAUAACAACUUAAGUUCAGUCCCUAACCACAUUAGAGACAUAAUUACAUCGAUCCAAUCCAUGCCUUCGCUAAAACUUAUUCAGUGUCGCUCACGUUUCCUAGAUCCUUAAGGUUCUCCAUUCCUAAGGGUCUCUAGGUCCAUCCUAUGCUUUCACUUUCUGGCUCUUUACGCUCGGAUACCAUCUUAUCUGUCAUGCCCCGAGCCCGAUCCUUUUGGCCGGUUCGAGAGUGUCGAACAGACGCCGAACGGACAGAACCUCCCCUGACCGCUCAAGGCUCAACAACAAGUAUCAAUAGAAUAUAAAGUUUGCAUAAGCGGAAGCAUACACAAUGGCUUGCACGAGGGCAAGCAAUAGCCAUUAGUGAAAGAAUCUACUAAAUCAUCAUACAAGUAUUUGACUAGAUUUAAAUCACAUACAUGCAUUCGACUUUAAUACAACUUUGCAUUAUUUCUUUUAUACAUCACAAGUUCUUCAAAAUAUGAUUCUUUUUCCAUUUACAUAAAUAAAGUCUUCUACAUCAUUCCUUUAACAUGAUCACAAUAUUAACAUCAUCAAGUACAAAAGAUGAUAAUAAGGGGUAUGCAACUAUGAAAAUAAAACAUCUCGGGCGGUCUCUACCUAGGGCGUGAUGCACUUACCGCGAUCGCCUGCCUGCUCGCUCGGUCCUGGCUCUGUGGAAAGAGUGGGUGUGAGAACUACAACAAAGUUUCCAGUGGGUUCGGCAACCAACCACGCCGACUAUCCCACUAGGUCUAAUCAGGCAUAAUAGAAUAGAAGAAAUAAAGUAACCAACUAACAAUGCAACUAAUAUGCCUGAACAAUAUAAAAUGCGAUGCUCGAAAUAAUGCUCAUGAUGAAUGCAAGAUCAUAAUUUCUUUACACAAUCUCUUGGCUAACCUGUAGGUUUCGCCUUCAACAAACUCACCACCCAAAAUCCUAUCAACCAGGGAGAUACCCGCCACAACCCGAUAGGACCGUUCUCUUGGGAGAUACCCGCUACAACCCAGUGAUGUCGAUUCCGGAGCACAUCGCCCGAGGGAGAGCUACCACCCUUGAGCAAGGACUAAAGGUGAGUACGAUGAAUCCUACAUUGAGGAUUCCAAGUUCAAUCCAUUCCUUAACUUUAAAGAAGACCAUGCUCAAUGACCCUUAACUCUAAGGUUGCAAUGUCAUAAUAUCUCAAUCAUUCUUUUCUUUGCAUUCUUUACCAACACUAGUGUCAUAUACACUACCAAGUUCUUGUACUCAUGCCACACUUGUUUUCUAAGUGCUAUGUUCUUGUUCUCAUGCCAAAUGUCACACUUAUUUUUCUAAGUGUUCUAGACUCAUCAAUAUCACUCGCAAGAUCUAUGUCCAUGUGUCACUUUUGUUCACUAAUCCUUCUAGGUUCUUGUCACUUGUCAUGCAUAAAUAGGGUUAUAAUUCUCACAUUCUUACAAGUAUUUUAUACGUAAUUAAACUCACGAUCAUGCAAUAAAAACUCACAAUUAACCCUACUAUGCAACAUGCUCAAUAUAUACAUAUAUGUUCAAACAUGACACUUUAGACAUAAAGAGAUUUUCGAGGUCCUUGGAAUGCACCACCCACCUCGAGUGGUCGCGUAGGUGUAGAAUACGACGACUCCCGAACUUUACGAAAGCCGAUUCCGCGUCCUAUAACCAAAAUAGUGCCAUAUUAGGCCUUUCGUACAUGAACCAUACUUAAACAUUUUCGUAACGUUAAACGGAGGUGUCCAACGCGUCGUGGACACCCCUAAUUAGGUUUCUACGGGGUCAAUUCGCCCCUCAAAAAUUCUAGGGCAAAAGUCCCAAAUUUGGUACCCUAACCAAACCCAUUGUUAAACCCUAGGUUUUGAUCUCUAAAACAAGCAAAAGAGAGCUUGUCUAACCUCUAGGUGCUCAUCUAAGGUCAACCAAGCCAUUUCUAGGGCAUUCAAGAUGAACCCUAGAAGUUCACCAUGAGAGGAUCUUGGGCUUCCAUGGAUUUUUAUGGAGCUCAAGCCUCAAGAGGUGCUCUAAUCAUCGAAGAAGCUCCAAAACCUAAGUUUUCUUGGGAGAAAUCCAAACCCUAGAGCUCUACAUGCUAAAACAACUUACCUUGGCCCAAGUUCUAGCAAGCUCCUUCUUGUUGGAGAGCUUCUAGACCCACCAAGUCCACCAAAAAUCCCUCCUCAAGCUUCUUCUUCUUCUUCUCCUUCAAGCCCUAGGUGAUUUCUAGAGAGAGAGAGGAGAGAGGAAAUAAGAGGGAGAAGUGUGUGUGUGUGAAUGGCUGUAGAGGGAGAGGGGGUUGGGUAUAUAAGGUGUUGUAACAUUUUCAACAAGACCCCUCCACUUUAUUCCCUGUGCACUGCCCAAACUGGGCAUUUUUCGCAGUAAGGGACCGGUCUCCCUGACCUGUGACCGGUCCCCAAGAGCUCCUCCCGCGGACUACGCAGGCUGCGCACGAUGCAAUCGGUCUCCCUCGAUGAGACCGGUCUCUGGGGGACCGGUCUCUGCUCGUAAGGACCGGUUCCCGAGAGCUGAUUUUUCAGGACUUAGCCGAUUUCUCAGCCACCUCGCUGCCUACGCGUUCGGGGACCGGUCUCUCCCAACAGGGACCGGUCCCCGAGAGCACAAAACCUGCAGUUUGCAGAUUUUGAUUUCCAAAGCUCUCGAAGAUCCCCAGUAAUGUAUUUUAGCAUUAUUUGACGCCUUCGGCCUCUCCGAAGUGUACCAACCUCGCCCUUUGGUCAAUUUGACCAAGGUUCGAAUUUAAUCACCGAGAUUUCGGUAUGUUACAGUUGGGGUAUACUGGUGAUGUAGGGCUCACUCCCUCUCAUUUCUCUCAAUUGCAACCACCCAACAAACACUCUCUUUCUCUCUAGAAGCUCUCCCUCUCUCUAGAAGUGGAAUCAAGAGGAGGAUAAGGUGGAGAUUGGAGCUUGAAGGAGGACCACCAUUGUUAUCUUCUUCCUUAGCUUGGAGAAGGAGCUUAGUAGAGGUAAGCUCUUUGCCUUCUCAUGGUAGAAUGCUUGGAUUAGGGUUUUAUACUGUAGAAAUGGAAUCUAAUGGUGCUCUAAGAGUAGUUAAUCUCAUUUAUUGGAAGAAUAGUAGCUUGUAUGAAGCUAAUUGCAACAAUAGUGAUUUAGGGUUCCAAAAAGAGGGCUUUUGCUCAUGAGUAGUUUUGAUCUAAAUUGAUCACUCUCUAACCUAAUUGUUAGGCCUACGAACGUGUUCGUGCACUCGGUUUGAGUAUUCGUCGAGGUUACGUGAAGAUAUUGAAGAAAAUGGCGAUUUCGGUACAGAUUGUCGCAGCACGCGGCGUAGGCUUCCAAAAAUCAAGAAACCGAAAUCGUAGCAUCGUGACAUCACCAAAAGGUGGGGGGUGUCCAUCCCGAAGCAACCGGGCUUCCUUUUAUGUCUAAGUUCUAUUUUGAUCAUAUUCAUAUAUUGAUAUUGUGCAUUAUAGGAUUAGUAAAUGAUUACAUUCCAUUUCCUUGCAUGUUUCCUAUGGUAGUGUAGCACUAUGGGCUUGACACUUGAACUUAGGUUGCAUGAGGAUUGGGUCAUAUGACAAGAAUCCUACAGUGACAAGAAUGAUGAUGAACUUGGACUUGUGAUGAUGAAAACAAGUGGCAUUCAAAUUAGUAUAGUAGAGACACUAUAAUAUGGACGACUGGCAUGUCAAUUUAGUGUAUUGAGACACAUACAACAUCAUGACAUAAAUGAGUGGCAUCAGAUCUAGUGUAGUGGAACACUAUGGCAUUUGAACCUAGGAAUAGUAGAUUUUUUCAAUUGUCAUGUUGUAGACAUUAUGCAUUGGCAUUAGUGCAGCUGAGGCAUUGUGACCCUGGUAGAUAGGGUAUCUUCUUGUGAGGAUUGGAUCAUACUCACUAGUCUGUUUUCGUUUGUCAGUGGUCACUCCACCGAAGCUGUGGUCUCCGGAGUACUUCACAUAGGGGCAGACGUAGUUGUCCCUGUCUGCGACCACGAAUGACGCACCUCACACGGUUUAUCUUAUUUUAAUUUUCCAUGGGGUAGUAUUUAUGACUCAGAUUAAUAUUUGAUAUAUAUAUGGGUAUCAAGUAUUGUGGAUUUAUGGCUUCCAAUAAAUGCAAGCGUUUAUUGUUAAUUACCCCUACAAAGUGUUAGGGCACCUUCGAUUAAGAGAUCUCUGUAAUGCUGAAAUAGACUGAAAUUAAAUAAAAGAUGAAUUUUAUAAAUAAUUCACUAUACAAUUACAUAGCAUAACCAGAGACAUACCCCCCAGCGUACAUGAAUAAAAGAGAAAAUGAUUAGUUCAACGACAUGAGUAUGACGGUCGAUUGAACUUAAUUUGGAUUACACCUAUAAUUUUAAGGGGUUAAUCCAAUUAGAUUUAACUAAAUCCUAGUUACAUGUAUUAGGAUUUAGUUGGGUUUGAAUUGAUUAGACUCUUUGAUUCAAAUUAAACUCUAAUUAGAUGCAUUAGAGUUUGAUUUGGUUAAUUGAACUUUAAUUGUAUGUGAUAAAGUCCAAUAGAAUUUGAUUUGAUAUUCAAUUUAAGCUUUCAUCCUAAAUGUAUAUGUUAGGAUUAGCCCAAAUAUUUUGAAUUAGACUCUAAUUUUAUAUCUUAGAGUCUAGUGUAAUUAGGCUCUAAGCUUAUGUGUUAGGGCUUAAUCAUAUUUACUUUGGGUUCACCAUAAGGUGAAAUGUUAACUAAAUCCUAAUUAUAUAUAUUAGGAUUAGUCAAAUUUAAUUUAAAUUAAACUCUAAGUAUAUGUAUUAGAGUCUAACUUAGCUUCAUUUAUUUGAACUCCAAGUAGAUGUAUUAAAGUCCAAUAAAUUUAAUUUGAUUAGAUGAAACCUAAUCUAUUAUUUUUUACCUUAGUCACAUAUACGAAGAUAAAUAGAUGGUUUGAUCAAUUCUAAACAAAUAUUUUAGAAUUCGAUUUAGCAUGAAUGUGGUAGCAAAUAUGACUUUAGUUUAAUGUGCUAGAGAAUUGGGUUAAGAAGAUUUGUCCUUAACAAAUUGGUAAGGCUUGGUUUCAUAUCCAUGUAGUUUAGAGUGUGAGUUUGAACUAUGGUUCUUAAGUCUCAUGAAGAUCUAAAUUGGCCUUGAUCUAGUUUGGGCACACUCUUUUUUUUUGGGUUAGGUUUGUAUUCAAACUUGAGCCUGGGCUCAGAGCGGGUUCAUGUAAUUCAAGUUAAAGUUUAAUUUUGCUGUGGGCUCAGGCAUGGACUAAAUUUAGGAUUCGGGCAUGGGCUAAAUUCAGGCCCAUGUUGUAUGGAUUCAGGUUGAGUCCUGAAUGUGGGCUCGGGCUCAAUUUAGGCUCGUAUGGCUUAAGUCCAUGUUUUCUUUAGGCAAGCCAUAGAAUUAGGCCCAGAUUUAUGUUUGAGUUGAACCUGGGUUAUGCUGAGCUUGGGUUAUGUGAUUUGAGGUGAGUACGGGCUUGGUCCAUACGAGAUUUUGAGAUGGUUAGUUUGAAAUUAUUUGGGAUUUGUUUGAGAUCAAAAUGUUAACCUCAAAAAUUUAAAUAUCUAAUUCAUAAUCAAAUUCAAUGCUUAAAAUUUCGCGUGCACUUUUCUAAUUUUCAAAUUCUCAGUCAUGAAUAAUGAAAAUUCAACUUAAUUUAAUUUGGAGCAUAGAAUGUGUCACGCCCCGAGACCGCUACCAAUUUGGUCCGGUUCGGGCGCGUCGAACAGACGCCGAACAGACAGCACCUCCCCUGUCCACCCUAGGCUCAACAAUAAGAUCUUGUACAUUUUUGUUGCCCAGGAUGACAUACAACAUACAUGAAUAAUACGAAGCACCACAUGUGCUAUACAAUUAAGAGCAAGACACACGUAAUAAAACGAGUGAUAUAAAGAGAGUAACAUCUAGCUAUUACCUCCACAAGGCAUUCAACAUUUAGAUCCUUGAUUACAUUUACAUCUCCAAAAUGAAUAUUCAUGAUAAUCUCCAAAAUAUAUAAGCAACCUCCCAAAAUACAUCAUAUGUCACGGGGUACACGAGGGUACACUAAUGCAAGUGGAAGCUGCUAACUACACCUAGGGCGCGAUGCCCUUACCACGGUCCUCUACCGGUGCUCUCUCGCUAGGCCCUACAACAGAGUGGGGUGAGAACUAUAUAAAUAUACAAUAUAAUUCCCAGUGGGUUCGGCCGCCGACUCCGCCGAUCUCCCCACUAGGUCUAAGCAGGCAUAAGUAGAUAGAUAGAUAGAUAUUUUAAGCUAUAAAUGAUUCAUAUAGAAAGAAUUGCAAGAUUCUACUAUGCCUCUAAAACAAGAGUAAACCACAUAGCCAUGUAAUCUCUAACAUGCUACCAUAACUCUAUGAAGUAUACCUGCAACUCUGCUAUGCUCAACAUGCUUAACAUGCUCGAUAUGCCCAAUAUGCUCAACUUACAUAACCCUCUUGAGUUUAUUACCCAAUCAUCUGGCUGGCCCAUAGGCGCGCCCUCGACUCACAACUCAAAUCCGUCUAUGAAGGGGGACUCGAACCACCCGAGGGAUUGUCUGCGGGACCCCAUAUAGGCUAUCCCUUGGGACCCCAAAUAGGCUAUCCCAAUCGUUUCAAGUGCCAAAACUCCGGAGCUCGCACUACUUGUGCGGAGCGACCGCCACAAGCGCUGAACAGACUGUGUGAGUAUGAUCAAAUCGGUUUCCAACGAAGGUACCCGUUCACUAUGACCAACAUGCACAAGUGUUCUUUUAACACUACGUUCUAAUGCCACUCGUCAAGUUGUUUACUUGGUAUACAUAUGCCACUCGUCAAGUAUGUACUUGGUUUAGAUGUUAUUUGCCAUAAUGCAAUUGUCCCGACUAUACUAGUCAUAUGUCAUCCAUGCAAGAUCAAGUUUUUGUUUAACUUAUCUCUAUAGGGUUCUAUGUCACAAACUCAUUCUCAUGCACCCUAAGUUCACAUGCCAAGCCUACUAUGCCGCAACACAAGAGAGCAUGCAAGAAUAGUAAAAGUAACAUCUAAAUACCCUAACAUGCAUGAUACUAUAUAUGUAGUAUGUUCAACAUAGAAAUACUUAGACAUAGGGAGAAGCCCAGUUGCUUCGGGAUGACACUCCCCACUUUUUAUCACUAUCACGAGGCUAGGGUUCCGAUUUUGUGAUUUUUGGAAGCUUUCGCCACGAGCUGCGGCAAUCUGUACCUUAACGGCUUCGUUCUUUAAUAUCUUCACGUAGCCUCGUCGUAUCGCCGAACCAACUUCGCCAACGCGUCAGAAAAUCUAGAAAUUAGGUUUAUACAUGAUCAAUUUAGAUCAAAAUCCUUCACAAGCAAAACCCCUCUUUUGAUGCCCUAAGAUGCAACUAUGCAAGAAUUCAUCAUUUGAUCUCUAAAUUCAAGCAUCAACCAUCUAUUUAGCAUCUAGGAGUUUCACUAAACCCAUUUCUAAGGCAUACAAAUCAUUACUUAGCAAUCUACCAUUGUUGCUAUCAAAGCUUAACUCUCAAACCCAAGCUCUCUUCAAGCCAAUGGUGAAGAAAAAGAAAGCUUCACCUCUAAGUAAGCUUUGCUCUAUCAAACUCCACACUUUGGAGCAAAUCCUAGAGAGAGAGAGAGAGAUUUCUCUUAUGUUGGCUCAAGUAGAGAGGAAUGAGGGAAAUGACAUAACACCCUUAUAUACAUAUAUAAGAGGAAACUUCACCUCCAAGUAAACUCCCCCAAAACACUAUUCACUUCAGCAGUUUAAAACUGACAUUUUUCGCCGAAGCCCUUCUGAACGUCCGUUUGCGCCCAAAUUUGACAGGCAGGCUCGGUUUUACUUAAUAAGUCCAAAGAAAUUUUAAUUUUUCAGUUUCGACCAUGUUUGGUCACCGAAAGCUAUACCGAACUGUAAUCUUUAUCAGAUAGCAGUCGGAUUUUAUUUUUUACUUUCCGGGGCGUCAGAAUGGUAUGAAACUUUAAAUCUAGCCUCAUAAAAAUAAUUCUGACAUAUCUUCCAGUUUUUAUAAUUUUCUGACACUGUGCAUUUUCUGCUAAUUUUUCUGCUCCGUUUCACGCAGAAAAUUCUAAAUCUUUUGUUUUCGCUCCGACUUCAACACGGGUCAUUCCAGACUUAUAUUUUACUUCUAUAAGUAGAACAAAAAUAGUAUCUCAUACUAUUUUUAUUUAUAUUUAUUUUUAUAAUAAAUUCCGACAUACUAUACCCUACCGUAACUUCUUACUUUCUGGAGUUCGGUAUCUUACAGAAUGUCCAAUGCGAUUAAAUCUCGAUUUGGUCUAAUUUGGCCAAAUCGAGAGGUUUGAUUUUGGAUAGAAUUAAGGGGUUCGAUUAUUUUUGGAACAUCACGUUGUUCUUCUAAUAAAAAGACGAUCAAAAGAAUAACAAUCAAUAAUCCGAUUGAUUUCUUUUGCCUCUUAAUUAUGAGAGAAUUAACAGAGUAUUUUUCUCUCUUUAUCUCCUUUGAAGGUACAAGACAACAAAGAUGGAUAAUCCUUCUUUGCCUCUCUAAGUAACAAAGCUCUCUCUCUCUUUUGAUGAUAUAUUUUUUACGAAGAGAAGAGCACCGCUCUCUCUCUUUUGAUAACACACUUUUUUUUUUUACAAAGAAAAGAGCACCGCUCUCUCCCUCUUUUAAUGACAUAUUUUUACAAAGAGAAGAGCAUUGCUCUCUUUCUAUACGCAGGUUAAGUUUGCCGUCGAAAAAAAAUACAUCUUGGGUAUUUCAUCGAACAGUUGGUAGGCGUGGUGCGUUGCGCAACUCCGAUUGCGUUGGAAUCGCAACAGAGAGUUGGAAGUCGCGGCUAUGAUAGAGUCGGUGUAGUGGCAAGGUCGAAGGUAAAGAAAUCGACGAGGUCGUCGGGCAUCAACUCGGGAUGGACGCCGACAUUCCGCAGCAUCCGCAGCAGGUACUCUAACAGCACCACUUCGCGCACGAUGAUCACUGCCGACGACAUCCCCUCUCCUCCGUCCGAGCGCUCGAUGAGGACGCGGAAGAGCGGGUGGUCGAUGAGGUCGGAGCUGACCAGGUACCGGCGUUGGGACUUGUCGACAUAGAUUGGGUGUAGCCCGCGCGACACGACGUCCAAAUGCUUGUCGACGGCGCUGUCGGCAUCAAAUUUUGGCUCCUCCAACCGCUGCUGCCACAUGUUGUCAUCUUCGUUGUGGGGAAUGAAGAAUCCGCAGGCGAUGAGCGAGAUGCAACGGCUGCUGCCGGAGGGGGAGUAGAAUUAUAGAAGCCUCUUUUUAAAGAAGCGCUGCUCGUUGCAAACACAGAUCGAACACCUGGUGAGCGGUGACGAGGUCGGCCAUGACGGAGACGAGGCCGGUAUCGAGGGCGUCCCGUAGAAGGCCGACCGCAGCGACGCGAAGAGCCUGGCGGACACGGCGAACAGCGGCAUGUGCUGGACGUCCGGGUCGAAGUCCAGGCUGUUGCAGGCGAUGUGGUGCGCAUUGUGGUUCUGCUUCCACCACUCGCUGCUGAUCCCCGCCAUGCAGUUCCCCGCCACCACCUGCACGAGUCGGUUCAGUGUGGGGUGAGCAGGACGUUGUAGUGGCCGGAGUCGUGGCCGAGGAAGCCGGACUGCAUCCAGAGCGCGCCCAUGAGGACCGCUGAGAGCAGGUGGACGGCAGGGCUGGACGACGCGACGACGUCGUAGACGGCGGCGGCGAGCAUGAGGAGCAUGGCCGCCAGCACGAGGAGCGGGGUGAGGUUGUCGUGCGGGAUCGCAAACACCUCGUUGCCCACGGCCACGACUGCGAUCUGGGUCGCCGGGUAGUACGCUGUCACGUUCCGCUACGCCCACCCGAGCGCGUAGCCCGAGCGCGACGCGGCCGCGAUCCUUGUCGGCGUCGACGUCGGCAUCGGCGUUCCCGCGGCUGAAGAGGCCGUAGGAGAUGGCGAUGCCCACCAGGAGGAGGUGGAGGAGACUAAAUAUUAAGUAAAAGUAGAGAGGGAGAGAGGGCUUCCUUUUUUAUUUUUUUAUUUUAUUUUUUUUAGGAGAGAGAGAGAGCGCUUUGAUGCAGCAUCAAUGGAGAAGAAGGAAAUAAUUAUUACUAUCUUUUUCUUCUCUUUCGUGAAGAAGGAAGAUAACAAGAGGUGUGUCUUUUUUUGUUUAGAAUAGGUUAGAAAAGGCUCCUUUCAAGUGGGUUCCAAAUAGAUAUUUAUGGACUUAGUUAUAACUACUUGGAAUUUUUCUCUUUUUUUUUUUAGAACGUGUAGAUGAUGGGGUAGUGGGAUGUGGGAGAUGUGGAAAGUUGGGAUCAUGGAUAUGAUAUUGCAACUUAACCCUUUUAAUUUGCUUAUAUUAUAUUUUAGUUAAAAUAAAAGAGUAAUAUAUAUAUAACAAAAUAUUUAUAUGCUUGAAGUAGAGCAUUUUACAAAUAUAUGAAAGGAAAAGGACUAAUUUGCUAAAUAGUACAUGUGUAAUAGCCAUGCAUGCCUACGAGAGCAUUCUUUCUCUUCCUUCUUUUUUGUAGUCUAUGCACCUAGUGCAUAGAUUAACCUAUGCACCAUGUUCAAAAUUUGAAUUCAAAUUUUCUCUAUCUACCUAGUGUAUAGAUCAUCUCAUACACCAUAUUCCUAUUCAAAAGUUGGAUUCAAAUUUUCUCUCCUUCUUUCUCUUUUUUUUUUCUCUUUUUUUUGUGCUUUAAUAGUCCCGCAGGCGGUCUCGGUGUACGAGUGCAGCUUCUCCUCACCUAUGAGAUUGAGAGUGAGUCGGGGUAGCAACCAUCGGGUUGGCCCUGGGGUAGCAACCUUCGGGUUUGCCAUGAGAUGGGAUAUUAUCGAGGCAUAGUUGCACUGCGCACUAUGUAGUAGCUCGUUCAUUCAUGUGAUUAUUUGAAGUCUAGUAUUACGUGGUAGAUCAUAUACUAGGUAGUAGCUCAUUCAUGUAUUCAGUUUUGAGAUAUAGUAUCAUAUUGUUGGUUUAUACUACAUAGUAGCUCAUGCAUUUCACUUGGAUAUGGCAUUCUGAUAUUUGAGGCAUAGUAGCAUGUUGCAGGAUACAUUACUAUGUAGUAGCUCAUUUUCAUUGUUGUUGAGACAUAGUAUUAUGUGUAGUUUACAUUACUAUGUAGUAGCUUAUUUUCAUUAUUGUUGAGGCAUAGUAUCAUGUGUAGUUUGCAUACUAUGUAGUAGCUCAUUUCUUUUAUUGUUGAGGCAUAGUAUCAUGUGUAGUUUACAUUACUAUGUAGUAACUCAUUUCUAUUAUUGUUGAGGCAUAAUAGCAUGUGUAGAUUGCAUACUAUGUAGUUGCUCAUACAUUGGAUCAUUGAGGCAUAGAUCAAAUACUAUGUUGUAACUCAUAUCCUUGAUUAUUGAAGGCAUAGUAGAUUGUUGCAGAUUACUUUACUAUGUUGCUUUUCAAUUUCAUAUCUAUCUAUCUAUCUGCUUGUGCCUGCUUAGAUGUCACGCCCGGGUACCAGCGGAAGCAUACCCGGUACGUGCACAGACCCGCCAUACACCUGCAGUGUAUAAGGCGUCUAUAGAACAAAGCAAGGCAAUAGGAGAAAUCAUAGGAGAUCCUAUUUCAAUAUCAGAGCAAUGUACAAGUCGAUAUAUUAUCAGUAAAAGAACAAAGAGUAUACAAUCCACAAUCCCAGCAGAAGGAGAAGAAGUAUGAACUAUAACGUCUGGAUCUACAACUCAUAUACAACACAGGGUACACAAAAACAUCUGUACAAAGGUAGUCACUCUAUACAAUGGACAUCAUCCUCGGCCGUAGCCCGAGUAGCAAGGUGAUCGAUUAGCACGCUCCUAGCAAAGUCUAGCUAGACGCGACUCCCUUGCCACGAUCCCUAGCCUCUCCUGUAGAUGGCUCUGUAAAAACAACCAUAAAAAGGGCGUGAGAACUAUUAACAAUAGUUCCGAGUGAGUAAGCCGCCAGCCUCGGCGAAUUACACCACUAGGCUCAUGAUGUACUAAUGAAAAGUAAAUGCAAUAAUUGCAUAAUGCUAACAAGUAAUGAGCAUGUAAUUGCAGGAUACCUUUCCAAUGCUAAGCAAUUAAUAAGCAUGUAAACAACAUGUAAUAGCUUUCUACAGCAAUGAAUUGAACAAUAAAGCAUAGCAGCUACUGUAAGCAUGAACAUAAAUAUGAAUGUGUAAGCAGAAACUAUACACAAUGACUGGUGAUCAUUCAUUACUGUCCAAUGUCCUUUAGCACUUUCUUUUUCAUUUACAGGGACCUACCCAAGGUAGUCCAGCUUGCGCCGCGCCUAAUGGCCCCGUGGUAGUAUACACUUCCCACGGUAAUCCACUUCGGCACCCAAUCCCGCACGAGCGAGCAACUGUCGCGUAGGCCAACUCCGGAGUGCCGGCUUGUAGGGGGCGACCCUCACAAGCAUGUGCGAAUGAGCACAAUGGCAAGCAAGCAUAAUCCACAGUCAACAAGUCUCCAGUAGUAUGUUUUACGGGUAAUGCUUUCAACAUCGAUCCUUGAUCGGAAUUUUAGUAUAACACUAUAGAGCAUAUGAACAAUAGCUAGUAUUCACUAGUAACAUGUGAGAAUACUCCAACUUUACAUAUAACAUAAAAAUCUUUUCCACUAUCAUGGCACUAUUAGCUUAGGCAUAAAAUAUGUUCUCGUGCUCUAAUCUAGAGUAGUCAAGAGAGUGUCACUGUUCUUACAAGCAUGUCAUUUUCUUACAAGCAUGUCGUUGUUCUCUAUAAACAUGUCAUUGUUCUCUACUUUAUAAGCAAUAAAGUCAUGAGAGUGUCAUAGUUUGCUACUUAAUAGAGAUUUCGAUUCAACUCUACUAAAGUAUAGUGACUCGUCAAAAGUCCUAUUUCAAGCCCAAGCGCCCACAACAUCUCCAAUUGGCGUACAUAUAGAACAUAGGGGAGUUCCACUUGCUCUGGUUAGGUCCGACCCACCUAUUAUGAAGCUCCAAUUAGUCACACGAAGUCCCAAUAUACUGCUCAACAAGGCUCCGAUCCUGCUGAAAACAAGAUAAGAAAGUCGUGCCGAAACAAUUACUCAAAACUCCAAUUUCGGCAAAAUUCACAAGAAGUACAAAAUGGAAACUUAAUUCUCUGCUUUUGGGCUAGGUAUAUACCUCAAGUUAAGCCUCUAAAAGCCUCUAUAAGUCAACGAAAAGCACUCCAAGACCCGGUCGCAAGCCUGCUGCGAUCAACACGAAAACGGCACCAACAACGUCAAGAAUCAACAUACAACAUCGGAAUCUUGAAAUUUCAGUUUUCUACCUGAAAUUCUUGCUUUCCUCAGGUUAUAGCACCUUCCUCACUUGUCCCCAAGGUCACUAAAUAAGUUUAAUUAGGUUCGAAAACCUGCUGCGAACAUAAGGAUCCAAACUGCAUUAGUAAAUCGCAUAAAGUGCCGAAAUCGCUUCAUAAAGACCUAAUUAGCUCUACUAAGCUUCAAAGUAACAUAUCCCAAGUUUAAGGAAGUUAAUCCACAGCUAAAUAACUCAGCUUUAAGUGUUAAAACCUCAGCCUAACACAGCACGAAGCAGAAAUGCGAAAGAGAUACUCAACUCGCCGAAAACAACAUCAAUUACGAAGAACUUGAGUCGAUUACCUGCUUAGGCAUCCAACCAGCAAACCCCUGGUCCAAAGCUGCGAAAAAAAAAACCUCCAAAAUACUCUCUCCCACGACCACGCAACCUCUGCGAUGCUCGUAAUCAGUGAAGAACGCGCGUGGCGACGAAAACGGCUAAAACGGCGAGUUCUUUGUAGAGAGAGAAAAACCCAAGAGAGAGACAGUGUGGAGGAGGUGAAGAAGUCUUCUCUGGGCUCCAGCACCAUCUGAAGAGGUCCAGGGGUCGAGCUGGGAGGAUAGGGAUGAGUAAAAGAGGUGAAAAGACCAAAACAGCCUUGCUGCCACGCAGCUGCAGCUGCUGCUGCUUGCUGUACCAGUACAGCAUUAGGCUUGUACCGGUACACCAAUGCAAAAAUUGCAGAUUUUGCAAUAGCAAUGCACUUUCUCGUCUCCGGCAAUCCGAUCACUCUCUAACUUGUCCCAAAACAUAUCCAAGCCUUUUAGAACAUGUAGGAUAGUUCCAUAUUCCAUUCCACUCACUCGAACUCCGCAAUUUGCACAAGUUUAGUGUAUUACAUUUACCCCGCCUAAAAAGAAGUUUCGUCCGCGAAACUUAUGAUCACUUACCUCAAGAUUCUGUCGAGAAAAGAUAGGGGUAGUGCUCCAACAUUGCAUUCUCCAAUUCCCAAGUAGCUUCUCGUUCAUCGUGAUUGCUCCAAAGUAUCUUGACGUACAGUAUCUCGCGGUUUCGAAGUCGUUUCAUUUCACGAGCUAGGAUUCUCACGGGAUGUUCUUCAAAACUCAAAUCUUCUCGCAAAUCCACUAGAGCGCUCUCAAAUAUGUGGGUUGGAUCAAAAAUAUACUUUCGAAGUGUCGAUACAUGAAACACAUUGUGUACUCCUGAUAGGCUCGGCGGCAAAGCAAGCCGAUAUGCUACGGGGCCUAUCCGCUCCAACACCUCGUAGGGUCCAAUGAAUCGAGGACUCAACUUUCCUCGAAUACCAAAUCUUUUAACUCCUUUCGUCGGUGAAACCUUCAGAAAUACAUGAUCGCCAACUUGAAAUUCCAAUUCUCGCCGACGUUUGUCCGCAUAACUCUUUUGUCGAUUUUGGGCUGUCAGUAGACGUUCUCGCGCAAGUCGAACUUUAGCUUCAGCCUCUUGUAAUACAUCGGGACCCAAAACCAAUCUCUCACCCACUUCACUCCAAUGAAGUGGUGAUCUGCACUUUCUACCAUAAAGGGCUUCAAAAGGUGCCAUCUGAAUACUUGCUUGAUAACUAUUGUUAUAAGCAAAUUCAGCCAUAGGCAAGAACUGUGGCCAACUGCCCUGGUAAUCAAUCACACAGGCCCGCAACAUAUCCUCAAGGGUCUGGAUGGUACGCUCAGACUGCCCAUCACUCUGGGGGUGGAAAGCAGUACUAAAAUCCAAUCGAGUACCCAUGGCCUCCUGUAAACUCUUCCAGAAAUGUGAAACGAAUCGGGUGUCUCGAUCUGAAACAAUCGAAGCAGGUACUCCGUGUAAUCGCACAAUUUCAUCAAGAUACACUUGUGCGAGUCUUUCCCCCGACCACACCGUAUGAAUUGGAAUAAAGUGGGCAGAUUUAGUCAAUCGAUCAACAAUUACCCAAAUUGCAUCGUGACCUGCUUGUGAGCGAGGUAAUCCAACGAUGAAAUCCAUAGUGAUCCUCUCCCACUUCCACACUGGUAUGGGUAAACUCUGUAGUUUUCCUGCAGGAAGUCGAUGUUCAGCCUUAAUUUGCUGACAGAUUAAGCAUUUAGCCACGAAGUCAGCAACUUCCUUUUUCAUUCCAGGCCACCAGUAAGUUAACUUCAGAUCUUUAUACAUUUUCGUACUCCCAGGGUGUACAGUAUACGGCGCCCGAUGUGCUUCUAUUAGAAUCUCUUCUUUAAUACCAGAAUCUGCCGGUACACAAAGUUUAUCCCCGAAUUUCAACAGUCCCUGAUCAUCCACUCGAAAAUCACCAACAUAAUCAAUAGUGAUUUUAUCUCGAAUCUUUUGCAGAGAUUCGUCUUGAGCUUGCUUUUCUUUAAUUCGAUCGAUCAGGGUAGGCUGCAUCACUAAUGACAUAAGUCUCCAAGGCGUCUCGGGAGCUACAACUUCCAAAUUCAACUGCUCCAUUUGUUUGACCAGUAGUGGUUGCAGAGUUAUCGACAUCGCCAAAUUUUUCGUCGAUUUUCAACUUAAAGCAUCUGCUACGACAUUAGCUUUUCCAGGAUGAUAGAGGAUGGUCAAAUCAUAAUUCUUGAGUAACUCCAACCAUCUACGUUGCCUCAAGUUUAAUUCCUUCUGUGUAAACAGAUACUUUAAGCUUUUAUGAUCUGUAUAAACUUCGCAACGCUCGCUGUAGAGGUAGUGGUGCCAAAGCUUUAAAGCAAAUACCACAGCUGCUAACUCAAGAUCAUGUGUAGGGUAGUUCUUUUCAUAAUCUUUCAAUUGGCGAGAGGCAUAGGCAAUUACUCUGCCACUCUGCAUUAGAACACACCCUAAUCCGUUCAGCGACGCAUCGCUGUAAAUCACAUAAUCUACUCCCGUAACAGGUAGUGCGAAGAUCGGGGCAGUAGUUAACCGUUCUUUCAACUCUUGAAAGCUUCUUUCACAGGCUUCAUUCCACAGAAACUUAGCUCCUUUAUGUGUGAGUCGAGUGAGAGGAGUAGACAUCUUCGCAAAUCCUUCUACAAAUCUUCGGUAGUAUCCCGCCAAACCAAAGAAACUCCGAAUUUCUGUGACACUGGUCAGCCUAGGCCAAUCUUUAAUCGCUUCAAUCUUCUUGGGAUCCACAGCUAUCCGAGUUUCAGAAAUCACAUGGCCCAGAAAUGCCACUUCUCGAAGCCAAAAUUCACAUUUCUUUAAUUUUGCAAACAGUUUCUUUUCUCGAAGUACUUGUAACACUACUCUUAGAUGGUUUUCAUGCUCUUCAUCACUUCGAGAAUAUAUCAAAAUAUCGUCGAUGAAUACGACCACAAACCUGUCCAGAUAAGGCUUAAAGACACGGUUCAUUAAAUCCAUAAAGACUGCUAGGGUAUUUGUCAGUCCAAAUGGCAUAACUUUGAAUUCGUAAUGCCCAUACCGUGUUCUGAAGGCGGUCUUGGAAACUUCUUCAGGCUUAAUCUUAAGCUGAUGAUAACCUGAUUGCAAAUCAAUCUUCGAAUAUACUUUCGAUCCUUGCAACUGAUCGAAUAAAUCAUCGAUUCUGGGUAAUGGAUAUUUAUUCUUGAUUGUUACUUUGUUGAUUUCUCUAUAAUCCACGCACAAUCGAAGAGAUCCAUCAUUCUUCUUGACAAAUAACACCGGUGCUCCCCAAGGUGACACACUCGGUCGAAUGAAUCCUUUAUCUAAAAGAUCUUGUAACUGUGCCUUCAGCUCUUUCAAUUCAGCGGGUGCCAUCCUAUAAGGCGCUUUAGAAAUAGGGGUAGUCCCAGGAACAAGAUCAAUCACAAAUUCAACUUCCCUAUCAGGUGGCAUGCCUGGCAAUUCAGCUAGAAACACAUCCCCGAAUUCUCGCACAACCGGGAUAUCAUCAAUCUUGACGGCUUCUCCGUUACUCACAGAAAUGCUAGCCAAAUAGGCUACACAACCUCUCCGUAUCAACUGUCGGGCUCGCGAAGAGCUAAUAGUCAUUGCGAACAAUGAACUCUGACACCCCCUAUAAACAAACUCUUGCUGACCCGGUUCCCUAAAGGUCACCGUCCUAUUCGUGCAAUCUAUAGUGGAAUAAUACUGAGUAAACCAAUCCAUACCCAAUACUACAUCAAAGUCACCUAGUUUGUGUAGUGCCAAUAAAUCCACUGGCAUAAUCCAGUCGCCUACCUGAAUUGGGCAGCGAGGGCAAAAUUCACGAAUCUCUAGGGUAUGGUCGGGCACGAUCACUCAUCCCAAAUGCAAAGUAGGCACUACCUGAAUGCUAUGCAACUCGGCGAACUGCCGAUUAAUAAAAGAAUGCGAAGCACCAGUAUCAAAUAAUGCACGAACACGAAUAUCAUAAAGCAUAAUGAUACCUGCUACGACAUCCUCUGCUGCUGCGGCCUCCUCAGUCUGGGCGGCAUACAUACGCCCACUCGAAUUCUGCCGAGAACUCUCAGACGGCCGCUGUCCCGGUGAUCGUCUAUACUGAGAGGGUGCUGACGGGGUUCCCUGACUCAGAGCUGAAGAUGCAGGUGCUGAUGCUGAUGAGGGUGCAGGCAAAGAACCUCUCGAGCAAUCUGAGCGAAAGUGGCCCUCCUGACCACAGAGAAAACAUCUGCCCCCACGUUGUGGACACUGUGGCGGUACGUGAGGCCCACCACAGAUAACACAACGCGGCGGUCGACGAGGCUCGGGUGCUCCACGGGGUGCUGAAGAACCUCGACCCCUCGACUGUCCUGACUGUCCCCUCGGAUACUUUGGUGGUCUCCUAAAGGACUGCUGACCACUGCUCUCAACUGCAGGUCUCUUUCCUUUGCCUCGAUCCACAACGUCUCUUUCCUUCAUGAUUUCUGCCCCUUUCUCAACAAUCAAGGCUCGGUUCACCACAUCUCUGUAAGUCGAGAGGUUUGGCACCUGGACUAAUCUGAAAAUCGCAGGCCGCAAACCCACCUAAAAAAUACGGGCCUUGUCCUCAUCAUCUCGAACCACAAAAGGAACGCAGUGCAGUAAUCGGGAGAAUUCUCGCUCAUACUCUGCCACUGUCCUGUCCCCCUGCUUCAGGUUUCUCAGGUCCCUUUCCAUUUGCCUCUUUACACUCUGAGGAAAGUAGGUCGUCAACAAUAAGUCCUUGAACGUGCUCCAUGUGAUCGCAGACAAAUCAGUAUGGGGAUCCUCACGAAUAUCCACCCACCACCUGUAAGCCUCGCCGUCAAGGUGGUGCGUCGCAAACCACACCCGAUAUCGCUCCUCAACAAAAGUGUCAUAAAAUAACUUCUCCAUGUGCAUUAACCAUUUCUCGACCACCCAGUGAUCUGCUUUCUCCCCGUCAAAAAUACGAGGGGUACAACGACGGAAUUCAUUCAAUUGUUCCAUCAUCCGCUCUCGCUCCUCAGCCCCCACCAUCUCCGGUAACACUGUCCCUGAUGCCACUACAGGUACUGAUGGUGGUACUCCUGUCUCCUGUCGGGUCUCUGCCCUCGGAGCUACUGGGGGUGUAUCAGGUACUGGUGACCGUGCUCUCACUGUCGCAUCCCUGUCUGGUACUGUAGGUAUAGGAUCAGGAAUCUCUCUGUCAGUCGUCUGCCGCAGUAGUAAAUCCUUUAACCUCUUCAUCCUGUCCUCCUGCCGAUGCGCGGCAUCCAUCUGCUGUUGCGCGGUCGCAGCCUGCUGAGCAACCAAAUCUGUCAACUUCGCGAGCUGAUCCUGCAACUCAUGGAUCCCACUAGAUCCAGAAGUAACGGAGGUCCCCACUUCUUCCGCAUCCGCCGCCUCAGCUGCCCCGGCGGCUUGCGAACGAGUCAAAGGCAUCUUGAGCUGCAGCACAAAAACAAAUAUAGAUCAAUAAAACCUAUACUAUUGAACCUUCAUUGAGGAUAUAAACCAGCUAAUAAAGCGAAAGUAAUGAAAUGUAACGCGUACUAACUUCCGAUGUCACGUUGUCGGCCGCCAACGUGGCCUUCUGCAAAGUUAGUAAUUGCACAUUCCGAUCAAACUCCUACCAUUCAGAGUUUAUAAAUUACCCAAUCAAAAUACUUUCGCUAACCACAACCUCAACUAGACCUCGUCUCUCACGAGCCUAAUCUUAUAGUCCAACCAACCUAAGAUUUGCUAAGUCUACUAAGACUCAACCCUAGGCUCUGAUACCACUAUAAUCUGUCACGCCCGGGUACCAGCGGAAGCAUAUCCGGUACAUGCACAGACCCGCCAUACACCUGCAGUGUAUAAGGCGUCUAUAGAACAAAGCAAGGCAAUAGGAGAAAUCAUAGGAGAUCCUAUUUCAAUAUCAGAGCAAUGUACAAGUCGAUAUAUUAUCAGUAAAAGAACAAAGAGUAUACAAUCCACAAUCCCAGCAGAAGGAGAAGAAGUAUGAACUAUAACGUCUGGAUCUACAACUCAUAUACAACACAGGGUACACAAAAACAUCUGUACAAUGGUAGUCACUCUAUACAAUGGACAUCACCCUCGGCCGUAGCCUGAGUAGCAAGGUGAUCGACUAGCACGCUCCUAGCAAAGUCUAGCUAGACGCGACUCCCUUGCCACGAUCCCUAACCUCUCCUGUAGAUGGCUCUGUAAAAACAACCAUAAAAAGGGCGUGAGAACUAUUAACAAUAGUUCCGAGUGAGUAAGCCGCCAGCCUCGGCGAAUUACACCACUAGGCUCAUGAUGUACUAAUGAAAAGUAAAUGCAAUAAUUGCAUAAUGCUAACAAGUAAUGAGCAUGUAAUUGCAGGAUACCUUUCCAAUGCUAAGCAAUUAAUAAGCAUGUAAACAACAUGUAAUAGCUUUCUACAGCAAUGAAUUGAACAAUAAAGCAUAGCAGCUACUGUAAGCAUGAACAUAAAUAUGAAUGUGUAAGCAGAAACUAUACACAAUGACUGGUGAUCAUUCAUUACUGUCCAAUGUCCUUUAGCACUUUCUUUUUCAUUUACAGGGACCUACCCAAGGUAGUCCAGCUUGCGCUGCGCCUAAUGGCCCCGUGGUAGUAUACACUUCCCACGGUAAUCCACUUCGGCACCCAAUCCCGCACGAGCGAGCAACUGUCGCGUAGGCCAACUCCGGAGUGCCGGCUUGUAGGGGGCGACCCUCACAAGCAUGUGCGAAUGAGCACAAUGGCAAGCAAGCAUAAUCCACAGUCAACAAGUCUCCAGUAGUAUGUUUUACGGGUAAUGCUUUCAACAUCGAUCCUUGAUCGGAAUUUUAGUAUAACACUAUAGAGCAUAUGAACAAUAGCUAGUAUUCACUAGUAACAUGUGAGAAUACUCCAACUUUACAUAUAACAUAAAAAUCUUUUCCACUAUCAUGGCACUAUUAGCUUAGGCAUAAAAUAUGUUCUCGUGCUCUAAUCUAGAGUAGUCAAGAGAGUGUCACUGUUCUUACAAGCAUGUCAUUUUCUUACAAGCAUGUCGUUGUUCUCUAUAAACAUGUCAUUGUUCUCUACUUUAUAAGCAAUAAAGUCAUGAGAGUGUCAUAGUUUGCUACUUAAUAGAGAUUUCGAUUCAACUCUACUAAAGUAUAGUGACUCGUCAAAAGUCCUAUUUCAAGCCCAAGCGCCCACAACAUCUCCAAUUGGCGUACAUAUAGAACAUAGGGGAGUUCCACUUGCUCUGGUUAGGUCCGACCCACCUAUUAUGAAGCUCCAAUUAGUCACACGAAGUCCCAAUAUACUGCUCAACAAGGCUCCGAUCCUGUUGAAAACAAGAUAAGAAAGUCGUGCCGAAACAAUUACUCAAAACUCCAAUUUCGGCAAAAUUCGCAAGAAGUACAAAAUGGAAACUUAAUUCUCUGCUUUUGGGCUAGGUAUAUACCUCAAGUUAAGCCUCUAAAAGCCUCUAUAAGUCAGCGAAAAGCACUCCAAGACCCGGUCGCAAGCCUGCUGCGAUCAACACGAAAACGGCACCAACAACGUCAAGAAUCAACAUACAACAUCGGAAUCUUGAAAUUUCAGUUUUCUACCUGAAAUUCUUGCUUUCCUCAGGUUAUAGCACCUUCCUCACUUGUCCCCAAGGUCACUAAAUAAGUUUAAUUAGGUUCGAAAACCUGCUGCGAACAUAAGGAUCCAAACUGCAUUAGUAAAUCGCAUAAAGUGCCGAAAUCGCUUCAUAAAGACCUAAUUAGCUCUACUAAGCUUCAAAGUAACAUAUCCCAAGUUUAAGAAAGUUAAUCCACAGCUAAAUAACUCAGCUUUAAGUGUUAAAACCUCAGCCUAACACAGCACGAAGCAGAAAUGCGAAAGCGAUACUCAACUCGCCGAAAACAACAUCAAUCACGAAGAACUUGAGUCGAUUACCUGCUUAGGCAUCCAACCAGUAAACCCCUGGUCCAAAGCUGCGAAAAAAAAACCUCCAAAAUACUCUCUCCCACGACCACGCAACCUCUGCGAUGCUCGUAAUCAGCGAAGAACGCGCGUGGCGACGAAAACGGCUAAAACGACGAGUUCUUUGUAGAGAGAGAAAAACCCUAGAGAGAGAGAGUGUGGAGGAGGUGAAGAAGUCUUCUCUGGGCUCCAGCACCAUCUGAAGAGGUUCAGGGGUCGAGCUGGGAGGAUAGGGAUGAGUAAAAGAGGUGAAAAGACCAAAACAGCCUUGCUGCCACGCAGCUGCAGCUGCUGCUGCUUGCUGUACCGGUACAGCAUUAGGCUUGUACCGGUACACCAAUGCAAAAAUUGUAGAUUUUGCAAUAGCAAUGCACUUUCUCGUCUCCGGCAAUCCGAUCACUCUCUAACUUGUCCCAAAACAUAUCCAAGCCUUUUAGAACAUGUAGGAUAGUUCCAUAUUCCAUUCCACCCACUCGAACUCCGUAAUUUGCACAAGUUCAGUGUAUUACAUUAGACCUAGUGGGAAAAUCGGCGGAGUCGGCGGCCGAACCCACUGAAAACUAUAUUUAUAUAGUUCUCACCCCACUUUGUUGCAGGGCCUAGCGAGACCGUACCGGCAGAGGACCGUGGUAAGGGCAUAGUGCCCUAGUAGCUAGUAGCUUUCCCUCUUUCAUUAGAGUACCCUCAUAUACAUAGAGAUGUGAUGUAUUUGGGAGUUACUUAUGUAUUUGGAGAGCCAUCUUGUAUCAUGAGAAGAAUAUGUAUUCAUUUUGGAAGAUAAAAAAGUAAACCAAUAUGUAAAUGAUGAAUGUGAUGUUAUAGUUAGAUGUACAUCUCUUUAUUUCACUUAUAUAUUACUUGUGAUUCUUGCUCUUAAUUGUAUAGCACUUGUGGUGCUUCUUGUUAGAUCAUGUAUGUUGUUUGAAUUUCUCCUGGGCAAAUUCUUGUACAUGAUCUUGUUGUCGAGCCUUGGGCGGACAGUGGAGGUGCUGUCCGUUCGGCGUCUGAUCGACGUGCCCGGAUCCGACCAAUUUAGUGGGUCACGGGACGUGACAGAUAGUUGUGGUAUCAGAGUAGUUAAGAGCAAGUAAAGAGAGAGUCUAGUAUUGACCUAGGAGACCUUAGGUUGGUAAACCAUAAGGCCAUAGGUGCGUGAGUGACGUGAACCUAUGCGUUGCGGCGAAAGAUAGAUCGAUUGGGUCAAGUUUAGUAAACCUCUAAAACGGAUAUUAGAGGUAGACUCAAGGUGUGGCUUAUUUUUGACCAAGUGUGUUCAUGUUGGGCGAUCGACAACAUGAAACCGAGGGAUAAGAAUAGACGCCCUUGCGUGACUUUCGCUCGAUUUGAGUCGAGCCAAUGUUAGUUGUUAUGUGUUCGACCUGGAGGGUCGAGACUGACCGUGUUGUCGCGAUUCAGGAAAUGAUGGCACCACGUAGGCGAUCUCAUGUAGAUCGGUGCGGGAUGGGACAAGUGAUGUCCUUGAGCAAUCCGAGGUGAGCAGAGACUUGGGACUUCGCGAGCGGUUGGCCACUCGUGGGAGUGGCGAGGCAACGAGCCGAAGUGGUGCAACGACAUCAGGAGGCUGUCAUGCGCCAGGAGGAGCAGAUUAAGAGACUCUAAGAAACGGUUGGUCAAUUGGUGACCGUACCAAUUUUGGCUCGUUGAGUACGGCCGGGAGUCGCGGCGGAGGUAUUUCCGUCAGGGUCGGGCAAUCCGACUCGUAUCAGUUCAGAGGUGGAGGCAGUGAGGGUGUGAGCUUUGGCGGCCCUCAUGACCUUUAAACAGUUUGACCUGCCUAGCUUGAAUGGAGAGGAUGUAGAUUCGUGGAUAGUGGAGUUGUGGAUCGACUCCAUAGAACUCCUUUGAGAAUCUGUGCAUCGCAGAGUGGGACAAGGUACACCUAGUCGUGCAUUGCUUGCAACAGUCGGCGAAGGUGUGGUGGAAUGACGUCAAGCGAAAUUGAUCGCCCAGUCUUCUUUCUAUGACUCGGGAAGGAUUUCGGGGAUCAAUAUUCUUCGUUUAUUUUUCCGACAGUGAAAAGAGGAAGCUUCAAGAAAGGUUCCCGAAGCUACGGUAGGUAGACCGCACCGUGAGGGCAUACGAACGAGAAUUCCCCCGUACCGUGAGUUGUGUCCCGAACGUAGUGCGGGAUGACGAGGAUGUGGCCUAUUCGUUUGUGCGUAGACUUCGGCCGGACAUUUUCAAGGUUGUGCAUGUAAGGAAGUGAAUUCUUGAAAUACGAGGAUUGGACUUCGUGUAGAAUCGACCAAGGGUCGUGUUCGUAUGCUUCGGUGAGGCCGAAGAGGUCAAAAAUGCAAAAAGUGCAUUGUUAGCGGCCUCCGAGAGCAAGCUGGGAGGAAAACUGCAAAGUACAGUUUUAGCUCUCGAGGACCGGUCCCUGUGGUGAGGGACCGGACCCCGUAGGCGUGGAGGGCAACAAAAAAGGCUGCCCUGCCAUUUCUGCUCUCGGGGACCGGUCCCUGCGGCGAGAGAUCGGUCCCCGUACGCAUAGAGAAUCGGGCAAGUGCCUUUUUACCCGAGAGAUUGCUCUCGGGGACCGGUCCCCUCUUGAGAGACCGGUCCCCAUAGCCGGAAGUUGCCCAGUUUGGACAGUGCACCUUAUUGGGUCGCAGACGCAAUCCCGAACCCCAGAAGUGUCUCCUGUUAAACUUUUUCGGGAUGUGGGAUUGUAGAAGUUCUUACUAGGCGCGGUGAUGUACGCUGUAUGAUGAGAUGUGCAUUCAUUGUGAAUGGCCAGACCUUGGCGUUAGCGACGGCCUUCUCCUCUCCUAGACAGCCUGCGCGUGUGCCACCUGCGGCAUGGUCUGGAGAGCGAGCGAAGAGAGUAUGUCGACCAGAGGGUUCGCGGCGGGCGCCAAGUGACCGUGGAUACGCGACCGAGGUUGUGGAACCUGCUGCUACUGACAACGUCAUGGCAGGUAUGAGUUCAUUAGAGUAGACUUGUGCUUCUGCACGAUGUCAAGUUGAUGUAUUGCAUGCGUUUGUCGUGGGGUCAGUUGCUACUAUUUAUGCAUCAGUAUAGUAGGGACCCGUUGAUGGGUAAGUGUAGAUGCCCGGGCAUGCUCAUGCAAUAAGAAGGUAGCGCCUGUUGGAACAGGUAGAGAGCCAGAUGGCACUAGCGGAUUGCUAGUAGUGAUUCUUGGACGAGAAAUGAGACUUGUGGUAGAGAUGAGGUGGCGAAGCGACUCUCAAGGCAACGUGAUUAGUAGAUUGCGAGAGUUGAGUCCUGAUACUUGUAGGCACCCGAGUAAUCCGAGAAUUUCGGAUAUUGUUCCAGUAGAUUGGACGGUGAAAGUAGAAUCACUGUUGAGAGAACGGUCGAUUAGUGGCCAAGUUUGAGCACGUGGGCCUAGUAUUACCUCAAGGUGAGGUAAGCGGUUGUGCUCGUGUGGCCGGUCUGCAUAGGCAAGAUUAUCUAAUGUUGGACUUCGUGUGGAACGCUGUAGAGGCGUAGAGCACUCGAGUGUAGAAACUCGUGGAGUGCGGAUUUUAUUCAGCCGGAAGAGUGUGUUGGCAGCAGCACUGUAGCAUUGCUAAAUGUGAAGCGGGCCAUUGAUCACUCGUAGGGUUGGUGGCUCGCACUAAGUGCUUAGGAGCCGAUAGUGGUAUGUGUGACUCGGUAGAGCAUGUCGUGUAGGACGACGACGGCGGGUAGUGCUUGGGGACGACCCGUGCCUGGACCAUUUGUGGACAGUAGAGCCUGGGCCCUUUGGGCAGGCACAGUCAGCUGUGAGUGACAGCAGCCCGGUACCUACCGGUAGGGCAGAGUUUUGGUCAGGGCGGUAGUCCGAGCUUAGACACGGGAACGUGGAAUGCCACGUGUUGGAUCGUGAGAUCGAGAAUAUACCGAGUGUGUAGUGACCCAACCUGAGGAUUUGAUGAGGUGUGGGGUCUUAGUUGCUCAUGGUUGGAGUGUGUGCGAAUUCCCAAAUGAGAAUUUCGCCCAGUGCUGAUUGGGUCUACGCUUGUGAGCGAGAGACAUUACGAGUAUCGAGAUAGUUUAGGCUAUAGGCCUAUGUAGAAUUGCUGACUGUUGGUCCACCUGUGGAAACCGAGGUAAUCGGUUUGGCCGGUAACUCUGUAGAGGAGUUUGGCUUGGAUUCAUGAAAGGAGUGUUCGUGUGAGUUAGUUGCGAGAACGACUUGGUGUUGGCCGUGCCAAUGGAAAGAGAAAGUAAAGUGGUCUCUUGGAGACACUUGAAAUGAGAAUAGCCACGCGAGAUUUGAGGAUAGUGCUCUCUUGAGGAUCGAGAUUUGAGAUGUGCCGAAGUGUGCCAUCUCGUAGUAGAGCAAAAAUCCGAUCGUGAUGGUAGCACUUGCGAUGGGUCAAUGCACCAAUGAUAUCGCUUCUAGGCAAUACCGGUGAUCGAAUCGAAGUGUACUCCCUGGAUUCGGUAGCAAGUGGUGUUGGAGCGUGUAGAGUCGUCGAAUGUCGACUUACGCUGCCACCGAGACUUGCGGAACCGUAAUGCACUUUUGGUGUUGUGCUUAGCAAAUGUGAGUGAAUUUGGUCUCACAUCCUCCGUAGUGGGCCUUUGGAUAGUUCCGAUGAGAGAAAAGCCACCCCGGAGUGCAAAAGUGCAUUGCUACCCUCAGAUGCUCGAUAACUCGAAUUGAGAUGAGAUUUGAGUUUCGAGGACGAAACCCUUUUAAGGAGGGGAGGAUGUAAGGUACCGAACUUCUAAAAUUAUGAAGUAGCGGGGUAUGUUGGUUUGGAAAGCCAUUAGAAUGAUUCCGGUGAAGUUCGGAAGCAUUCGGGCGUUUUCGGAGCGCGUAGGCGCGAAAACGGGACCCGAAAGGCUAUGUUGGAUCAUGAACUAAAUCCAGUAUUAGCGCGGAUGAAAAGAUGAUGAAAAUACACUCGAAAACAUGUUUGAAGAGUCUCGUUUCGAUUUGAAAGCAAUCGGAGGCCAAACGAGCAAAAACAGAGAAGAAACGAAAAAAGGCUGAAAUUUGGCUAAGUCUGGAAAUCUGAACCUACGGAGACGGGUCCCUCGGCCAAGGACAGGUCCGUCAGGGACCGGUCCCUCAAGCAAGGACCGGUCCCCGUAGACCAAAAAUGCCCUGCGCGGGCAGUGCAUAAAACACAAAGUUGAGGGGCUGUUUUGCAAUUGUUGCAUGAGUUCGGGAAUAUGGGUGAUGUAGGGCUCAUUCCCUCUCAUUUCUCUCAAUUGCAACCACCCAACAAACACACUCUCUCUCUCUAGAAGCUCUUCCUCUCUCUAUAAGUGGAAUCAAGAGGAGGAUAAGAUGGAGAUUGGAGCUUGAAGGAGGACCACCAUUGUUGUCUUCUUCCUUAGCUUGGAGAAGGAGCUUAGUAGAGGUUAGCUCUUUGCCUUCUAAUGGCAGAAUGCUUGGAUUAGGGUUUUAUACUCUAGAAAUGAAAUCUAAUGGUGCUCUAAGGCCCUGUUUGGUUGGGGAACAGGGGUGGGGAUAAGGGGUUAUCCCCUCCUUGUUCCCCAAAUACUAUACCUAAGGGUGGGAACAAGGUAUUCCCACCCUUAACGGGUUAUCCUGGGAUAACCCGUUAAGGGUUUAGGGUGGGGAUAACCCGUUAAGGGUGGGAAUACCUUGUUCCCACCCUUAGGUGGAAUAGGGGUGGGAACAACUUGUUCCCACCUUUUUUUUAAAAAAAAAUUCCCCAACCAAACAGGGCCUUAGAGCACCAUUAGAUUUCAUUUCUAGAGUAUAAAACCCUAAUCCAAGCAUUCUGCCAUGAGAAGGCAAAGAGCUAACCUCUACUAAGCUCCUUCUCCAAGCUAAGGAAGAAGACAACAAUGGUGGUCCUCCUUCAAGCUCCAAUCUCCAUCUUAUCCUCCUCUUGAUUCCACUUAUAGAGAGAGGAAGAGCUUCUAGAGAGAGAGAGUGUGUUUGUUGGGUGGUUGCAAUUGAGAGAAAUGAGAGGGAAUGAGCCCUACAUCACCCAUAUUCCCGAACUCAUGCAACAAUUGCAAAACAGCCCCUCAACUUUGUGUUUUAUGCACUGCCCGCGCAGGGCAUUUUUGGUCUACGGGGACCGGUCCUUGCUUGAGGGACCGGUCCCUGACGGACCUGUCCUUGGCCGAGGGACCCGUCUCCGUAGGUUCAGAUUUCCAGACUUAGCCAAAUUUCAGCCUUUUUUCGUUUCUUCUCUGUUUUUGCUCGUUUGGCCUCCGAUUGCUUUCAAAUCGAAACGAGACUCUUCAAACAUGUUUUCGAGUGUAUUUUCAUCAUCUUUUCAUCCGCGCUAAUACUGGAUUUAGUUCAUGAUCCAACAUAGCCUUUCGGGUCCCGUUUUCGCGCCUACGCGCUCCGAAAACGCCCGAAUGCUUCCGAACUUCACCGGAAUCAUUCUAAUGGCUUUCCAAACCAACAUACCCCGCUACUUCAUAAUUUUAGAAGUUCGGUACCUUACAUCCUCCCCUCCUUAAAAGGGUUUCGUCCUCGAAACUCAAAUCUCAUCUCAAUUCGAGUUAUCGAGCAUCUGAGGGUAGCAAUGCACUUUUGCACUCCGGGGUGGCUUUUCUCUCAUCGGAACUAUCCAAAGGCCCACUACGGAGGAUGUGAGACCAAAUUCACUCACAUUUGCUAAGCACAACACCAAAAGUGCAUUACGGUUCCGCAAGUCUCGGUGGCAGCGUAAGUCGACAUUCGACGACUCUACACGCUCCAACACCACUUGCUACCGAAUCCAGGGAGUACACUUCGAUUCGAUCACCGGUAUUGCCUAGAAGCGAUAUCAUUGGUGCAUUGACCCAUCGCAAGUGCUACCAUCACGAUCGGAUUUUUGCUCUACUACGAGAUGGCACACUUCGGCACAUCUCAAAUCUCGAUCCUCAAGAGAGCACUAUCCUCAAAUCUCGCGUGGCUAUUCUCAUUUCAAGUGUCUCCAAGAGACCACUUUACUUUCUCUUUCCAUUGGCACGGCCAACACCAAGUCGUUCUCGCAACUAACUCACACGAACACUCCUUUCAUGAAUCCAAGCCAAACUCCUCUACAGAGUUACCGGCCAAACCGAUUACCUCGGUUUCCACAGGUGGACCAACAGUCAGCAAUUCUACAUAGGCCUAUAGCCUAAACUAUCUCGAUACUCGUAAUGUCUCUCGCUCACAAGCGUAGACCCAAUCAGCACUGGGCGAAAUUCUCAUUUGGGAAUUCGCACACACUCCAACCAUGAGCAACUAAGACCCCACACCUCAUCAAAUCCUCAGGUUGGGUCACUACACACUCGGUAUAUUCUCGAUCUCACGAUCCAACACGUGGCAUUCCACGUUCCCGUGUCUAAGCUCGGACUACCGCCCUGACCAAAACUCUGCCCUACCGGUAGGUACCGGGCUGCUGUCACUCACAGCUGACUGUGCCUGCCCAAAGGGCCCAGGCUCUACUGUCCACAAAUGGUCCAGGCACGGGUCGUCCCCAAGCACUACCCGCCGUCGUCGUCCUACACNAGUUUAUAUUUUAAAUUUUAAAAUAUAAAUAUAAAAUAUAAAAAUUUAAAUUCUAAUAUAAAGAAAAAAAUAAUAUCAUUAUUUUUUAUUUAUAACUACCCACUUUAAUUCAUAUCCCAUCUUACCUAACCAAACGCUAUUUUUCUUAUUCUCAGGAAUACUCAAUUUUCAUCCAAACGCAAAAUUCAUCUAAUCCCCGCUUAUACUCAAUUUAUAUUUAUCCCCGGAAUACCCACUUUUUGCUUAUCCCCGAACCAAACGAUACCUAAGAGUAGUUAAUCUCAUCUAUUGCAAGAAUAGUAGCUUGUAUGAAGCUAAUUGCAACAAUGGUGAUUUAGGGCUCCAAAAGAGGGCUUUUGCCCAUGAGUAAUUUUGAUCUAAAUUGAUCACUCUCUAACCUAAUUGUUAGGCCUACGAACGCGUUCAUACACUCGGUUUGAGUAUUCGUCGAGGCUACGUGAAGGUAUUGAAGAAAAGAGCGAUUUCGGUACAGAUUGUUGCAGCACGCUGCGUAAGCUUCCAAAAAUUACGAAACCGAAAUCGUAGCAUCAUGACAUCACCAAAAGGUGGGGGGUGUCCAUCCCGAAGCAAUCGGGCUUCCUUUUAUGUCUAAGUUCUAUUUCGAUCAUAUUCAUAUAUUGAUAUUGUGCAUUAUAGGAUUAGUAGAUGAUUACAUUCCAUUUCCUUGCAUGUUUCCUAUGGUAGUGUAGCACUGUGGGCUUGACACUUGAACCUAGGUUGCAUGAGGAUUGGGUCAUGUGACAAGAAUCCUAUAGUGACAAGAAUGAUGAUGAACUUGGACUUGUGAUGAUGAAAACAAGUGGCAUUCAAAUUAGUAUAGUAGAGAUACUAUAAUGUGAACAAGUGGCAUAUCAACUUAGUGUAUUGAGACACAUACAACCUCAUGACAUAUUGAGUGGCAUUUGGACUAGUGUAAUAGAGACACUAUAAUAUGGACGAGUGGCAUGUCAAUUUAGUGUAUUGAGACACAUACAACAUCAUGACAUAAAUGAGUGGCAUCAGAUCUAGUGUAGUGGAACACUAUGGCUUUUGAACCUAGGGAUAGUAGAUUUUUCCAAUUGUCAUGUUGUAGACAUUAUGCAUUGGCAUUAGUGCAGUUGAGGCAUUGUGACCCUGGUAGAUAAGGUAUCCUUUUGUGAGGAUUGGAUCAUACUCACUAGUCUGUUUUCGCUUGUCGGUGGUCGCUCCACCGAAGCAGUGGUCUCCGGAGUACUUCAUAUAGGGGCGGACGUAGUUGUCGCGUAGGCGGUCUCGGUGUGCGAGUGCAGCUUCUCCUCACCUAUGAGAUUGAGAGUGAGUCGGGGUAGCAACCUUCGGGUUGGCCCUGGGGUAGCAACCUUCGGGUUGGCCAUGAGAUUGGAUAUUAUCGAGGCAUAGUUGCACGACACACUAUGUAGUAGCUCGUUCAUUCAUGUGAUUAUUUGAGGCCUAGUAUUAUGUGGUAGAUCGUAUACUAGGUAGUAGCUCAUUCAUGUAUUCAGUUUUGAGACAUAGUAUCAUGUUGUUGGUUUAUACUAUGUAGUAGCUUAUGCAUUUCACUUGGAUAUGGCAUUCUGAUAUUUGAGGCAUAGUAGCAUAUUGCAGGAUACAUUACUAUAUAGUAGCUCAUUUCUAUUGUUGUUGAGGCAUAGUAUCAUGUGUAGUUUACAUUACUAUGUAGUAGCUCAUUUUCAUUAUUAUUGAGGCAUAAUAUCAUGUGUAGUUUGCAUACUAUGUAGUAGCUCAUUUUUUUUAUUGUUGAGACAUAGUAUCAUGUGUAGUUUACAUUACUAUUUAGUAGCUCAUUUCCAUUAUUGUUGAGGCAUAGUAGCAUGUGUAGAUUGCAUACUAUGUAGUUGCUCAUACAUCGGAUCAUUGAGGCAUAGAUCAAAUACUAUGUUGUAGCUCAUAUCCUUGAUUAUUGAAGGCAUAGUAGAUUGUUGCUGAUUACUUUACUAUGUUGCUCUUCAAUUUCAUAUCUAUCUAUCUAUCUAUCUGCUUGUGCCUGCUUAGACCUAGUAAAAAAAUCGGCGGAAUCGGCGGCCGAACCCAUUGGGAACUAUAUUUAUAUAGUUCUCACCCCACUUUGUUGCAGGGCCUAGCGAGACCGUACCGGCAGAGGACCGUGGUAAGGGCAUAGCGCCCUAGUAGCUAGUAGCUUUCCCUCUUGCAUUAGAGUACCCUCGUGUACAUUGAGAUGUGUUGUAUUUGGGAGUUACUUAUGUAUUUGGAGAGCCAUUUUGUAUCAUGAGAAGAAUAUGUACUUAUUUUGGGAGAUGAAAAUAUAAACCAGUAUGUAAAUGAUGAAUGUGAUGUAAUAGCUAGAUAUACCUCUCUUUAUUUCACUUGUAUAUUACUUGUGAUUCUUGCUCUUAAUUGUAUAGCAUUUGUAGUGCUUCUUGUUACAUUAUGUAUGUUGUCUGAAUUUCUUCUGGGAAAAUUCUUGUACAUGAUCUUGUUGUCGAGCCUUGGGCGGAUAAGGGAGGUGCUGUCCGUUCGGCGUAUGAUCGACGUGCCCGGAUCCGACCAAAUUGGCGGGUCACGGGGCGUGACACGUAGCUUUGUUUUUCUGAUACGCAGGGAGGGACCGGUCUCUGGUUUGGAGGACCGGUCCUUGGGGGAUCGGACCCUUCGAGAGGACCGGACCCUGAGACCGACUUUUGUUUUUAAAAUCGUGUUUUUGAAAACCUAAUCCAUCUAGAAGUCUUUCUAACCUAUAUAUAUGAUAUGAGGAACAUUAUAUGAUAUAAGCUUUGUGAGAAAACCUUCGAGGAACCCUAAAAACUUGUUUUUGUUCUUCUUGAUUCAUAUGAUCUCUCAAAGUGUUUGAAUCACCACAAACUAUUAAUCUCUACGAGCUUCGGAUGGAGCGUGUGCACGUAGAUUUCGCGUGAAGCCGAGGAUUCGGUGGACCCAUCGUGGAUACGAGGCGUUGUUGCUGCGAGGACUUGCGGUGUGAUCGGUUGGAGGAUUUCAAUCGAUCGAGGACCGGCGAAGACAAUCUACAACGAGAAUUUGGUAAAGUUGUACUUGAUUUUUCUAUAGUGGAUUGUUUCGUGUGAUCGGCCCCGUGGGUUUUUCACUCCGAGUUGGAGUUUUCCCACGUUAAAUCUCGGUGUGUUGAUUUUAAUUUUCCGCUAUUAGUUUAAAUUUGCAUCGAGAGUUUUUAGUUUUGCCGUUUACACCUAUUCACCCCCCUCUGGUGUUAAUUACCUUUUAGAUCUUUGGGAUCCAUAUCUUACACUUUUAACUUUUAUUUAUUAAAUCUAAUGCCUCAAUUAGCUAUUAUUACUUAAUUGAUUUAAUUUUAUCAGCUAUAGGGUAGUUAAUACACAUCUAUUUUUUCAGUCUUCAUAGUUAAUUAAGUUAAAAAUGUUGUUAAAUUUCAAGACUCAAUUAACUAAUCGCGGUUAAUAAUUAACUUGAGUUUAAGCUAUUAAACUACUUGAAAUGAAAUAAUGAAUCAUUUUGGUUAAAUUUCUAAUUUAUUCGGCUAAAAUUAUAAAAAAAAUUAAAGUUAAGUAUGUCUCAACCAAAAAAAAAAAAAGAAGUUGAGGGAGCAAAUUCAUAAAUGACAAAAAGACAAGGAGGCAUUCAUACAUUCUUAUCAGAAUAAAUUAGAAAUUUAACCAAAAUUCUAGGAACAGGAGGUUUGUAUGAAAAAUAAAUGAUAAGUUGGAAAAAAAAAAAGGGUAUCAAUUAGAAGAUUUUAUUUACUGAUAAGUUUUAGGUAAAUUUUGCUAAUGGCACUUUUGGAUGUAAGUUGACCGAUGCUUCAUCUGUAUCCAGCGAACUUAAUGCAAUAAUACAAAAUUAAUCUACUAAAAUUAUGCAUUUAAUAGAAUUUUAAAAACAAUGCAUUCCAUCGAUAGAUUAAUAAGUUGAUGAAGAUGAUUAUCGGAAGUAAAGUGAUAUUAGAUCGAAAUAAACGGCUACAAAUGGGCCUUUCAGGAAAGAAAAUAUCGACAUAACUCCUUUUACUAGUAUAGGUUAAUUAUUUUGUCACGCCCCGGGGUCCCUUUAGGUUAAAAACACAGCGGAAAAUUUUUUUUUUUUUUUUUUUUUGCAAUUUUAAAUUAUUUUGGAAGUGAAAAUAAAAAAUUAAGAUAAGUGUCACGCCCCGGGGUCCCUUUUAGGUUAAAACACAGCGGAAAANUGUUUUGAUGUAUUUUGAAAUUUUAUAAUAUCUUAUUGUCAUUAUAAUGAUUCUUGGAGUAAAAGCCUUAAUUUAUUUGAAAUUAAUUUAAUUUGAUUGAUUUUUAAAGCAAAUUUUUCGAAAUCUGAGAUCGUUCAUCGAGCUUAGUCUCUCUCUUUCACUUCAUUUGCAUUUUAGGAUGAUGUUUUAGUUUCAGUUCUGCUUUUCUUUUUUUUUUUGUUUUAGGCCUGUAACUAUGACUAGACUACUCUCAUGUUUUUCUAGUAUUUUCUCUUUCUAUUUGUUUUCUUUUGGCAAUUUUUGACAAAAAGGGGGAGAGCGUAGAUGAAGGGAGAGAGCAUGGAUGAAUAGGCAUUGAACUGAUGCAGAGGAUGAUGAGUUCAAGAACAAAGGGGGAGAUGUGAACAAAGGGGGAGAAGGUAUAAGAAUUUAGUGCUAAUCAUUUUUGAAUGAAUUGUUUUGCAGGAAAUCAAGACUUCAAGACUCCUAGUUGCGUCUAAGUCAUAGAGUCUGUUUUAGGAGUUUUGAUGUAAUUUUGAGUUUCAAAUUGUAUUUGGAUUACACGCGAGGGGUUCGAUGUUUUGGUGAUGACAUUGAACUUCGUUUUUUCUUUAAAUUGUAAUUUGUGAGUUUGUGUGUGUUUUGUCACGAAAUUGCCAAAGGGGGAGAUUGUUAGGUCCUAUGUGUUGGCAAGUUUCGUGGGUCGAGUCGGAGUCUUGAAGAAGUCCGGAGCGGAGUAUUGAAGAUCGAAGAAUCCAAGACUUCGAAGAAUCGGAAAGGACGCAAAACACGUAAAACAUGAAUCACGAUGCUUAGGUAAGCUUUAAAUCUUGUUUAUGGUGAUUCAUACUUAAUUAUAGAUUUUAGAAUCAUGUUUUCAAGUUGUAAUUGAUUAGAAAGUUUCUAAGAGCUUGUAAAACUCGAAACAAUGCAUUUUCAGCGAAAAUUGCAUUGUUGUACCGGUACAAGAGUUUUCUGUCCAGGGUACAGCCAUCAGCGUUUGCGCAGAAAAGUUUGAUGGUUGUUCCGGUACAACCAUCACGGCUGUCCAGGGUACAAGCCCUGUUCCGGUACAAGAUGCAGUCUGUCCAGGGUACAGAAGCUUCGCAGAAAAAUCUUCCGUCAUGCUGUACCCUGGACAGCUUUCCUUGUUCCGGUACAAGGUGCUGAUUUUGGAAAGAAACUUUCUAAUCCUACUCCGUUUUGAUUCUAAAGUCUAUAAAUAAGCUAUAGGGGUUCUCUAACUGAUUAAGCAUCAUAAGAAUACAUGUUUGAGAAACCCUAGAGGCUCGGAUUUCAUUCUAAACCUAUUUUCUACAAAUUAGCCUCUUUAGAUCAAAUCGGGAUAUCGUUUCGCAUUCUCUAUAUGUCGAUUUGAUCUCCGCUUCGUUUGGAGUUCUAUUCCCUGGUUUUCUACGAUACUCCUAAGCGAAGGAUCACCAUAAUCAUGAUGCUCUUCAUGAACGGCGUCGUGGAUUCGGCGUGAACAAAGGCGGUUCGUGGAUUCGGAUCGUUGGCUCGUGGAUUCGAGUAGCGUCGUGGAUUCGGCGUGAUUGAAGCUUAGUGGAUUCGAAGUGGAGGCGUUCGUGGACUCGAACGUGAGGACGUGGACAACCCGGCGGGUAGCGCGAAGAUUCAUAGGAGGUUAAGAGAGGUUGAGUCCGUGGAGUCGGUAAUCACCUUAUAAUCUUUUCUCUUAGUGAAUUGUUUUUUCGCUUGUUGGUCCCGUGGGUUUUUCUCUAAGUUGGAGUUUUCCCACGUAAAUCUCAGUGUGCUUUUUAUUUUUCGUAUUUAUUUUUAUUGCAUCUAGAUUUGUGGUUUUUGGUCGUUCACCUAUUCACCCCCCUCUAGGUGAUAGAUACAAUCUAGAUAGAUCCUUGGGCUCCUCAAAACUUUCAGAAGAAGCGUCACCGAGCGUGCACCACUGUACCGACGUCGGAUCGAAGUACCCACCUGUACAACUGUCGCGCCUGUCUCCUAAUUGCAAAAGGACGUCAACCGGACCUAAGGAGGGUCCACUGGAUUAGUGUCUAACCCACAAUUAAGAAACCCUAAAAGCAUACUCCCACAAAUAAACCCACGAGAAUCGGUUUCCCAAACCGAUCGCCGUAAUACGCCGGAAAUCCCGUAAUCGCACCGAGACUCUGCCGAGACCCACGGACUGUCCCGGAACUCACCGACUCGUACUACGAGUCAGCGACUCAACAAAAGCUCACGAGGCACCGUCGGAAGAAUUCUGAACUAAAACCGCAUUUUGUCGGCUGAUUUUGCCGACAAACGCACCAGAAAAGCAUUUUCGAUCUCCGCAAAGGUCUGAGGCCUUGGAAAAUUAGUCAAGAGGUUACCCACUGCCCACGCACGCUGCCAACAGCAGCCACAAAAUAAACAAUUGCACAAAAACCCUCCCGAAUACCCGAAAUCGCAUUAUUUCAUGCGAUUUCGGCGCUUUUAUGGUCCGUCUGCACAAACCAGAAGUGAAUCAGUGAAGCCGAGACACCCGCUGACAGGUCUCAGAGUGUUGGAGGCCGUGCUCACCUUUCGGAGCAUUGCCGACCACUGUGGGAAGCGCACGAGCAAUGUGAACUUCAGUGAAACAGCACGCACUGUCACUUAAUCGCGUCAAACACAAAAAUUGGGCAUCUCUGACCCCAACGGAGGUAUCAACGAUGAUCAGAACCGAACAAGGAUCAGCGUGCUCACCUUCGGAAGACUCGAGCUGGCCUCGGUUCACCAGAACCGUAACCGGAACUCCAAACAGUGUACAGAAAGCCAAUAAUUAACUCACCGGAGCAAGGUGGGGCACGGGGCGGCCGGCGGCAGCCGGACGGCGGGCGCGCCGACAGGGGGAGGUUUCUGGCGACGGAAGGAGGCCAGGGCCCGCGUUGGCCGGCGACAGAAGACAGUGUCGGCGUUGGGCGAUGAUGCCCUAGCCACCUAACCCGAGGAGAGGUCGGCCCAGAUCCGGCCAACAGGGAGCUCCGGCGACAGGGAGGCCGGCGGCGGACGAGUGCGGCCGGCCAGGCGGAGCCUAUGCUCACGCCAGCCGGCGGCGGAGGGCGGCGGCGGCGGUGCUGGGUGUGGCUCGGCCUGCACAAACCUUGCGCGGUCGCAAGGAGAGGAAGCGACGGGCCGCGGUCACGGGAGUGGCUGGGGGAGCUCCGGGCGACGGCAAGCGGUCGCCGGAGGCCGGCGGGAGUCGGCCCGGCCGAUCCUGGACAGCGGCGACGCACGGCCAGAUCUUGCUCGGGCUGGCCGCAAACAGCAGGAGCGGCGACGGCGGCCACUACGGGGACCGGAGGAGGGUCGGGGCGACGUCGUCACGUCGCCGGAGGCCGAGAAAGGGCGGUGCACCUUACUGCGGGCGGUGGCGACGCGCCGUGGUCGAGAUGACCAGAUCUCGGCCUGCUCCAGGUCUGGGCGGCCGCAGAGAGGGAGAGCGGCGGCCGGCGGCGUCGGGAGCGGCGACGAUGGCGCGCGGGGGCACGCCGGAGGCCAGAUGAGGGCGGCGGGACCGAGGGUGGGCGGCGGCGAUGCGCGGAAGCAGAGAUCACCCAGGCUCGGCCUGGGUGACUGCGGGUUGGCCGCAGGGAGCAAGGUGGCUCCGGCGGCGUCGGCGGCGCGCGCCGACGGCAGAAGCCGGCGAGGGUGACACCGGAAGGGAGGUCUCUGCCAGAGAGCGCAGGCUCGACUCAUGGGGUGGCUUCCCAAGGUCAGAAGGCCGAGGAGGACGGAGGAUAGGUGAAGAAGGUGAUGGUGAAGGUGUUUUCCGGUGGCCGGAGCACCUGCCAGCGGCCGUGGUGCGCGCACGGCUUGGGCAACGGUGCAGAGGUGUUGCAGGGAGGUCAGCUGAGGGAGAGGGUGAACCAGGGUUAGGGUUUUCCAUAAUGAAACCCUAAAAAAUCCAUAUAUGAUUGUCAACUUUGCACACAAGUCCCUCUAAACUGAUUAUUAGAAAUUCAGUCCUUCACAGUGCGAGUAUUUUACACUUGUGCACCUCCACAUCUGAUUUCGCGCGAUUCGGUACAUAAAAUAUAGGGUCUCUUCGCGAUUUAUCCGUUUUGCCACUUUGACCCCUCAGCGAACAUCUCGUAAUUCCCGGAGAUCCGUCCGUCGGAUUUUCGAUCCGAAAGCACCAUUGCGUUUAGCACGUCGGGGGCAUCGAAACUACGAUUUCCUUUCAUCCGAUUUGCUUGCCGAUUUGCGACAAAAUCCGACCUCUCUCAAACUAAUCCAUAUAUCACACAUAGGCCUUGGUGGAAACCCGAAAUCCUAUAAUUCAAACUCGUAUUUGAAUUCCCUACCACCAGUAGGUACCUGAAACAUCCUUCCCCCUACUCCAUUCUAAGCAUGAUAUCGACAUGGAAAUAACUGAGUAGAGGAAUGCAGAUAUAAAUGCAAGUGCAAGGUUCAAUAUAACUGUAAGGUAGAGUAAACAGUAGGGGUGAAGAAGCGUCACCGAGCGUGCACCACUGUACCGACUACGGGUCAGUGGAAAUACAGUAGGAACAAUAGUAAGCGAAAGAGAUGUAUAAAGUAAUGAGCAGAUAUACUAAAUACAGUAGCAAUAAACUGACAGAAAGUAAGAACUAGACUGAACAACGGCUACCGCUACUGUAACUGGAACAGAAAGCAUACAUGAAUAUCUACUAUAGUAGCAAGACAAUUAUAAAGCAAGAACUGUAAGUAUGCAAGCAACGACUGCUACUAUAGGCAUAUGCGUCAACUGGAUGUAAAGACCAAAUAUACCCAAUCUGAAAUCUGCUGCUUUGUUGGUCCGCAACUGAACCUCAAGCCUGUGGCACUACUACUCACCCUGUACCUGACCCUCGCAAUGAAGCCCCUGGGUCAGAAGCUUAUACCCUCGCAAUAAAGCCCCUGGGCUCACGAGUUGGCAAUCCAACCACUUUUCCGGAAAAGAACACCCUCUUGCGAUGGAUCAGACCGCUGGUGUUCGUGAAAUGCGUACCUGGAGUGGCGAUCAAUGUAGUAUGCUCAAAGAUCUUCCAUCGGCAACUAGCCGACAAUCCAGCCCCUCAGGGCACAUCGACCGUAUAGGUCAUCAGCAACUAGUCGGCUACGUAUGUCAAGAUAGAACUGUAGCAACUCGACCGAAUAGGUCAUAGAUAUCAAAAUAGGGGAACCGCCCAACCAAAUCACAGAUAUAGUGAACAGAUAAGUCAACUCUAUUCUAAGCAUGAUAUCGACAUGGAAAUAACUGAGUAGAGGAAUGCAGAUAUAAAUGCAAGUGCAAGGUUCAAUAUAACUGUAAGGUAGAGUAAACAGUAGGGGUGAAGAAGCGUCACCGAGCGUGCACCACUGUACCAACGUCGGAUCGAAGUACCCACCUGUACAACUGUCGCGCCUGUCUCCUGACUGCAAAAGAACGUCAACCGGACCUAAGGAGGGUCCACUGGGUUAGUGUCUAACCCACAACUAAGAAACCCUAAAAGCAUACUCCCACAAAUAAACCCACGAGAAUCGGUUUCCCAAACCGAUCUUCGUAAUACGCCGGAAAUCCCGUAAUCGCGCUGAGACUCUGCCGAGACCCAUGGACUGACCCGGAACUCACCGACUCGUACUUUGAGUCACCCGCUGCCCGAAAACACAUCAAAUUGGAUGUCUAGGAAGCAAUAAAACUAACUCACAUUGAAACGAUUAUCGUCGAAUAAUCGUUCCGAUCCGGGUUCCCGGAAGUGUCAAUUUCGACACCGGAACCCACCGUCGCUCACCCGUCAUUUCCAAACCCUCGAAAUGACAUGAGUGACCAGCCAACAAGGGUCAGCGACUCAACAAAAGCUCACGAGGCACCGUCGGAAGAAUUCCGAACUAAAACCGCAUUUCGUCGGCGGAUUUUGCCGACAAACGGACCAGAAAAGCAUUUUCGAUCUCCGCAAAGGUCUGAGGCCUUGGAUAAUCAGUCCAGAGGUUACCCACUGCCCGCACACGCUGCCAACAGCAGCCACAAAAUAAACAAUUGCACAAAAACCCUCCCGAUUACCCGAAAUCGCAUUAUUUCAUGCGAUUUCGGCGCUUUUAUGGUCCGUCUGCACAAACCAGAAGUGAAUCAGCGAAGCCGAGACACCCGCUGACAGGUCUCAGAGUGCUGGAGGCCAUGCUCACCUUUCGGAGCACUGCCGACCACUGUGGGAACUGCACGAGCAAUGUGAACUUCAGCGAAACAGUGCGCACUGUCACUUAAUCGCGUUAAACACUAAAAUUGGGCAUCUCUGACCCCAACGGAGGUAUCCACGAUGAUCGGAACAGAACAAGGAUCAUCGUGCUCACCUUCGGAAGACUCGAGGUGGCCUCGGUUCAUCGAAACAGUAACCGGAACUCCAAACAGUGUACAGAAAGCAAAUAAUUAACUCACCGGAGCAAGGUGGGGCACGGGGCGGCAGCCGGACGGCGGGCGCGCCGAUAGGGGGAGGUUUCUGGCGACGGAAGGAGGCCGAGGCGCGCGUUGGCCGGCAACAGAAGAUGGCGUCGGCGUUGGGCGAUGAUGCCCUAGCCACCUAACCCGAGGAGAGGUCGGCCCAGAUCCGGCCAAUAGGGAGCUCCGGCGACAGGGAGGCCGGCGGCGGACGAGUGAGGCCGGCCAGGCGGAGCCGAUGCUCACGCCUGCCGGCGGCGGAAGGCGGCGGUGGCGGUGCUGGGUGUGGCUUGGCCUGCACAGACCUUGCACGGCCGCAUGGAGAGGGAGCGACGGCCCGCGGUCAUGUGAGCGGCUGGGGGAGCUCCGGGCGACAGCGAGCGGUCGUCGGAGGCCGGCGGGAGUCGGCCCGACCGAUCCUGGACAGCGGCGACGCGGGGGAGAGAGAUCUGGCCACCCAUGGCCAGAUCUUGCUCGGGCUGGCCGCAAACAGCAGGAGCGGCGACGGCGGCCACUGCGGCGACCGGAGGAGGGUCGGGGCGACGUCGUCACGUCGCCAAAGGCCGAGGAAGGGCGGUGCACCUUACUGCGGGCGGUGGCAACGCGCCGUGGUCGAGAUGACCAGAUCUCGGCCCGCUCUAGGUCUGGGCGGCCGUAGAGAGGGAGAGCGGCGGCCGACGACGUCGGGAGCGGCGGCGAUGGCGCGCGGGGGCACGCCGGAGGCCAGAUGAGGGUAGCGAGACCGAGGGUGGGCGGCGGCGAUGCGCGGAGGCAGAGAUCACCCAGGCUCGGCCUGGGUGACUGCGGGUUGGCCGCCGGGAGCAAGGUGGCUCCGGUGGCGUCGGCGGCGCACGCCGACGGCGGGGGCCGGCGAGGGUGACACCGGAAGGGAGGUCUUUGCCAGAGAGCGCAGGCUCGAAUCAUGGGGUGGCUUCCCGAGGUCAGAAGGCCGAGGAGGACGGAGGAUAGGUGAAGAAGGUGAUGGUGAAGGUGUUUUCCGGCGACCGGAGCACCUGCCAGCGGCCGUGGUGCGCGCACGGCUAGGGCAACGGUGCAGAGGUGUCGCAGGGAGGUCGGCUGAGGGAGAGGGUGAACCAGGGUUAGGGUUUUCCAUAAUGAAACCCUAAAAAAUCCAUAUAUGAUUGUCAACUUUGCACAAAAGUCCCUCUAAACUGAUUAUUAGUAAUUUAGUCCUUCACAGUGCGAGUAUUUUACACUUGUACACCUCCAUGUCUGAUUUCGCGCGAUUCGGUACAUAAAAUAUAGGGUCUCUUCGCGAUUUAUCCGUUUUGCCACUUUGACCCCUCAGCGAACAUCUCGUAAUUCCCGGAGAUCCGUCAGUCGGAUUUUCGAUCCGAAAGCACCAUUGCGUUUAGCACGUCGGGGGCAUCGAAACUACGAUUUCGUUUCAUUCGAUUUGCUUGCCGAUUUGCGACAAAAUCCGACCUCUCUCAAACUAAUCCAUAUAUCACACAUAGGCCUUGGUGGAAACCCGAAAUCCUAUAAUUCAAACUCGUAUUUGAAUUCCCUACCACCAGUAGGUACCUGAAACAUCCUUCCCCCUACUCUAGGUCACAUACACAGAUCACGAGGGGUGUCAUAAUGCAAGAAUAGCGAAGAACGAAAACCCUCUUUUUGAUAAAAUCCCUUUUUUCUCGAAAAUCGUGCGUCAGAUCUGAAAUCUGUCAGUGCUAUUGGUUCCAAAAUAGCUGAACCGAUCAAAACGAGCUAUUGGAUGGCUAUGAACGGAGUCCGAUACGCGCUGAAAGCCAACUCUACUCCAUAGCUUCUCCGGAAAACCGAAGUUACUAUUCACUUAAGUGAAAACUAAAAAUCACGUAUCUUCUCCAUUUUAGCUCAUUUUCUCCUAAAACUUGACGAGUGCUUAUGUAAUUAAAUUACACACAUAAACAUCAUCAACAGAGAGUUUAGUUGCACUAUAAAAAUCUCAGUCCUUACAUUAUCCCCCCCCUAAAUGAAGUUUCGUCCCCGAAACUUGACCACAUACCCACCAAAAUCGAAUUCGGAUAAUACUUCCACCACUAUGGUAUCACCUUUGAGUAUUGGUCAAUUACAUUUUCAUGAAUUUGGACAGAUCAAUCUCCGUAGAAGGGGAAAAAAUAGGACUGCGGUUCCGCCUGGACAGAUCGAGGGAAAAACGUACCAACCCAAAAUCUAUGGACCAAAAUUCACCGGAAUCAACACCAUCCUAUAACUUGCGGACAAAGACAGUCCCGCGAUUAGGAUUAUCAGAUCCCAAAUUGCCAAUUCAGAGAUAAUUAAGCAACAUUCAGAAAUUUAGGUCCACUCUACCUUGGUCCGCAUAGCCGUAACCGACUCGACUACGUCGUAAGUUCAUGUAGAAAAGUCACGAGACAACCACUUUAAUCUAAAGUCUAUUUACGUAGACUGAAACGAAAAACUCCGACUAUCCAACAACGUCAACCUGCCCACCACGAGCGAAUAAGAAACGUUGUUCUAAAAUCCGAGUUGAAAUCACUUACAUCGGAGACCACAGUUUCCACCAGUAACCACACAAACUGCCAAAACCUCCAUCAACGAAAAGUCACCUGCGACAAUCUAUAGUCCUAGGUCCAAGACCUCACUUUCCACCUGACCAAAAGAUCCAACUGACAAUACCAAUUGCUAGACAAUUUUGUCCCCUCAAACUUAAUCCGGUACCAACAUACCACCAAAAGCUCUUUGCAAGUCCAUCACUUGAUGCACAGGUCGCUAAUCGCAACUGCGAAACUAACCAUCAGUGAUGCUCAACAUCUAUCUCCACAAGACCCUGUCACUGCCGUCCUACAAGGGACCCUAGCGAUCGAUAUUCCCAGCAACACCCGAUUAACCCCGGCGCACAUGUCAUCAAUUAACUGGACAAGCAUACUAUUCCAAGGUUGCACAAUAAGCCCAGUCACAACCUUAUACACUAUCACAUAUGGUGACAAUCAAGCCAACAGCUAGGCUCAAGUCACUCAUCCACUGAUUCUGAACCUCACAACGACAGACCAAGACUACUAACCAAACAAACUUUUUAAUUGUGGAAGGCACAACUAAAGAACUAAGAAUACCUAGAUUCGAACUAGGGUCAGAACCCUUUAUCAGUGACGAUAAGUCAACUGUGCAAAACCUGCCACGGAAUAACCCAAGGCUUGCUGCGUAGUCAGAAAAGGUCGACACUCAAGCUUUCCCACAAGACAGACUAGAGAACACACCGACCCAAUCCAGAAGUCCCCAAGUAGGGAAAAUGGUAUUUCGUCCCUCUUUCGACAGUAUAUUGUCUGCAGCCAAUAUACUUAUCAAAAAAAAAGCGAAAUAUCCGAAGAUCCACUACCAACAACAAGUUGGAAGUGUGACACAUCGAAGUAUCAAGCCACCUGAUACCUCUUCACUGAACCAGAAGCUCACAACCAUUACUAUCGUAACAUCAAUUUUACAAGUCGACAUUCGAACUUAGAACGACCCUGAACCGACUCACAGGGAGUCCUAUAACUUUCAACAUUCGAAAGCUGCUAGCGACACUAAGCCGCGCACCGUACUAACUGAGGCUUUAGAAAAUGGUUUCUCUAACAGAUUUACGCACCACAACCGAGCUAUAGUCAAAGCUCCGAAAAUUCCUACAACAACCUGGAGUCUCUCGAAUCAAGAUGAAACCUAUCACCAACCACAAAUUAACCCACAACACACUAAUUUAGGUGUUAGAAUAACCGCAUACGAUGUAUGCCUCAACAAAAACUUGACACCAAAAUUGUGUCAAUCCUACUCUAGUAGGAAGAAUGAACGAGGUAAAGGUUAAAAGAUCCGAACCGCUGAUUCCAAUCAGCAAUCAAGGAGGAUAGGUAGGCAUCACAACCCCACCCAAAGAUCGGCUGAAGCAACACUAACAAUGUAGUUGCCGAAACGACCGCUAUCCAGACCCUGGGCUACACCCUAGUAGCCCUACUGAAAUCGCGACCUUAGCGGUCUAAGUACCGUCUCCGUAGAGACACUCGCAGUAGCUCUCGUGUCCAAAGUAGAGAGAGUGGCCCGGGCGUCGGUAGUUACGACACUCGCCUAGGCCCGAAAAUCUCACUUGGCCCUUCAAGGCCCCAUCUGACAGGAGUGACAACACCUGGGGAACAUCGCCCCACCACUCGAUGUCCGAAUAAGUACACCGCCACUACUCCCGACUUAGACACCAGCUUGUGCAAACCGUAACACAUACAGAAACACCAUGCACUUCGAGUUUACCAAACUAGAAUGCACACCGGGACACAAGCCGAAACCCCGCACUCACGUGCCUAUACACCGUAGGUCUUCAUAUGGGUCAACCUAACCAAUGGUUCAGUUUCAUUUGGUUUAGUUCAUUUACUUUUCAAAACAACCUAUGAAUGGUGUUGUGGUUAUAACCUCGCUCUGAUACCACUUUAAUCUGUCACGCCCCGGGGUCCCUUUUUAGUUUAAAGCAUAGCGGAAAAGCGUCUGAAAUUUUUUUUUUUUAAAACCUGACCCCAGGGUAUGCUAGAUCCGCCACAAAUACAGAGAAUCCACUGUUCACACGGACAUAGUCUCCCCUAUAUUUGCACGGCGUCGCACAAGUACAAGAGUUCAAACAUUAUACAACCACAACCAGAUGAAUAUACAAAUGACCAACAGAUAUACAUUCAUACACCAUUCACCACAGAUUCACAUUAAUACAUUCGAUAUUUAAAUAUAAAUCCACAUCUAUCAGUUAAAAUGUUUCCAACCACAGAAACAGGUUUUGAAAUACUAAGAUACAAAAUCCACAGAAAACCUUUUGAAAACUGUUCCCUACACAGGAACUUUUAUCUUUUUUUAAAACACUACCACGAGGGGUAGAAAAUAUUUUAUUUUACAAAAUCCAGAAAUCCUUUUAUUACAUUCAUGAAAAUCCAUAUUUUCAAAUGUAAAUAAAUACUGAACCAUAUAAACUAUCUAAGCUAUAUCAACAUAAUAGUAAGGGUAGAACUUAAACCGAAUAACCUGGGUCGGAAGCUCUAUCGACCGCUACGUAUCUCACGUCUCGUCUCAACCCUCACCGCCCGCGAUACCUGAAAAAAUAGUGGGGGAGGUGAGAACAUGUAAACAUGUCUCCCCUCCCAGUGGGUACCGCAAGCCGAAGAAGGCGAGGAGUACUAACCGGAUCAGAAAGAGCUAUACAACAACACCGGUCAGUGGAAAAUACAGUAGGAACAAUAAUAAACGAAAGAGAUGUAUAAGAUAAUGUCACGCCCGAGUACCAGCGGAAGCAUAUCCGGUCGCGUGCACAGACCCGCCAUAUAUACCACAACUCAAGUAUACAUAAGACGUCUACAAACCAUAUAGUAAAAGCAUAUAAUUCUAACCAGGUAUUCAGAGCACGACUUUUAAACUUAUACAAUCCAAACCUUAAUACAGGAAAUAAGAAUAAAGUACAAUUUAUAAAAACUUAAUAUACAUCUCUGUACUAAACUACAUAAACUGGUGGAGGUCGCCUAGUAUACGUCCAAAAAGGCUCUAGCUAGCCGCAGACCCCUCGCCAAGAACCCUAGCCUUUCCAGUGGGUAAGCCGCCGAGAGUGGCGAAGUACACCACUAGGUCAACUGUGGCAUGAGUAGAUAGCAAUAAAUAAGCAACUGAAUGCAGAUAAUGCAAUAAGCAAUUACAUGCAACAGAUAUGAAAGUAAACUACUCAUGCUAUUUGCUCAACAAUAAAUAAACAUCAAUAGAUUGCAGGUAUCAGUUAUCAUGAUAGAUUCUGUCAAUCAUAUUAGUUGACAAUUUAACCAAACAUAUACCAGGAUGUAUGCAAGAUAAUUCACUUUACUGAAAUUACAGAUGAUAUCAUGUAAUUACCUUGUUCAUUAGCAAGAAAGAAACACAAUGUCAUUCAUUAUGUUGCUAACCAAUCAUGACGUCAACUUCUAGGUUGUUCAUCACUAAGCUCACUUUAGAUGUCAACUUUCUAGUAUGUUCAUCAAUAAGUUCACUUAACCAAAGACAUAAAGUAACUUUACUACUAUGUCCAGCUAAGGUUAAAGUACUUGACCUAACCCAAUUUCCAACAGACUUACACAAGGCAAGUUCAAGCCGCGCCGUGCCUAAUGGCCCCGUUGUAGUGUACACUCCCCACGGCAUUCCACUUCGGUGCUCACUUCGUACAUUUGCGAGCAUCUGUCGCUAAGCUGUUCGGGAGUGCUGGCUUGGGGGGGAGCGACCCCUCAAGCGCGUGCGAACGCGCACAAUGGCAUGCAAGCCGUAGUACAUAGUACCAAUCUCACAACAGCAUCAUGUCCCUGACAUGGUAUCUCAACUCAAGCCACUCCGGAACGCCGGGCUUGGGGGGCGCGACCCCCGCAAGCAUGUACGAAAGAGCGUAAUGGCAUGAAAGCUAUAGUCCAGGGUACAAAUAUCUCAACUCGACCCAAGGUCGGCACUGUAGUACCCAAUCAUAAGUCACUAUCAACAACUUGUUGAUAUAAUUCUACCAAAAACUAGUAUAACUUGACAAGUUAAGGCUUUACAUCACACUAGUGAUUCUAUCAGGCUAUACCUGGUCAGUCAUUCACAAUCUCUCACUACUCCUUACACAUAAGGAAAGUGGUUUACUAAUGUUCUGUUCAAAGACUCAUGGCACAUAUCCUGUAGUCCAAUAUAAAUCUCUACUUGACUAUACAAGUAUGUUAUCAUAUCCAACUCUAGUUAUUUACUAGAUUAUAUUCAGUUGAAUAAUCAUUCAAGUUAUGCCAUCAUAUGAAAUUCUAGUUACUUACUAGAACAUAUACCAUAAUAUAAGUCUAUUAUGUGAAAGUAGAAACUAACAGGGUAAUGCAAGCAAAUGAAACAAGUGAUAAAAUACUCUUCAUAUGAUCUCUAUGCCAUUCAUUAUACAAUUAGAAAUGCAUAUGCAAACAAAGGCCUUUACCUGAUCUUUCAGAGUAUAGCAAUUAUACGUGCUAUAUAACAUUGCAUAGUUCAAUCCUAAAUACAUCAAUCUCUUUGUUGUUCAACAGAACUAAUUAGUCCAUUCACGAAUUUAUCAUUAUAUCCUCUUGGAUAACAUCAAGCUAAAAUUGCAUAUGCAAGCUACUAGUAUCAUGAACACGUAGUACUUUAACAUGUAACCAUGUAGAGUGAACAAGUCAUGAAUCAAAGAUGCUAUCAUAUCCGAUAUGAUCUACACAUCAAUGCAUGUCGCAAUGCCCUGAACUAUACAUAUAUUCACAUGAAUAUAUAAUAACUUCAACUCAGAUGUCAAAGGAGACAUAGAGGGAAUUCACCCAUUUCGGGAAGGUCAGACCCACCUCUCACUAAGCUCAAUGCAGCCACAAGAAGUCCCGAAACUCAACUCAACGGAGCCCCAACUCUGUUGAAAACGAAACACGGAAGGCGCAUCAAACUACGACCGAAAUGUCCAAUUUCGGCACAGAUUGUACUUAGUACAAGGCAAUAGCUUAAAUUCCUGUUUUGGCUCAGUUAAUACCUCAAGUUAAGUUUCUAAAAGCCUUCACGCAUCAGCCGGAGAUACUCCGAAAGUCCGUCGCAAGCCCGCUGCGAACAAUUUCCAAAACGGCAUCAAAGUCGUCAAAUAUUAAUAACUAUAAUCGGAAUCUUACGAUUUUAGUUUUCUAACUGAAAUUCCUGCUUACCUCAGGUUAGAACACCUUCUAACCAGUCCCCAAGGUCACCAAUUAAGCUUAAAUUAAUCCGCAAACCUGCUGCGAAGAGCACAAUCCAAAUUGCAUUAAGUUAUUCAAAUAAACUUCGUAUAAUUGCGAAAUAACUUCAUACACCAUUAAUUACCUUGGCCCAGCCUUGCAGUAGUUUAUCCCUAGUCUAAGAUGGCUAAAUCACAGCUGA
rnacentral:lncRNA from 1 species